GAUGUGCAGGGUCUCCAUUGGCAGCGAAGGCACUAGGAUCUGUACUACGUGGCAAGACAACGGAAGAAUGGAAGGCUGUGCUUAGCAAAAGCAUCGCCCAUAACAAGGACGAUCAAAUCCUGCCUAUUCUCAAGCUCAGUUACGAUGACCUGCCAUCACACAUGAAGCAGUGCUUCGCUUUCUGUGCUGUGUUUCCCAAGGACCAUGAGAUUGACGUGGAAAUGCUGAUCCAACUAUGGAUGGCAAAUGACUUUAUUCCCGAACAAAAAGAUGCUCAUCAUGAAACAAUUGGUAAACAGAUUUUCAGUGAGCUGGUCUCAAAGUCAUUCUUUCAAGAUGUGAAGCAAGUCAAAGGGGAAAGAUAUGAUUCCGUGUAUUGGUAUUUCUCUACAAGUACAUGUAAAAUCCAUGAUCUUAUGCACGAUGUGGCACUUUCUGUCAUGGGCAAAGAAGUUGCUACCAUAACUGAGAAGCCAAAGCAGAGUGAUGAGUUUCUUCAGAACACUUGUCGUCAUAUAUUGUUAUCAUGUGAGAAGCCAGAGGCCGUUUUGAAUGAUUCUCUGAAUAUAAGGUCUCCAGCUAUGCAAACACUACUAUGUGGUCAGCGCAUAGGAAAUUCCCUGCAGCAUCUCGCAAAAUACAGCUCUCUGCGUGCAUUGGGACUUUGGCAGGAUAAGAGCACAAUCCUACUGAAACCAAAGCAGCUACAUCUCUUGAGGUAUCUUGAUAUCUCGGGUAGUGAUAUAGUGGCACUUCCGGAAGAUAUCAGCAUUUUGUACAAUCUGCAAACGCUGAAUGUUGCGCACUGUCGCAAACUUGGCCGGCUUCCAAAGGGAAUAAAGUACAUGACUGCCCUCCGUCACCUCUACACUCACGGAUGUAAGGAGUUGAAGCGCAUGCCACCAGAGGUUGGACAUCUCACUUCCCUGCAAACACUUACAAAUUUCGUAGUGGGUGCAGGCCCUGAUUGCAGUAGUAUUGCAGAGCUGCAGCAUUUAAACAACCUUGGUGGUCCACUACUGCUUAGUCAACUCGAAAAUGUGACAAAAGCAGCAGAUGCAAAACAGGCCAAUCUUGGAAAUAAAAAGGAGCUCAGGGCAUUGUCAUUAACGUGGACACGUAGUGAGGGGGAGAAACAACAUUGUCAUAAGGUGCUGGAGGGUCUGGAAGCUCCUCCUGGACUAGAGGCUCUGAGGUUAAAGUAUUACCAAGGAACCAGUUUCCCAACAUGGGUGGGUACGCGGCCAAAAAUGGUGGAGCUUCAUCUUUCUGACUGUAACAAGUCCAAUAAGCUUCCUCCACUUGAGAGUGUACCAGCUCUACAAGUUCUUCGUCUGGAAAGAUUGAAAAAGCUGGAAAGCUUGUGCAGUGGUGGUACAUUCUUUCACUUUCCUAAUCUGAAGGAGCUUACGCUGGAAGACCUGCCGGAAUUUGAUAGAUGGUGUGAAGUAAACUGGGUCCAAGGAGAACAGAUAAUGUUUCCUCAACUUGAGAAAUUGUUUAUUACAAAUUGUGGAAAGGUUACAGCAUUACCAGGGCCAGCACUUCUCGGAGGAUCGUGCUGUGGAGAUUACAAGGAGCAAGACGAGAGGAAGCUUUGGUCGGCAUUUCCAGUCCUGAAGGAACUCGAAUUAAAAUGCUUAGCAAAGUUUCAGAGGUGGGGGGGCGCUGCUGAAGCAACUCAAGGGCUGCAGAUAAUAUUUCCUCAGCUUGAAAGUUUAUCAAUUUACAGAUGUAAAGAGUUGACAGCACUGCCAGAGGGGCCUGAGCUCGGAGCAGCACCGAAGGUGCUAAAAUCACAAGACUUGGAGCUUGGGACAACAUUGUGUGGUGGAGAUUAUGGAAAGGCACGAUCAUCCUUUCCAGCACUGAAGGUACUAACAUUGUUUUGGUUGGACAACUUUCAGAGCUGGGAGGCAACGGAAGCAGAUCAAGGAGAUACAAUAUUUCCAAAUCUUGAAGAGUUAUCAAUCGAAAAGUGCCCCGAACUGGCAGCAUUACCAUCAGCUACAUCUCAGGGAGUAUCAUUUGACCAUAGUGGUGUUACAGCAUGGUCAACAUUCCCAAACUUAAAGAAGCUCCAGUUAUGUUACUUAGAUAGUUUUAAGAGCUUGGGGAUGACGGAAGAUCAGAGAUUCCCUGACCUUGAGACUCUGUUUGUUGAGAAAUGUCCCAAGUUGACAACUCUACCGAGGGUGAUAGAAGCACCAAAGCUCCGUGUAUUAGAAAUAUAUGGCAGCCAACUGACAGCAAUAAUUGUGCCUACAGUUAUUAACUCAUUGUCCGAACUGGUGUUAUCAGUCGAAGACACAGAAACUACUUUACCAACUGUGCAUGGUGCCUUUGAGCUGGUGGACGCCAAUAAUAAAUACCCUCUGACAGAUCUGGAGCUAAGCGGCUGCAACUUUCUGUUCCCCUCAAGUCCACUGGCACUAUGGACAUGUUUUGUCCAGCUCCAACGUUUGACAAUGAAGAUCAACCAUGCGCUUGUCUACUGGCCGGAAAAAGAGUUCCAGAGCUUGGUAUCCUUGAGGCACCUUACCAUUUGGAACUGCAGUGGUCUGAUUGGGUACGCGAAAGCUGCUCCUGGCCAACCAAUAUCAGAAAGGACCCAAGUUCUGCCCCGUCUCAAGUCUCUAGACAUACAGGAUUGUGGAAGUCUGGUAGAGGUCUUCAACGUCCCCGCAUCUCUCGAGACGAUGGAUUUGCGCCGCUGCCCCAAGCUUAAGUCCAUAUUCGGAGAGCAACAGGACGAGCCAACAUUCAAUCAAGGGCCCAGCGCUGCACCGAAGCUGUCAUCAUCGGCCCAGGAUCACUUACUACUUCCAUGUCUUGAAUAUCUAAGAAUAUGGCGGUGCGAAAGCUUGUCAGAGGUUCUCAACCUUCCCCCAUCCCUCAGGGAAAUACUUAUUCGUGAGUGUGGCAAACUCCAACUCCUAUCAGGCCAGCUGGAUGGACUCCGAACACUAGAUAUUUGGGGAUGCCCAGAGUUGAGAUCACUGGAAUCUUGCUUGGGAGAGUUUUCAACCCUGGAACGCCUCAGUCUGAAAGAUUGCAAAAGCCUGGCAUCCUUGCCCGAUGGGCCACAAGCAUACUCAUCUCUCCGUCAUCUUCAAAUUACAUCAUGUCCAGGUAUACAGUCGCUUCCUUCAUCCCUGAAGAAGAGACCGGACAACCUCAUUCGUAAAUAUUUGGAUGCUCGUUACGAAGGUACCCACCAAACUCAUUUGUCAUUUCACCAUAGUUUGAAUGCAUAAAUCUGCUCAUGCUUUCUAGAAAUAUAUAUACCAUUCGUCUUAAAGCAUCCAUGCAGUAGUUUGAAUGACGUGGUGUGAUUAUUUUUACAUUAGAGAAAGGUGCAGCACACGACCACAGAAUUUUGGUGCCUUGGUAUAAUCACGUCGAGUUGUAUUACUUAAAUUAUCCAUUUUGAAUUUCUGAAUAGAUAUGACUACUAAAGAAGCUGCUUAACGAGAAUGAUAUGUAAGGCAAAAUAGAUUAUCUUUGGUCCUCCACUUCUGUCUUCAGUUCAUCUUUAUUCUGUGAACUGCUACUAGUAUUUGCGUCUAUAGACUAUAGCUAGGUGUGAACUGUGCCCAGAAAUUAUUGACAAGGAAUAGUGGAAAGAACUCAGCAAUCACUAAAAAAGCAUGAAGAGUGUCCCACAUAGUUACUUUUCAUGCAGUUGUCGUGGUGGCUUGCUGGUUUCAGCACUUGCGCAAUACGAAAUUAAAAAAAAAACCAAGUGAUCCCUCCACACUUGGACAAUUAAGAACACGACUAUAGAUUGUUUUCAAUUUGCAUUGAACUGAUAUUUUUCUAUUUCCCUAAUGUUACACCCCAAAUAGAGAUGCCAAGUUGCCAACAAAGGUUUUUACUUGUCAAUUUAAUUGAAUUUUGUUGUCUAAAGGACAAAAUGCGGACUAAAUAAAAGGUCCCAGGAGCCUACUGUGUGGUACCAAUUAGAUUAAGUAUUUUAAUUCAUUUGCUUAUACUUCAAAAAAGUUUCAAUUGUUCAAAAAAUUUAGAUUAAGUAUUUCUAAUUCAUUUGCCAAUGAUACAGAUAAUGACCAGGAAGGAUAAACUCCUCGAGACCGAAGUUUUCAGGGGAAUACAAGAACAACUAUAUGGACGAGGUCACAAUUCCUGCGAGGGAGUUUUAUAAUGACCGAUCAAAUCUGAUGCACCCUAAGGAGUUGGUUUCGGAAUAAUAAAUACGAUAUGUGUAUGCACAAUAUGUCUAUAUAUGUGUAAUAUUAUUCAUAUAUGGGUAUACAUAAUACGUAUGAAUGAAGUACAAGCAAUAUAUAUAUAUAUUAGUAUCUCAAAUGUUAUAUUAAAGAUAAAUAUAUAUUAGCGUAUUAGAACUACUAUACGUAAAGGAAACAAAUAUGAAAUGAGAAUAUAGAAUAAACAAAUAGAAAAUAAGGAACAAGGAUGAAAAUAAGGUUUCGUUGAACUAAUUUUUAAUAUAAAAACUUAAGUAUACGGUACAAAUACUAAAAAUUAGUUUGCAAUAUAUAUAGCUCAUAAAACAUAAAAAUAGUGUAACAAAAAAAGUAAAAACAAUAACCAUUAUGAUCAUCUCAAAUAAAAAUAUAAUGCUUCGGUGCUUUGUAAAAAUCCGACUUCGGGCAUUUCUUGAUGUAAAAUCUUCAAGAAAGGUAUCAAGAUUAAUGUUGUUCAAAACAUCAUUCGCAAUGCUGCACGUAGCCAAGCCAUUCAAUCUUUUUUAUGACAUAGUUGAUCUAAAAUAAUAUUAAUUAGAUAAUUGCUUUUUAACAAAAUUGAUGUAGAAGAAAACAAAGAUGGAAGCGCUCGCCUUUGACGUGCUCGGUGCUCCAAGCGAUCAAGACGUGCUCCACUGCUUCAGAAGGCAGAAGCAGCGCUCGGCAAUCCAACCCUGAUGCCUUGACGGUCUGAUGCGGCGCUCGGCGCUCCAGAGUCCAAACGCUGAGACGCAGGGCUCGCCUGAUCGCCUCCUGCAUCCGCUAAGGCGCUGACCCGCGCGAUGAGGCAACGAUCAGAUCGGUGGCGGGCGGCGGCAUGGAGCCAGGACUCAGGGGCGUAUACGACGCAGGCAUACGGAGAGUCGGAGACACAGAGUCAGGGCGUCAGGCGUCAGGACGCAAUUUUGCAGGCCUAGCUCGCUCUGAUCGCGUGAUGCUCUGAUCGAAUCGGAAUCCGCGACGGCAUGGGCAAGCAUAUUUGGCAGCCCUGGCAAGCAAUUUGGUAGGCCCAAAUUAGCACGGAUGGAAGACAGGCAGCAGUUGCACGUGCCAUUUAAAAAGGUCGAAACAAAAUGCACCAAUCAAAUUAUAUAUACUAACUAUCUGUAUGGCUCCAUCGGCUUCGUGGGCCCCGGGCGGUCGCACGGCCUGCCCUCCCCUAGAGCCGGCCCUGCUGCCGACGAUGCCCAGCGGCGGGCGCUCACGACGGCCCAGACCGUCCUCGCCGCAGACGGACGCGUUCUUCGGCAAGGCUCGGCGACGAUACAGCAGCAGGUAGGCUGCCGGCGACCUCCGCCAUGUGGCUCCCGAGGUCGGAGACGACCGAGUCAGAUGUGCGUACAGGCGCUUCCUCUGCUUGGUGUCCCGGCUCGCCGGAGCGCCGCCUCGUUCCAGGCGCUGCCCGCCUACAUGUCCUUGCUCCCAGAACGACCAACGAUCGCGCUACGCGCGCCGAUGAGGCGAUGAACGGAUUGCACAGAGCCCCCCUUAUUGGUUCGGCUUCUCCUCCCUGGCGCUGGCCGCUGCCGUCAUCGCUGUGCUCCGUCCCGGCGGGGGAUUGCGAGGCCCAUCACGAAUCUCGAAUAUUGGAAGGUUAAAAAAAAAGUCUUGCGAAAGAGCUGCGGCCCACCUCGAGGUUUCCAGCCAAGCCAGCCCAAUGUAGAGAAGCCCAUCAGUUUAUUUCCAGCCGGCCGGCCCAGCAAUUCCAAACAUCAGCAGGGACAGAAAGAGAUGAUUUGUCCACCAACCAGUGGACUUGACUUGCUAGAUCAACCGAAUCUGACCUGACCUGCUGAUCAAAGUGAUGGAUGGAUGGAGCUACCGAUCCACCCACCCACUACUACUACGUAGCCAACCCUUCCUUUCUCGUCUACCCGGCCUGCCAUCAUUCUUUUUCCGGCGAUAUAUAUCACAGCACACGUAGUCCUCGUUCUUCCUCAUCGCUCGUCGUCACCACACGUGUAGGUCCAGCGCAUGCAGCCGGAUUGUUGAUCCAUUAUUCCACUGUACGGUAUUAAUGGCUGCCGAGCUCGCAAGGUCGUCGUCGACCCUCGUCGCCCUCGUCAGAGCGGCGGCGUUAUGGGCGUCCUUCGCGCUUCUGCCGAUCGGCGGACAUGGCAGCCGACACCGCCACGCAGCCGGCGUCGUCGUCGUCGGCGGCGGCGGCGCUGCCGACCGCGGCAGCUACAGGCAAGUAACGUGUCGCCGCGCCGCUGCGUCUAGACAUCUAGUGUUCACCGAUGACGACUAAAAUGUGGUGCCUACAUGCAUGCAGGUACGCCGGCGCCGACGGUGGACUCACCCGCAGCAGUCCCGACGUCCACUGUCGUCACUGCCACACCCGCCGCGGCGGCGCUGCUACCAUCCUCCUCCUCACCGCCUGCGACACCCGCGGCGUCUUCCGCCACCGCCACCACCGCCGCGGACACGGCGUCGAAGAAGUUUCCGCUGCCUCACCCCGGUGGCGGCGAGCCGUACAAUCCCGCGGCGGAGGUGGCGUCGGCGCUGCCGGUGCCGACGCCCGACGAGCUGCCCAGCGCGUCCAGCCUCGGGUUCGACGGCCACGGCCUCGGGUUCGGCGGGCCCGGCGACGUGUGCUGCGGCGGCGGCGGGUACGGCUGGUUCGGCGGGCCCGGCGGGUACGGCCCCGGAACGUACGGGUACACCGGCCCGCUCUACUGGGGGGCGGCGCCGGCGGGAGGGUGGGGGAGCGUGGCCGCGGCCAACGUCGUGGUGCCGCUCGUCGUGGCUUGCGUCUCUGCAGCCCUCGCUUAUUAGCAUGCAUGCAGUAUAUAAAUUACUUGUAAUUUUUACAGGGGAAUUAUUAAGGUUACUCUACAUGUUUACCGCGCCUUUGCGCGAGCAUAUAAUUUUCCUUGUACACGUUUGCACUUAUGCUAACCACAAUAAUAAUAUGAAGUGGGUACUGUGGUUAAAUUUGAGAUAUGAAUCAUACUAAGGGUCAGUUUGGUGUAGCUCCGUGGGACUCCGACUCCUCCUGACAUUUUCUUGCAGCAUCACUAUAGUAUAGCACAGAGCUUCUUUUCUUCCUCCUCUCCCUCCCUCUCAUAGGACUCCUCCAGCUGCGCGCUACAGGAGCUGAAGCCCAUAAGCCCGGUCAAAGCCGGUCAAACAAGGCCUAAAUUGAGCUCUAAUCUGGCAGCGUGUUUAUUUUUAUUUUUUAUUUGGCUUCCACUCUUGACACCACACGGGUCCAACCUUGUAGUAGAAUUCAAGAAGGCUGCGACAGUGCAUGUCAUAGAGAAGGACAUCAGUGUUUCUGUUUUAAUUACUUUGGACGGAAACACUACUACUACAUUUACGAGAACAUGAUAAUCAUUGCAAUUGCCAGAUUCCUCCAUCUUGUUUUACAUAAUUUCCCGAUACAUCCUAUGCCUAUCUAUUUUUUAUGCACGAUCAACUUUUAAUUUCCCCUGGCAAGCAACUUUUGGAUUCUGCAAUGCCCGUGGUGGCUUGUGCUGAAUAAUUUUUAAAGCACGGGAUGUGUAUCUUCUGAUCUGAUGCGUCAAUACUAGCUUUUUGUACGUAGUUGGAACGUAGUGGAUUAGAUUAUUCUCUUCCUAUCUCAUCCAGGCCUAGCACAAAAAAGAAGAAUGGCAAGACUCAGACUACUGCUGAAUAAUGCAUACGGUGUAUUCUAUGGUAUAUAUAGGGAUGUAAGCUAGCAGAGUCAUGUACACAAGCUCCUUGUGGGCCAGGAAACACCGUGCAUCCCACUCAAUGAAAGUGGGCCAGGGAUCUCUCUCUCUCUCUCUCUCUCUCUCUCUCUCUCUCAUGUUGUUCUUAUACAUAUUUAUUCACAAGUUCAACAUCUAAGUUCUCAAUCCUAAUAAAUGAAACUACAAUGGAAAAAUAGAAACUAUAUAUGCAGGGUUCCUUCUGAAUUUGCUAAAAGAGAGGUUGGUGUGUGAUUGAAAUCAGUAAUACUGACUUAACGCUAGAGGUGCUAAGGCACGAUCACGAAAAAAAACUUAACGGUAGAGGUGCUCUACCGACCGGCAACAUAUGCCGAUUUGGUAUUAUCUCAUGAGGUCACGAAUGCUAGAGGAAUUCAAAUAUAGGCAUGUGAGCAUUUACCAUGUAAGUUCAAACUAAAAUAAUUAAUGAUGGACCGAUUGAGAUUUUUCACACCAACAAUAAAAAACAAACGCAAAAUGGAAUCAUUGAUUUUACAAAUUGGUGUAGGAGUACGUAUGUUAGAGAUUUGUCAGUUGUAGGAAAAACAAUUGGGAAGUCCACGCUUAACGCAGAAAACGGGCCCAAUCUUCUAUUUUACACGAACCAUCAAAACUGUGGCUCAGCUCCACGAUUUCGUUUCACAGAAUUUCCCGAUACUUCCCAUGCCUAUCUAUUUCAUCUAUGAUCAAUAAUGCAACUUAAUUUUCAUGUCAAGCAGCUUUUGCAAUUUGGAUUCUAUGAGUCCGUCCUGGCUGGUACGGUGGUGCCUUGUGCUGAUUUUAGGCACGCUGUUGCAUGAUGCAUCUUCUGAUGUAGGGCAGGAUUCUAUAUAUGACUCAACUGCUGAAAAAUGCCUAUGGUGUACAUACAGUGGUAUAUACAGGGAUAUAGAAUAGUGCUUUAAAUUUAGAGUAUUGUGUAGUACAAGAUCCUUGUGAUAGGGUUGGAAAGCACUAGAUGGGAUGCACCUACUACUUGCUACUGCAUGGCACACCGUUAAUUUUUUUUUUGAAAGGAAAAGGGCACGAGAGUGUGCCUAUUUCAUUAAUAUAGGGGGGUUACAACCGGCGGACCGGGAAAAAGACGGGAAAGAGAGGAAAAGGAAAAAAGACGGGGAGGCAUCCAGAGAGUUGUGUUUACGAAAGAAGGGCCGCUAGGCCUCUCGCUCCCGCUGCUAGCCACAUGUUAGCUGUGGAUUUGAUUUUUGCCAUUAGUGAUGUCGUCGGGGAACCCUGGUGGCGGAAGAUUCGGGAGUUUUGCUCAUUCCAUAUUUCCCACAGGGUUAGGCUUCUGCUCGCUUUAUACGGGAUCCCUGUUGUUGAUGUGAUAUUGGUCCACCAAUCGAUGGCCCUUAUGCUGUGCUUCCAUUGAUCCGGUUGCAGGCUUUCAUGUGAUAACCGUUGGGCUACGAGCUUCCAAAUUUGCUUCGUAUAUCUGCAUUCGGCUAGGAGAUGAUGCGCAGUCUCCAUCGUGCAACGGCAUAGGGUGCAUGUUGGGGUGUGGUCCCAGCCCCGUUUUGCUAGUCUGUCCGAAGUCCAGACCCUAUUUUGGAGAAUUAGCCAGGCAAAAACUUUGCAUUUUGCCGGUGCCCAGGCUUGCCACACUGUUGCAAGGUUAGUCGUCUUGACGCUACCUAGGAGUUGAGCCUUGUAUGCUGAAGUUGUGGUGUACUGAUCGCUCUAGGUGAAUUUCCAUGUAAUUCCGUCCUCCUGGCUCGGAUUUAGUUGGCACUGUUGGAUCAGAGGCCAUAGGGUUACGAAUUCGUUCAAGAGGAUGUUUGUAAAGCCUGUUGUGUGUUGUAGAUCUCUGAUCCAGUUGUUGUUGUGGAAUGCCUCCCGCAUUGUCUUCUUUUUCCUUUUGGUUUUCGCGUAGAGUUGUGGAGCGAUGUCCUUUGGUCGCCAGCCUGCUACCCACGCAUCCUGCCAGAAACGUGUCUUGUCCCCAUUGCCGAUUUGGAUCGUCGUACAUGCAGCGAAAAGUAGUCUAUCCUGGUCGUCGCAUGGUGUUUCGGUUCCGACCCACGUCUUGUCUGGGGAAGCCCAUUCAUGCCAUAACCAUCUAAGGCGGAGCGCUCUUGCGAAUUUAUGAAGGUCUAGAAUUCCAACGCUGCCAUGCUCUUUCGGUAAAGUUGUCCUCGUCCAGUUGAUUUUGCAUUUGCCCCCGGUGAGUUCGUUGUCUCCCGCCCAUAGGAAGCGUUUUCUUAUUUUGUCGAUGUCCUCUAGUACUUCUUUGGGCGUUCUGAGGGCCGUUAGGGUGUAGACAGGUUGUGAGGAUAGGACGGACUUGGUGAGGCAUAAUCGGCCGGCCUGCGUGAGGUUUCUUCCCUUCCACUUUGAUAGUUUGCUCGCCACUUUGUCGAUCAGUGGCUGGAAAUCUAUGCGGCGUAGUCGUUCGACCGUUAGAGGGAGGCCCAGGUAUUUUAUCGGGAAAUUCCUCUGCGCUACUGGAAGGUUACGGAGCACUUCCUGAAAGUUAGCGUGAGAGCAGCUUAUCGGUGUGACGCUAGUUUUUUGGAUGUUCGUUCUGAGACCUGUCGCUUCCCCGAAAUUUUGUAGGAGGUUCUUCAAGUUUGUGAUGUCACGUGUAGAAGGCUUAAUGAAAAUCACCGCGUCAUUAGCAUACAUGGAUGUUCUCAUUCUUGAUGCACGGUUAUUUAGUUUUUGAAGUAGUCUCUUUUCCGUGGCGGCCGAUAGUAGAUACUGCAGUGGGUCGAUCGCUAGGAUGAAAAGUAGCGGUGAGAGGGGGUCGCCUUGUCGGAGUCCUCUCCCAUGUUGUAUGUGUUCCAGCGGGAAUCCAUUGAGUAAAAUUCGUGAUGUUGACGUGGUGAGGAUGGCCGCGAUCCAUUCUCUCCAUUUUGGUGGGAAUCCUCUGUGUUGCAUCAUGGUGAGUAGGUAGUCCCAUCGUACUGAGUCGAAAGCCUUGGAUAUAUCGAGCUUCAUAAGCAGGGUCGGUUGAUUGUGUAUGUGGAAUCGGCGUGCCAGGUUUUGGACGUAAAGGAAGUUAUCGUGAAUGCUUCGUCCCUUGAUGAAAGCACUUUGGCAAGGUGAGACUAGUUGGUUCAUGAAAGGAGCUAGGCGCAGGGCUAAGGUCUUUGUUAUGAUCUUCGCAAUGGCGUGGAUCAGGCUAAUGGGUCUGUAAUCUGCGAUGCUCUCCGCCCCUUCCUUUUUGGGUAUUAGAAUGAUUGUGGCUUUAUUCAGAAGGUUUAGAUCUGCACAGCGAGAGUUGAAGAAGGAAGAUAUUGCCGUCAUGAGGUCACCUUUGAUGGUCUCCCAACAGGUGGUGAAGAAGAGUCCUGUAUAGCCGUCUGGUCCGGGCGCUUUGUUUUUUGGCAUCUGUGAGACGGCCCGCCGGACCUCGUCUUCUGUGAACGGGUUAUCAAGCGUAGACAGAUCGACGGUCGGGAAAGUUAGAGCUGACCAGUUUAGGUCAAGCGUCCUGCGUGGCGGUUCCUGCAUAACCUUUUGGAAAUGGUCUUGUACGAUCUGUUGUUUGUCGUUAUGGGUAAAGACCCAGCCAUUGUCCUGACGUAGCUUUUGAAUGAAGUUUUUCCUCCUCCUGCCGUUUGCUUUAAGAUGGAAAAAUCUUGUGUUGGCAUCUCCUUCUUUUAGGUACGUGACUCUGGAGCAUUGCUUUUUCCUAGCUCUCUCUAUGACGGCCCAACCCAUGAGUCUCUGCUUCAGUUUGCCCCGUAGCUGCGUUUCCGCCGUAGAUAGUGCUCGGGUAUCCUGUGCCUUAUCUAGAUGUAGUAUCACCUCCUGAGCCAUGUGCAUCUUCAUUCUUGCGUCUGAUAGUAUUGAUCUGCUCCAGCGUUUUAACGCCUGCGACGUCACAUAAAGUUUAUGGCCCAACCUGUGGAAAGGCUCCGUAUGGUGUGUCGGUGUAUUCCAAGCCGUGGAGACUACCUGCUGGAAAUUUGGCAAUCGUACCCAGAAGUUUUUGAAUUUGAAAGUUGUAGGGCGGCGUAGGGUGGCAUGGCUGGUUAGUAGCAGAGGACAGUGGUCGGAGUGGGAUGAUGAUAACGCGUGUAGUAGGCAAUUAUCGAAUCGGAGGUCCCAGCUUUCGUUGCAGAAAACUCUGUCGAGACGGACGAGCGUUGGUGUCCUACGUUCAUUGCUCCAUGUGAAUCUUCUAUUUUGCAGGUUUAAUUCCUUUAAGCCGCAGUAAUUGAUGGUGUUUCUGAAACUGUUCAUAAGCCGCCGGUUGAGGUUCAUAUUGUUUUUAUCUCUUGCGCGGUAGAUUAAAUUGAAGUCCCCUAGGAUUAUCCAUUUGGUGUCGUCAGAUGGUUUUAGUGACCGCAUGUGUCUUAGGAAGGCUUCUUUUUCGAGUCGUCGCGCCGGGCCGUAUACCGUGGUCAUGCAAUGCCGAACUGUGAUCUCUGCCGAUAUGGAAUAUCUGCCAAUUUUUAUGUUUUGAAUUUGUACCGCCGUGUCAUUCCAUAGUAGGAGGAUCCCUCCUUUCGUGCCUAUCGCCAGUUUAUAUGCGAAGCUGUUUAAUUUGUAGGCGCCCAGAAAGGUGGCCAGGCUAGAGUCGAUGGAUUGUAGUUUAGUUUCUUGCAGGUAUGCAAUUUGGCACGGUAUCGAUCUCAUCAUAUUGUGUACGGAUAGGCAGCGUGCUGGCGCGUUUAGUCCUCGGACGUUCCACGAUAAAAUAUCUAGGUUGCCGUAUGUCAUAAUGCAGUGUUUAUGCUCAUGUGGUGUACGUCGCUGCGGUGAUUUGAUCGAUUUAAAUCGUCGGUGGUUAUGUAUAAGGCUCUGUUGGCGGUUGUUGUUGUUGUUAGGCGUGGCGUUAAAACGACGCGGGCAGCAGGCCCCCCUAGUUGUACGGCAGUUUGCAGGUUCGUGAUACAUAGGAUUGCCCGAAGGUCGAAGCCAGCAGGGCGUGGAAGGAUAAAAGCCCGAAGGUCGCAGCCAGCAGGGCUUUGCAGUACAGGUGGUGAUACAAACAAAAGAACGAAAGACAUGUAGUGACGGUAGACGCUCGAAGAUGUUGUCGCCGGUCUAAGCUGUGGGGUCCCCAUUAAUCAGCUGUAGCUCCGCCGCGGCCGUGCCUGCGUGGUUUAUGAGUGCUUCGCCUAUCAUGUCCGCACCUUCGUCGUCCAGUCCAAAGAUAGCUAUCAGGGCUGCCACUAUGCUCUCCGGGAGUGGUCCCUGGAACAUUGACAGGAAGUUGCGAAGGACCUCGUCAAUUGGAGUCAUCUUUUCGUUGGUUAGUCCCAGCUUUCUGCAUAAAUUUCUUUGCACCUUCUCGGUCACCGGCAUGGAUGGCUUCCUUGCAAGCCGCGCACUUCUCCGGACUGCCGUCAUGUCGAAAGUGCGGCGUUGACGUUGGCGACGCAGCCCCAGCUCCUGGAUCAACGGUGGAGGUGGAUUGCAGAAGAGAGAAUUAAUCUCUCUCAGAUCCUGCUCUCCCUCCCUCUGCCUGUUCGGUGGGCUCCCUUGGAUGUUCUGUGCAAUGAAGCCCAUGGCAUUGGGCCUAUCUUGGCGAGCUGUCCCCCCUACAGAAGUGGCCGCAUGGGCCGAGGACCCGACAGCGGGCGGCGAGAGUGGCCCAUGUACCGUCGGGCCAUCUUGUGGCGCCAUCCGGGCCGGCGUCGUCGGCGACCUGCCCGGUGUGGUGGAGCGGCCCACCGAGGGCCCCCCCCCACAGUCGGGCCCCCAGCGAAGGCAGCGCCCAGACCAGGCGAAGUGGGCCGGUGGCCCAGCUGUGGAGUCAUCUGUGCCGUUGGCUUAGAGGCCAGUGGCCCUUUCUCCAAGCCGGUGUCGCGGCCCACUGUGAACGUGGCCUGCUUGAUGCCGACGGUCAUGGCGUCGAGUGCCCGUUCGACGUCCGCCACCGUCGGCGAUGGCGGCGCCGGGAGGAGUGCCGCCCGCAGGGUGCUGAAGACUUGGGGCAGCGGGAUGGUUGCGGACCAGGCUUUUUCCCCGAAGGAUUCGUCGUCGAAGCCGAGGCAGUCGGCGAGCCCGGAGAUCUUGCGUGUGUAGUCGUCGGCGUCGAGUCCCCUGUUUCUGGCUUCCAGAGCAAAAACGUUAGUUGGUGCCGUUACCUGGUUGUGCUUCAUCAUCGCAGUCGCCUGAGCCUGGAACAGAGCUCGGAGUUGGGACGGGUUGUAGAUGCUCUGCUCCUGUGCGUCCAGGGCGUGGUGUCGUCCUUGCGGCGGCGCGUAGUUGCGGCGGGGCGGUGACCUGGUGCGGUCGCGGCGCCCUUUAUCCGCGCAGCCCCAGUAGGCGUCGCCGUAUUUGCGCCCGUGCCCUGGGUGGUUGUAGUCGCGGUGCUCGUCGUCGUCGUCCCCGCGCCGAGGCGGCCAGAUGAAGUCCCGUUUGCAGGUCAUUUGGUCCGCCCGGUGCUUAGUGCGGCUCCUGUCGACUUGGCGAGCGUGUCGUCCCCGCUCGUGCCCGCCGACAGCCGCGUCACCUUCGCCGGAGGCUCCGCGCCCGUCGCCAGCGACACUAGAGGCACCAUUCCUCCCAUGUCGCUGGUCAUCCGUCCUUCUGUCGCCGUGGUCGUCGUGGUCCCGUGGUUCAGGCUCCCGCGGCAGUCGCGGCAGCCUAGCCGGGAAACGUGAUCUCGCGUCCGGUGGGGUGCCAUCAACCAGACCAUAUCGCCAUUCAUACCGGUGACGAAUCGGAGUAAUGUUCUCCGGGUCGUUGAUGGCUUGCUGUAGAUUGCGCGCCGCCGCCGUGUAGUCCUCCAGGAGGGGCAUAUGGAUGAAUACCUCAUAGCGGGCUCCUUGCUGCCAAGAUGUUAGGGGAGGUUCGGCCGAAACAGAGAAGAUGGAGGAUUUGGUCGCCGGGCUGUGGACGAAGGCGAGCCAUACCUUCUUCGGGAUCUCGCUCGGGUCGACCGUCCACGCCCAGAGCUCGAUGUGUCUGGAGUCCGCCGGCUGGACGAGGUCGGUGACGAUGUGCUGCAGUGCACACUUGUGGCCGAUGACGCACUCGACGAUUUCCGGCGUCCAGGCAUGGCUCGGGAUGCCAUCGAGGCAGAGCCGCACCCUGUAGAAGAUGCGGAAGCCGAGGGCGUGGGUGAGGCUGCGCCAUGGCCUGAGGCAGAUGUCGAUGCCUCCACUGGUAAGGGUCCACGGCGCCGUGCCUCUGCCGCCUGUGUCGCACUGUCGAAGCGGAUGAGGUACGGUUCCGGCUGGUGGAGCGUGACGUUGACUUCGCCGUGGCGCAGGUGGAGCUCCCUGCUGAUGAGCCCCGCAAUGUCCCGGGCUCCGGCACCUGGCAGCACUUCCGCCGACAAGCCGCAAGAACACCAACAACAUGGCCAUUGGCGACCCCCACACGCGCCCGGAGGUCGAGACGAUCUUCGUCUCCGAUUCCUUCCACCUCAUGCAUGACGCGAGGGAAUGGGAGGCCUGUGCCCUCGCACACCGUUAAAUGAAAGUGGGCCUGAAAACAUCUGUUGAUAAUGUAGCACAUUAAUCGAGCAGCCACACGGCGGCUGGGUCCUCUCCUAGAGCAUCCUCACCAUAUGUUCAAUCUCCAACUGGUUCUUCGUGUCCUCCUCAGCGCGAUUGUUUGCAUUUUACAGAAUUCUUGAUACCGCCUAUGCCUAUCUGUUUCUUCCUAGCUAGCACAACACGGAUGACAAGACUUUCACUGCUGAACAAUGCCUCAUGGUGGUAUACCUACCGUACCGUAGUGUAUAUAGGGAUGUAGAGCAGUCCUUUUCUAUGCAUAUGCUCCGGUCGAAUAUAUAUAUUUCAGACAAGAAAGUAAGAACAAAAUAAACUAACUUUCCCUUUCUGAACGUGAAAUAAAAACGAACGGAGGUAGUAUAUACUGCUAGCUAUUUAUGGUUGGGAUUUUGGAUUGUUCUCUUUUCUUUCUCUUGCUUACCCAGGCCUAGCACAGGAAGAAUGGCAUGACUCAACUGCUGAACAGUGCCUAUGGUAGUAGAGCAGUGCUGUAGGAGCUCCUUGUCAGGCCAGCAAAUAAACAUCAUCUGUUGGCCAUUCAUCAGGAUUGCAACUCGUUGACACUUGACAUGUAGACGAGAUUAUCUGAAAUGUACCUUGAUCAUUCAAUAUGGGAGGGAAACAUAAGAUUUUAGUAAUGAAUGGCCAACUCUUAAUUUUUCUAGUUUCUACGUGUGUCUCAACUCUAUGGAGUAAAACCCAAAGAUCACAGACCUCAGACCAAAUCUGACAAUUUAUUGAAUACUUGAAUUGCUGAUUCAUAUUAUUGCUCAAUUGCUAAAACAAUUACUGUUUGUGCUUCUCACAUCUUUCAUCACUAAGUAUCUCAUGUUUACAGAAGGCUUCUCAUGGGUCAGGACUCGAUCAGUUACAAAUUCAUAGCAUUCUCCGAUCCAUCCUUUAGUUUUGAUAAUCGACACAUUAUUAAGACCACUUCUUACUCACUAGUUUUGCUCAGAAUGACCAUCAGAACAAAUAUCAAGGCUCAAAUGGAAGUUUCAGAAAAUUCAGAUCUAAAUCUAUGGGCCUGACUCACCCAUCUCAGCAAGAACGUUUCGAGAUGGAUUGACAGCUCCUAGCCAUACCGAAUUCAAGGGGAGAAGCUCUAGCUAGAGCAUAGGAAAUCAAUCAAUCCAAACGAAGGUCGUGCUUUCCAUUACUAGCAUCGAGAAAGGGGAAGGCAAAAUCGACCAUUGGGUUCCAAUUCCGCUCGACGCCAGCCCAGCAGAAGGAGAGCACAGGGACGAGGACGCGAGGGCGGCUGCGAUGUCGAGGGGAACCCCGAGGACGGCUGCGAAAAUCUAUUCCAUUUCCAUCUUGUUGUAACUCUGUUUUACAGAAGUUCUUGAUACCUCCUAUGCCUAUCUGUUGCUACCAUGCAUCAACUUCAUUUUCCAUGCGAAGCAACUUUUGGAUUCUAUGCAUCUCUUAUAUGAUGCGCAGCCACACAAUAACAAUCUAGCUAGGGCCUUCAUCUAAAAAACAACAAUAGGUGUAAAAGAAAUGAACUGUAUAUGAAUGGAAAUAAACUAGAACAACAAGAAUGACAAGACUCUAACUGCUCAUAACGAUGCCUCUGGUGUACUACGGUGCUAGUAUAUAUAGGGAUGUAGAGCAGUACAGCUUUUGAGUGCUAGCUGUACAAGCUCCUUGUGAGGCAAAUCACUGGAUGUAUGCACCAUUCAAUGAAAGUGGGCCAGCAAACAACUACUGAUAAUGUAGCACAUUAUUAGUAGAGAGGGGAUCUCUGAGGUCAAGAAUAUUAGAGUAAUUCGCAUAUGUGAACAUUCACCAUAUAUGUAAGUGUAAACUGAAAUGACAGACAGAUUUGAGAUUUUGCACACAGUAACAAUGACGAAAACAAACUCGGAAUAACAUGAAUAGGCGUUACCUCGAGGCCUACUAGCACGAGAACACUACUGGAAAAGUGACUAUUACUACUGGGUACCUUGUGUGUUGUGUAAUGAUGAACCUCUAUGCAUGCUAUGCUAUGUGUAGUUGACUUGUGCUUAUGGGAUGUGUUGAAAUCCUUGCUACUACUCAUGACACAUCUCACGUACUACCCGAUUUAGUUUUACUUAAUGGAGUUGAUCAGUAGAUGAUAACAUAAUUAACUGGAAUUAAUUUGGAUGGUUUUUCAUAUAUUCGCUACAUUCUUUGAUACACCGGGACGUACGGAACACACGGAGGCUCCCUUGCCCAAGAGUUACAGCUAGAAAUGUGACAAGUCUGUUUUACAGAAGUUCUUGAUACCUCAUAUGCCUAUCUAUUUCCAUCAGCUUCAUUUUCCAUGCGAAGCAACUUUUGGAUUCUAUGCAUAUGCUCCACACGAUUAUAAUCUAGCUAGCCUUCAUAAAAAAAACAACAAUAGCUGUAAAAAAUAAAAUUUACUUGUACUACUUCCUCGGUCCCAAAAUUAUUAGUCGUUUUGGCUUUUCUGGAUUUAUAGAUUUUGCUAUUUGUGAUCGGAACAUAGCAUUAUUCACUUUUCUUUCUCUUGCUUACCCAGAUCUAGAACAGGAACUCAAGAAGAAUGACAUGACUCAACUGCUGAACAAGAGUACUUUAGGAGCUCCUUGUCAGGCCAGCAAAGCACUGGAUUCAAUGAAAGUGGGCCAGGAAAUAAACAUCUGUUGGCCAUUCAUCAGGAUUGCAACUUGUUGACACUUGACAUGUAGAUGAGAUUAUCUGAAAUGUAUCUUGAUCAUUCAAUAUGGGAGGGAAACAUAAGAUUUUAGUAAUGAAUGGCCAACUCUUAAUUUUUCUAGUCUCUACGUGUGUCUCAACUCUAAGGAGUAAAAGCCAAAGAUCACAGACCUCAGAACAAAUCUGACAAUUUAUUGAAUACUUGAAUUGCUGAUUCAUAUUAUUGCUCAAUUGCUAAAACAAUUACUGUUUCCGCUUCUCACAGCUUUCAUCAGCAAGUGUCUCAUGUUUACAAAAAGGCUUCUCAUGGGCCAGGACUCGAUCAGUUACGAAUUCAUAGCAUUCUCCAAUCCAUCCUUUAGUUUUGAUAAUCGACACAUUAUUAAGACCACUUCUUGCUCAGUAGUUUUGAUACGGUUAAGUCUGUACCGCCAAAUCCAUCCAUGACAGCCUUCGCGGAGGGAAAUUCUGCUCUGGCAGUAAAGCUGGGAGACACAGAUUUUUAGUAAGAUAACAUGAACCCGAAUCAUGGUUGAAAUAAGCCAUGUACAUGAGAGGCAAAGGCAGUUUACCUGCUUCGAACAACUACGCAUGGCAUGCCAAUGCGCUCUGCUGCAAGGACACCAGGUUGGCUGCCCGCAACAAGAAUGCAGUUUCGUACGUCGCAUCCAACGUAUUCAGACCCAGCUCGCAGAGCCGCUAUUACCUUCUCAGAGCUGACAAUGGUGACUAGGCAGUGAAAUUUAGAUAAUAUUCUAGGCAAUGAAAAUCAGAUAAUAUUCUUCCAGGGAGGUACAGUGUUAGAAAUAACCUUUCAGACACUGUGAUGUCAACGCUAAGCUUUAGGAUCGAUGCAACCUCUUCUGCAAUCCUCUGCUUCUCUGCGGAAGCUGUUGCAACAGAACAUUUGGAAUUAACUUCAAAUGGUCCUUGAACUGAAACAAAAAUGAACGAGGCUGCAAUUUUUUCAUUCAGCAAUACUUACCAGCCUUUUGGGCUUCCCUGAUAAGUUGCUCAUCCAAACUGGAUGUGACUCCUUUACCAAGAACAAGUUGCCCGUAGAAGCUUCCUUCAACCUCAUCUUUUCCAACAAUCUUUAUUUUUGAUGUUCUUUCAGGACCCAACUUUUUAACUAUGGAUCUAGAGUCAAAUAGAAAAGGAAUGAGAACAAAAUAUCUUGACAAAUUACAGCAUUUCCAUCAAUUAGUUUGAGAUAAAUAACAAGAGUAGACAGUAGAUAUUUUUUUAUACAAACUGUACCUUGAAAUAUUUUCUCCAUUCCUCCCAUAUGCAGCCAAUAUGGCGACAGGGAUACCCUGACUAAGUGCAUCAUCAAUGAACCUUCGAAUGAUUUCAUACACAGAAUCAGACACAUGGCAACUUAAAGUUCAAGAUAGAGUCAUUCAUAUCCUAUGGCAAGCGCAGAGUAUUUAAGAGAGGCAAACGCUGUUCAGAAAAAUACAUAAGAUCAAAAUAAGGACAAAAAUAAUUUGCUUAUAAAUGCUCAUGAAUUGAUGAAAUCAAAGCAUGCAGCAUGUGUAUCAGAACACACAGAAACUUUUAUUUGAAAUGCUAUGACUUCUGUUCCUUCUUUUAGAUAUCAACAAAUGGCCCACAUGAUCACUUAGUUAAAUGGUCCUGUAAUUCUUGCAAAAGUUUAAGGAUGAGAAAAAUGAACGACAGUGCAUACGUCUAUAGAGACUGCUUAUUACAAUUUACAAGUAAUUGACUGGUGUCUGCAGCUCAGGCAGGGUAUAUGGACAAGCAACAUUCUAAGGGCCUCAACUCCUUGUUCAUGCUGAUAGCAUGGAAAAUCAGGAAGGCUCGCAUCUUCCAAAGCAAAGAACGCAACAGUCGCUCAAGUAGUCUGUGAUAUUGGUGAGGUGAUCAGGCUAUAGGCCCAAGACAGAGCAAAAAGACAUGGUGAACUCAGCUCUGCUGUAGUUCCCACAUCAGGAGAUGCUAUUUCAGUCUAGAUCACAACUACUCUUCUUUUCCGGUAGUUCUUUUCUUAGCAUAAGUCAGUAGUUUGAACCAUGUGCCAGUGAGCGCUUCGGCGGAUCAUGUUGUAACAAUUUUUAUUCUGCUUCCCUUAAUGAAAAAGAUAUGCAGCUCUCUUGCGUAUUCUCGAAAAAAAGAAAGAUUGAAGUCUUACGUUUCAACUCCAGGCCGCAGUGGUAAGCUACCAGAAGCUGAGAAUUCUUCCAAAGCUUUCAACUAGAACAAGAGAAUGAUGCUCAAAGAAGUCAAUAUAACAAUAUUUAUAAUGAAAAUGGGUGAAAGAGAAGGAACACUAGUCCAUUUUGAUAUCAAAUUCAAGAUCCUGAUUAAUCAGGUUGAUUGAAAUCAGGUUCAAACUUAGAAAUUAGUGCCAGGAAAUGGUGGAUAAAAACUAGCGCAUAGAACAGGAAUUAAGCGAAGUAACCCUGCUUUCAGGUUAUAUCCAAACAUUCUGUUUUCUAACUGCCAGCCAGCUGCACUGGAUAAAAAUUAGUUUGUUCUCCAUUCCUUAGUAGAAUCAUACAUGGAUAAUAUGCACAAAAGAAAUUGAGAUCCUUGGCUGAAUGCAAUUGGCAUAUAUAAAAGUUAGGUGAAAUCAGGAGUCCAGUGAUGAGGAAAAGGAUCAGAAAACACUACCAGCAAGGUACAACUCAAGCUAACUUCUGUCAAGGCCUGAUAUAUCAUAAAGUGGCCAGGUAAUGCUUGAUAUGCUUACCUUUUCACGAAGAACACUUUUCAUAAAUGAUCCUUUCUCACUAGUCGGCAAAGAUGUAGGCCAGCCAAUCUGUGUCAAGUCAGAGGAAGGGGUUAAAUUCCAAAAAUGAAAUGCAUCAGCAGAUGCAAUUACUCAGAUCCACAAAGCUAUAUUACACAACAAGUAUUUUGUCACAUGGGAGGAACAAUUAUUUUUAAAUGAAAUUUGGCUACAAGCUACAGAAAUUGAAAGAAUUCGCUUAGAUGUUCUGUUUUCCCCCAAUGUCUUUAAGCAAAUGUAGCUGACUUGCGAUGUAGUGUAGCCAGAUUUGCUAAUUCCUACAAGACCAAAAAGCAUACUAGGGGAAGAAAUAGACCAUACCCUGUCAAAGAAUAAUGCCAGCAUCCUUUCCUCAUCACCACGAGCUUUCCUAGAAAACAAUGUAGCUUUAGGAAAAUAAUAAUCAACAUAAAGAGAAAAGGAAACACCUCCGUCCAGUCCAGUCCAAACUAAGAGGUUAGACAAAAGGGGACAACACAGCAAGGGAACACAAUCCAAUCUGUAAUGCCAAGAGCUAACCCAGUGUUGAAGGAGAGGCAGGACAUGUGAUUGACGACGCUAGAGAACUUAAUACGCACCUGACCAAAUCAGUAUAUAUUGGCUCUGUCCAAUUUGCACAAUCUAGCCCGAGACUUUGAAACGCUGGUGGAAUAAAAUAUUAAUAUGUAUUAGAAUCAAGACAGGCAAGAACUAUGCACAAUUGUGCAGCUAGACUUCUAUUCUGCUAGAUCCCUUCAUUGUUUAUCUACUUUAUUUGCUAUUUUGUAUUUCAACCUCAGCAUGGCAUGGCAUAGAUUAAAGAAAAAUAAAGUGCUACAAAGAGUAAUAGAACUUGAUAAGGACAUGAAGCAUAGAAAGAUUUAUAUGUCUCGCACCUACAUUGAAAGCCUGACGAUUGCCGAAACGGUAGACAUCUGCAAGAACUCUGCGGAACAGAAACAUGAAAUGCUCAAUCAGAAACAGUAAUUCUUCUGAUAUCAGCAAUGCAAAGGAAAGCAAGAAAAGGCAUCACUAUUCACUACUCCGUAAUAGGCUAAUAGCUCAAAAGAAAACUCAGUAGUAUUUGUUCAACAACAAAGCAUGGUUCAGCUAGAUCGAUACAAAAUGGAGAAUGGAUUCUCACAGAAAUAAUCAGAUACAAAAUUACUUAAUUGUGGCACUUGUCUCAGCGAAUUAUCUGAGGACACGUUACUCUCACUAAUUCCUGCCACUGUCUACAUCUGCACAGUUAUUCUAAAUUUGAACAUUUCUAAUCCCAGUAACCGCUCUAGCUUCAGCAACUACCUUGCUCUACAAGCAGAAAAGGCACUCCUUUUUUGGGAUAAAAACAAGGGGAAAUUGGAAUUCACGAACUGAGCAGUAGAAAGACUGGAUUUUUAUGGCCCCUCACCCCUCCACCUCCACAAGCAAGCCGAUGCUCGGCGGUACCGAGGUCUCCGAUGACGAGGAGGAGCACCGGAGCGGCGGCGCCGGGAGCCGGCGGCCGGAACUCGGGGCGACGGCGGCGCGGAGCGGAGGAGAUGCAGAGGCGGCCGAGGAGGUCGGAACGGAAGCAGGGGCCUUAGCUGUCUCCGGAGAGGCUGGUGCCGGCGGGGACGCCCGGAGCGGGACGCGCCGAGCGGCAGCUGCGGCUGCAGCGGCGGCCAUGACGGGCGAGGUGGGCGAGUGGACCGGCGGCGGCGAGCUAUCCGGCGCAGGGAGAGGACAGGGACACUGAUGAUUGGUCGGUACACCACGUGGGCGUGUGGGCCCAGGCACAGAUGAUGGCAGUUCUAAUCACACAGCGGCUAAGCUAACAAAAGAUCAUCUUUGAGUGACGGGUUAUCUCUUAUCGCUUUCGAAGCACUUAUUUACGGGCGGCGCCGUAUCAGCCCAUUUCUUUCGCCCGAUACAUCCCUUCUUCCUCCGUCUCAUUUUGCUUUUUCAAAGAACGACGCAAAAGAUAGUGCGUGUUUUAUUAAUAUAGCAGAAAAUAUAAGAUUAGAGGCUAUAGACAGGAAAAGGAAAAGAAAAGGAAAAAAAAAGACUCAUCCAGUUAGUUUGGGAUAUCAACGCGGGUCACCACUCAACUCAAAACCAGCACAUCCGACCGGUUGGGACGUCAACGCGGCCUCCCCACUCCACUCACCAAGGCGGCAUCCACCAACAAGGCAACAAUCAUGCUCAUCAAUUUGCCGAAAUCUCCGAGCGUGGUCCUACGUCGAUAGGGAACCGAUAGGAGUAGACUGCACCGCAUCGAGAAGGCCACCGCCAUGCGGGACCCUCCGCCGUAGUGCCGCUACAACACCAUACUCCAACUGAUGGAGUGAUACCACCGAAUCCGAAUAUCUCACAGGUUGCCUCGCAGUCACCACCACGAGAACAUGACGCAUGGGGGCCUCGCUACAACCAUCGUUGGACUCCACCUCGCUCUCAUCGCCUCGAAGAAACACCGUGCGCGAGGGCCUUGCCUCACCCGCCGUGGUACUCCAUGUCACGAAUCUGUUUCUUUUAUUGCCGUCAGAGUGAUAAGCAAUGCUGCUCCGUUUCACCAAAUCUCCAUCAAACAACCAAAACCGCCGCCGCAGGUCGACUUCGCCUCGUUGCUUCACCCGUGCAAAAGCCUCCGCGGUCAAGACAGCAAACCGAGAAGUCGCAUGCAUCGCUUUUUGACGAUGUACCGCACCGGAUAGCCUAGCCAAGCUGAUCAACCCGCUGAGGUCCGCUGCAAGCCUAAUUGUCCCACGCUGUCGUUGCCGCAAGUGCCAUCCUCCGACGUAGUCCCACACCGCUCUGACCGUUGCCAGGCAAUACCAGCCGCCGCAGUCCGCUGCAAGCAGCCAAAGCCGACAACCAUGUAACAACCCCUGACCGCUGCCAUACCUACGAUCGCCUCCACAUGGCCUUAGCAACACCUGUCUAGCUUUCCACACGACCGAAAUGCUGCCACCAGCUGCGGCCGCCAAUGACCAAUGGACCAACAAUGUCAUUAACCAAGAUGGGUCUCUAUAAACAAUGCCUCCAAAGAGAGCAUGAUGCCAAUGGUGCCGCCGGCGCUUGUCCAGGGUCUGGAUAGGGUUUCCAACCAGAGAACUCUGUGCAGUAGGGUUGUAGCUCCGAAGUGACGCCCCCAACGGGUAGAACAACGCCCUAGGGCGCCGUAGUCAACUCCACUACCAAACGCUAGCGAGGGCUUUCGCCUUGAGCAUCCCAACCCUCACCACACGCUCAUAGUUUGACAUUCCCAAACCACGGUCAUAGCAGCCCAAACUGGGGCGGUGUCACCACCGCACACCAAUGUGACCACGCCGCCAUGCCUCCACCUCCGCUUGCUCGCCGCCACAUCCACUCCUUGCAGCCUCCUCCACGUCGCGCGAGCCCCCAUCAAUGCUCAGCCGCCUUCCGCUCCCGUUGCCACCUCCGCAACUCCUUAGCCGAGGAGAGGUGGCCCGAUGACGCCUGCAGCCUCACCUCGGUGCCACCAGCGCACCCCUAUGCCAGGUGUCCUUGCCACGCCUCCAUGGCAUCACUGGGACACCUCGCACAUGGCACCCCGGCUGCGGCACCACGCUGCCACCGUUGAGGCAUAGAAGCCGUUGUGCCCCGGCUUGUUGCUCGCCCCACUUGCCCGCCCUCGCACAAUCUCACGCCGGACUGGUCGCACUCCGUCUGCCACCGUUGACCGAUCCACUCCUUUCCCCGCACAGCGCCACCUCACCUCUGCGCUCGGGGCCAGCCUCCGCGAGCUGGUCAACCACACGGCGGAUUGGAUGCCAUCCCCUGGGCCGCCUGCAUCCGCGUGGCUGCUACCCUCAUUCUCGCAGCUCACCGCCCCUGCCUCAAAUCCCCUCCCACGCAACCCGUCGCCCCAACCUGCAGCUCGCCGCCCCCGCCACAAAUCCCCUCCCACGCAGCCCAUUGCUGGCCGCGCAAUCGCUCCCGCCAGACACGAGCGAGCGGUGGCCACUUGCGCCGGUCACUUUUGCAACUCGUGGUGGAGUUCCAGCACCGCUGCCCAAGGGGGGUGUGAGCGCCACCACGCCCCGCGCUCACCCUCAGCUGUUGCCGCAGAGGAGCCACCGCCGCCAGGUCCUAGGCCCACCGAGACGCCGGACUUGAGGCCAGGACGGCCGCCUACCCACCGCCAUGACCCGCAGAUCCAUCCCCAGGGGCGCCGGAUCCGGUCCCUGAAAUGCCAGAUCCGCCAGCCUGGGGCGCCGCCGCCACCUCUGUAGCCCCACGCCACCGCACCCAAAGUCUGUGCCGGUCCCCGGCUGGUCACCGCCUUCCUAGCAGGCACUCGGGCUUCCGGUGCACUGCUCUGAGGGUGGUGAGGUGGGGAGGAGGUCAGGAGGGGCGGUGGUGGCGGUGGAGCCACCCAUGUCGCCUCCAGGGAGACGACGUGGGGCGGUUAGCACAUGUCUCAUUUUGCUUUUGAGAAAAAGUAUCUAUUUUUUUUAUAUGGAAGAACAUUUGGAUUGUCUAGACAACAAUAUCAUGGAUAUCUAGAUGUAUAUUUGGGAAUGGGACAGGAAGAUUCGAGGCUACACUCGAAUAUGCAUGGAUUUACAUUAUCUAUUAUCUAGCUCACCACACUGGGUGUUGUUGGUUUUCGCCAUGUGAAGACUUGGUCUGCUACAGACGGAUGAUGUUGGUAUUGGCGUUGCUUCCUCCUUGGAGGCAUCAUCUUGCAUGACAUUCACACUCUACCUCAGUUGGUUCUCUUUGUUAGGCAAUACGUGAUGUGCAUGUUUUCAUGGUGUCUUUCUCUCUUGCAGGUACGAGCCAUCUUAGGUCGUGAUUAGUGUGGUGGUGAUGGUGUAGUUUUCUUUUCUGUUGUUGUGUUUGUGUUUUGCUUGUUGCCAGGGUGGUGGUUCUUGUAACUUUGCACUUUAGGUGGGUUUCUCCUAAAAUUGCAUCUUUGUAAUUCUCUUCUUCUUAAUGAAAACGUGUUCAACAUGUAUUUAAAAAAAUUGUACAAGUUUAGUUUUAAGUUAGAAGUUUGAAACUGUGACAACAUUCACGUGCAAUGGCUCCAUUCACAGGCAACUUCUGUAGACCGUAAUUAAACAAACAAUACCUGCAAUGUUCCAUCAAAAAGGAGUUUUAUUAGCUGAGGUAUGCUCAAUUUCGCCACGUGGAAUUAUGGCCUCAUUUUGUGAAGUGAUUUUGGAUUAAAUGCCGAAUUGCUAAUUUCAGCAAGGGAGAAACUAACUCCAGUUAUUUGGGGUUCCAAAGUGAAUCGGACACAUUUCGAAGCAUAAUGAGGAGUUGAGGGAGGACUGAUCUAGAGCAAACUAUAUACCCAAUAUGGUGAGACGUCAAACCACUGUACAAGCGACAUAGGGUUGGUACGUAGAAGAGCUGCAUAUUUUUGUAUUAAGAAGAAAUUAAGUGAUAAAAUGUUUUUACAACACGGACCAUCCAUGCACACGCACAUGGUUGAGGACGAGGAGCCGUAUUUACAACGAGGGUAGGUAAAGUUAAGUGCUAUUACUAAUGCCAAAGCCAUGCAAAGCUAGUGAAUAGUGAUCCGUAUUUAAUUCCAAGUAGGUUGCAUCUAUCUGUUAGAUCUCCAUGAUCCUUCCGAGCUCGUCCCAGGUGCUACCACUUUCUCUCAAGGUCGUCAGCUCGCUCCACCCUGACGUCGAUGCUGGCAACGAAGGAGCUCCCAUCAUCAAUCCUGAUGUUGCUGCUGCUGUUGUUAUGGCCGAUGACACGCCAUGGAAACCAUGCAACAGGAACGGCUGGUUGUGGUCAGUGGCGCCAUAAGCCUCCUUCGUCUCUGACGAAUCGAAGUCGAAGCUGCUCGCCAUCGCCACGGAAAUCCUGUGCUGAUGGAGAUAGUGGUAGUCAUAGUAAUAUUGCAACUGCUGUUGCUGCUGCUGAUGGCUUCGUUCGCUGCUGUGUUCUUGUUUCAGCUGCUGUUGCUGGCACCUCCUAUUGUACGACGACAUGUUCCUCUUGAAGAUCCGGCAUAUCGUCCAUAUUUCCUGUGAUUAGAGAUGAACAAAAAGAAUUAAAUAGUGUUUCAGUUUAUCUGAAUUAUUGUGUUUGAGAGUUACAGGGUUGAUCUGUGAAUUAUUAGCACUGACUGCAUCUUGGAGCUCGGCCGCCGCCGCCGCCGCCGACGCCGCCGUCGAGGGGAGGCGGAACUCGUGCAUCAUCCAGUCGGUCUUGGUGCCCCUGCCGGCGCUGCCGCGGUAGUAGACGAGGGACUUCUUGAGCCCGAGGCACUCGCCGCCGCCGCCGUGGAUGGGCUUGUCGAUGCCGGUGGCCUUCCAGAAGCCGGAGCUGGUGACGCGGUUGGGCCGGAUACUGUUCCUGUACUUGCGUCCACGCAGGCAGAAGAAGUACCUGUCUUUGUCUCCUGAUGCACCCUGCACCACCCCAUGCCGAGCUUCAUCUGCAUGCAUGUUCAUGCAUACCUCCACACAGUCAGCUCCGAUCGAUCUCCAUGCAUGCUAGCUUCCAUCUUGAGCAAUCAAAGAAGAACACACUGUGACUGUGACAUGAAUUGAACAUACUUGGAAGAUCCCAGGGGUCAUGCUUGUAGAUGUCGAUCUCCUUGAUGAUGUCAAUACUGAACCCCUUCUUCUCCACCUUCCUCGCGAGGUAGAAGCCCACGAGCUCCUGGUCCGUCGGGUGGAACCGGAACCCCGGGAACACCAAGUCAUCCUCUUCGUUUUCGACUUCUUCGGCUCCGCCGCCUGUCUUCUUGAUCCUUUCCAACAAUGGCUUCUCCUCCUCCAUGGCUGGCUUCAUCAGGAGCUUGUUCUUGCUUCUAGGGCUAAGAUAGCUGCUUUACAUGCCAUACAUGGUGAUGAUGGUGGCCAAAUGGAGGCUGUGUACGGACUUGGUUAAUCGCUGUAUUAAUAUGUUUGGAUGGCCUGGCCCUUAUUGUAAAAUGAGUGGUCAUACGUUGAAUUGAAGACAGCCAAAGAUUAAGAUGUGAGAAAUUUUUGCCCAGGUCCAAGUCAAUGGAACUUUGGCCUUAUACGUUGAACUUUCUCAUUUCAUUUCCUGCACAAAUUAGAGGAAGCAAUUAAGCAAUUAUUUAACCUAAUCUACUUUACAAACUUCUAAAGACUCAAAUUUUUGACUUAGAACGCAUCAUAUAGUGAUGCCUUUUUUAAUGGUUGAGGACUCGUUCUGAUUUUUUGAGCUAGGAAUCUAUUUCAGAAGAUGGUUUGAUUUUUCUUUUGUAAUCUUUCCGUUCCAAAUUAUAAGUCAUUCUAACUUUCUUGGAGCGUCAAACAAUUUUACGUUUGACCAAAAUUAUAGAGAGGAUCACAAAAUUUUAUGGCACCGAAUAGAUAUAUACUAUGAAAAUAUAUUUAAUGAAGAAACUAAUAGUACUUAUUUGGUAUCAUGAAUGUUAGUACUUUAUUGUAUAAAUUUGGUCAAACUUGAGAUGUUUUGACUCUCUAAAAAUAACUUAUAAUUUGGAAUGGAGGGAGUAUGGUUAAGCAUAUCAAUACUAUGUUGUGUUGUGCCAAGUCAAGGCAGAGGUCGUCAUGCCCUUUGACUCGGUAGGAGUGUGAUUGAUUUGUCUAAGCUAGCCCUUUUAAUUUUGCAGGGUGAAUUAUCUGCUAUCCUUUUUUCUUUUAUUACCACAAACGAGGGUGAGUGGUAUUUUUCCCCUCAAAUUGGACCCUUUUGCUUGUUUGCAAAUUAAAUUUUGGAUCUGAAUGGUAACUACUAUCAGAUUUUGGAAUACAUUUGCUACAUUUUUGUUAACUGUUGUAAUUUCUCUCUGUCCGGUAGUUGUCGCGAUUUGAGACCGCGGUUGUCUCUUCAAAUUAACAGGAAAAAAUAGUUUCAGGAAGAAAAGCUCCGGGUGUAAAAGCUAAACCGUGCGUAGAUAUUUUUUUCUACUGAGAAAAGGGUUGAUCACAAAAUUUCGUCGACAGUUAAAUUUUUAAUGCCGUUUAUGUUGGGUGGAAAGGGAUGUGCGGAUUUGUCUCAUAUUAAAGUGUAACUUACAUUUUGAGCCACAAAACUUGGAGAAGCUUCGGAUUAGGUAAGAAAAUCAGUCCCCCUUUGCUACUUGUACUGCUAGAGCUGAAGAAUCUCAAAGCAUUCAUACGACACAAAACUCUGGCCAUCAAAUUUUUAGUCACUGCAAGGAAAGUGACACACCUACACAUGUUGCUUCAAAAUAACUCCAUAUCCAUCCAAGCAAAGAAAAAAGAUGCUAAAUAUUUCCAGGUUUGGAAAAGUGUGAUGGUUGAGUCCACCAUUUUCAGCCUGGAUGAAAAAUGCAGUCAGCAGCUGUGGAUUUGUAAGAGGGAAACAAUUUUUGUAACCUGACACUUGGCACUCGUAGUUAUCCAGGAAAUUUUGGCAUAAAGAAAAAUCUGAGUCCCUCUUUUGUUUGAUAAUGGUUAAGAAAACAUUUAGGACCCACAAAUUGACCUCUCCAGACUCUAGACUGAAUUGUUGCUUGUAUGGAUAGCAGGGCGCGACUUUCUUACAAUGAGUACAUCAUAUGUUUUACGGCGUAACACUGUCCUGGUUGUUUAAGAUAAUUCCGUUAAAAAAGAUCCGGUCUAUUUUCUGCAAUAAAAACUAUGAAUUUCCGAGAAAAAUAUCCUUAUAAAACUCUCAUGUGCUCCCACAAGUUCUAACACCUCUAUUGUCUGUCACUCAGUUUCAUCAAACAUAAGCUUUUUCUCGUUCUCUUUGUUGGUGGUGUUUCUAUUUUGAUCCUGGAUUCUACUGAUUUUUCAUCCUUCUUGUAAUGGGAAGCCAUGUAAUCUCCACUUAUUUUUGGGUAUACAUCUUGCAGUGCACAUGAUUUCCUUUUUGAAGUAUCUUACUUAUAUAUUCUGCUCUCUUUGAAACAAUUAGAAACAAUUAUUUAGGCUAUUCGAGUUGAACUAAGCUGGCUCUAUAUCCUGCAAUCAUACAAUUCUGGAACUUUUUUUUUCCAAUCUUUAGUUUUUAGAGAUUUUUUAAUAGUAGGCAUUCGUCCUGAUCCUGAUUAUAAUCAGACUAUCGCAACUGUUUCUUUCACAAGGUAUCUUCCAAUUAGUUGAGUCUCUUUAACUUCCUUUGUUUUGUUAUUUUUCUGUAGCACUGUCUAAACUACAAUGCAAGUAAUAGAUGAAUUCUCAGUUGAUGGCAACUGGUGAAAAAUCAUUUUUCAUGUCCUAUAACUGGAUGCGAAAGUUAUCAUGGCCUCUAGAGUCCAUUUUCAGCUAAGAAUGAUGAGUUUAAAAUUCAAUUCAAUGCUAAAUUUUGGUCCCUAUAUCUUCUUUUUUAUGAAGUAGUUGAAGUGCUCAACUACCAAAUUUAUUCAAACUUUGAUGUCUUUUUCGAUCAAACUAUUCAAAUGAUGCCACAUAAUAGCAACAAUGAUGAUCCAAAAGGAACCAAGAUUUUCUGUUGAACACACAUUCCAUCUCUGAAGACUGUAGAGAUAAGUAACUCGUAGGUCCUACCUUUCUGAAGCUCUGAUGCAUGCCAUGAAGUUGUCAACAAAGAUAAAAAGGCAAGAUGGUCAGAGCAAAUAUAAUCAGAUACAUUUUGGUGCUGUCAAAAGAGUUGAUGUCACUGCAUGCGUGCAGUAGAUCCAUCGUGAUAAUUUACUAUUGAAUUAAGGAAAGCAGGGCUGUUUAACUUCAUGCGUCAUGAAACCUGAUAAGAUCACUCAUGCUAACCAAAGUGAUCGAUCUCGUCUUCUUCUUCCUCUGCUUCACCUCCAAAGUCAGCAUAUUCUGCUGCAUGCUCUAGCAGAAGAAAUCCAGAUCAAAGUAGGUCGAGUGAAAUUUUUUUUCCAUCUCCAACCUUGCCGAAGCGACCGAACAUUCAGACACAAUCAAAAGGUCUUUUCUCAGAAGUCUACAUGACUCCAUGUUGGCUGCUGCCUGUGCAGUACAGGGACUAGAAAACUGUGAGCACAGCAGAGUGUUUUGUUACUGAACUCCAUCAGUUUUCGUGUUUGACGGUGAUGGCGUUCAUACUGCGUUGAAACUUGAAACUGAGAACAUGACAUACUCAAGUACAAGCACAACAGAGCACUUGAUCAGGAUACAACAAAGCCACAAUAAGCUGCCGCAACUUGCAAGAGUCAAAAACGCCCCCGGCAUAAUACAGUAGCCUGAAAUCUUCAUCUUAGAGCAUGGGGUUUCAGUGUCCUUGAAGGCAGUCGUUCAGGUGUAAAAAACACCUGAUAUUUCAGUAAAACAUCGCUGCCGGUAGAAACAACAAUGUCCCCUUGUCUCCUAGAUUAGAUAAAAAAAACUCUUCCCUAGAACAUUAUUGCUAAUAUAACUUGGAAUAGUCUGAGAGAAGACGCAUGCAUCUCAGUAUCAUUGAUAGACUCAGUUGGUCUGUUACUUUCUUUGGACCUUAAAGUAUUGACAAGUCCUGUGCAAUCUUCCCAAGCGUUGACUAAAUCCGUUGGCUGCUGAAACAAUCUUCUUAUGGGAAGUAGUAUUGUUCAGGCUUAAGGAAUGAGGAAUCUGGCUGUUCAUACCAAAAAAAGCGAUGAACAAUUCCACUUCCAUUUUGUGUUUUUUGUCCACACAACCUGGCAUAUCUUCAUUCUGAUUCAGUGUAGUGGCAGUGAUGCUAAUGAAUGGAUUUCCUUUGCUCUCUCAAAAUUCAUCAGAAUGAAUGCUCUGUUUGCACAUAUUGUGGUUUUGCAAGUGUCCCCAAACCUAUCACUCGAGCUGACCAACCAACGUGGUGCUGCCCUCGUGUCCUUCGGGGAUGGAUCAUACAUGUGGGGAUGGAUCAUACAUCAGCGAUGGACUCUUCGGAGAAGAUCAGGAAAACAACUCUGAAUUCUCUGCUACACUGAACGCGCUUGUCUGAAUUCGAAGCUGAAUUGCCAUCACAGCAGGAACUUGAGACUGAUUUUUUAUGCUGAGGAAUCUCCGGUUAAUCUGCCGACGGCAACCAAAUCAGAACAGCCAUUGGGCCUCCCGCAAAUUUCGCAUAAUAAGCUUCAAUGGAUGAGAAAUUUCGGUUGAUGCUCUGCUGCUUUCAGUUGUCUGUUGCGUUGAUGAAAAUGCUGCGUGUUUCAGAGUUCAGGCAUCAGCAAAAUGGAGUCUGCUGACAAUGAACUGGAAAACCAAUCUUCUUUAGAUAAUGGCAAGUCAAUAGAAGCGGCUUCAUCUCAAGAAAAAAAAGAACAUGCCGACUCUACGACCUACGCACCCAGGCACUGGUUGCAAAAUGCAUACCUACAUUUUCACACAACGAGCACACUAGUUAACGACUCAAAAAAGUCCCCGGUAUAAUAUAAUAGCCUGAAAUCUUCAUCUUUGAGCUGAAGCUAAUUUUGUCAGAAACAUGGGGUUUCAGUGUGCUAGGCAGCAGACCAGUGAGGCAGUGAGGCAGUCGUUCAGAUGUAAAAUUGAGCAUGUGAUGCUUCAGUAAGACAUCUGAUUGACAGGUCCUGUGCAAGAGUUGACUAAAUCCGUUGGCGGCUGAAACCAUCUUCGUCUUAUGGGAAGUAUCGUUCAGGCUUAGGAAUGGCGAAUUUUCAACGGAGCACAAGCUAAACAGCCCAGCCGGCUGGUUUCUGAAAUCGUCGAGCAGGCUCAGCUUUGGUGCAGCGCAGGUGCCACACACCUAUCCUUGCUGGGUUGGCCAGUAUCAGCAGGAGGACCACAUCCUUAGUCGACCUGCCUCCUGUUUGCUGUUGAUUAGUUGUUCAUUUCAUUACGUAAUCAUUGAUGCAAAGUUGUUUCGUGUGCGUACGCCCAGUUAGCCCGCGUUGUAACCUUAAACUAUCUCUUCUUUCUUCUUAAUACAAAGAUACGCAGCUCUCUUGCAUGUUCUUUUUCAAAAGAAAUGGUGAAUCUGGUUGUUCAUACCAGACAAGCGAUGAAUAAUUCCACUUCGAUUCAGAAAUGAUAUGUUGCUCAGGUCAACUCAAUGGAGCGAUCUCCUUUACUUCUGCCAUUGCUCACUGCAGUGUCAAAUUGUCAAUGACAACGCAAGGUAGUGUCAAAUUCAGAGCCCUCUAAUGAAGAGAGAGUAUGUCUGCAUUAAGUGUCUACAAUUUUUUUUAGCAGAAAGAACUGUGGCUCUGUAUGUUCUUUUAUUGCAUCCCUGGUAUAUCUUCAUUCUGAUUCAGUGUAGUGGCAGUAAUGAAUCGGUUUUCUUCGCUCUCUCAAAAUUCGUCAGAAUGAAUGCUCUAUCUGUUUGCAGAGCCCUUUUACGGUACAUAAUACUACUACUUAGUAUAUAUAGUAUAUAUAAGAUCUAAAUGUUCAUGAUUAUGGAUGAUUUAGUAAUUAUUAAAUGUGAAAAGUGAUAUUUUAAACGAAAUGGCCUGUUUGCAUAUAUGAGGUUUUGCAAGUGCCCAAACCUCAUCACUCAUGCUGACAAACCAACGUGGUGCUGCCUCGUGUCCUUUCGAAGUCGACAACUCCUGCUCAAACAGAGAACGGGUUCAACAGCAGAGGAACGCAACAGAGCUGGUAAGUUUGACGAGCAGCAGCAUCAGAGUCAUGCAGGAAUGCAUACCAGUACAGCCACAGUAUGCGUUUACAAAAUCUUGCAUCAGUGCAGCAUAGACAAGAGCUAAGCUUGAACAUGCUUCACAUAGCAGUAACAGCAAAGGAUUAACUAAUCUGACGAGUUAUUUUGGGUAAUGAAUAUCUACCAUAACUGUUCAAAGCGGUGUCAAGCACGCAAUUGGCCUCUAUUUUAAUAUAGCAGUAGCCCUCCUGUUGGCUCGUUUCAAAACAAAAGUAUGCAAUUGGCCAAGAACGUGUAGACUCAAAGAAAAGACAUACACUAGCACAAAACGGAGAUGUUGUGAGAGGAGCAUCAUUUUCAUGAGAAUAAUUGACAACCCUCAUGAGGUUGCGCUAGAAGAGAUGGAGCCUCUCAAUGUGUUCUAGCUCGAAAGGAAUUACUGGUACAGAGCAGCUGAGAGCCUGACUGCCUGAGAUGACGAGCUCUGUCAUGUCAUGAGGUGCAAUCAAUCACGCCCAUGAUGGAUCUUGUUCCAUGCUCACUACGCUGCCUUACAAUCGUGUGGGCGCAGUGUGGAUUGACAGAAGUACCAUGCGACAAUUCUUUUUUUUAGGGUCAACAGGGGACCCGGGGGGGGCGGGGGGGGGGGGGGGGGGGGGUUUUCCCCCUUAAUUUCUUUAUUGGGGCCUUUUUAAAGCCAAAAGUCUGUACAACUUGGGUUUCAGCAAGGAAAACAAGCGAGAGGGGAAGGGGGCUCAUUCAGUCAGUUACUAGGCAUUACAUUGAACAAAAGACAGUGCACAAGGCUUCAGCAAUCGCUCGACGCACUUCAUCCCAGCAGGACGCCCAGAAUCGUGCGUGAGAUGGUGGGGCUCUUGAGAAGACGGUGUCGUUGCGGUGCUUCCAUAGCAUCCAUGAGAUCAGAAGGAGGAAGCCAUUGUAGUGCCGUGCAGGGACUGUUGUCGGAUGGGGAACAAUCCAGAGAACUUGGACAGAGGAGUUGGCCGUGUGAGAGCCAAGCGACGCCCAAACCUGUGAUGCAAAGGAGCAGCGAAAGAUGAUAAUGGUUGCAGUCUUCCACCUGGCCACACAGCUCACAGGAUGGAUUGUCAAGGAUGUUCUUGUUCACCAAGCUGUUGCGGCACUAAAUUCGCUCCAAGCGACAAUUCUUUCCUCGGUGCCACCCAUUCCCAUUCCCUUGCAUGCUCGAUAAGAACUUUGGAGUUCAUUUGUUGCUUUUGUUGUGUUUAGUAGAUGGGCGCAUGACGGUAAGUAGAUGGUCAAUAGGGUUCCUUUCUCGAAUAUUUAUAGGCAUGUGAUUUCAUCGAGACAUGUUAGGUUGGAUAUUAACUCCUCCUAAUAGGUAGUAAAUUAAGGAGGUGUAGCUGCUCUGUGCUGCAUUUCUACUUACCGUCAUAUGGUUAUGAAGCGAGUAAACUUUGUUGAAAUUUCCCGUGUGGAUUAGUUCAAAUAUAUAGGAUGGUAAUUUUUUUAUGUAUUUGUAUAAUCUGAGCAGGCACAUUAAAUUGAUACAGGAUUCCCUGUAAAAUUCUCGCAAUUUUCCUAUUGGACACCCUCACAACAACACACGGGUUCGUCAGGAAUUUCUCAUAGCACAAUCUAUGUAUUUGUCCUCGAUCUUGUUUUGACGAGCAAAUAAAACAAGCCAACAACUGAACCGCUAGUGGAUGAUGCACAUAGUUGCAAGAUACUGCAGUGUGCUACUAUUUUAAGGGUUGAUCAAAUGCGAAACUGAACAACAAAGCCGAAUUACUUGAAAUCAAACUAACUAAUUAUUGAUGAGAAAAAUUGUAGGGCUCACAAAACUAUAUAUAAAAUGCUACAAAAAAUAGAAGCCCAUGAUGUGAAUCAUUGAAUCCUGUUACUCGUAUGUUUGCUAACCUCCUCUUCCGCUCGCCGUUGUCGUUCUUUCGGUCGGUGCAACGCUGUAUGUUAGCCUCCACUCUCAACUGUGUAGUCAUCUUCAGGCCGACCUGCCUGACAAUUAUCUAAUCUCAUGCUUGAUGCUGAUUUUGCCAGUGCGAAUCCACACGAGCGUCAUGCGACCAUUCUUUUCUCGGUGCCACCCAUUCCCUUCUCCCUUGCAUCAUGUCGACAGGAACUCUGAUUUGCAUUUUGUUGGUUCUUGUGUUUUUCUUCCCUGAUUGUUUGUGAAUCAGUUUUCGAUCAGUAGACGGGAAAAUGAUUCCAUCGAGACGGGUUAGGAGUAUAAAGAAGGUGUAGUGGCUCUUUGUGCUAGGAGCAUAACUGACAGCGCACAGCAUAUAUUCAUGGAACGUCAGUAUGCAUGGUCUGCAUGCACAUGAAUCUGAACAAUGCCUUUGUUGCUUAAGCUGUCACCUAGCUGCAGUUGCUACACUCAAUUUGGUGGGGGUGAAAUUCCCAUCUUGUCCUUUUUUUUAGGAUCAACGGGGGAGAGCAUCCCCAUCUGAUUUUCAUUUCAAAGGGCUUUGAGCAAGCCAAAAGCUUUACAUCUUUGGUUGUUUUCCAGCAAUUUUAAAACAAAAGGGGGUAAAACGUUAUAAAGUUGGUGAUUACAUUGAAGGGAAGGCUUGGCACCAGGCAUCAGCGAUCAUGCGUUCAUGGCUUCGUCACCUGAAACUCCAUAGGCAUGCAUCUUCUUGACAGUUGCUCCAGAAUCGACAGCGGGAGGGCGGCGCAUUGUUGUCGAAGUCAACAUCGUUGCAAGGGACACACUCGCAACCACAUCGGCGCAUUGUUGUCUGAAGGAUCUGAGAGCAUUUUCCCAGAUGCCAGCCAUUCUCAAAAUCUAUUUGCACUCGAUCUUGUUUGGACGAGCAAAUAAAAACAAGCCAGCUCUCUCAUGCUAGAGGUGGCAUCUUUGUCUCGUGACUAACAUCACUGGCUAGUGGAUGCACAUAUAUAGUUGCAGUAUGGACUAUGGGAGUGCUAUAUACUGUGUGGCUGGACCAUUCUCAAAGUGUAUUUUGUAAUCGAUCUUGGCUGGACGAGCAACAAGCCAACAACUGAACAGCGCUCUCUGACUGCUUUCAGAGACCAUAAGCAGAGUUACUACUGCUAAACAGUGGGAGUCAAAAACGGCAACUGAUAGUGUAGACCAUAAGGAGAUGAGCAUGAAGCUGGAGUCAAGGCCUUUUCUUUGAUGCCUCUUGAGUUGGUGGAUUGUUCUGAAUGCCAACGCACUGGCUGACGGCGUGCCAAACCUGUUGAGUGUAACUGCAUUGAGCAAAAGGAUGUACUGAAGUUUCAGCAUCCUGAUCACAGAGCGCGUACAGUGCUGUUUGCUGCAGGCCAUGUCGUUGCCUUCUUGCCGCCGUCCACAACCUCUCUCGCAAGGCUAGCGACAUGAAAAACUUCACCUUGAGAGGUGCCCAAGAUCGCCAAAUUGAUCCUGCAGCAGGGAAUCUGGCUGAUCCUAUGAAGAAUAUGCCCUGUAAGCAGAUUUGGCCGAGUAAAUUCCUGAACUUUCCCACCUCCAAGAGACCCUAUCUUCAGUCCCGACAGCUAACUGGAUUCCUGCAACCUCUUGCCAAAGCUGCACAUGCUGACUACAGCAGUGUGAAUCCAUAGGAGUAAGACCGUGCGACCAGUCUUUUCUCGGUGCAUCCCAUUUCCAUAUUCCUUUGCACGCCAACAAGAUCGAGCUUUGGAGUUGCAUUUGUCGGUUCUUGUGUGUUUUCUCCCCUGAUUGUUUUCUGAAUGAGUUUUCAUGAGUAGACGGGGUAAAUGGGAAGGGAAACCUCGAAAAGGUUAAUACAAUAAUAGAAUGGGCGCAUAUAUGAGUUGUGUGUGUGUGGCGGUCAAUAGGAUUUCUUGAAUAUUUAUAGGCAUGUGUGAUUUUAUCUAGACAUGUUACGUUAGAUAUUAACUACAAGUAAGAAGGUGUAGAGAUGGUCUGUGGUGCACGGACAUUUCUACUCAGUAAUUAUAGCCGUUGUUACGAAGGGAGUAAAUUUUGUUGUAAUUUUCCCAUGUAAGUUAGUUCAAAUAGGAUGGUAGCUUUUAUUACGUGCAUAAUCCAAGCAGGCUGUUUAAAUUAAGGGAGUGUUUGGCUCCAGUUGGGCUAAAGUUUAGCCCUGUCAGAUCGAAUGUUUAGAUACUAAUUAAGAGUAUUAAGUAUAGUCUAAUUACAAAACUAAUUACACAGAUGGAGUCUAAUUCGUGAGACGAAUCUAUUAAGCCUAAUUAGUUCAUGAUUUGAUAACGUGGUGUUACAGUAACCAUUUGCUAAUGAUGGAUUAAUUAGGCUUAACAUAUUCGUCUCGCGAAUUAGCCUAGGGGUUCUGCAAUUAGUUUUAUAAUUAGUUCAUGUUUAGUCCUCCUAAUUAGCAUCCGAACAUCCGAUAUGGCAAGGCUAAAUUUUAACCUCUGGUAUCCAAACACCCUAGGACAUAAUUUCCUCUAAAAUUCUCGCGCACAACCCUUUGUUGCUUAAGCCAUCAGCUAGCUGCAGUUGCUGUACCAUGUAUGUGUUCCAUUGAACUGUGCUUCUCAAUCGCUAGUCUGAUGACCUCGGUUCCAUUUGUACGUUGCCCGUUGUAACGGCCGGGUCACCCUCACAACAAUGCACUAAAUUCUUGUGGAUUUCUCAGUGCAUUUUCCUAGAUGGCAACCAUUCUCAAAGUGUAUUUUGUAAUCGAUCUUGGCUCGACGAGCAACAAGCCAACAACUGAGCAGCUCUCCUGUGGCCUCUUUGUCUCCUGACUAAUUAUACAUAUAAGAAAACCAGAUUAUUCCAAUGCUCCCCUCAUCGCCUGACAGAGGCCAGGGGUUGCGUUAAGAAUACGUACUUUAAUUUUGGCCAAGAAACAACCAAACAAACACAGCUGGUGUAGUAAUAAUGUGUUGUGCGGGGUUGUUUACAAGAUUACAAGUUCCUGAAGAAAGACAGACCAAAAAAACAAAUUAAGAAAAGAUUCUAAGCCUUGAUUCUGUUGACGAUCGAUGAUUUACGUGUCAUCAUCAGGAUCGACGAGUGUUGCUACGGCGAAUCUUGUUCCAUCCUUGCUCACCUGCGCCAUGACCUCGUCCUCGGCGCGUCACCGUACUCCGGUCGGCGCAACAUGUACGAUAGCCUCCACUCUCAACUCUGCCACCGCGUUCCAGAGUUCCACUGCGCUUCGCUUGGCAGUUCUCACACCACACGCAUGGAGCUGGCUUGAGCAGUGUGAAUCCAGUGGAGUACCAACCAGCGACCAUUCUUUUCUCGGUGCAUCCCAUUUCCAUUAUUCCUUAUUUGCACGCCAACAAUGCAAGAACUUUGGACCUGCAUUUGUUGGUUCUGGUGUGUUUUUCUUCCCCGAUUGUUUCUGAAUCAGUUUUCGAUCAGCAGAUGGGGAAAUGAGAAGGGAAACCUAGCUAGAAAAGGCUAAGCCGCUAAGACACUACUUUACUUAGAAUGGGAUUUCUCGAAUAUUUAUAGGCAUGUGUGAUUUCACCGAGACAUACGUUUGAUAUUACUACUAGCAGUAGUUAACAAGGUGUAGCUGCUCUGUGGUGCACGUACGGACAUUUCUACUGACCAAUGAUCACCGUGGUUAUGAAGGGAGUAAAUUUUGUUGAAAUUUCCCCAUGUAAGUUAGUUCAAAUAGGAUGGUACAUAGCUUUAUCCACAAGUUUAAUCAUAUCCAAGCAUGCACAAUAAAUUAAGACAUAAUUUCCUCUAAAAUUCUCGCAAUUUUCCCACCAUGCUCUUAUUAAUUUGAAACCCAAAUAACCGUCGGCGUUGUCCGAAAAAGAGAUCACGCGACGCGACGCUUGUACAUGAAUAAUCCAGAGGAUGCUUUUGUUGCUUAAGCAGUCACCUAGCUGCAGUUGCUAGUUUGCUACACUCAGAAUGUGGGACAUGGCACCAGUUCAUCUGGGAUAUCUGAGAGCAUUUUCCCAGAUGCCAGCCAUUCCCAAAAUGUGUUUGCACUCGAUCUUGUCUGGACGAGCAACAAAACAAGCCGAGGGCCCUCGCAAGUCACAACAACUCGAUCUUCUUCCAAGAUAGCAGCUUUCUCUUGCUUGGUGGCCCUCUUCAGUUUGUCUCUCGUGACUAGUAUCACUGGCUAGCUAGCUAGUUGUGGAUGCAGAGAGUUGCAGCAUGGACUGUGGAGUGAUGUAUAUAUGGGAAAAGCUGCAGUAGGCGAACCCGGAACUAACUGACAAUAGUGAGUGCAUCCCAUCAACCAUAGGAACAUAACAGUAACUCAACUUUAAUAGAAGAUGACCUAAUACCAUUAUGCUAUACAAACUGCACUGCAGCUAAACAGUGGGAGUCAAAAACGGCAACUGAUAGUGUAGACUUAUUUGGACAAUUUAAUUGGAAAAAAAAAACAAAACUAUAGCUACAAAGAGAACGGUCUGCUACUCUGCUUUCAAACCAUAAGCAGAGCUCCAGAUGCCGUUCCUACUCACCCUUCGGACGGACAGACAUUCCAAAACGACCGGUUGUGCAAAAUCGUCACAACAUCCAUUGUCGUCCAGCCCGGUUAGGAUACCUGGCUUUCACCCAGGCGACCCGGGUUCAAAUCCCGGCAAUGGAACUAUUUUUUCUCAUUUAUUUUUUUUCUUAUUCCUUGAACGAGACUAUCCCAAGCUUCAUCUCGGAUAAUGAAUUAUUGGAACUGAGAUCUCUGCAUCGACGAGAAACAUGGCUCCUGCAACGGCAUCCCGAGAGCUUCAUCUCUGAUCCAUUGUCGCCGAAAAUGGUUGAAGGAAUUAAUCACAAGUCAAAUGUUAAACUUUUAGCAGCCACUACUAAGAGCAACGGCAUCCCGCAACGAGGAUGCAUUAUGAACAAUGAACGCUUCGAGCGACCUUGUAUGAAAGUCCCCAGCAUAGGCCAUCCUUGCUAUAUUGAUAUGCCCAAACUGAGCUUCGCUCUCAUCCAAGCUCCAUUCAGUUCACUAGGGUUCAUUCAUCAAUCCCAGGUCACAGGGUUAUUGCAUCUACUCACGCAUGCAAGCAAAAAUCUUCAUAGGUUCUUCGCCUCCUUGGUUCGCAACUUCCAAGUCACCACCUUCGUUCUUCCUCCUCCCACCAUUCUCCUUGGACCCUGCAUCCGCCACCGCCACCAAACACUGAGUUUCCCCAAAAACAAAAUAAAGAAAAGAGAGAGAGGAAGAAAACGUAGUAAAUGGCAAGAUGAUAUAUAAAGAGAAAGUUGAGAGACCCACAUCACUCUAGGUCAAGCAAAUGAACUUUACAAGACAGCUACGCGUACCUGCAAACUUUGUUUAGAUGUGGUUGGCAUCGUGCAAAGGGUGUAUCAACAACUGACGAGAGGAAUGAUUGUGCUUUCUGAGUCAUCGUCCCGCAUUCUCUUCCUUUUCUUUAUUCUCUGCUACUUCCACUCAUCUUCCUUUUCUUUAUUCCUUUUCCAGUUGCUGCGGUUGGUUCUGGAUCAGCAGCAGCACUUGUGGGUUUGUUGAGUGAGAACCCGUUGCUUCUUGCCUAUCUUUCCACGCGCUCUUUCUCUCACAAUCUUCUUCCUCCCGAUUCCAAGUCUUCCAACUUCCAUCCCCACGGCCACGCACUGCUCUUCCCUCCUGCUCUGGUCUCGCUCGCUUGCGCGUCGUGGGGCCGGGAGAUCACGUCAAGGUCAAGGGGCUGCCACACUGCUCGAAGCUUUCCAUCUUCUCCGAAAAAACCAGGUUGGUUUCCCCGUCCUUUUGUUGGAGUUCGUGUAGAUUUCUGUCUCCGCCGGACCGAUGCCACCGUCGCCGCCUCCCACGGUCCCCUCCUUCCCUGGUGGCUCGUUUGCUUGACUGAUCAGUGACCUCAUCAGAAAGCAUUCCUAAGGAAACUGCUCACUUCAAACUCAGAUUGAGCACAAGCUAGGAGACCCGAUGGGCUCUGCGGUGGUGAGUGAGCUCAGCGAAUCACACUCUCUCUGUUUUUCCUGUUUGCAUCCCAAACUCUAAAGAACCUUGUUAAAAAAGAAAGAGUUACUAAGUAGUAUUACUCCAGAUCGACGAUUCCAUCUUUUUUAAAGCUUCCGAAUCAAUUUUUUUUGUUUGAUUUAGGAGUAAAAGAAAAACCACAGACCAUCAACUUAGAGAGCAACCAGAAGAAAUAAAAGCAGAGGUGAUGGAGGCUGCCGUGGUGAGCGCGUCGCACGGUGCAAUGGGCUCCCUGCUAGGGAAGCUUGGUGAACUUCUCACAGCAAAGUACAAGCUGCUCAAGGAAGCAAAGGGACAGAUCAUGUUCUUAAAGGCUGAACUCGAGACCAUGUAUGUCUUUCUGAAGAAGAUCUCAGAUACAGAGGAGCCUGAUGAGCAAGACAAGCACUGGGCCAAGGAGGUACGCGAGCUGUCCUAUGAUAUCGAUGACAGUGUCAGCGAGUUCAUGCUCCGCGUGGAAUGCGACUCCAGCAAGCCACACGGAUUCAAAGGGUUCAUCGUUAGGAGCAUGAAGUUAAUGACAACCGUGAACACUAGGCAUGAGAUUGCCAAAGAGUUUGAAGGCCUUAAGAACCGUGUCAAGGAGGUGAGUGAGCGGCGUACGAGGUACAAGAUGGAUGAUGUUGCCCCAAAGUCAAACAACACAGCCAUCGAUCUUCGCUUGCUGGCGCUCCAUGCUGAGACGGCGAGCCUUGUUGGCGUCACGGGACCAAGGGACCAGCUGAUUCAGUUGAUGGAUGCAGAGGGUGUGUCUGCACAUCAGCUAAAGGUGCUCUCUAUUGUGGGGUUUGGAGGUCUUGGAAAGACUACUCUUGCAAAUGAGAUUUAUCGCAAGCUUGAGGAGAAGUUCCAGUGUCAAGCUUUUGUUUCUGUGUCCCAGAAACCAAACAUCAGGAAGAUUCUGAGAACAAUACUAUCUCAAGUUGGCUUUGUACCUCCUAAGGACACCAACAUUGAAAUGUGGGAAGAGCCUGAACUGAUUAGUUCAGUGAAAAAAUUCUUAUUGGACAAGAGGUACGUACUCUGAAAAUAAUUGUGCUCUAAGAACAUUUAUGAUAUUUAGUUGAUUUCCUAUUUUGAAGCUAUUAUUGUUUAGAAAUUAGAAUCCUAGUAUUUGGUAGGCAACAUUACGAUGUGUCUAGAUCUCUUCUCUAGAUCUUAGUUUCUCACGGCUAAAUGGCUUGUCCCUGUUGUAUCUUCAUCUGUGGUAAUUUGCAAAAUUCAAAAAAACAUUUUUUUAAUUAGAUGUGAGAAAUUAUAAUUAAUAUUUGGGCUAGUAAAUAGUCUUGACAAAAAAGCGUCAACUAUAAAGUUUUGUUUUUAGAUUUUGUCAAUUCUACAUUUUUUAUAUAAAUUUUGUGUUAAUCCAACUUUGAUGAAAGUUGUGAUUUUUCCUUUAAAAUGCUUGCUUUUAUUUGUGUUGGCGCGCCACAUAAGCAACUGCAAGUAGAAUUGUCAUUUGUGCUGGCGGUUACUUAUACGGCCCACCAGCGCAAAAACAUGUCCUUACCAGUAUAAAUUAUUUUUGGGUGCAAUGAGGAUACAUUCCUGUGUUCAUUUACUCUAUCCUAAUGCUUGCUACAUUCCCUAUGUAUUUACAUGGCAGGUACCUCAUUGUAAUUGAUGACAUCUGGGAUGCUUCUGCAUGGUAUGUUAUUAGAUGUGCUCUUCCAGAGAGCAUGAAUGGUAGUAGAGUAAUAACAACUACUCGAAUUGAGGCUGUGGCUAGAGCAUGCAGCACUAAUCACAUUGAGUGUGUUUACAAGAUGAAGGCACUUAGUGACCAAGACUCAAAAAGGUUGUUCUUCAAAAGAAUAUUCGGUUUGGAGGAUGCUUGCCCUUCAUAUUUGAAAGAAGUGUCAGGUGAAAUUGUGAAAAAAUGUGGUGGUUUACCGCUUGCAAUCAUCACAAUAUCAAGCCUUUUAGCCAAUCAAUCAAACAAAUUAAAGGAAAAUUGGGAUUAUGUACGGAACUCUCUAGGCUCCAACUUUGAACCAAGCUUGGAAGGCAUGAGACAAAUAUUGAGUCUUAGCUACACAAAUCUUCCGUACCAUUUGAAGGCAUGCAUGCUAUAUUUAGGUAUUUAUCCGGAGGACUACACAAUCAACAAGAAUGAUUUGGCGAGACAAUGGGUAGCUGAAGGUUUUAUAUAUAAAGCUAGCGCGACAGAUCCAGAGGAUAUUGCAAAGAACUAUUUCAAUGAUCUCGUCAAUAGGAGUAUGAUACAGCCUGCAGAUACAGAUUAUAAUGGCGAGGUGAUAUCCUGCAAGGUACAUGAUAUGGUGCUUGAUCUUAUCCUACAUAAAUCAAGGGAAGAAAAUUUUGUAACUGUAAUAGAUGAUAUACAAGACAUGACAGGACAUAAAGAUAAGAUCCGUAGACUCUCUUUCAAUCAGGACAGUGUUAUAGAUUCUAGAUUCAUGGGAUCUGUCCAGCUAUCCCAAACACGAACCCUUGCAAGAUUCGGUAGCUCUUCACGGUUACCGCCAUUUCUGCAGUUCAAGCACCUACGGGUUUUAAUAAUUGAAACUUCACGAGCAAUUGGGCCAUCACCAUUACUUGACUUCGAUAGAAUAUGCCAUUUGUUUCAGUUGAGGUGCUUAAAGAUUGUAGCGGAAGAUUAUGAUGCGGUGUUACCUAGUAAAAUUGGAGAUUUGCAGCAACUGGAAACGUUUGAAGUACAACUUGACUACAAAUUUCUUCAAGGGAGGAAAUCUCUGAAAUUACCAUCAGAUAUUGUUCAUUUGAGCCGGUUAUUGCAUUUGAUUGUUCCAGUGAGGACAAUAUUGCCUGAUGGGAUAGGUAACAUGAGAUCAUUGCAUACUGUACACCGAUUUAAUUUGGCGAACUCACUGCACAGUAUCAAGAGUCUGAGAGAACUGACCAAUCUGACAGACCUUGAAAUUGGCUUUGCGGGCUCCAUUAUUGAUCAUGAGGUGGUGGAACGAGGCAGGGAAGUUCUCCACAUAUGCUUUGAAAAACUUUGCAACCUCAAAUAUCUAAAAGUGAAUAUUUUUCCCUCCGAAGCCUACUUGGAUGCAUUCAGUCCAAUACCUGCUUCUUUCCGCCAUCUCCAGAGAUUCCAUGGAUCCAGCUUUUCAAGGGUUCCUGGUUGGAUUGGCGAACUCCAUAGCAUCUAUGACCUGGUGCUUACUGUUCAGGAGGUUCUGGAGGAUGAUGUUGGGAUUCUUGCACAGCUGCCUUCCCUUAUCCACCUAAUCUUGCACAUCAGAGGAGCACCUAAAGGUAAGGUUCUCAUCCGCGGAGGAACUGGAUUAUUCCCAGUUUUGAAGUAUUUUGAAGCUCGCUGCUGCAGGGUAUCAUACCUGAGCUUCGAGGCAGGGGCAAUGCCCAAGCUUGAAAGGCUCGUGUUGUGCCUCAAUGCACAUAGAUGGGACAGGUACGGCGCCCCGCCUGCUGGCAUCGAGCACCUUUCAGGCCUCAAGGAAAUCUGUGUAGACAUUGGGGCUUUGGGUGCCAAGAAAUCCAACGGGAGUGCUGCAGAGUCCGCGCUGAGGAACGCGGCGGACAUGCACCCAGGUCGUCCUGUAGCCAACAUAAGGAUUAACAAUUUUCAAUGCUGGGCAUGUGAUACCAUGGAUGAUGAACCUUGCGAGAAGGACGAGGAAGGUUGGAACAGCAGCAGCACCUGAUCAAGGCCAGGUACAAAGUCUUAGCGUACCAUCACCUUUAUGCCAGCUGAUGUUUUUCAACCUUUCCUCGAACUAGCUAGCAGCAGUGGUAACUUUUUGUCUCAGCUAGCUGUGCCAUCAAUUAAAAGAUGUUUAUAGGAAGCCCUCUUUAUGUGUUCAUCAGUACCAAUUUCAAUUAAAAAUUUUAUUUAACUGGCGUUGCUUGUACUGCUGUCGUUAUGGCCAGGAUUUAGUCUGGGGACGAAACAGUAGUAUUUUGCGAGGCUUGCGCUCGUGCCUUAUCUCUGACAGACUGAACCUCAUCGCUCUUCCCUUGCUUACAUCAUGCUGAUAUAAAAUUGACUAGAUGAAACACGUAUAUAUACUACCUGAUGAUGAUAUAGAUAUAGAUAGAUAAGAACGUUACUAUAUGUUUACUGUUGUGUCCUUAUAUGAUAUAAAUAAAUAAAGAAAGGGAUCCAUAUGUGAUUUUUAUGAAACACUUUUCCUUAAUAAAAAGAUAGAAGUACAUGUAUGUCACAUAUAUGGCCACAGUGAUUACACGUUAGCAUUUCAGGUGCCACUCGCUUCCAGACCAAGUGCCACAGCAACGCCUGCCCCAUCGACAGCAACUAGGAGGAGUGGCCGGCUAGCUAAACAGGCUCUCAACAUUGCAAUCAGGCCAUCCAAAAAGGGUGAGGUUCUUGCUAUGAGAAAACUGGGCAUAAUUCCAGCUGACGGCGACAUCGAGCACGCAAGGAACUUCGAUAAAUUCAUUGCCACAACCAUGCAGCCGGCUCAUUUUGAAACUCUGCGUGAUGUUUUUCCAACCGCAAGAGAACUGACUGAUAAUGAUCUAUUGCACAUUGCUGGCCAAGCAGCCGGUGCCUGAUGACUGACGGCGGAAGCAUCAGUGCCUUGGGUUGCUGUCUAUUUUCAUGCACGAUACAAACCAGAAUGUCCUGGUUUGGAACGUGCGUGGGUUGAACGCAUGUUGCCGACGAGACGUUUUGCGUGAUGUCACGCGUGAGGCUAGAGCCACGGUCGUCUGUGUUCAAGAAACAAAACUUGCUGUAAUUUCUCCAUUUCUUGUGUCUGAAAUGCUUGGAAGUUCCUUCUCCUCUUACGCCUUCGCACCAUCAAUUGGAGCCAGCGGGGGGAUAUUGACGGCAUGCAAAGGGCCAGACCUAUCUUGCACCACACUUCACAUUGGGUGUUUUUCGGUCACUGUCACCAUCAGUACGACUGGCUCUUCCGACCACUGGUGUCUCACCAAUGUUUUUGAUGAAACAGGAGGGGGAUGAUCAUCCCCUACUGGAUAUAUAUUAAUAUAAAAGAACAAAAGUUGUAGAAUUACAAAUCAAGAAAUAAAAAAGGAUAGGAAGAAAAUCAGAAAGACUACAAUGAGUGCUCUAGCCAUUCAAACAUUGAUUGUUUCCAAACCUCUUUUACUCGCAGAACAACUUGAGUAAAAACAGUCCUAAACCUCAUCAUAGCAUCCUGCACUGAAGGAGUAAUAUUUCUGAAAAUCCAAUCAUUUCUCGCCAUCCAAAUACACCAGCUCAUGAGAACAAUGAUUUUCAUAAAAAAUGGAACUUGCAGCUGAUUUUUAAAGCUGGUGAGGAUUGUGAAUGGUUCAUCUGUCAGAUUAGCAAAAAGACUAAUAUUGAUCCAACACUCUUGGGUAAAGGGGCAUUGCAGUAGAAGAUGGAACAAGGUUUCCUCAUUAUCAUGCUGACACAAGACACAAGAAUAAGAAGGCAGAGCCAUGUGUUUUCUUCUAAGUACAUUCAUGGUACUUAGCCGGUCAUUGAGUAAAAGCCAGAAAAAAAAUUUGUGUUUACUUUGACAUUUAGAUUUCCAAAGCCAUCUGAAAACCGGGUGCACCUGUCGAUGUCCAGACAGUACAUGAUAUGCUUUUGAUGAGGAGAAGUGAGAAUUACCCCAGAUAUAUGUCCAACAGUCAUGAUCUUCAUUAAAUUGGAUUUCAUUCAGAUCUAUACCCAAUUGAAGCAGCUGAUCCAUAGCUUGGGUUGAUAAAGGCAAAUUGAAAAGCUGGUGCAAGUUAGGCAGGUCAUAAGCUUUCCUAAUAGAUAUGUCAGCCUUUCUAGUGAAAGAGUAUUAUUGAGGAUACUCUUGUGCAGGGAUCUUAUUAUUCCACAAAUCAUGCCAGAGAAGACAUGUCCGACCAUUAUGCACAGUUACAGAUGCUAGACCUUUGAAUUUUGUCCAAGAGUUUCACAACAUCUUUCCACCAAAAAGAUCCUUUUCGAACUUGUCCUGGUAACAUGCCAGAAGCAUAAUAUUUCUCCCAAAUUAGAUGUACCCAUGGGAUGUCUGCCUUGUUCAGGAACUUAUGGAGGUACUUAAGAAGAAGAGCUUCAUUUUGAGUCCUUAGAUUUAACACCCCAAGGCCACCCUCUUUCUUUGGCAAACAAACAAGAUCCCAGGCAGCCUUUGGAGGUUGCCUAUUAUUUAUAUCUGAGUUUCUCCGGAGGCAACAUUUUCUAUAUUUGUCCACUUAUUUAUAUACUGUCUUAUGAAGCUGAAAAGUGCACAUAUGAAACAUUGGUGUGGCUGUGAAAAUUGAAUUUGUCAACUGGAGUUGCCCUGCAUCUGAUAGAAAUUUUGAUGUGGAUACCAAUCGCCGCUCACAUCUAGUGACCAUAGGCAGAAACUCCUCAAUCUUUGGCUUGGUAAGACCAAGAGGAAGCCCUAAAUAGGUAAAGGGAAGCUUACCAAUAGCACAUCCAAAAGUCUGUGAUAGGAAUUGUAAUUUUUCCUCUGUGAUAUUAAUGGGUACCAUCAUUGAUUUACAGAAAUUGACCCUUAGACCAGUGGACAAUGCAAAAUUAUGAAGGAGCUGCUUCAAAUGUAACAAUUGAUUAGGACAUCCCUCCAUAAUUAUUAGGGUAUCAACAGCAUACUGUAAUAUAGGGAAAUCAGAACUGUAUGUCAGAGGAAUUGGGAGUGUGAGGUGGCCUUGUUCUUUGGAGUCAUUUACAACGGUUUGGUGGAGUCUCACCAAUGUUUAUGGCCCACAAGCUGAAGCUCACAAGAUCGAUUUCCUCGAUGAACUUAGAAUGGUGCAUACUAUGGUCACGCCAAUGUGGGUUAUUGCAGGGGACUUCAACCUGGUACUUGAGGCCGAAGACAGAAACACAGAAACAACAAACCGUAGAACAUUGGCAAGAUUCAGACGCCUCCUUGAUGACCUACAACUAAAAGAUGUUUACCUACACGGUCGGAGAUACACAUGGAGCAAUGAACGCUCUCAACCCACCAUGGCGAGGCUUGACCGAGUGAUCGUUUCAGUUGAGUGGGAAGCUAACUUCCCCUCCUCUUUCCUUCAAGCUCUCUCUUCGGACAUGUCUGAUCACUGUCCCUUGCACCUUGCAACACACUCAUUGUUCACCAACAAGCGCAGGUUCCAUUUUGAGUCUUGGUGGCUAAAAUUACCUGGGUACCUGGAGGCCGUGGCUAAAGGGUGGGUCUGCCCGUCAACCGUUACUGACCCUUUCACAAGGUUAGAUAUUAAAUUCAAAAACACUGCGAGAGAGCUGGACAGUUGGAGUCAGAAAUCGGUGGGGAAUGUUAGGAACCAAAUCCUCAUUGCCAGGGCUAUAAUUUCGUGGCUGGAUGCUGCACAGGAACACAGAGUACUAACCUCUCAAGAAAGUAAUUUGAGAAAAGAUCUCAAGCACAAGAUGCUGGGCCUCCUGUCAUUAGAGAGGACUAUUGCCAGAUUACCAUCGAGAAUAAUAUACCUUCGAGAUGGGGAUGCCAGUUCUAGGCUGUUCCAUAUGCAAUGCAGCCACAGAACGAGGAAAAGGUUCAUAGCAAAGUUGGAAUAUGAGGGAUCUGUUGCUUUCACCCAUGAAGAAAAAGAGGAGAUGCUCUUAUUUCAAACGCAUCAUGGGAACGGCCAUGCAGCGUAGCGAGGUGAUUGACCUGCAAUCCCUUGGCGUCCAGCAGCUUGAUCUGACACACUUAGAUGCCCCAUUCUCUGAGCAAGAAAUCUGGGCCACCAUCAAAAUGCUGCCCAAUGAAAAGUCUCCAGGCCCCGAUGGCUUUACUGCAGAAUUCUACAAAUCGGCUUGGUCAGUGAUCAAAGAAGACAUCCUGGCUGCUUUCGAUGCCUUCUACAGAGUAGCUUGUGGUCGACUGCACAAACUUAAUGGGGCACUCAUCGCUUUGUUACCCAAGGGACAGCAGCCAAAGUCACCAUCAGACUACAGGCCUAUUAGCUUGAUACAUAGUUUUGCUAAGCUUAUUGCUAAGCUUUUGGCCAACAGGCUAGCGCCUAAACUUGAACACUUAAUGGAUGUAAAUCAAAGCGCCUUCAUUAAGAAGAGAUCCAUCCAUGACAGUUUCAAGUUUGUAGAGCAAGCUGCUAGAUCAUUACACAAGAAGAAGAAAGCCUCUAUGCUGCUCAAGUUGGAUAUCUCAAAGGCAUUUGACACAGUUUGUUGGCCGUUCAUGCUGCAGGUCCUGCAAGCCCUGGGUUUUGGGGGAAAAUUUCAAGAUUGGGUAUCUAUACUGGUAUCAACAGCCACAACAAGGGUAUUAGUCAACGGAAUGCUAGGAGGUGUUAUUCGCAAUAUGAGGGGACUACGGCAGGGGGACCCCCUGUCCCCCAUGAUCUUCAUCCUUCUGAUGGAGAUGAUGCACCGUCUGUUCAAAAAAGCAGUCCAGCAAGGUGUUUUGGCUGCACCGGCCGAUCAUGGCAUACAGCACCAAUGUUCUUUAUAUGCAGAUGACAUGAUCCUUUUUGCUUCACCGACAAUUCAGGACAUGGUCACGGUUAGGGAAAUUUUACUCUUCUUUGGAAAUGCGUCUGGCCUGCACACCAAUUUUCAGAAAAGCUUGGUGGCGCCCAUAGCAUGCUCUCAACAGCAGAUUGAAGUAAUCACUGAAAUUUUGCCAACCAGGAUUUCUGAAUUUCCCAUUCAAUAUUUGGGGCUACCAUUGACAGUUGGCAGAUUAAGGAAGGCACACUUCCAACUGUUGAUCUUGAUCGACCGAGUAACGGCUAGUAUGCCCACAUGGAAGGCGCUAUUGAUGAACAAAGCCGGCCGAUUGACAACAGUUAGGGUGGUCAUGACUUUAAUACCUAUUCACACACUUAUUUCAUUGAAAAUGCCAGACUGGGUCCUAAAGGAGAUUGACAAAAAGCGCCACGGUUUCCUGUGGACUGGCAAAGAAAAAAGCCUUAGGUGCUCACUAUACGGUUGCCUGGCCGACAGUUUGUAGGCCUACUGACUAUGGCAGCUUGGGUCUAUUGGACCUUAUGCUGGCAUCCUUCGCCCUCGUCUAUGAUGGCUAUGGUUGAAGAAGACUGACGCGAAUCGGCCUUGGAAGAACCUACAAUUGGAGUUUUCCCGAGACACUGUUCUUCAGCACAUGUUCCAGGCUUCCAUUUAGAUACAACUUGGGGAUGGCAAUCUAGCGCUCUUUUGGCAGGAUGCUUGGUUGGGACAAUCUUCACCCUCUAUUCUGGCACCAGAUCUCUGUAACUUGAUCGUGUCGCAAGUGAGAAGAACAAGGACGGUCACACAGGCGCUGCAUCAGAAGCAAUGGAUUCUGGACUUUGUCGGAUGCGCUACAGUGCCUGCUCUUACACAAUAUGUUCUUCUCUAGCACAAGCUAGCCAAUGUUCAUCUAAUCCAGGGAGUUGAAGACCGAGUCUCGUGGAGAUGAGUCUAUUCUGCUCGUUCAGCCUACCGCGCCUUCUUUUUUGGAGCCACGAAGUUCGCUACCGCUAAGAUGAUUUGGAAAUCGUGGGCACCAUUGAAAGUGAAAUUUUUCAUCAAGUUGGCAAUUAAGGAGCGGUUGUGGACGGCUGAUAGAAGGCAUUGGCAUGGGCUAUAGGGAAACGUGAAGUGUACAUUAUGUGAACAGGAGCUAGAAAUAGCAGUGCACUUGCUAACUGCUUGCCCUUACACAAAGGAGGUUUGGCACAUCGUCUCGAUAGUGCUGCGCAUACAGAACACCACCUCACUGUUUGAAACCUCUUUAACGGACUACUGGGUGCAUAAGCGGCGAGCCAUGAGCAGAUCACUAAGAAAAGGGAUGGACUCAUUGUUUAUGUUGAUCUCCUGGACAAUUUGGAAACAGCGGAACGACAGAAACUUUGAUAGAGCUCCAAAAAGAGCUAAUUCGAGAACAAGCUGCUGAUUGGUGCGCAGCAGGAGCCAAACACUUAGCAAUGUUCCAAUGGCCGCGACAACAGCAGGACGACGCUGAAGCAACGGUACCUUAGUGGUUUCUUAUCCUGACCUUUGUGUGUAAACGGAUGUAAUUAAGUUGCCAUGUAAGCUCAAGCUACAUUUCAAAACCGUGUGCGUGAGCCGGAUAGACCCGCUUUGUAACAAUUCUAUUCAUUCUUCUUAAUACAAAGGUACGCAGCUCUCCUAUGUAUUCUUGAAAAAAAAAUACACGUUGAUAGGUUUUGUUAACUAUACGGCCGGUGUCUUGGACAUUCUUUUCCACUAUGCACUCCAUCAAUAUUUGUUAGCUUGUCAAAUUAAUUUUUUUUUCUAGAGUGCCUAAGCACCUUUCGAUUAAGAAGAAAGCAGUUUACAGACACAAUCUCAAUUAUGUUUUGGCGCCUUGAAUUUCAGACUUAAUCUGUACAAGCUGUUGGUUAUGAAUCAGCAGCAGUACUUGUGAGUUUGUUGGGUUAGAACCACGUGCUUCUUGCAUCUUGCCUUGUGGGCUAAUUUUACUGUAAUAAUAAUGGAUGUCGAAUGUACGGAUAUUAUUAGAUGUGCUCUUCCAGAGAAUAGAAAGGGUUGCAGAGUAAUAACAACUACACGAAUUGAGAGUGUGGCCCGAGUGUGCUGUGCAAAUCAUGACAAAUAUGCGUAUAAGAUGAAGCCACUUAGUAACCUGGACUCAAGAAGCUUAUUUUUUAAAAAAGUAUUUGGUUCAGAGGAUGCUUGUCCUCCAAAUUUGAAAGUAAGUUUCAGCUGAAAUAUUGAAAAAAUGUGGUGGUUUACCACUUGCAAUCAUCACAAUGUCUAGCCUUGUUGCCAGUUAGCCGAACAAACUGAAGGAGCAAUGGAAAUAUGUAUGGAACUCUUUUGGCUCUAACUUUGAAGUGAGCCCGAGCUUGGAAGGCAUGAGACAAAUACUGAACCUCAGCUACAUAAACCUUCCUCAUUAUUUGAAGACUUGCAUGCUGUAUCUAUGCGUUUAUCCAGUUGACUAUACAAUCCACAAGAAUGAUUUGGCUAGACAAUGGGUGGCUGAAGGCUUUAUAUGUAAAGAUCAUGGGGCAGAUCCAGAGCAUGUUGCAAAGUGCUAUUUCAAUGAGGUCAUCAACAGGAGUAUGAUUCAACCCACGGAUCUAGACCAAAAUGGUGAGGUGAGGUCUUGCAGGGUACAUGAUAUGAUGCUUGACCUCAUCCUACAUAAGUCAAGGAAAGAGAAUUUUAUCACUGUAAUAGAUGAAGAUGACAUACAAGGCAUGGCUGCUCUAGCAUCUCCAAGUUUUAACAAUUGAAAUUUCAGAAGGCUCUUGGUCAUCAGCGGCGUUAAUUGAGUUCACUGGAAUAUGUCAUCUGUUUCAGUUGAGAUACAUAAAGAUUCUAGCGAAUAGAUAUUCUAUAGUGUUACCUAGUAAAAUUGGGGGUCUGGAGCAACUGGAAACGUUUCAAAUAGAAACUCAAGUACUACCACGCCAAGGCCAACCAUUUUGUGCGCUUCCAUCAGAUAUUGUUCAUUUGAGAAACUUAUUGCAUUUGGCCCAGAACCCAGAAGAUGAUAUCAAAGGUCUUGCAGAACUAACCAAUUUGACAGAGCUUCAAGUCGGAUGGUACUUCAAUAAUGAUGACUUGGUAUCUAGUGAUGAGGUGGUGGCUAAAUUCAGAGGAGUUUUACACACUUGCCUUUAGAAACUUUGCAACCUCAAACAUCAAUCUGCUUGGAUGUGUUGGGUUCAGUACCUGUUUCUUUCUGCCAUCUCCAGAUAUUCCACUCAUAUUGCUGCUCAUGGUUUUCAAGUAUUUUACUCUUGUCAGUGGCAGGAUACCACAGUUGUCCUUCGAGGCAGGGGCAAUGGCCAAGCUUGAAAGGCUUGAGCUGGAUUUCAAUGCCCUGGAAUGGAACAGGCAUGGUGGUGCACCUGUUGGCAUUGAGCACCUUUCAGGCCUCAAGAAAAUCUCUGUACGCAUUUUGGCCUGUGGUGACAGAAGAUCCGAUAGAAGAGCUGCAUACUCCAUGCACAGAGGUUGUCCUACAACCAACAUCGAGUGUGGUGACAAGGAAAUGCUCGUCUCUGACUCUGUGGAAGAGUAAAGGCUGUAAGAGAGCAGGGUAUUUGGCGCAGGUACCAGCAGCACUUGAUGUGACCCCAUGCCAUGCAUAUGUUCAAUUCAUUUGUUCAUGCUAUCGAUAUUUUUACUGCUGCAGGUAGGGAGAGUGCCAAGUGCGAUCCCUUGUUUGUGGUUGCAUUGUGGUGCUUGUGGACUGCUCCCUGCUCUUGUGGUGGCUGUCUGAACUCUGAACAUCUGAAGAUGACGAUUCGGACUGUUGUUGCAAGUGUUCAGUUCAGUUGCGAAGCAAAUGGUUCAGUUCAGAAACAUAGCUGCCACAAGGUUGUUGCAAAUGUCUAAAAGGACAUGGUUCAGUUCAGAAACAUAGCCGCAACAAAGUUGUUGCAAAUGUCAAAAACGAGAAUCAUCGUACGACCUGAACUCUUCAAGAGUGAAGCCUAAUGAACCAGUCUAAAUUGUUGAAGAUCAACCUUAUGACAAUAUUAAACAGACCUCAAGCAAAUCUUGUAAUCAGCAUUGUGACUAGCAGUAAUAGAUCAUUUAUACGUGCAUGUGGUCAAGAUGCAUUAUAUCCAGGUAUCGAUUUUCUUCUCCAGUAUCAGUAAAUCUUCCACAUCAGCUAAUAGCUUACCUAAAUCAAUCUAUAUAUGCAACAUAGCACAGCGCUGAUAAGUAAGACAAACACAACCAGAACCAGAAAAGUACAUAACAAAAACUAGUUGAGCAUAUACUUGUACUACAUGAGUACAAGAAGCCAUCCAACUUUCAGAAAAGUCUGGUUGCUCCUAUUGCCUGUACCGAAGACCAAAUCAACCAGGUCAAGCACAUUUUGCUGGCUCGCAUAGCAGAAUUUCCAAUCCAAUACCUCGGGCUCCCUUUAUCACUGGGGCGUCUCAACAAAGCACAACUGCAAUCAAUGGUGGAUAAGAUCUCAGCUAGCAUCCCAACCUGGAGGGCCCCCUUGAUGAACAAGGCUGGCAGACUUAUGAUGGUUAAAGUCACAAUGAGUCCUAUUUGCACCCAUUCGUUGAUCGCAUUGAGAAUUCCGGACUGGGUGUUCAGAGAAAUAGAUAAGAGAAGAAGAGGGUUCUUGUGGGUAGGAAAGCAGCAGGCACAAGGGGGCCAGUGCCUCCUGCCUUGGAAAACUGCUUGUAGGCCAACUGAUUUGGGGGGUUUGGGAAUUCCUGACCUGCGCAUAGCCUCAUGUGCACUUAGGCUCAGAUGGUUGUGGCUGCAGAAAGUUGACCCAAACAGGCCAUGGAGGGAUAUGCAGCUGGACUUUAGCCGAGACACAACACUCCAGCAAAUGUUUCAGGCAUCAGUAGAAGUGCAGUUGGGAGAUGGAAACUUGGCACUCUUCUGGAUUGACAAAUGGUAUGGAGAAUUCUCUCCUUGUAUCUUAGUGAUAGAUUGUAUAAUGCACGAUGUAUUCCUCAAUAGCAACAGUUGUAUACAUAUAGACCACAUGGGGAGCCGGAUACGGCAGGCCCAUGGGCUAUGACACGCUUACAAUCCAACACUCCCCCGCAGUCAGAACUGGGAGCACCGCGAACAUUAAGACUGGACCUAAACUCAACAAAGACGGACGUCGGGAGCCCUUUGGUGAAGAUGUCGGCAUACUGUGAGGUAGUAGGGACAUGUAGAACUCGAACUUCUCCAAGGGCCACGCGGUCACGAACAAAGUGUAGGUCAAUCUCCACAUGUUUGGUCCGCUGAUGCUGAACGGGGUUGGUGGAUAAAUAAACGGCACUGACAUUGUCACAAUACACAACUGUAGCUCGUCGAAGAGGGCAAUGGAGUUCAAGAAGAAGCUGUCGUAGCCAACACGCCUCUGCAACCCCAUUGGCAACAGCGCGAUACUCAGCCUCUGCACUAGAUCUGGACACAGUUCCCUGACGCUUGGAGGACCAUGAGACCAAAUUAUCACCCAAGAAAACGCCAUAGCCAGAAGUGGAUCGGCGAGACUCAGGGCAACCAGCCCAAUCGCCGUCGGAGUACACAGUGAGAUCAGUAGGCGAGGUGCGAUGUAGGUGAAAUCCAAGCUCCAAAGUUCCCUGGAUAUAGCGCAGGAUGCGCUUCAUGGCAGCGAGAUGAGGCUCUCUCGGAUCAUGCAUAUAUAGAGAAACUUGCUGAACAGCAUAGGCAAUAUCAGGAUGGGUGAAGGUGAGAUACUGAAGGGCACCAGCGAUACUGCGAUAAUGUGAAGAAUCAGCCACAGGAACACCAUCAGCAGGUAGCUUUGCAUGAGUAUCAACAGGUGUACUGCAAGGCUUGCAGCCACGCAUACCAGCACGGUCCAGAAUAUCCAGCAUGUAUUGCUUCUGAGAGAGGAACAACUCAUCUGAGCGGCGAUCAACAGAGACACCCAGAAAAUGGUGGAGAGCACCCAUGUCAGUCAUAGAGAAUUCCCGUUGCAGAGCUGCGAUGAUGCGCUGAAGGAAACUCUGUGACGAAGCAGUAAGAACAAUAUCAUCCACAUAGAGAAGCAAGAAGGCUGUGUCAGCACCCCGCCGAUAUAUGAAGAGGGAGGUGUCCGCUUUGGACUCAACAAACCCAAGGGAGGUGAUGUGACUGGCAAAGCGACUAUGCCAUGCUCGGGGAGCCUGCUUCAAUCCAUAUAAUGACUUGUUCAAUCGGCAAAUAAAAUCGGGCUUGGAAGAAUCAACAAACCCGGUUGGCUGCUGGCAAUACACAGUCUCUGUCAAAAUCCCAUGGAGGAAUGCAUUCUUGACGUCCAGCUGAUGAAUGGGCCAAGAACGCGAUAGAGCAAGUGUGAGCACAACGCGGACGGUAGCCGGUUUGACAACUGGACUGAAAGUCUCCUCGUAGUCAAUACCAGGUCGUUGAGUGAAGCCUCUGAGAACCCAUCUUGCCUUGUAUCGAUCAAGAGAACCGUCAGCCAAAAAUUUAUGACGAAAAAUCCAUUUACCGGUGACGAUGUUCACUCCAGAGGGACGAGGCACAAGGGUCCAUGUGUCAUUUGCCAGGAGGGCGUCGAACUCUGCUUGCAUCGUGGCUCUCCAGUGAGGGUCGUCGAGCGCGGAACGAAAGCUCUUGGGAACGGCCGAGAGCGUUGUCGUGUGCAGGUUCAGACGAUCAACUGGCUGGCGGAAACCAGACUUGCCCCGAGUCCUCAUGCCGUGAUCAUUAACCACGUGCUCGAUGAGUUGGGGCAGGGUAGAAGCCGUGCGGCCCCCUCUACUGGCAGCUACCUGCGACGAGGUGUCAGCAGGGGCAGCAGAGGGUGUCGCUGUCGUAGUUGAAGGCGCUGGUGCAGCCGGUGGCAGGCUGGCUACAGCCGAGCCACCUCCAGGUGAUGCUGCCGUAGGUGCCUGGGCAGGUGGCAACGUGCCAGUGGCAGCCGUGGCUCCUCCACCUGCUGCCGAGGCUGCUCCAGCGGGUGCCAGCGAGCCGCCCGGGCUGGAGCCAUGCUCAACAGCGGGCGGCGCACUGGCUGGUGGUGGUGAGCCAGGGGGGUUGGCGCACGAGGGGGGGGUACCUGCAACCACAGAACGAGGCCCGAUGGGCAUAGUGGAAAAGUCAUCCUCGCUCAAGAAGUCAAGAGUGGCUGGAUCCGAAGGAGAGGUAGACAUCGCUGAAAAGGGAAACAUGGAUUCAUCGAACACUACAUGCCGAGAGAUGAUAAUUCGGUUGGAGUGUAAGUCGAGGCAGCGAUAUCCCUUGUGGUCGGAUGAGUAGCCAAGGAAGACACAAAGUGAUGAACGAGGGGCCAAUUUAUGUGGUGCGGUGGAUGAUAAAUUGGGAUAACAAGCACACCCAAAAACACGAAGAUGUGAAUAAGUGGGAUGUGUGCCGUAGAGAGCAUAGAAUGGUGUCAGGCCAUCAAGAGUCUUAGUGGGGUGACAGCUUAGAAGAUAUGUGGCAGUGUGGAGGGAGUCAGCCCAGUAGACGGGUGGAAGACUAGCCUGAAAUAAAAGCGAGCGCACAAUGUUGUUAAUGGUGCGAAGGGCGCGCUCGGCUUUACCAUUCUGCUGGGAGGUGUAGGGGCACGACAUACGAAAGAGGACACCAUGGGAGAGGAAGAACGUGCGGGCCGAAGAGUUGUCAAACUCACGACCGUUGUCGCACUGGACGGCCUUCACGAUGGUGCCAAACUGUGUACGAACAUAGGCAAAGAAAUUAGAGAUAGUGGCAAAUGUAUCGGAUUUGAGGCGAAGCGGAAAUGUCCAAGCAUAGUGAGAAAAAUCAUCAAUAAUUACGAGAUAAUAUUUGUAACCAGACACGCUAGCAAUAGGAGAGGUCCAAAGGUCACAAUGUAUUAAAUCGAAUUUAUGAGUAGCACGAGAGCUAGAUAAACUGAAAGGGAGGCGAACAUGGCGCCCUAACUGGCAAGCAUGACAUAUAUGUUCAUGUUUGGGUUUAUUACAAGAAAUAGCCUGGGUGCUAAUAAGUUUGGACAAUGCUUCUGAACCAAGGUGGCCGAGACGACGAUGCCACAGGGUGGGUGUAGAGGUGGCUGCGAAGACUGGUGUUCUGCUGCUGGUGGACGGGAAGAAUGGGUAUAGAUCCCCCGUGCUAUUGCACCUGGCAAUCACGCUCCGUGUUUGUAGAUCCUUCACAGAGAGGCCAAAUGGGUCAAACUCGAUAGAGCAAUUGUUAUCAAUGGUGAACCGACGAACAGAGAUCAAGUUCUUAAUAAUGCCAGGGGACACUAAAACAUUAUUUAGAACAAGAGGGCGUUGUGGUGUAGAAAACGAGUAUGAGCCAGUGGAGGUGAUGGGUAGGAGAGCACCAUUACCGACAAUAAUAGAGGAAGGAUCGGACCAGGAGGGUGAGCGAGGAGACGAGAGAAUACCAGAGUGGGCGGUCAUAUGAGAACUGGCACCAGAGUCAGCAUACCACUCGGUGGGUGUCGACGGCGGCAUCAAGGUCAUUGUGUUGAAGUUGUUGACGAGGGACGCUUGGUCGAAGGAGCCACCUGCCAUGGGGUUCCAUGCUGCAUACUGCGGCGUCGCGCCGGCCGAAGAGGAAGCCGAGGAGCCUGCCACCGGGCCAUAGCUGAAGCCAGGGGGCGGUGGUGGGAGCUGGUAGUACCCUCCGUGGUACGGUGCCAUGUGGAGGGCCGGCUGGGGCUGCUCGAACGGCAUGUAUGGGGGGCGCUGCAGCUGCUGUCCAGGAAGGCCGCCGAAGCCGUGUGGCCAGAGCUGGAGAGUGCCAGACCAGGGGUUCUAUCCUGGCCGAACAGCAGGCUGUCCAGCGCCCUGCACGGCGCCGUUGGGGGCGCCCUGGCCGGCGCCCGCCUUGCCGUUGUUGGUCCCGCCGUUGCCGCCGCGUCCCCGGCGGCGGUUGCGGGAGUUGUUAGAGUUGCCCGUCCCACUGCCCUGGACACCGGAACCACCAGAACCAGUGCGUGGCGGCUGUGGUUUUGCCGCGAGCAGCGCCGGAGUCUCCGACGGCGGUGCGGGAGUGACGUCGUCGUGGACGUCGUUGACGUCGAUCUCUUCGAGGAGCAGCAGGGUGCGUGCCUCGGCGAACGUGGGGAAGGGCGCGCGCAUCUUCAGGUUGGACACCAUGUGCCGGUACUUCCCAUUGACGCCGCGUAGCGGGGUGAGGACAAGCUGCCUAUCGCCGAUCGGAUCACCGAACUCCUUGAGGGAUGCCGCCAUUGUUUCAAGGCGACGGCAAUAAUCGGUCACUGAGAGAUCGCCUUGCCGGAAGGAACGGAACUCAGCCUCCAGCAGCAGUGCACGCGAUUCGCGCUGGCCGAGGAACUCGUCUUCGAGGAACAGCCAGGCAGAUCGGGCAGUGGGAUCACGGAUCAGCAGGGACUGUUGCAGAUCGUUGGAGACGGUGCAGAUGAUCCAGGUGAGGACGCAGCUGUCCAUGGUCGCCCAUGCCGAGCGAUCGGGGUAGGCGAUGUCGGUGAGGACGUGCUCCUUCAGAUUGUACUUGCCGAGCACAAUCAAGAAGAGAGGCCGCCACCGACCGUAGUUGUUGGACGACUUGUCCAGCACCAGGGUGAUCGCGCUCUUGAUGUUGUGGAGUGCGAUCGCCUGGGCGUGGAGGGUGGCGUUUGCCGCCUCCUUGGCGGUGAGGGCCAUGUCGAGGGCCUCCGCCUCCUCUUGCUGUUUCUUCUCGGCGGCAGCGGCGGCGGCAGCGGCGGCGGCGUUGUCACCGGCCAUUGGGGUUCCUGGCGAUGGGGAUCGGCGGCAGGAAGAGUAGGAGAGGGGCCUGGCGAGCGUAGCUCAGCGGCAGGCGAGGGGAUCGGCCGGCGAGGAGCUCAGCGGGGCGGCCGUGGGUGGGUGGAGCCGGCGAGCGGGUGCCCUGGCGGCGGCUAGGGUUGAGCGGAAGCGGGUCGCAGGAACGACUCGCGUGAUACCAUGAUAGAUUGUAUAAUGCAUGAUGUAUUCCUCAAUAGCAACAGUUGUAUACAUAUAGACCACAUGGGGAGCCGGAUACGGCAGGCCCAUGGGCUGUGACACGCUUACAAUCCAACACUUAGCUCCAGAGUUGUGCAAGAUCAUCAGGCCAAUUAUCAGGAAAAGGAGGACAGUAUCACAAGCUUUGAACAAUAAACACUGGAUACAGGAUAUUGUCGGGAGAGCAACAGUACCAGCGAUUUCUCAGUAUGUGCAACUUUGGCAUGUAAUUCAGGAGGUCCAACUGACUCCUGGGAUUGAGGACAUGGUUUCCUGGAGGUGGAAUCUAUUUGAAACAUACACUGCAAGAUCUUUUUUUCGAGAAUACGCAAGAGAAUUGCGUACCUUUGCAUUAAGAAGAAUGAAUAGAAUUGUUACAACGUGGGCCUACCGGGCUCACGCACACGGUUUUGAAAUGUAGCUUGAGCUUACAUGGCAACUUAAUUACAUCCGUUUACACACAAAGGUCAGGAUAAGAAACCACUAAGGUACUGUUGCUUCAGCGUCGUCCUGCUGUUGUCGCGGCCACUGGAACAUUGCUAAGUGUUUGGCUCCUGCUGCGCACCAAUCAACAGCUUGUUCUCGGAUUAGCUCAGUGAGUUGCAGAGGAUUUCUUUCUGGGGCUCUAUCAAAGUUUUUGUCGUUCCGUUGUUUCCAAAUUGUCCAGGAGAUCAACAUAAACAAGGAGUUCAUCCCUUUUCUUAGUGAUCUGCUCAUGGCUUGCCGCUUAUGCCCCUAGUAGUCUGUUAAAGAGGUUUCAGACAGUGAGGUGGUGUUCUGUAUGCGCAACAUUGUCGAGACGAUGUGCCAAGCCUCCUUUAUGUAAGGGCAAGCAGCUAGCAAGUGCACUGUUGUUUCUAGCUCCUGUUCACAGAAUGUACACUCCGCGUUUCCCUGUAACACAUGUCGAUGCCUUCUAUCAGCCGUCCACAACCGCUCCUUAAUUGCCAACCAGAUAAAAAUUUUCACUUUCAUUGGUGCCCACGAUUUCCAAAUCAGCUUACACUGCAAGAUCAACUUAUAGAGCCUUUUUUCAGGGAGCAAUCAGAUUCGUGGGGGCCAAACUGAUAUGGCGAGUUUGGGUACCCCUGAAAGUGAAGUUCUUCAGUUGGUUAGCAGUGAAGGACAGGCUGUGGACGGCCGACAGGAGGCAACGUCGAGGGCUUGAAGAUCAGGCAUCAUGUGUGCUGUGCAACCAGGAAAGGGAAACAGCAGAUCAUCUGUUCGCCAGAUGCACAUACUCCAUGCAGGUUUGGCAGCACAUCAGCUCCUUGUUUCACAUUCAGAACAACGUCCAGGUCCAGGCGCAGGAAGUUACUCUCAUUGAUUGGUGGCUGCUCAAGCGAACUAACAUGACCGCGCUGAAGCAACGAGGCUUGGACUCGGUGUUUAUGCUUGUCUCCUGGAGCAUUUGGAAGGAACGGAAUGCCAGGACGUGUUCAGAGGAGCACAUCCGAAGUAGGCAAACCAGCUCGUCUCUGAAAUUGUAGAGCGGGCCAAUCUAUGGUGCGAAGCAGGUGCUAAACACCUCCGUCUCUUAGGAUGGCCUACAUUAGGAGGAGUCACAUAGCAUUAGUAGUUCUGCUAGUCUCCUGAUUUAAGUUGUUUAGUUGUUUUACUCAGUGUAAAUCAUUGUGGGGUUGCAGUUCCGUGUAUGUGCGCCCGGUUGGCUCGCGAUGUAACAAUCUUCUAAACGUUACGUUUCUUCUUAAUACAAAGAUACGCAGCUCUCCUGCGUAUUCUCGAAAAACAAGAAGCCAUCCAAAUCUGUUCCUGCCAUGCAAAUGCAGGAUUAUCACACACUAAGCUUUGCAAAUGACGGCGACAAUAUAUAAUUGCAACCACACAAAUAGCCCAUAACAAGGCAUCGUUAUCCGGUACAUGCAUAGAUAUUACACUGAUCCAACAUUAUCCAGGGCACAAAAGUACAGCUGACUGAUACAAGAUGUCACGCAACAUCACAGGGUAUGUUACACAAAGUGCUAAGGGCAAUAUAGGUUAUUGAUGGGAAGUGCCCUGUACAGCAGGUUGUGUAAAGUCUCCGUUGCACCAUUUCAAGUAAGUACAUAUCCCAAACAACGAUACUACAUAAAUCUUAAAAACCCUCUUGCCCUCGCUUCGAAGCUUUAAAAAUUCCUUGCUAUGCUGCUGGCUUUCAGAGGGAAACAGAAAAAGGAGAAGAAGAAUCAAUUGUCUGGAAUCAUGAGAGUCAAAUAAAUCAGGUAAAUAAUGAAUCGCACGCAAUGCACCUAAGAGUCUCCAGCACUUUGUUCAGCUCUUCGUUUAGAACGGCCCUUUCAUCUUCGAAUUCGGCUUUCUUUCGGGUUCCAUUGCUGUGCUGUCUGACCAACAAUUUAAAUAACAACGAAGCUAAUAGAAGCUACCAUGUUUAUUGAAACUACUGCUAUCAAGCUAUCAAGUAUCUACUGAUAUUAGUUAGUAUAAAUCAAAAUGCCACCCAUGCUUUCCCUUAAAUGUAGCAAAGACAAGAACAACUCGCGGACAUUUAAAGUGGAGCACACUGUGAGUCGGUGCUCGGACGUUUCUAGGAAGCCAGUAAGCAAUCAGGGUAUUCCUGAGAUCGUAGCAAUAAAUGUAACAACACAACUUGCGCAGACAUUAACAGGUUGAAAAAGGCCAAUAUUUCUAAAUAUACCAAAUUUGUGGAGCUAUUUCUGCCUGAAGAUGAGAUCUCUGAUAGUGUGCGCGCAGGACAAAAUGUUCCCUGCGUGUACGAGACACCACCACAAAAUGCAGGCUGAAGUCACUGGCACAACGAUUAUAGACUACCCUAGGAUGCAAGCAUAUGCGAAUGUUAUCUUAUAACCAUGUACAUAGUGGAAAAUAGGGCUCUAUGUGCAAGUUUGCAACACGUACAAUACAGCAGAGAGUUCAAUCCAAGUAAUGAAUACAGCAAACAACAAUGAGACAAGCCAAUAAUCUGGAGGGAGGGAGCAUCUAAACAUGUAACGAAUCUCUCUUUCGACUGCACUUGGGAAAAUUUGGCUUAACAGCGCAGGUUGGUCACAAUAAUAUGGUUGAUGGAUUGGUCAAUUCCAGAUAUACAUCUUAUCAAAUAUGGGAGAUGCAUGACCGAUAAAACCUGUUAUUCCGGAGACGGGAGGGACGAACCUGCAGAUUGCGGAUGGUGGCGAGAAACCGAGAGGGCAUACCGGCGCCCGAACGGCAGCGGAGGGCACAAACAGACGUCCCCCUCGCCAGGCUGCGGAGCGCCAUAGGCGGAGACCUAGAUUCUCCCUUCCCUCGUCUUCCUGCCCGUCUCUCCCUCCCUCUCGGUCGCGGGUAUAAAACAGACGAACGUUUCCUUUCCUUCCCCGUAGCGCUGGGUUUUCCUGAUCGACUAUGCUAAUGCGCCGCCCGGAACUCUCUAGGACUCGGAGUUCUGGGACUAGAGGCCGAUCGAGCACCAACGUCCCCGAGACCUAGGCGACCCUGACACCGUGAAGGCGCAGGACAAGCUUAACCUUUAGCCUAGAAACCGAAAGACCGGGGCACUUCUCAUGGCAAAAUGGGCCUGUCCACCCACGAACCCCACGUAAUGUCCCGAUUAGUUAGCCCGUUAAGCAGUUUAAACCAUGCAUGUUUAGCGACCUGCCGGAGUAGACUCAACUGCGACCUGAGUCGGCUUUCCGCCGCGCCGGAGCGGGUUACUGGAGUGGACUUAGCGCGACCGGAGUCGGCUUAAGUGCGACCGGUGUUGGCUUUCCGCCGGAACGGACCACCGAAGUCGACUUAGUGCGGCGGGAGGGGGCGGCGGGGGUGCGGGGCCGGCGAGUGAUUUCGAUUUUUUUAAUUUUUUAAUAUCCUGUCUUCUACCGAAUUGCUAGUACCGGUAUUGUUGUAGAGAUGAUUUCUCUAGUAGUGGGAGCACGAUCGGACGGCGCAUGUUUCCCAGUGGGUGGACGAAGGAUGCGUGGAUGAAGUUUUUUCACCACUUCAGUUUUAGUAGUUGUAGAUAGAUAGAAGAUAGAUAAACGUGAUGACUUUUGUGAGAAAACUUUGCUGACAAUCCAUUCCUCAUGUUUCAAUAUGAAUUUACCAUUUUUGGUGUCCGUUAGAGGUUGGAAAGAUAGCAACAUCUUCUGAUUACGCGGUGAGCUUGCUUGGUUAAACGUAAAUAUUUAAUCAACAUGUACUCUAUCCGUCCUAAAUUACUAUUCGUUUUAACUUUUCUAAAACAUAUCUUUUGCUACGUAUCUGGACAUAUUCAUAGUAAAAAUGAAUAGUAAUUUUGGACGGAAGGAGCACCGCUGAAGAUGAAUCCAUAUAUUUUAUUGACCAAACCAAGCUUCCGCUAUUUUAGUGACACGAUGACAUUAAAGGGUUCUAUGCUUCAACCACACGCGUGUACACGGAUACCCUGGCGAUGCAAUGUUUCAAGUGAAGUGCGCUUAAAUCAAUACUCCCUCCGUUCCAAAAUGUAUGUUGCUUUGAAUUUUUUAUCUAAAUAUAGAGUUAUAUCUACGCACAUAGCAAAAUCUAUGUAUCUGAAAAAGUCAAAACGAUCUAUAUUUUAAAACAAAGGGAGUACUUAUUACUGGUAUCAAAGAGUUGCAUGGAACAAACAGAUUGGUACAACUUCUGUCCCCAUAACCACGGAGUGCUCACACAAGGCACAAGCAGAUCGAUCUCACAAUACAUAAACAGAUACAGUUGCUCGUGUCCUCGUGACCCAUAAACUUAAACAAACUGUGCUUCAUGGCUUGCCAACCAUCACGGCAGUUGCAGCAGUAACCGAAACACAAAAGUAGCAAGCCCAUUCCACGGAUUUGAUACCUCAUACAGAAAACUGACCCAUCAAACCUCUUAUUCCGGCCGGAGACGGGAGGGACGAACCUGAUUGCGGAUGGUGGCGAGAAACCGAGGGGGCGCUGCCGCCGGCAUGCCGGCGGCGCCCGAACGGCAGCGGAGGGCACAAGCAGCAGGGCCCCACGUCCCCCUCGCCAGGCUGCGGAGCGCCAUAGGAUGUUCUCCCUUCCCUCGAGGCGGAUAUCAGAAGGCGGCCGUCUCUCUCUCUCCCUCCCUCUCGAUCGCGGGUAUAAAAGAUGAAACAGACCCCGAGUCCUUUCCUUCCCCGCCGGGAUUCUCCACCAGAAGCGAGAAAAGGCCAGCGGCCCAGCAAGACGAGAAGCGCUCCGGAGCGGCCCAGGACGCAACACGGCCCACCUCCCGUAUUAAUUCCCAGCAGAUUGUUACUGGAUUCUGAUUAUCCUCUACUAUGUCCGUAGGCCUUACUGGACCAAAAUAUAGUUUUCUAUCCGGAUGUUUGUUCAUUACUACGAGUUGUGAGGAGGAUGUUUAUGCUUCUUUUUUUUCGCAACCCUCUCAAACUGGGUUUCUGAAAGAUUAUAAGAAAGAAAUAAUAAAGGUAGUACUCUCUCCGUACCAAAAAAAAAUUGCAACCCUCACUUCUCGAUGAGUCAAACACUAUUCACGUUUCCAAAUAGAUUUAGUAUGAAAAUAUAUUAUAUGAUUGAUUUAUUGAUAUUUAUUUUGUACCACAAAUGUUUAGUACUAUUUUGUAUAAAUUUUGUUAAAUUUAAAAUUAGUUGACUGAGUAACUCUUAAGCAAUCUCCAAAUACGUAGUAUGUACCUGUACUUUGAUGAUGAUCACGCAAAAAUGUUUGUUAGUCCGAGCCAGCAGGGCAAGAUUGUCAGAGCUCGAUGGAUUAAACAAGUUGGCUGACAAAGCAGAGAGCAUUCUAGAACGAGCUACUCCUGACAAACAGAUUGACCAGCUGCCACCACCUUCUCUCGACUCUGAUGAAUGAGAGGCACAAAUGGCAGGGCCGGUGUGCAAAAGUUGAACAUGCCUUCUCAGAGAAAUGAAGAAAAAUUGGGUCUUUGCGAUGACCGUGUCGGCGUGUCGGAUCAGUUGGUGGCAGAUGGCACAUUUCCAAAGAGAACCCUGCCUUCAAAUAGAUUUGCGCCAACCCAUCAACACGCCGUUGACUUUGACCAUUUUACUUGCUCUCAGUUUCUAGACGGGCCUCCGUUCGAGCUUAUGGAGCAGGUAAACCUAGAGCAGCAAGUUUGUACUACGAGUGAAGGAACAGUGGUGUACAACUUCAGUUCUUGGAGAAGUUAGGGUACUGAUAGCGUUCGGACGUCCGAUGGUAAUUUUUUUUAUCAGACGCUCCGUUGCAGUAUCGAAACAAAACAUCUUACGUUGUUCGAUACUGGUGUAGAAAAUUCUCGUCACAAUAUAAACACUAUGUUUCAUACAAUAUUCACAAUAUUCACUGUGAAACAUAUAGAAAUAAUAAUUGCAACCUCGAUACUUAACUAUUGCAACAUAUGUCAAAGUCUUUGAUUUUUCUAAAAUUCCGAACGCCGAAGAAGAUACUGGUCAAAGAUGCAAGUAAGAAUUCGAAACACGAUGCACUGGUCAAAGAUCGCGUACGCAAUUACGCAAUAAUGCAGGGACCGGGUUAGGAAAGGGGAGGCCUGCUAAUUGCUAAUCCGAAAGGAACACUGCAUACAAGAAAAGCAGAGGCGAGGAGCCAACACGGCACGCCAAACCAAAACCACGCGCUCCAAAUUUCUUCUGCACAAGAGGAGUUUGUUCGUUCGUGUUCCAAGAUCCUCUCGCUCGCAUGCCCGUGAUUUGAUCCCCACCCACCCAAGUCCAUCUCCGCCCCCUCACUCCGGUGGUUCGUUGUUCCUCCGAUCCCAAAUCGUGAUCCACUCGAUGGCGGCCACCGCCGGCGGCAACAAGAUCCGCAACGCCAAGCUGGUGAGCGAUCCAACAUCCCGAGCCCUCGAAUUCCGUCGUGCCUCGAAAUUCUUUGAUCCCACCCGCCGCCGCAGGUGGCGCGUGGGUCUGGAUUUUUGGUCAACUAAUCUCGUCGACCCCAAGUCGCUCGUCUCUGCUCCCCAAUUUACCAGCGAUCGUUUAAAGAUAGCGUUUUUUUUCCCCCUUAGGGAUUCUUGUCUUGUACGGCGAUUUUGAGCUCUGCGAUGCUGAUACGCGUUUGCUUGCUCUGUUGGGUUCGUGACGCCAGGUUCUUCUCGGGGAUGUGGGCGCCGGCAAGUCUAGCCUGGUCCUCCGGUUUGUGAAAGGCCAGUUCGUCGAAUUCCAGGUAAGAUUCCAUACUCCUCCACAUGUGGAUUCUGAACUGAACUGAGCAGGUGUCCGUGAUGGUGGUGUGGAGUGGAGUGGAUGUUUGAAUAUGUUGCUUCAUUUGGCUGCAGGAAUCGACCAUUGGCGCGGCUUUCUUCUCGCAGACCUUGGCGGUCAACGACGAAACAGUGAAGUUUGAGAUAUGGGACACGGCAGGGCAGGAGAGGUACCACAGCUUGGCUCCCAUGUAUUACCGGGGCGCUGCUGCUGCUAUAGUUGUCUACGACAUCACCAAUGCGGUUAGUACAGCACAAACAUACUUACAUGAGCUGAUAAUAUAGUGAACAUGAUGGUAAAUUCUUGAUGUUAUGAUUUGCUAAGUCAUACUUGGCAAUUGCUAAAAUUCACAAGUAGGAGUGGUGUCAAAACAAGUGACUGUAGAAUUACUGACACAAUGUCAUACGAGAGCUUGAGUCACAAUUAAUAGUAGUAGAUAAGAAUUCCAUUGCUCCUAUGAUCAGAAUAGCAAACUGCAUUGUCUUUCUUCAUGAUCGGUGCAAAAUGUUUGGAUCAUUUUGGUGCUUCUUUGUUAAGGAAAGCUACUUCAAUCAGCAAGCAUAUUGUCAUUAUACUGUCCUCUGCUCGCAGCAAACCUUCGGUCCAGAAAUAGCAUUAAAUAUGUUGGUAUAUUAUUUGGUAGCUUAUGCGUUACUUUUCCUCUUUGCCUGGGUAAUACAUUUGCGGCCUAGCCACCUUCUGUGCUUUUCUUCCCGAAUGGUGAUCCAUAACCGAAAUAUGUCAGUACGACUGAAAUAGCAACUGAAAGAUGGUGUUAUGGGAAAUUGUUCGCACGCAUGUGAUGCAUCCUUCUGUGUGUACCAUUACUAGUGAUGUGUAUCGAUCUGUUUCUAUGUAAUGUAUAGCCAUUGUAUGUAUUGUUAAGGAAAUUCUGCUCUGAGCUCAAAAGAUGCAGUGUUACGAGUUUCAAAUUGCACGUGUAAUUUAUCCUUUGAAGGUGCAUUUAUACUAAAUGAGUCAUCAGAAAUAAACCAAUAUGAUGUAGCAAAGCUAGAGAAACUAGAUGUUUUCACCCUUUUUCUGUCUGCAUUUCAUAAGCAACCUAAAAUCUGAAUCGAUAUUGUGACCUUUUAAGGUGCUAUACUUAAUCAUGAGACUCUUGUGACUUGCUGCAUUCAUUAUAGCAAAACAGUUUCAGUUCGAACUUGUAUUAUCUUUGACAUUGCUAGCAAGGGUUCUCUUCAUGUCUACAUUGUUUCUUAGGCACAUUUUACCCACUCAUAAUAUGGUACUACUGACCAAUCUUGACUUGCCCAGUACAUCAGGCAACUCUAAAUUCAUUUUGAUUUUCUCCAUGAACAAAUUUGAUCCCAUCUUCUUUAGGGCCUCCUUUUAUCUUAGGAGCAUACAUAAAUUAUGGUAAGCACAUAUGAAUAGCGGCACUCAUUUCUAUUUUGCUGCAUUAUAGGCUUCUUUUACUCGUGCAAAGAAAUGGGUUCAAGAACUUCAAGCACAAGGUAACACAAUACUCCUUUAGACUUUUUCUCUGUGUUCUACAUAUAGAAAUCUGCACUUGUAUGGUGGAGUUUGCGUCAAAAGAAAGAUAUUGAUAUUUAGAUCUUAUGGACCAUUUGUCCUGUUGCACAGCUGUAUAAGAAAUCGAUUCAGCGAGUAUGAUAGGAAUUUAUUGGGAAGAAUUAUCUGUGGAUGUAUUAUGUGAACAAGUGGGCUGGUGUACAAGUAUUUGUUCUCAUUUAUCCCCUUUUGUUUUAAUGCAGGAAACCCGAAUACAAUAAUGGCUCUUGCCGGGAACAAGGCUGAUUUGUUAGAUGAGAGGCAGGUGCCAGCAGAAGUAUGUUACUGUGCUUCCUAAGUUACAUGUUUAACAAAUAUUCAUGUGCUGCUGCAUUUGUUUUAGUAGUUGCCAUCAUCUUUAUUCUUCAGAGAUUUCUCAUGCUUUGCAUUCAUUACUGUUUAUUAGUCAAAACUAUGUACACAACAGAGUGUGUUGAGUUUGGCUGCUGAUUCUGAUACAGCCUUGUUAGGAUAGGAAGUUUUGGCUAUCUUCUAGUACCGGAGUUAUUGACCGCACAAGGUACAUAGAAAUAGAGACAGGCUGAUCUGCAUCCAGUUUGAUGCCAAACUAAGCUAGGACCCUGGGAGCAUGGCAAUGUUGGGGAAUGGGAGCAGCAGUGUUCGUUCUUUUUCUUUUUUUACUUAUGUCAUCUUAUUUGUUAGUGAUGAUGUCUAUCAAAUCAAACUACAUUACAUUUUCCCUUAGUAACAUGAUCCUAUGCUACAGGAAGCAAAGGCGUAUGCUCAGGAGAAUGGCCUCUUCUUCAUGGAAACGUCUGCAAAAACGGCAAUCAAUGUGAACGAUGUGUUUUACGAGAUUGGUGAGUAACAUUUGAAACACACAGAUAGGCUAGUUGUUCGGCUGUGAACUAGAAAAUGUAUUUUUAGGGUUUUCUUUACAUUUGUAUCAUUUACCUGCUGUUGCUACCAUUGAUGUCUCAACUUUUUUUAUUUCAGCGAAGAAAUUGCUUCAAGGACAACAGGUUCAGAACCCACAGGGUGGAAUGGUCCUCAACCAGAGACCACCUGAGAGGACGGUGAGCUCUUCCUCGUGCUGCGCGUGAAGCACAAGGUAGAGUGUAGUUCCAAGGGGAGUACGUAUGCAACUACGGAGAAUGCCACCAAAUCUUGUGAAAUAGCUGUCGAUCCCAGCUGCUACAUUCCUGUGCCCUUUCUGCUUGUUCAUUGCCAUGUUCCCUGUAAAUGUGAAUACUAGAUUUUUACUGCAGAGAUUCACCUGUGUCUACAGCACAUGAUCAUGCUUGUGUAUUUCUGGGACUAGUGAAAAACAAGGUCUAGACAGAUUCGUUUGAUUCACUUAUUCUGGUUGCACAAUGUCAAAUUUACGUUUAUUUAUUAGCAAAUAUGUUGGUGCUUUACUACAGGUGAAGCCAGUAUUAAUAGAUACUAUUUCUUCUACACAAGACGAGUUGUUCGUUGGUGUUCCCAGAUUCUCUUGCUCGCGACCCUUGUCUCUGUGGAUUUCUACCUCUUCUUCUCCAACAAAUCGAAAACCUCCAUAAUUCGCGGCAGAUUGCAGGCUGCAGCAUCAAUUCGAGCCGAGAGAGGGUAGGGAGCAACGUUGAUUUGAGUUUGUGGUGGUUAAUUUGGAGUGGAGCCCAACCCUGCUGAUUUUGGACUCGAUCGCUGAACGACAUCAUCCUUCCGUAUCUGCCAUGACUGCUAAGCUUUGCACUAACUUUGAUUCUGUAUUGAUGCGUAUCAAUCUGUUUCUAUAUAAUGUGUAUCCAUUGUAUUGUUAAGGAAACUCUACUCUGAGCUCUGGAAAGAUGCAGUGCAAGUUUCCAACUGCAUAUGUAAUUAUCCUUUGAGGGUGCAUUUAUAGUAAAUGAGUCAUCAGAUAUGGAUCAGUAAGAACGUAUGAUAUAGCGAAGCUAGAGCAACUGGAUGUUUGCACCCUUUUUCUGUCUUGAUUUCAUGAGCAACCCAAAAUCUGAAACUAUAUUGUGUAACUUUUGGUGCUACUGGGUCAUGAGAUUCCUGUGAUCUUCUGCUUCAUGAUUACAAAAGGAUUUCAGUUCAAUUAUCGUUUUCUGCUCGAGGGAAGGGCCUGCACUCCACCUCGGCCCCGUGCUCCACGUCCUCGUGCUGCUCUGCCCCUGCCGCGGAGGUCGAGAUCGCCGCCUUCAGAUGCUGCGGCGGCGCCGCCGCUGCUCCUGCUUUUGGUGAGGAGAAAAACGGGAGAGGGAAAGGGGGCUGCUUUGGCGGCGCAGCGUCGGGAGCGGGAGGAGUGGAAGGAGAGAACGGCAGCAGAGACGGGUGGCGCGGCACCGGAGGCGGCGGCGACGACGCUGGGAGCGAGCAGCGGAGGACGAGCGAGGGGAAUUGGGCGGGGCCUCAGGGGUGGGUGGGAGCGCGUCUCGCGUCGGCGCGGCGGGGGGUUUCCCCAGAAAAUGGUAGGCGGGCGACUUUCCGCAAAAUGUCCACGAAUUUCGUCUUCUCGGCAUUGGAAUAUUUUGGAGUACAGGGUCGUGUAUGUAAAAGAAACGGACGUAUUGCUGUGCACGAGGGGCCUCGCUGGAUCCGAAAAAGGAAUAGAGUAAAUCCGAGGGGGUUUUUUUGCAAAAUGUCUGUCUGUCGUCCUCCCGAAAUUUGCGCCAGAUCAUCUACCCCACCGACGCCUCCUUCUCCCCGAUAGAAGACAGACCUUCCCAAUAGGUGGCAGGCCGUUGUAGUUGUGCUCCCACCUGAUGUAGUUGCCUGCAACAAGUCCAUACUUCAGAUGUUCCGACGGUAUCAGUCUUCGAGCAGUCACACAGUGCCUCUCCUGUGUCAUCCUCACCAUAUUUUCGAUCAACAGCUAGUUCUCCUCCUUCGCUCGUUUUUUUGGCUACUUGGCCACCAAAUCUCUCCCAUGUAACCCCAACUACACGAAUACCAUGCGCUGUCACUCAGAGCCUUGAUAAAAGCAUCGACUUUUGCUCGGGCCUGUAUGGGGUAGAGAUAGAAGUAUGCUACAGUGUCGCUCAGAGCCUUGAUGAAAGCAUCAACUUUUGCUCGGGCCUGCAUGGGGUAGAGAUAGAAGUAUGCCAUGGUGUUUACAGCAAGCAGGACACCGACAAUACUGAGCCCAUUGGCAAUAAGACAGGCACGGUUGGCGACAUAUGUUGCAAAAGUCUUUCUAUUCUACAAGCGAGCAAGAAUAGAGCUGAGGAGAGGAAGAACCAGUUAGAGAUUGAACAUAUGGUGACUCCAAGAGAGGCGCCGUGUGGCUGCUCAAAGACUGACAACGUCUGAGCGUGUUACUUGCAUCAGAGGGGGGUGCUAGUGGUAACAGGUUGGAGCACAACUACAAGGGCAUGUCUUCGAUUGGGAAGGAGUGGUUCACCGGUUAUCGCCAAUAUUGAUUGUUGCGUUAGGUUCUUAUGUCUGUAAUGCGAAACUUGUAUGUGGGAUGAACUUCUGUUGGGAAACCUACUUUUAGGAUGAAUGAUGAUUAGAAUGAUGUGUUUGUGCGGUAAGACCUUAUUGAUGAUGAGGUGUGCGGUUUGGACCUUAUUUCUAUUGAGCUAUGUGCGUUGAAUGCUAUGAUGCCUGUGGCACUGUUGUGAAUAUGGUUUUUUGCUAUUCUAAAAUCUGAAUUCAGUUGGUACCCUCUAUUGAAUUUAGUGAUGGCACGGGUGUAGUUUAACUAUGUAACUGAGAUCUAAGACCUUUCGUAUGUUUUUGAUUCAGAGGCACUCGGGCAUAGAGUUGCCAAAACUUUAGUGAUUGGCCAAAUGAAUGCUAAUCUCAUUUUUGCAUUCAUUGAAACUGUUGAUAUUUAUCUUCCAUUCAACUGUCUGUGCUCUGUAAGUCUGAAUUGUGAGAGAAGCAGUAUUGAGUUGUUAUAGAUGAUAUGAAGUAGAAGUGUGAGAGAUAUAGAUGAUAUGAAGUAGAAGUGUGAGAGAAGCAGUACUAAGUUGUUAUAGAUGAUAUGAAGUAGAAGCAUUUGGAGAGAACAAUAAUCACAGUGACACAGUUACAACCAGAUGGAAAUGGAAUAGAUUUGGCAAAGCAUAGAUCCAUUUAGCAUAACUACAAGUGUUUUCGCAGCCGCCCUCGCGUCCUCGUCCCCGUGCUCUCCUUCUGUUGUGCUAGCGUUCCCCCUUCUCGAUGCUGGUAAUGGAAAGCACGACCUUCAUUUGGAUCGAUUGAUUUCCCAUGCUCUAGCUAGAGUUUCUUCCCUUAAAUUCGGUGUGGCUAAGAGCUAUCAAUCCAUCCCGAAACGUUCUUGCUGAGAUGGGUGAGUUAGGCCCAUAGAUUUGGAUCUGAAUUUUCUGAAACCUCCAUUUGAGCCCUGAUAUUUGUUAUGAUGGUCAUUCUAACUAAUGACUACGAUUGCGGUUUUCCUUCUUAAACCUAAAUAUGUGAUGAGAAUUCCAAGGACCGAAGAUGUUUGCAAAUUCAGAACAAUUGCAAAACCAAGACCAAUUGCAACGCUACUGGAAUAAUGGGUAUUCAACAUAUUUGCAUGGCUGUUUUUUCCCUUACCAAACAGCAAAACCUGCCGGUGAAAAAUUAUACAUAUGUAUCCUUGACUCCUUAUGCACAGCAAAUCACAGGCGGAAUGCACUUACAGGUGAUUAAUAAUACAAUAAUGCACUUACAGGUGAUUAAUAAUAUAAUACUUCCAAACAGGGCCUUAGUUUGAUCAGGAUAGAAGUGUGGUCCCAUUAUUGUUAUUUUGACGAGGAACAUGGGAAUGAAUGUUUUUUAUAGCGUCACUUCUACUCUAUAAUGUUUAUACCUAAACAGAAUCAUCAGUGCUACUAUGAUUAUAUUAUAUUUAUACCAAGUAUACUUGUGUGCUUAUGCAAAAUUACUAACCGCCCGCCCCCACACACCCCAUUUGCUCCGUUGUUUUGUACAUAUCUUCAACCUAGAUUGUUUCAAGGACAAGGCACUUGAAAGGGGGAAGUUUUCGUCAACAAUGAUCAGUAUAUAUGACAUCAUUAUUUGUUCCCCUGUCAGUAUCAAUCUGAAGCUGGAAAUUGUGCAAAUAAUUUUUUCUAACCUAAAAUCAUGAUAUUAAAUAUCAUCACAUACCUAAUGAUUGUAUAUAUUAUCUGAAGACAGCAGAACGAUUCAUGGCCUGGAGAGUUAUUAUACUCUUUGCAAGGGUUUUUUAACCAUUGUUUUAAAUGCUUGUCACUCUUAUUGACUCAAACUUACUCUUUUUGAUCUCCAGGUUCUAUUCAGAAGAUACUUCCUCCGUCCUAUAAUAUAAGGCAUUUGAGCGUUUAAAAUUUGUCCACAUUUGGAGAAUUGCUCAUUUAAUUCUUCCUGAAAUUGAUAAGAUAAGGGUGGCUGAUUUGUGGAUUAUUACUAAAAAUAAAUUUCUAGUUAUCUGCAACUGCUAUUAAUUUAGGGGUACGUGUGUCUUUUGCUACUCCUACUAAUAUUUCAUAAAAUCUCUAGGAUGCCUUGUAUUUUAGGAUGGAGGGAGUAUAUCCGCACAGAAUCAAGUUAAGGCCUCUUACAGCGAAGGAUUCGGCAAAGUAUCGCUGAUGGGGUUGUGUUAUUAUAAAAUAAUCUACUUAGACCUAUAUUUCCUUUUCUUUCAGCUGCAAAAUCUGCUGUAUACCUUACUAAAUUUAACUUCAUUGCAGCACCGUAGUCUUGAGCCUUUGCUAGAUGACUUGCUCCCCGAGAAGUCACCUAUGAUUGUUCUUAAAUGGUUAGUAGUUUCUCUUUCUUGUUCAGCGUGCUUGCUAACCUGUCAUUAUUGAUAGUGACAUACCUGAAAUUGCAUUUGAUAAUUCCAUUUUCUUAACGAUCUUUUUUAUUUCAGACUAAGUAAAUAUGUGAAUCGAUUUUCAUUUCCUUCAAUUGCAAGAUCUUGUGUGGCCUUUCAAGUGCACUGACCACAGUUUGUUUUCUUCUUGCUGCAGCUAAAACCAUCUGAAUCUUGUGGUGGUGAAUAAUGUCCCGCUAUUUUUCAACAUCUGUGAUGGUCCUUGCAUGCCAAAUUUCCAACCCUGCGUCUUCUUCACCAAUGUAAUCAUCUUUCUUUCAAAUUUCCUAGAAUGUCAUAUCUAAAUCCUUAUUACAAUGAUAUAAACCAUGAUAUUUUAAUGCUCAUUCUAUCUUAAGUUUUCAUGCAUAUCUGUUAGGAUCCCAUCAUUCUUAAAGUUUGCCUGUUAGAGAAUAUUAACUGGAACAAAAACUUCUUACAUUUGUUCCAAUAUCAUGAGAAAGUUCCAAGUGGACACAGGAGAUAUCAAAUUCGUGCUCUCUGGUGCAAACGUAUAAUGUGUCCUGGAUUGACAUCACCUGGCGCAGUGUCUAUAUUGUGUCCGCCCCAGUUUACCAACAUAAAACCAAUCCUCAACAGAAGACAAAUAAUUUAUGCGACUUAUUUGAAAGUGCAACAGGCAUCAACUGGGCACUUGCUCAUGUUGCUGAUUCAAUUCAACACAGAUAAUUCCAGGAACCUCGCAAAUAUAUGUGGCUCACUUGAAAAAAAAAAUAGCAGAAUCUAAACCUGCAGAGUUACAACUGGAGAACUCUUUUGCUGAUGUGCACCAGAAACCAAAGUAGGUAAUGCAGGGGUAAAACAGCAUCAGUGUAUGGAAGCAUAACACUUCCCUUCUGUCAAUUAUCAAUCAGGGACAUGGAAACAUAUUAUUCUGAAUAAAACUCGGUAUGUGCCAUUUCUUUACUGCUAUCUAUAACCUUUUUUUUUGUUCACUGGAUGUAGUCAUCGUUGUAGCUGUCGCUGAUCACCGAGACAAAUCGCUCGAGCCAUGGCAGCUGAUGGAGGUCCUUCAUGGUGUCAACAAUAUACGAGUCGGCGCAGCGGGGUGGCGAUUGGCAGGGGUUGUCUCCCAGGCUGAAGCCACCCGCUAGGAACCUCUGUAUGAGUGCCAGCUGCGCACGCUCCUGCUCCGAGUACCCCUCGACGGCGGCGGUUGGCAUGCAGUCGAAUGUGUCCCACGCCCAGAUCUCGGAUGCUGCUUGGCUGGAUCGUGCUGCGGAGGAUGGCUCAAUGGCUUCAUCGUCCCAGAACACACAUUGGCAUGUUUGUACACCGCUAGCAAAGUCAGCGCCACAGGAGUAGCAGAACUCAUGCCCACACCUGCACAAGUGACAAAGUGACCUUUAGUACCUAGAUAAAAAAAAAUAGCACAUGUAUUUUUGAAUCAACCAUCUUUAGUGCAUUCAUUUUUGGGGCAACGGUCAUGUGUGACGGCAACACAAAACAUGCUUCACUACUUAAAAGCGGCAACACAAAAUAUGCAGUGUUGUUUAUGCUACAAGUUUUGUAUGACAUCAUUUUUGUCAUGCAACAAAUAUGCAGUAUUGUUUUGGGAACCAGAAUCAUGCAAGACCAAGUGGCAAUCUGAAUUAAAUACAAACCUUUUCAAGACAAGCAACCAUGCUUUCACAUUUCUACAACUAGCAGCUACCACAUUUCUAUUAAUUUUGGAAAACUUCCAAUAUUGGAUUCUUAGCUAAACUAUGAAUGCUUACAGUACACUAGACGUAAUCAUCGUUUCUUUAUGGGUCGUAACCAGUAGCAUUUGGACAACCUGACCUCGGUUCAGGUAUUGGAUACUUUUGACAAAACCAAGGAAACCAGGAAAUAAGUACUGCUUACUGAUUUAAACAACAGUAUAGCUCAGUUCUAUGCAUAAAAUUGUCUAGUUUUCUCUAGACAUUCCAUGCAUCAGACAUAAGAGGACAUGUGAAGAUUAUCGUCUUCUAAUAUCUGGCAAAUAUGUAAAAGGCAAACAUGGAGAUCAUACCAGCAAGUCAUAUGGAAGCAGCCUUGUGUUAGUUCAAUCAUUCGUCGACAUCUCUGACAACGCCUCCACCUAUUGUUUUGAGCAAGCCGAUGCAAAGAUAGGUCUCCAGCAUCUCUUUCCUCGACAGGCAAGCUCUGGUACUCAUCACAGCCCAUCAUGAUGUGCCAUGGCACUCCACAGUUGAUACAGAUAUCUCUAUGGCAUUCUGGGCACUCAACACAACUGAGAUCUGACUGACUUGAUGAACUUGCCCGAGAAAAGUGCUGACUAAGGUCUAAUAACACUGAACAGUUUGGAAAGGGACAAUAAAAUCUCUCCAUGUCUGAGGUGCCAGCUUCUGCGAAUGCUCUCUCCAGGGAAUCAUAGCUACUAACUGGAAGGAAUGACUUACACUCACUAGCUGAAAUUAGAUAUUUACACCUUAAUUGCGGACACCUUAUAGGCCGCUUUGAGGUCAGCAGCUUCUCUUCAACAUAUGCAGCCAGGCAAUUAUAGCAAAAUGUGUGUGAACAACCUGUCUUGAUCAUCUGAGAACCUAGUUUUUCCUCACAGCAGAUCGGGCAGGUGCCAACCUCAUAGGGAGAAAGAUACCUGAUGCCUAUCGCUUCUUUGGCCAACUGCAAGGGCCUCUCAAGUUCAAAGCUAGGAAGCAAUAUCAAAUCAAAGUCUUCCAGCUUAUCAACUAGUUCAAGAAUCCUGUGGCCUAAAGCUACCAAAAGCUGGUCUUCAAGAAUUUCAGCUUCUGCUAUCUGUCAGAACAAAAGCCAAUAAAAAGACAUGCCCAGUUAUCAAAAGAUGCACAGAUGUCAAUUUGAUGCACGUACACAAGGGAAAGGCAACUGAACUGAAAUUGCAUGACGGUUAGUGAGUACUCUUUAGGUAAGGGGACCAAAUUUUAAUGAAAAGCGUAUAAAACCGCAAAAUACAUACAGUUAAAUGUUCAAAAGCGUAAGCAGCAGCAAAAUUAGAAGCACGUGGAGCAUACAGCUGCGAGUCCUUGCAUAUUCACCACCAUUCAAGCAUUUUAAUCAUCUCAAUUCAAGUCAAUGUGUUCUUGAGUGUAAAGUUUUAAUACAAAAGUGCUCAACCAGUAGCAUUUGUACACAUAGCCGAUUAGCCAUUGGACUUGCCAACAGCAUGACUAUAUCCUAUGAGCCUAUGCCUGAUUGAAUUGGUUAAAUAACUAAUUUGGGGUCAGCCAAUAGCUCCAGAAACAACAGCAACAUAGACAAUUACUAUAUGCAUAAUUCAUUCGUAUAUAUAAAAUUAUGCACUUUCAAAGCUGAAGAAAGAUUGAUUUGCACCCACUCACCACUUAUCAAUGCAAAUUUAGAAUCUGUGUGCUCGUUUUGAAGAGCAUGUUUACAGGCAUCAGGCCUAUGAAAUCUCCAAACAUAAAGCACACUAUGCGAAGUCCUAUUGCAGCAAGUAAUACUUCAACGAGCUGACUGAAAGUAGAUGCACUUCGAAGCUGAUGAGGGAUUGAUUUGCAACCACUCACAACGUAACAAUGCAGAUUUAGAAUCUGUGUAUUAGUUUUUUUUUAAAUAACGUAUCUAAGACAUUAAGAGUCCCAGUCAAGCCUAUGAAAUCUCCAAAUAUAAAGCACAGUAUGCAAAAAAAAUCGUCUUAUUGCAGCAAGCAAUACUUCAAUGAGCUGACUGAACUAGAUGCACACUUCACCAAUUCUGCGCAAGCAAUCAAUUAUGAGAAGACAAAAGGCUCUUCUUACCUGAAAGUAUAGCUUCUCUGAGUUGGUGAAGGCGAAGAUCUUCCUUAUCCCAUUCUGCAGCGCCACCAGCAGGCCAUCCAUGAGUGCCAAGUGCUCAGCCACCAGCUCCUCCACAUAGAAAUCCAGCUUCUUCUGCACCUUGAGAACAGGCACUCCUGGCGACCUCUCCAUCACCACUCCAAUCCCAGACAAUUUCUUCCCCUCUGCCUCAGGGCUUGACACGCCCUUGAAGAACAGGCGCACUGAGGUCUCAUCGAGCUCCCCCUUUGUGACACCGGCCGUGAAGGACUCCUCGGUGUCCUCCCACUCCUCCUCAUCCCCACAGCAGCUCCUGAAGUCAUCUUCCCCCCUCGAAUUGCCAGCACCUGCCUCAGGUAUCCUCUCCUCCAUCCUCAAACAAUGAAUGACGAAAUCCCCGCAACCAAUUGAAUCAGAAUGUCCUUCCAACCCCAAUUCCAGCAGCAAUCUCCAUCAGUAAGGGCACAAGCAGACAGCAAGGAAGCAAAAGUUCCCACCAAACGAGCCCUUUUGAGCUGAGGACCUCACCUAAUCCCAGCCCCGCGAAGGUGGCCUGUUCCUUUUUGCCGCAACUACUCCCGGGCCAGCACCAGUGGCCUACCUACUAGUGCAGUGACAACCCCACAGCACAGAUUGGGCGCUCCGGGAUUUCGGGUCAGAAAUUGAUGGAGGAAACGGCCAGGAAGCACCAGACGGAGCUCCAGAGCGCGAAUUCCAGAGCAGCGAUGGCGAAAUUGGCCGGGACGGCGACCAAAUUGACCCAGACGCUGGAGCUCUCCCCGAUCCUCCAGUUCCUCAUACGUGACCGGCUCGGUAAGCACUCGUAAGGGGGGGAAUUCACCACCACGAGGUCCUGUUCUUCUGCGAGAAAGAAAGGACAAGGGGUGAAUUUUGAGGAGUUGCACACGACAAAAGCUGCAGCAGGUGAAUCGACUGGAACUCCUAAAAUCAACGAACAAAAUUCAGCGAAAGUAAUCGAAAAAGAAAAAGGAAAAGAAAAAUAGAAGGAGACAUUACGCGCGGGCGCAUCUGCCGGCAAUUUCGCCCAAAAACUCCCCGCGAACAGAUCUAUGAAACGCCCAAGAAGAAGGCGAAAUUUGGGUCCAAAUUAAGGGCAGGAAAAAAUCACCGGCGUCAAGAGAAACGCCCUCGCGGCUGCUGCUGCUCUUGAACCAAGGAAAAAAAAUAAACGAUUUUCCUGAGAAAAGACGGUAGGGUGAAAGGAAAAAACGCGGGGCGAGGAGAAGUGCGAGGCAAUCGGCUCCCCCCGGGGGCAGGAGGAGUGAGUGAAGCCGGAUUUAGAACCUCGCGCGCGAAACAGGGGAGUGGGGAGAAGACCGGGGGGAGGGGAAAUCACCUCGUCUGAUGACCGGGGAGGGAGUCACGUCGAUGGAUGGAUGGAUGGAUGGAUGGAUGGAUGGAAGGGAGAGGGCCUGACCGCCGCCGGGCCGGGUGGCCUCGGUGAGGAGGAGGAGGUGCGGGCGUCGCAAAUGGGGACAAAGAUGGGAGCUUUUCCGGCGGCGGUGAGGUGAGGGGGAGGAGACAGGUAGGAGAGGUGCCUUUCCUGCGGCAGGGGGCGAAGAAUUUAUUCCUCCCAGGCUCCCUCCUACCGUUCGAGAGGAGUGGCGUUAAAGCAAGCGCCCGUCGUAAUUAUUCCUCCUCGCAGACCGCAGGGAGGCCUGCUAGUGGGCCGGGUUGAAGUGGGUGGCUGCCUGCAGAAGCAGCUGGCCUUGGGGCCUGGGCGGUGGCCGGUGGGCUGAUUGAUUGAUCGGGAGGCCCACGUGUCAGUGACAGAGAGCCAUGGCAACGGGACGGGACGGGGCGUCGCGGCGCGGCUGCCACGGUGCACACCGUUGCAGCGCUGAGGCGGCCGACUCGGUGGGUUGCUGACACAGGCAGCGGUAGCGACGGCACAACCACCUGCUCUUCGUCUCAACCUCGUCGGUCAUCACCAUCAUCAUCUCCCUCUCAUGCUCCAGAGGAGGAAGAAGGAGAAGGAUUAACAGUGUGCAAGGAAUCAUAAGGAGUCUACUAGUACAGUACCGUACCAAAGAUUAUGGAAUCAUUAAGCACUGCCACACCUGUAAAACACUGUCUGCCCUGUAAUAAACAAGAAGUUAGUACUGGUUGCUUUUUAUUGGCUCGUACGUUGCACUGUUCAUGGCAUUGGCACUUUGGCAGGCCAGGUUGGUUUGCAGGCUGUCCCUGAAGCUGUUGCUCCCGUCAUACCGUCAGCAGCUAGUGAUUCGCCAGGUCCCUGUCUCUCCCGAUCCGCCGCUAGAUCUCUGCCAUUAGUCAUGAGUACGUGUGCAUUUUGUCAAUGGCGUGCAUAAACCAGCAAGCAUUUGAUCGAUGUAAUCUUCCUAUGAAUUGCAAUGAGAAUGUAAGGGUCACUCUCGGAAAUGAGCUCGGAAUUCCAAAACCACACAGAAGAAAAGUUGAGCUUGAGGCUUUGGGGGGCCCAACCGCCGCCUGCCUCAAUCUUAUCACCAUAUGCAUCUCAUCGCUAGCGACGUGAGCGAUGGAGAUUCUCCAACUGAUCGAUUGCAGGACCCUGCCCUUGUCAUUCCGUGAGGCCACGACGAAACGGCCGGUCCAUAGAUGCUGCAGUGUACUUUACUCAUAAUAAUGCCGCACUCUACUGACAAAUUUUUUAGAUGGCACUGACAUUAUAACACGCAUGCGUAAUGUUGGUUUCUCUUCUGAUGAUGCGUAUUGUGCGUCGUGUCGGCUGCUCCAAAAACAAGUGCUUUGCACGUGCACGUUGCAUUGUGUCUGUCAAUGCAGCAACAUCGUUACGGAUACUCCGUCGGUCCCUUCGUUUCAAAUUAUAGAUUUUCUAAGUUUAUACUAGAUUGUUUUAAUUUUUCUAGAUCUCAAAUUCUAAAUUUUUAACUAAUCAGUAAUCUAGAUAAAGACAUGCACUUAGAAAAGUGAGAGCACUACAGAUUACUGAUUAGGAACCAUAACAUAACUCGCACUACUAGAAAAAACACCUCUCAUCCGGAAGGUUAGUACGGUCACUUUUUGAUCCGGUACAUGUUAGCUUUAGUACUGAGUCUAACGGAUAGCCCCCUAGGGGCCUCCGUGAUCCCCUUUAGUACCGGGUGGAAGUCCCACCCGGUACUAAAUCCCCCCUCCCCCACGCUGCUCCUCCGUGCGGCGUUCUUAUCUUAUCCCGUCGCCCGGCCCCUCCCUCCACGCUCUCUCACUCUCUCUCCCACGCGUUCUCCCUCCUCUAUCUCUCUCCCUUCACUCCUCUUGCCUCCCCUUCCCUCCCCCCUCCGCUCGCCCCUCACCGGCAGUGAGGAGCAGCGGCGGGGUGAGGUGAGGUGGCGGCAGUGGGCCGGGGCAGCGGCGACAACGCAGGAGGGAUGCGGCGGGGCGAUGGCGGAGGGGGGCAGGGCCGGGCGGGGCUGGUGGCGGAUUUUUUUUAAAAAAAAUUAAUACCCUCUAGUAUUGGUUAUUUCAACCGGUGCUAAAGAGGUCCCCCUCUAGUACCGGAUUGCUAGUACCAGUUGCACAAUUGGUACUAGAGGAGGAGGUUCCGAACCAUUAGUGCGAUGCAAGCAUGCAUGGAAACAAAAACGAAAAAAAAAAGAAAAGAAUCACUUGCUUGCAGUUGGCUCCAAAACACUUGCAUAUAUAAUUGAACAGCUCCAUUCGAGAAGAUGAAUGAAUGAAUACACGUGACAACAGUAUGGGUAAGAUUCUUUCCUUCCGUGGCGUGGAGUGGAGCGUGGAGACGGUUGGGCUGCAGAGAAAAGAGAUGCACCGGAACAGAGCAAACACGCUGCAGGCUGCGUUCAGCACAAGGAGACAAGGGAAGGGUCAAACACGUGGCGCGGAUGGUAGGUACCUACAGGCUACAGUUACCUCCACUAGCCCCCUCUUCUUCUUUUACCACACCCACCGUUCGAGGCGUUGACAGUCACUAAUCAUAUUUUUCACUCAUGUUAGGAUCCGAUCAUGCAUGGUUGGCAGCACGUACAAUUCCUUCUACCAUUCCUGUCUAGUUCAAUUGUGCAGCACGUACAAUGUCCAAGCACAAGAGAGCUCUGGAUUGGACGAUGAAGAAGAGGCACUAUUGGCGGCAGGCCGCAGGCGUACGUUCAUUGCCGUGAUGCAUGGGGUUAGGAAACUUUUUCAUGCAUAACAGUAAGGUGCAUGCGCUCCUGGUUGGACCGACCAGCCCCACUCACCGACACACCUGGCCCCACCUAGCUGCUCAAUAAUGCUACUUAUCAGUAGUACUGUCCCAGAGAUUAUCAAAUCAUCAUUAGACACUGUCAGUCAGCAACACCUGCUAAUAAUGCUUCAUGUAUCUUCAAUUUCUUUGUUCCUGCACCCACACAUGAUGACACAAGCACACUGACUCGCUCCCCCUCGCUCAGGAUAAUAGCACAAACACAACCACAUGCAGCAUCGCCUAAACAAAAACUAAUAAACUAAACAGAAGCAGCCAGCAGGAUUAGUAGUCAAGCAACCUUAGUAUACAAUUAUGGUCAUUUUGCUACCAACUGACACGGGCAGUGAUAUGAUGAUGCGCAGCAUAGUUAGGGGCCAGGUGUCAGUCAGUGAGCAGUGAGUAUGCUUAGUUUCCAAGCGACCUCUUGCAUUGCAUCGGGCGUAUCUGCCGUGCAUGUGUGGUUGUGUACGUGUGCAUCACUACAAGAAGGAUGUUACGAUUUGGACGGUGGCACAUGCAUCGGAGCCGUGCUUAACCCGGCAAAGAUUUGAUCCAUGCAAUCACCAUCAUCUAAAUGCAUCUAGGUGCCACGUAAUUGAGGUAACCGAAAAGACCACUGCAUCUCGUAUGCCAUCGAUGCCAGCCUCCAUGACUGGGCUAUCUCUUGGGCUAUCAGCGCCCCGCCGGCCACGGGCACCAGCAGGGAGAUCGAGGAAGUCUUCCGCGACGAGUUCCGGCUGCGCUGUCGUCACCAAGCAUCACCCAGGAUCGCCGCCGGGCACACCAAAAGUACCAGAAAUAGUCCUUCUACAUGUGCACUAAUUCACAUGUAGAUUAGAAGAUCAACUCGUCAGGACUUCUGCACCUAGCCGGUCAGGCCGGUCCUCGUAAGAGCACCGCGAAAACCUACGUCCACCAUCUCGGGAGGGAUCCCGUCAGAGAUAGUGAACCUAAGGUUGCUCUGAGAUCAGCAGGCUACUCAGAACGUUCUCAACCGUUGUCGAGAUGAAGGAGAAAAGCAAAGGGGUUGGAAAAGCUAAGGUUUGGAGAUAAAAAAAUGUAAAAGAUAUGUCUGUUGAUUGGGUGGUGCCCCUCAAUCAGUCAAGAACCUUUAUAUUUAUAGGGUGAGAGGUCUUUUCUCGUAAGAAAGUCCCGUUUCAACUCCAAUUCGGUCAAGACUCUAAGAUUCGUCUCGGACUCCUGGUUUGACGCGUGGGGGGCCGUAGCACACGCGGAUGCGUUCCCACCCGGGACUUCGAUGACGUACGCGCCUACGCCAAGGAUUGCACCGGGCCCGCCUAGGACCCCUUCGACUGAGCCGACCACGCCAGCGACCACCCAACCGCGCCAGCAAAACUGCUCCGACUCCUCGGACUGUCCAUAAAGACCGAUCUGACCGGCUGAUCCAGCCUAGUCAGCAUUGCUGCCACUUUUUUUUGCUAACACCUUCCUUACCAGAUUCAAGCACCGACACGACUGCGAGCGGGCAACCAACCUGGGCUUCGUGAAGAGACAUGGCAUCGACAUCCGCUUCGUCAAGUGGCGGAGCUUGCGCACGCACGGCCAAGGGCAUCUCCAUGCUCUUUCGUGUCAAGCUCUGGCUUGACGGAGUGCCCAGGCAGGCGUGGGAUGCGGACAUCGUCAAGCGCGUAAUUGGGAGGCGUUGCUCGCUGGAGAAGGUCGAGACCGACCUCAUCUUUCCGGCGGAGACAAAGGUGAUCCACCUCUGGGCAUGGACUGCCAAUCCGUGCCUGAUUCCAAAGAGAGUUUGGCUCAUCAUCGCAAGCAGAGCUAAAGAUCCGACGCUUUCGUCAGUGAUGGUGAGAGAAACACCAGCGGAGCACUGGCAGCAGGGGCGCCAGUACCCAGUGCUACUUCACCUGGAGGAAAUACACGACUACACCAUGGCCACAGUGGAUGAGCAUGGCGUGUUCUCACCCGCCAAGCGUCGUCUCCCCCCUGGGCACCUGGGCGUUCUUGAUGGUGAACCGGCGCCAGCACCAGCGGUGGAGGCCUUCCCAGAUUCACACUGGGACCGUGCAGAUGAUGGCAACUACAGGGGCGACAGGCGCUCUGAUGGCCGUGAGGUCAGGCGCUCACGCGGGCGCUACCACAAUGACCAUCCUGACUUCGAGCGCUUCGACCGUCACAGUGCAGCACUUUGUUGGAAAGGAACAAUUGGAUCAGGGACCUUGAGCUGCGUCACAUAUGGGCAAGCAUUUCAACUUGUUGGAACUUCAUCCGGCAAACUGGCAGAACCUGAAUCGCUCGCUGCAGAGGUGGUGGGAGGACGACAGAGCAAUGAUGGCAGCAGCUUGCUCUUUGUUUUGGGCCUACUAGAUAGAGCAGGAGGACAUCAUAUGAUGGGCCUCGAUUUGACCCAACAACAUGAUGGAUGCUGUCUGUGCUGCUGCUUCGUAGGCCGGACUCGCCGCAGCAAACAGCCCAGCACGGCCUACUGGGGAACUUCGUGCUGACCUGUCCCAAGGACUGGCAGUCUCACGGACUCACGGUAAAGGUAAAUUAGCUGCUGCAGGAUUCUGAGGGCGUGUUUGAUAGUAAUUCUUAUCACAUCAAAUGUUCGGAUGCUAAUUAAGAAGAUUAAAUAUGAGCUAAUUAUAAAACUAAUUGCAGAAGCCUUGGACUAAUUCGCAAGAUGAAUCUAUUAAGUCUAAUUAAUCCAUCAUUAGCAAAUGGUUACAUUAGCACCACAUUUUUAAAUCAUGGAUGAAUUAGGUUUAAUAUAUUCAUCUCGUGAAUUAGCCUCCAUCCGUGCAAUUAGUUUUGUAAUUAGCCUAUACUUCUAAUUAGUAUCAAACAUCCGAUGUGAUGGAGGCUGAAGUUUAGCCCAUGUGAAACAAACACCCCCCAGGCAUCAUGCUCAUGCAACAUUUGCUGCUGUUCCUGUUCAUGGUACCAACAAAAACAUUUUGCAUUUUAUGUUACAUCAAUGUGAUCAACUAUCAUUCUUUUUGCAAGCAGUCCUGUCCAAACCAAAAAACAAAUCCAAUUGUUCCAAACUAUGGAACACCAAGUGGUAGCCAGCGCCCGCAAGCUUGGAUAUCCUUGGCUCUUAGGUCCCGUUUUGUUUCCCUCCAUCAGGAUUGAAUAAGUUGGAUUACGGUCCAAAAGCUAACUUUUUCACAUUAUUUGCGUGGAAUCAUGUAGAAAAAAAGCACGCAUACGACGUUGUAGUUUCUUCAGCAGCCUGAGGUGCGGAGUGACGGCUGUUGCUGCAGCGCGGGGAGCGACAGUGGCAGAUCCCUUUUUUUUCUCAUUCUUGGCCUGCUCCACAUCCUCCGGCAGCAGCGUCGCCCAGUACCAGUACGGCGCCAAUGAAUGGAUCGGAACAGCCGGAGUGGCGGGGCAGAGCGAGAGCCGAGAGAGAGAACGACAGAUCGAUCUGACCGGUGAUCAAGAGGUCGAGACCGUGGCUGCUGGCUGGCCUGCCGGACAGGGCCGGCGUGCGAUCGAUCUAGCGAGCGAGGCGCCCGACGGCCGACGCCGGCGCCGCCUCAGUCCUCACCCACCGUGCCGGCGAGGCCGCGCUGCGUUCGGCUCCGGGUCCGGUGAAGGAGCAGCAGGAGGAGCAGGAGCCAGCUGCCCCAGCCCCGUCGGCAAACCCCGACCGUCCCCCAACCGCAGCAGCAGGCACGCAAGCAGAGGUGCCCCACGGCUUCCGUGGUUUUCAGCCGAGGCGGAUGGUCCCCGACAGCGAGCGGGCCCCGUACCAGCAGUAGCCACGCCAUGAUGAGCCACGGCUAGCAGUUGGCUGCCGCCCGUACGCCGCGCUCCACCACUCCCACGUCUCCACCCCCGCAUCUCGUACUCGAUCUGUCUCUCUCUAGAUCUCGGCACAGCGAUCCAUUCCUGUCGACCUCUCUCCUCUGUUGGAUGAACCAUGUGGGCCAUGUUUAGUUACUCCCAACUUUCAACUUUAACAUUAUGCAAAAAGAAAAUUUUUCAUCACAUCAAACUUGCGGUAAAUGCAUGGAGUAUUAAAUGUAGAUGAAAUUAAAACUAAUCGCACAGUUUUGUUGUACUUUGUGAGACGAAUCUUUUGAGCCUAAUUAGUCAAUAUUUGGACAAUAAUUCACAAAUACAAACGAAACGCUACAUUGUGCUACAGUGCUAGCACAAUAAUUUUGCAUCUUCUAAGGGGGUGUUUGGAUACGAGGUGUUAAACUUUAACAGUGUCACAUCGGAUGUUCGGAUGCUAAUUAGGAGAACUAAACAUGUGCUAAUUAUAAAACUAAUUGCAGAACCCUGUGUUAAUUCGCGAGACGAAUCUAUUAAGCCUAAUUAAUCCAUCAUUAGCAAAUGGUUACUGUAGCACCACAUUGUCAAAUCAUGGACUAAUUAGGCUUAAUAGAUUCGUCUCGCGAAUUAUACUCCAUCUGUGCAAUUAGUUUUGUAAUUAGCCUAUGUUUAAUACUCUUAAUUAGCAUCCAAAUAUCCGAUGUGAUGGGUGUUAAACUUUAACAGCUGGUUGCCAAACAGGCCCUAAUUCGACCAACUAAACAAGGCAGUCGGAUCGAUGGGGGGCUUUUCCCUUGGUUGUGAGUGAAACAGUGGACCAAUCCAUCCUGACAAAGGGGGGGAGGCCGGCGGGGAAAGGGGGAACGAACGAUGCAUUGCUGCUUUAUAGCCACCAUGCAUGCCACGUCAGGCGCCAUGAUCUUUUACUUUCCAGCUCGUAUAUAUUUUUUUUUCCUGCUAGUAAAACUCGCAUCUUGUUUUUGGUUUCUACUUUUUUUUCUCGACGGCAAGGGCAUGCGGCACCGGUGCCUGGUUACACGUGUACAACGGCAGGUUGCAGCCCAACACACAACGAACGCGGUUUAUUUAACUUGGCACGCACGCAUUUAUUUAAACAAAUUUUAUCCCCAUUCUAGCUAUGACGUACUACGUAGCGGCCAAGAAAGCAUAGGCCUUGGCUGGUGACCGUUGACUUGACUGCUAGCGCAAGGCGAGCCAUCAGCCAUGCCCAUGGAGUCCAUCCAUCGGGGUUGGUCAAGUCAACGACGACGCUACCUGCCCAGCCCAGCCCAAUCCGUUGGUCUGAAACGUUUGCUGCCGGGGAUCCAAGGGCCCUAAAAAAAACAAGAAGAAACAGAAGAAAAAAAGGAAAUGUUUGCCGGUGCUCUCGGAGGCAGCAGGCGCGCAAGGACGCCAAAUCGGACGGCAGCCUCCAGAUCAGGGGCCGUGACGUCAUCCCCCGAGAUCCGAUAUCUCCAAUUAAGAUCCUGUCAGAUAACUAGAUCGCGUGAUAUCCCGAGUAUUUUCAUUUUCCUUCGCUCAGGAAAAGAAUGGCCACGCGGCCCCCUUCCUCUCCCACUGACAUGCGGGCCCGCGGUAACAAACAUUCUCCAAACUGCCCCUAACGAACCGGCCACGAUCCCCGCCGCCUCCGCCUCCCCCUUUCCCCCAUUCCCCCUUCCCGUGCUAUUUAAAACCCCUCGCCGCCUUCCGCCGCACCCAACCGAUCCGAUCCCCUCCCCUCCCCUUCCCCCGCAACCACCGCCGAUCGCCCAAACCCUAGCAAGUAGCAACCCAAGCAAGCGGCGCCGCCGAUCGCCAUGGACUCGGACCAGGAAUCCUGCAGCGACGAUUGGGUCGUCCUCGACUCCUGCACCUCCUCCGACGACGACGACCGCGUCCUCGCGCUCUCCUCCGGCUGCGGCACCCCCUCCUCGGGCUCCGCCACCGACUCCGACUCCGACGACGACACCACCGACAUCCCCAACCCCAUCCUCGCCGCCGCGGCCGCAAUCGCCGCCACCGCCGCCGCCGACGACGCCGAGGGCGUCUACGCGCUCUCGGACGCCGAGGACGACGACGCCUACCCACCCCCCUCCCCGCCCCUCCCCAAGCCGCUCGCGGGCCUCUUCCACCACACGCUCGCCCGCUCCGUCAGCUACGUCGCCUUCGACCCCGUCCCCGGCGCCGCCGACGCCCACCACGGCGCCAAGCAGCUCGUCCCGGACCCCACCUUCUCCGCCCUCAUCAGCGGCGACGCCGGCGUCGCCGCGCUCGCCUCCAACCGCGGCCUCGUCUGCCUCCGCGGCGCCGCCCGCGGGGUCUACUACGUCGCCAACCCGCUCACCUUCACGGUCGCCCGCCUCCCCCGCCCCAACCUCGACCACUUCGCCAAGGGGGACCCCGCCGUCGUCAUCACCUUCGACCUCGACAACCGCGACGACUAGGAGGACGAGGAGAACUCAGCCACCGCCGCCGACGACGGCCGCCGAUUCUACCGCCACUACCACGUCGUCGUCGCGUUCCACCUCGGGGACGGCAUCUACGCCUUCGAUUCGUUCUCGUCGAGGACGUGGGGCUGGACCGUCGGCACCGGGAUCGUCGCCGCCGAGACCGUCGUGUCGUCCUCUGGGGUCGGCGCACUCGGGUGCGCGUUCUGGCGCACCACCAUGGGCUUCUUCCUCUGCUACGAGCCCGUCUCGGGAUGCGCGGACCUCGUCCCCGCGCCCAUGGAGGUGCUCCAGUGGCCCAACUGGGAGCUCGGCGAGAUGGAGGGCAAGCUCUGCGCCACCUGCAUCGGCGAGCGUGUCAGCGCCGUCGUCAUCCAUCUGCCUCGACUUCGCGCGCCGCAACUCCGACGGCGCCGUCGCCUGGACUCUGGGCGGACACUUCGAGGGAGGCUGCCUCUGGGGACGCCAGGGCGUCAUGCUGCUUCGAUCGCAGGGUAAGGCCGAGGUCGUCAUGUGGGACCCCAGUGCCGAGAUGGUCGUCGCCAUGGACCUCGAAGGGCGCACCACGCGCACCAUCACGUUCAUCCCCCCAGGCACCGGAUACUGCGCAGAUUUCAUCCCCUACGUCAGCACAUUGGCCGCCGUCUCUGCAUCCGGGUAAAACUUCCAUCCAUCCGACUCCCUGCAUUUUCAUCCUGCACUAUGUUUGGUCGAUCAAUUGAAUGUCUAGAUUCCUGCUUGCAGACUAGUUUCAGCAAUUUCAGUGUUGGUUGAUGAACGGGGUCAUCUGAGUUUGGUAGUUACAGGAUGCGGACACCAUUUGGAAUAGUAUGAUUGUUAGAUUUUAAAAUCCAGUCCAUGCAAAUGGUACCCGUGAAUUCAAUUUGGUGCGUGUUUGGCUUAAUUGCAUCAGCUACUAAAUCAUGUAACAACUGCUGUCGAAUGAAACUGCAUUGGUCCCAAUUAGAAUCUUGUGCUGCAAAUUCGGUUUUGUCUGCUCAUAUAGGCUAGGUAGCUUGCUCUAUCUGUCAAUGAAUUGAUUAGCUUUCAUUCACAUGCUGUGCUCCUUUUGGUAGGCUUUUAUUAAAUAUUUUCUGUUGGUUUUUACUAUUACCCCUGUUGUUAAAAUGAGGGGAGAGUUCCAGUUUGUCUUGUAUUUUGGUCUAGUUAACCAGUCUAGUAAAACAGAAAACCUGUCUGCAGUGCACAAGCAGAGUGUCUUAACAACUCUUCUUUAACAUAACAUGGCAACAAAUGAUGUUAUUUGAUCUCAUUGUAAAGUAGGGUACUUCUGUCCAUAUUCCUGCUUUGCCUUUGGUUAUAGUAUCUUCGAUUGGCUUUCGAGCUAUCAGAAUUCAGAAAUAGAAUUCAGAAAUUAAGAUGUGUUGGUUUCGUACUUAGGUGCUCUGAAUUUGGAUGAUGGUUUUCAGAUUUCGCAGAAAAUAUUGUGACAUUGUGGCAUUUGAUAUUUUAUUCAUAUAUGAUGUUAUAAUGCACUUUUGGCUGUAAUUGUUAAAAGAGCAAUUUCAUCCUUUCCAGCACUGCAUGUCCAAUAGUUUAUAUAUCAUGGCUUAAUAAUUCAUUAACUAGAGUUGGGUUGCUUUUAUGUUUUUUCUUGUCCAGUAAUGGGUCGCGUGCUGAGCCUAGGACUAAAUCUACUAAUGAGGCUGGAGCAGCGUAUAACGCUAAAUCUACUAAUAAAGCAGGUGAUGCUGAGACAUACUAGAGUUGCAACAGCUAAAUCUGUAAGUAUCUUUACCCUCUGAAAGAACCUCAAGAAUCUAUACUUAUAUCUUUUUUUUUUAUUAGCAUGUAUUGCGCCAUUCCAUCUGAGUUAUGAUACCAUUGUAACGUCGGCUGCAGGUACCAAACCUGGAAUGAUUCUUUGAUACUAAGGAAUAAUGAAGCUUCCAGAUGUGUGCAGCGCAUAAGAGAAGCAAGAAGCAGCAUUCUUUGAAGCAGUUUUGCCUGCUAGUAUCUCUCAUGCAUCUUUUGCACUGUCUAGUUGUGGUAAAAACCACGUACUAGCUAGCUCUCUUAGUGUACAAAUGUAGGGUUAAGCCGGUCUGUCAAACAGUAAGUCCAAAACUGGUUUAGCUAGUAAAAACGCGGGUGGAACUAAUACGUCCUCUUGUGGUGUGACAGUUCGAACUACGACUUGGUUCUUUUUGAUGCGGUUGUUUCUGAUGUGUUUGCCUUUCCUAUUUGACUUUUUUUGUUUAUACUGCGCUGUGCCUAGUUCGUGCAGUAUUCUGCUAGUGUUGGCUAUUUUUGAACUCUCCUUUGCAGCUUCAAUCUGCUUGAGUUUUUGUGUUUUGUAGAGCAGGAGGAUGGCAUUGUCAAAUUAAAUUCGUUCAUUGAACUUUUUAGUACCACUAGAUUGGUGUACUUGGAAUUGUUGCUGUUUUAGAGAAUAUAAGAUGGGAGUGCAAGAUCUUUUGUUGGUUGCAUACUGGUAUUGCUUAUGUUUGCCAUUCAGUUAAGAGCAGGCAGUUGAAUCUUGUGAAAAUGGUCCUACUGUUCUUGUGAAUUUUUGCCCUUAUUCAGCCGGCUUAUCAGCCACCGAACAGUGUUUUCCUCUCACAACAAAUCAGCCGUUUCAGCUUUUCAGCCGGCUUAUAAGCUGAAGCGAACAGGCCCAUAUAAUAAAGCUCCUAUACCUUAGUCAUCUCCGGCUUGUUUCACCACGUAAAAGCUCAUGAACAUAGCUGCUAGUAUAUCUGAUACUGAUGAUAUCCCAGUCACCUGAGUCCCCUUUUGUUUUAGCAGUAUCAGUAUGCAAUUGUAGGGGGCACUGCGUGUCCUCGAAGCCUAAAACUUAUGCUCCUCGUAAUAGCAUCCCUGAAUAUUACAAAAGAAGCUGUGUGUUUAUGCUUAUUUAGAAUAAAGCAUUUAUAUAAACAAAAACAUUUUGUUGGAACGUGGCCAGAAAGUACCAAGUGACCAUCCUAUAUUAAUGAAGCCAUUUGUAAAGCUUAUAAAGCCAUUUGUAAAGCUUAUAAAGGAUCUCAGAAAAACUGUGUAUGCGCUCAUCCCGAACCAAGAAAGAAUUUGUGUAUUUAAUUUUCAGAGUUAUACUACAAACAGAAGAACUCUGAAGGACAAAUUAUUUUCACCGGAGUUCUUAUUCUGAGUUCUAUCAAAUGGUAUUGCCCCCUUUUUUUUUCCCUCCUGGGACAGAAACUUAUUACCCUCUCACUCAUUCACAAAAGGAGAUGACAUUGCAAUCCAUCAGAAAAAUUAAGUGCAAUCAAAAUUCUAACUGUUGGGCAUGAUUAAACAAAAAAAAAUUACGCAUUUAAAGGGUCUAUCUGGUUUAGAUAAGAUCACUACAACUGCAGUGUUUCAAAACAAUGGUUAUUUCAUACAUUGAAUUGUUGGUUCAAAACACAAAUAUGUGUAAAAUUACAAAUGAAAUAAAGAUAUUUGCAUCAAGAUACCUCUUUCUCAUGAACAGUUCCUAGAAUUUGACAUCUCACAAUUAAUCGAUUGCCUAAGCAAAUAGCAUUUGACAUCCCAGAGCCGCCAUAUGCUUGGCUCCAGCCUGAACCCACAGCUGACCUUCCUUGACGAUGAUGUUAUGUAGCGUACAUUCAAAAUGACCAGUGACGCCCUUAGUUGAUGCAAAAUGGGCAGGUAUGCAUGGAUACCAUUUGCAUAACCAGAACAAACCUAUUAUACAUAGAACAGCACAAACCAAUUCAGAGGUGCAACCACGGAUAUACGUAUCAAACAAACAAACAAACAAAAACAAGCAUGCUCAGAUAAUGACAUUCACCAACAGUAAUGAAAUUGCUCAAAAAAACUGCACUGAAAAUCACAUUGUGCCCAGAACAGCAAAAGCCUAAGCCUAACCAUGUUCAGAAAACCGUAACUAACAGGUUCAGAAAACACCAUUCGUACACCAAUACUGAAAUUGCUGUACUUUCAAAAGCUAGGCUGCAUUACUGCAAGCAGGCAUGCUCAGUGGCCGAACAUACAUUCCAAACUACCAAUCACGCUUGCACUGGCAAUCACACUAUGCCCAGAAAAGCCAAAGCCCAACCAUUCACACUACCGAUCACGCUUUCAUAAUAGAAGUUUGAUACUUGAUGUAUUACUAUAAGAGGAUUACAAGUGCUUUGUAUGCCAAUACCUAUUUUGAUUGUUUCAUUUGUAUCAUCAAAUAUCACCGUAGCGUUAGCACGGGCACCAUACUAGUUAGUUGAUUGGAAACGCUCUCAAUUGUGCAGAUGUGCAACAGCACCCUUCACAGUCUCGGAGAACGAACUCCGAGUUGCAAGACAGGCCACGGGUAGCAAAUGAUGGUCACACACAUCACCCAUGGGCAAACUCAUUCCCAGCCAACAUACAAACAUGUAAUGAGCAUGCUGUUCUGCCGCUCCGCCCGCAGCUCUGCCGCUGGCCUCGAGGUGUUCCGGCCUCAACGAUGCGCAUGCUGAUAGCGUUAGCGCCCUUCUGCUGUUCUGCAGAAGUUGAUGGCACCUUCAGCCUGACAAAAAAUGCCCUUGAGGUGAAAAACGUUCGGAAUUUCAGACGGCAAGCUCCUUGCAGCUGGUCCUCGAUGCACGAAAACAUCUCAGGAGAAGCAAACGUGGCUGGCAGUCACAGUUUACUGCUGUCGUCAGACAUCCAAUCGGAAAUGGAUGGGAAAGACCCCGCAUGAUCUAAAUGCUCAAAAUUGUUGCUUUCAGAAUUGCUUUCAUGAUUCAGCGUAUAAGAUGACAUCUCUGUGAUGUUUGCUGAGGUUACACACACACACCGGUUUGCUCUAUAUAGGCCCAGUAAUGCCUAAUGGCGUUUACAGCUCAGUAGUUCAUAAUAGGUUCAUUGCACGCUGAAAUGCCUGUCAUUUUACAAUGGACAGCAAUAUAAAUGAGACACAGUAGUUUGCUAUAUGAUUAAAUGAACCCUUGCGAAGUGAAGUAUCUCUACAGUCUGGCGUGAUGAGUGUUUUGGAAGAUCGCAAGGCAAAAUGGUAGUUGACCAUCUGGUACAAACAAUUUUGUCAUGUAUGCUCACAUGAUAUGAGUAAGAGACAAUCGAAUUUGUACAAGGAACUCCAGUAAAAUUUUAUUAACCUUCAAUCCAUUGGGCUCAUACCCACAUUGCAAUGAGAAACAGAGGCCUUGAUGCAAAUGGAAUGGAUCAAUGGGACCUGACCUCAAGGGCUUGAAAUGGGAAAGAGAGGCUUUGUGGUGUGUAGGCCGAAUAGGACCUGGUUUAUGAAUGGGCCGAAGCCCAACAGGAGAUUGUGUAGGGGAGAGAACAGGAGGAGGGUAGAGGGAGGAAGAGAAGCGUUGAGGCAGAGCCAGCCGCCUCCAGCUCCGGCAGCCCUCCCAGCAAGCAAGGCGGCGGAAAGAAUGGCUCUCCGGCGCAGCGUCGGAUCCCUCGCGCUCCGCUCCGCCGCCGCCUACCUCCGCCGCCACUGCCCCCUUCCCCCUCCUCCACCCGCCCUUGCCGCCCCCGCUCCCAUCCGCCGCCCGCUCGCCCCGCAGUGCCGCCACUUCGCCGCGCCGCCUGGUACUCAGGUACGUACCCGCACCCAACCCUCUCCCGCGAGGAAAGUUCUGCUGCUGCGGCUGCUUCCUUGCAUUUAUUUCCCCUUCCUGCAUCCCCUGCCUUGUAACCUAGCAGCUUGCUAUCUUCUUCUACUGGGGAAUUUUCGUGGCUCCUGCCCUGUGAUGAUCCAUUCCCGUCUCAACUUUGUAGGCCAAUAGGAAGGGAGGCAAGGAGGACGACGAUGACAAAGCGGGCCUCCGCAUCAACAACGCCAUCACCUCUCCCUUCGUCAGGCUCGUCUCAGAUGAUGGCCACAAUGUUGUCCCCAGGCAUGAAGCGCUGCAGAUAGCUGCCAGGAAGGACAUGGACUUAGUUGAGGUACGCCAUCCACCAUGUAUUCCACUGACGUCCUCUUUUCCCCCAAACCCAAAUCUCACAUUGUUCUAGUGAUUUGAUUCCUGCACCCAAUCAAUACUGCUUAUCAAGUAAAGCUCUUAUUUUUUCAGUAAAAAGGUCACGCGUGACUCAUGACACUGCCUUUACAUACUAUCAAGAAUUGGCCUGUGGCAAAUCUUAAUAGAUCACAUGCCAUGACUUAUAUUGUAUAUGCAUCCUUGCCGGACAAGCUUAACAACUAAAGUUUCUCAAACACAAUAUCACAUCAGACUUGCUGUCCUGACUAACUUUCUCAUUUGAUAUGCCAUAAUUGCUCGAAACAAGGAAUGCAAUGGAACUGCCCAUUUCCUUGUAGUUUCCCUGAAUAUGCUAUCGCUAUCAACCUUGAGGAGAAACAAGCGUGGUCGUUUCUUCUAAUUGCUUAAAUUAUCUUCAUGCUCAUGGUUAUCUUCCCGUGCAGGUCGACAGAAAAGCAAACCCUCCUGUAUGCAAAAUCAUGGAUUUUCACAAAGAGAAGUAUAAGAAAGAAACCAAAGAGAAAGAGCGAUUGAAAACCAAGGUAUCUACCCCUUCAGUGAAUUUUCUAUCUAUUUCAGCCGUACAAAAUAGAAUUACACAUCAAUAUAACUGCACUUUCAAUUUUGAGUGUCCAAUAUAUGCAACAAAUACAGUUGUAUUAUCAAAUCUAGACUCCAUUUUAGUUGGCUAGUUGUGAACAAACAAUUCAUCGCAUCUCUUUAGCUCUUACAGUUAGCCUGACUCUUAUAGAUUUCACUCUUGUAUCAAUAGGAUCAUUACAAGGCAAAGAUAAUAUCUGAGUUUGCAUGAAAGCAGUGGCAUCUGUUUAGAUGGAUCAUUGUACACAUACUUAAUCAUGUCAAUAGGAUAAGAACAAGUUGCUUUGUAGGGGUUAUAAUCAUGAGCAAGGUACCUUUCUGGUCGUUGAGUGAAAAUGACCAGAUUUUUUGGGUAUUCCUUUUUGGGCCUGCCAUCUAUUAACUUCUGCCGAUUUGAGGCUCUUAACUAGUAAGCAUUUAAGUUCGGAGCUAUUCAAAAGAGUGGUAACCAUAUUAUCUCCUAUUGUAGUUGUCGUACUUUUGCUUGGAUCAUGUCAUAUUGUAGAACUAUUCCGGUUGUGAACUUUGUAUCUGUGCCUCAUUUUUGCAGUCUGCUAUUGUCUUACGUGGUGGGGAAAACAAAGAAGUGCGAUUCAAGGGGAAAACAGUAAGUUGUUUUUUUGGCUUCUAUUACUUAUGUGACUGUAGCCUCGCCUUGGCAAUAACAGUUUAUCAGGUUCAGAUAUAGAGUAGCGUGCAGACUUGAUUAAUACCUCAUAACUGGAGUAUAGCUUGUUUGGACUGCUGCAAGCUUAUGUUCUGUUUAUUUGGAUCUAUAUGGACAAAUAGACCCAAUGCCUAGUUGAACCUGAAUCACUUUUCUCAGGCCAAUUUUAAACUGUUUCAGCAUUUAAACAGUUCAACAGUUACCAACAUUGUGAUCAUUUUGGAGACCUUGUGGCAUGCAUCUUUGUUGACAAACACUAACUUUUUCAUGUAGGAACUAAAAGAUUUGGCAGUGAAAGCAGAUGCAAUUACCAGAUUAAUGGAGCGGGGUUACAGGGUGAAGGUGAGUUUUUUCUUCUUUGACAGUUAUUAUUUAUUCAGUUCUGCAAUACUCGUGGCAACACAAUUAAAUCAUUCUCAAUCAGCUAUUCUUUUUUUUUUCCUAAUCUCAUGAUGAUUCAUAUAAAAUGUUUUGUGAUGUUUGCUGGACAAUCCCUAACAAAUUGAUGCACAUAGACACAAGGAAGCUAAUUAGUAAAUAUUAGCAAGAAUGAAAAGGAAGUUUCUGUAGAUCUGUUUUCAAGUAUAGCAUGAUCUGUUGCAUCUUGCAGGGUUCAGUCUUAGUUUUUAUGGACGUUCCUUUGAUUGGAUUGUUUCUUUUUCUUUUUCCAUUUUUUGUGUGUGGUGGGUGGGUGGGGGUGGAGGAGUCUGGCAUUUCUGAUGAGACACAGAAUUGGCUCAUUAUGAUCAGAAUAGGAUUAAGGCUACGAUGACUAUGUCUUUUUCAGUGGAGAUGAUUGGUGGCCUUAUACGAUGUGGGUGUCAUUUUUACAAAUGUGCUCUGAAUGAGCAUCCCUAUAUCCAUUUGCAACUAAAUCUCCAACUGUGUUAUCCUUAUUCAACAUAUCUGCAUUUUUUAUUCAUAGUCAUAUGCAUAUAUUUAUCCUAAACUUUUAAGUACGAACUCUGAAAAUCUCAAUGACGUUCCUAUUUGACAGUGCAUGGCCAUGCCCUCAGGUAAUGAAGGAGAAGAUUUAGGAGCACCACUAUCUCGGUUGUUAGGACUUGUGAGUACUCUGCCCCUUUUCCCCCUGUUGCUCAUUAACCAAAUGCCAUCAAAUUCAUUUUGAGACUAGAUGAGGUCCUGGUAACAUUUCCAAUUCUGUUGUCAGUAAAAGCUUACAUGUUUCAAUAAAUCCCAUCAAUUGAACAGAUACAAGAUGUGUGCAUUGUCGAAAGUGGUCCACACUUAGACUCGAAGCAUGCAUACGUUAUUGUCAGGCAUGUGAAGUUUGCAACAAAGAAGGGUGGAAAGAAAGCCAGCAAAGCCAUGGAAGAUGCUGGAAAAGGUACCCACAGUACUGCACCUGUUGCUGGUAAUGAUAGUGAAGAUGAGACAAUUGAAUGUGGUGGGGAAGCUGUUGAGAAAACAGCCACCCAUCACUCCAGUGAUUCUCCCAUCCAAAAAGAAGGGCAGGAUAGAAGAUUUAAAAGGGAGUUGAAUCGAUCGAAACCAGAUCCAGGGGCCAACCGUGAAAAAUUGCACAAUGCCAAUGCUGGGGGAAGCAGAAUGAAUCCUGGGCAGUGGGGACCACAAGCAUCUGAACGUAGACUUGGUGAUGUAAACCCUGGCAUGGAAAGGCCAGAGAAUAGCACGCAGGAUCAAAAACCUGGUGAAACAAACAGGUAUGCUGCUCGAAAACAGCCGAUGAGAGGAGAUAACAACCGAGGUUUCAACCAAGGAAGACCCGUGCAAGAUGGUAGAAGUGAAAAUGCAGGCCGUUAUGAAAACCAGAGACCUCCUCUGGAGCAGCAGCAUAACCGACCGUUACCAAGGUUCAACCAAGGUGGAUUGCCACAGGAUCCAAGAAACGACAGGAGAGGUCAUUUUGCAUCGAACAACAACAACCAAAGGCAACCUGCAGGUGGUGGUGGUUUAAGCAGCGAUCCUAAUCAAACAAGCAAGAGUUUUGGAAUCUUUAGUAGUACUCCAAAACCUGCCUCAUCUGAUAUGAGAAAGACAGAUGGUGCUGGUACUGCUAGUAAGCCUGGUAAUACCGACUCACCUAAAAGCUUUGGGAUUUUUAGUUCUAGGAAAUAAGUGAGAUAGCUUAGGGUUCUGUUCUACAGAAGACUGGGGAUAUUUAAUUUGGCGCAAUAAAUCCAAUCCUAGUUGUAUGGUUUGAACCUACAGACAUGGAUGGGGUGUUUUGGUAUUUUAGUAAGGAAUUGUGGAGGAUUGGCAUUCAUUUCAGCGUCAGCAGAUGUGUUGUUUCGGUGAUGAAAAAAAGGGACUUGUUAUAGGCAAACUUUGAGAAACAUUUUUUUCUUGUGGAGGAGCUCUUAGCUUGUUGACAGGUUAAAUUGCUACUAUCGCCUCGUUGGAAGAACAAUUGUAUUGAAAGCAGUGUACCAACCACAGGUUUCAUUUUCCAUACUAUAGUAUUUUUGUUUAGAUGGUUGCCAUGAUAAUCAGCUGUAUGAACAUGCGGAAGCUAAUGCAAUGUUAUUAUUAUUGUUUGGGGCCUUUUCUUUGGGUUCGAUAAGAUGCCCAGGAAGCAACGAAUUUUGUAGCUUUGGUUGGCUGUCUCCAGCUCAUUAACCAGAUGCCAUCAAAUUCAUUUUGAGAUUUGUUGAGCUCCUGGUAACAUGUUAUUGGGAGGCACGUGACGUUUGCAACAAAGAUAGUUUUGGGAUUUUCAGUAGUACUCCAAAAUCUGGCUCGUCUGAGCAGAGGGAGACAAAUGGUUCGUGUACACCUAAAAGUUUUGGGAUUUGGGAUUUUUAGUUCUAAGAAACAAGUGAAAUAGCCAAGGGUUCUACAGAAGAAGACUGGAGAUAUUCAAUUUGGCACAAUAAAGCCAAUCCUUGCUGUAAGGUUCAGACCUGCAGACAUGGAUGGUGUGUAAGGGUGUUUUGGUCUGUUAAUAAGGAAUUCUGGACGAUUGGCAUUCAUUCAUCCUCAGCGAAGUGUUGUUUGGGUGAUGAAAAAAAGAUUGGUGAGAAUGUAAUUUUUUUUUGAGCUGGCUCUUAGCUUGUUGACAGUUAAAUUGCUACUGUGGGCUGCCUUCUAAGUUCAACGGGGCCUCCUAUAGCCUGAAAAUGGUAAACCCUUUGCAACCAGCAGAGAACCAGCACUGCUGGCAAACUCAAAGGACGUUUUCUAGUUCCCCAAUGACUCCCAAACUCUAGCGGCGCCUCCCGACCUCGGCCUUCUUCUCCGCCUAUGGCGACGCGUAGCCUGGCCUUCUUCUCUGCUCUCCGCCGUCGGCUGGGUCCCGGCAUGCCCCCGUCGGCGCACCCUCGGUUCAUCGACACCAUCCACGGUCAAACGUGGAAAAAAAAAUUCGCCAUGCUGUCCCAAUUUCGACAUGGGAAAUACUCGUACUUGAGCAGUUUGAGAAUUUGGAUUCACCAUCAGGUCCCUCGAUCCGUAUGAAUGUGACGAUUCUCAUAAAAGAAGGAUGCGCAACCCCAUGACCGAAAUUAGAUGGGCAGCCGAAUGGGCCCACAAAAUGAGUGAUAUGACCCUAGUAGCUACACAUGACAAAUGGUUGGUGCCUUUUACAAUCUUUCCUGAAAAUGCCACUUCAACAUCUAUUUUGCCUUCUUAAGGUCCUCUAAAACAACAGAGGCAGCGUUGCGUCCUGGAGCACCCAUCACCCCGCCACCUGGGUGUGCACCACUCCCACAGAGGUACAGACCCUUCACAGGGGUUCUAUAAUCCGACCUGUAUAAUCCAAAGUGCAAAGAGGCUAGUCACGAUCCCAAAGCAAUGACUUCUGGCAUUCAAACUUUAAAGAUUGGCAAGGAGAAGGAUUAAGAUAAAAUUAUUAUGCGCAUCAGGGUUCCUGACAUACCAUCCCUUGGCUGGCCUCAUGAGGAAAAGAGAAUCCAAGCCCAUUGCACCAUGAAAAAUGUUGCCUCCUGUCAAAUAUGAAUCAUGUAUGCUCCGCUAAGUUUUAAACCGGUAAAUCGAAACAUCAAAAGUAUUCUGUAUGCAAGUCUUGCAGGUCAUCUUGAUGCAAUUUCUAAGAUCAAUAAAACUUCUUUUAUCGAAAAAAUGCAAGUCUUGCAAGAAAGAAAGAUUGUGUAUGGGAAAGAGUUUACCUGUUAGACCAAACUCUCUUUCAAGAUCAGGUGGAGUCAGCAUAUCAUAGCCUACCACUGAUGAGCUAAAGCCCGGAGCAUAUUCAUCAAUCAAAGAAAAGCAUCGCUCAGCAAAGGAUUUCUGAAAAUUAGUUUCCGUCAAAAUGGUUAGUGAUGCGGAAAAUACUUCUCCCCACAGAUGGUGUUUAUUAACAAUGCCUAACAGUAUUUGUUGGGCAAUAUGCACAAACAACCUGUGCGUGCCAUAGGAAUGUACAAUAUAGAACACAGAGUGCAAAGUGAGAUCAAAGUUGAGUAGGAUCUACAUACUCUAACAUUAGAAUCCUGCCAGCUGCCUUCUGAAAGUUUGUAGGGUGUAUACUGAACAAAAAGAUUAAUAACAUGCUGACCUAUCGAAAGGAUAACACAAAAGAUGGAAAUUGUGUGAGAAUAGGAACGAAAUUGCUUUGGACACAUAAAGAAUCGUUGCAGGAUCCAAAUGCUAGUAGUUAGUUAUGCCAAUGCAUUGAUGAGGCAACAAGAAACUUGCAUACCUGGUGGAGAGAUGGUCUUAUCCAAGACAGAAGGAAUUGUCAUUUCUAUAACAGGUCUUUUGGAUGAGACGCCACCUGCAGCUUCCUUGUAUGCGAGUUCAAUUUCCUCCAUGCUGGAGAAUGAAUAGAAGUUCCGUAUUAGUAAGCAGAAAGUAUGGAAUAACUCUGUCAGAGUGACACUAUUUUUUUUUUGAAUAACUAGUUUUCCACACAAUCACAUGAGAGGCCAGAUCAUCUGGCUUUUCCCUAUGAUAAAGGUAACUAUAUACUCUGGGCGAUCACAUAUAGUAUGAUUGUGGUUAGCAUGAUCAUGAUCUUUCAUUAUCCUGGGCACUAGUGACAAGUAAGAACAUAAUUACAUCAAUUUAUAUAUGUAGAGAACAAAUUUGGUAAAUAAAGUUGAGAUAACUGGUGAAGGGCACUAUAUCAAAACAGCACAAUAUAUUAUUGAGCAAUGACACUCUUGAAUUAAGAGACCAUUUCCCUUGCCCUACUGAUGUUGAUAAGUGCAGUCUGUGCAGUGCAUGAACAUAUAUGAGAUAACAAAUAGUAUCUAACACAUUAUUUGUCUGUCCAGUUACUUCAAAGAAAGAUCAAAGACAACAGAAUACAAUAAUAUUUCACAUGGUGGAUUACCUUUCAGACCCAAUGUGUAUGGUGCCCAUGUGCUCUGGGCCACCUUCAGGGUUGAUGUCUUUGCAACAGUGGAACUGUGGCAGCCUGUCAACAGCCACAUUAAUCUUUGUUGUUGCCUGCACUCAAAGAAUCCAUAUCAUAUUAUUAGAAACUAAUAUUACAAAAUUCAGUUGAUGUGAUCAUCAAAGUGCCGAAACAGUUCAUCUUAAAAGUAAUUCCAUAAAUUUUAAAUGACUAUUUACUAAUAUGGAGUUAUCAAAAGUCAUGGUCAAGCUGCAUCUUCGUUAAGUUUUAAGUUCUCCAAUGUUUUCCCAUUCAAUGAUGUCACAAACCGGCAUGUGGGUGUAAAUGAGUUAUGAGGGUGCUUUUCAACUUAUUGGCUAUUUUUUAGGUGCAAUUCUUCCAUUAAAAAAGAAUGCAUCAAAAUAUGCUUGAACAUAAGUACUUACAGAGCUGUAAUCUGCUGUGUUAAUAGCACAGAGGAAGUCCUUUGGAAGAACAUUAGCAGGCACUAGGUCCUGCAAAAGAAACCAGAUAGCAGCAUCGAAAAUAUCUGUUUAAUAACGCUUGCAAAAUUCGCAGGUAGUUCUUCGCAAUGUUACAUGUUUCAGAGUUUUCUUACCACAAAUGUUUUGUAUGGAGUGGCAUUUGAUAGAACAACUGGCGAGUGCACCUCCGUUCCAUCAGCCAAUGCUACCUACAAAUCCCAAUCCUUCAAGAGGUUGAAAGCAAUGAAAUACACUUACAGGUUAAUCAAAGUACUUACCCCUUCUACCUUUCCUGUAGUUUCAUUAACCAUUACUUGGGAAACCUAAACAUGAACAAUGGAUCAAGUCAAGCAAGAUACCUAACAUGGAAGGUAAGACACGAUAUGAAAAAAAAAAUGCCACUAUGUAGCACAAAUGGCCCUUUUCCUUUGGAAAAAUCUAGUUGACAGUUUUGAAUAAUUGAUCAUUUUGUUUUCUGUUUAGAUUUACACAAAUUACUGUCCAAGGAGCAGCCUUGUAUAUAAAACAGCUAGCAUCAUGCCAUAAGAAUUGGAAAGGCACCUCGGCAUUUGUUACAAUCUGUACUCCUGCUUCAAGAGCUGCUUUGCUUAUAGCUGAUGACACUGAACCCAUACCACCUUGAACAUACCUGUAGCAAGUGUAUUAUUUUAUCUAAUCAAAUAACAAGUUUUCUGAAAAAACUGAAAUGGUGAACUGACAAAACAACUAAUAGUGAACCCGGCAUGCUAACAAGCAGAUAUGACUACAUAGUAUGAUGCCAUUGUCCAUAAGACUGGAAAUUUGUUUGCCUAGCUAUACACACCAGUUGACCACCUGUAAAGUUUAAUCCAUGCAAGGACAAUAUAGGUCUGUGCAUCAGUACACGGGGAUCAGGUGUAGAAGGCUACGUUUUUCUACAGUUGAAUAGAAGAACAAAGAUAAGAUCUCAGAGAGUCAAAGUUAGAAGCAUACGCCCAAACACCACGUUGACCACCAGUCUCCCCCAUGACAUGGUGCAGGAGAACAUAUCCAGAACCUGGAGUGUUCACACCAGCCUACAGAAGGGGAGAUGCAGCAGUGAAAUGCCAACAGUCUAGGAAAUAGAUUUUGCUUAGUUCAUUAAAAGCACCCUUACCAUGGUACCUAUCACCGCGUCAGUUGCUAGAGUUGCCUUCAAAACAUCGCUCUGUAGUAGAUAGCAGUCUAUAAUAAGCCUUUUUGUUCACAGGUAUAAGAAUAUUAAGUGCAGGCUGUCAAUUGCAAUAAAGCAAUCACACAGUUGCUUCACAUGAUCAAUGUGCAGAAGUGUUCAAGAACAGAUGAAACUAAGCUUCCGACCUCAAACCAGUAGUUCAGGAUUUUUGAUGCCGGAGAAAGGAGGAGGUCAAAGAAUUCCCUGCGAACAACAGUUGUAUUUUAGAAAGGGUGAUGCUAAGUUUACAUACUGCAUUGUGCAUGAAUGGUGUGGAUCAUAGAAUUGGCAAGUGGCCAAUACUUAGUACUCACACCAUGUUCUUCUGCCCCUGCUGCAUCACAUGCCGAAGAAGACUGCCCCAGAAUGCUGACUUGUCUACCCUAUCCUUCAUCCUGUCAACCACAGAGGUGUGGAGCUCCUGCCUCAGCUCGGGUGGAGCCGAGUCUAUGACAAAGUCCAUGAGCUUGCAGAACCUCUCCAGCUGCUCCUCGUACCUACACAUUCACAUAUAGAUCCUACAAGAUCAUUCUAAAAAGCUACAUGUUCAUAGAAACCACAUGACUUUAACCAUUUAUCUAAGAUCAUUUGAAGACAAAAUGCACCUCGGAUAUGCAUUUGCAUCCUUCCUGGAGAACUUGCUGAUCUCUGAGUGGUUCAGCUCUGCAUCCGGACCAAGGAGCAGGUAUCUGCCGUCAAGGCAUGGCGUGAACGAUGAAGGACUCCGUGGCAGCAGCUUCAGCCCGUGCCUCUCCAGCUCCAGGUCGCUUAUAUAUGCAAGCACCGGAAACAGCAGCAGCAGUUAUCAUCGGCAGUUCAGCACGACAUAUAAACAUCGGCAGUUCAGAGUUCAACACACAGAACAACACGCACUGGUAGAAAGAUUGCAGAAUGCAUCUAAACACAAGGCUGCGGUGCGUGAAUUUGACAGCAGCGGAGGUUGCAAUCGCAAAAGACGUGUCCUUGGUGAGGUUACCGGAGGAUGGCGGGGCGGAGGAGGCUGAGGAGGUAGCUGCAGCGGGAGAAGCGGAAGCCAGGGACGAGGUCGGACUCCGACACCGCGGCGCCGCCCAGGACGCCCCGGCGCUCGAGCACGGCGACGGAGCGGCCCGCGCGGGCGAGGUAGGCGGCGGCGACGAGGCCGUUGUGGCCGCCACCGAUCACCACCGCGUCCCAGCGCUUGCCCCUGGGCAGCUGCGACGACGCGGAGGCCAGCGCCGCCGCGUCCGUGGAGAGGCACCGGCGGCGGGCGGCGUCGGCGAGCAGGAGGCGCCUCGCCGCCUGCGACAUCGUGGGGUUCUGUUUGGGUUCGGCCGCCGGCCGCCGUGGUCACUUUCCGCUUUCCGCUGGUCACUCGUGGGCGGUUGGUGUUCACUGCAGAUUACGCGAGCGCUACCGAGAAGACGGGUUCCACAGAGUACGUAUUACUAGAACAGGCCACGAACGGUGGAACCGUGGAAGCAAGCAAAGCAACUCGAAUGCGACCCCAAAUGGAUGCUCCUAUGCUGGAGUUGCUAUUUUCUGCAUUUGGAGUUAUUACAUACAACAUGCAUGACAGCUGACAACUAUAUACCGUGAGGUGUAAGUAUAUCACUAUUGUCUAAUAAACUGUCUCAUGUAUUAAUAUGUAAUUUUGAGAUGACUUAACAAACAACGUAUAUAAUAGAUUAUCUCAUAAUAAUUCUAUUUUCUUAAUUUAUGCAUUGAAAAAAAAGAAAUAUUAUGAGUUGCAUAACAACCACAACUCGUACACAUGGUGGAGUAGUCGUCUCAUAAUCCUAAAAUCGUCUAUGAAACGGUUGUUUCGCAAAACAACGACUUCUUUCUCUCUCCUCGCUCUCUUUUCUCCACAUCAACAAAAAUCUUACGUGGCAUUACAUGAGAUGACCUAUGAGAUAGAUGAGGUGUACCAAUGUACUUGCCGUGAGGAAAGGAAAUCUAUCGGCGAUUCUCGGAUAGCAAAAAUGUAGUAUUCCCUCCGUUCCAAGUUGUAGGUCAUUUUAGCUUUUUCUAGGUGCAUAAUUUUUGCUAUGUACCUAGAUAUAGUGUAUGUCUAGAUGCAUAAUAAUACUUAUGAACAUAGAAAAGUUAAAAUAAUUUACAAUUUGAAACGGAGGAGGUAAGAAAUAUUUUUUCUUAUUUCAAGGGAUUGUAACAUCAGGUCUAAACUUCAUGUCAUGAACUCGUUCUCUCCUUUCCGGGCCUCAUUAAGAAAAAAACAACAAAAUCAGCACGUGAGCAGCCAAACGUUGGUCAUGGCAAUCCAAGUUUCGAGCAUCCCUGUUUAAUUUUGUUCAAUUUGCAGCUGCACCAAUGUGCUAGUGCAAAAAGGAUGCGACCAUGUAAAUAGAUCCUCGUUCAAGCAUUUUGCCUCGUGUCAGCGAGCAAGGAAAUGGCCAUGGUGCAGUGUUUCCAUCCUUAAGAAGCUUGCCUCAAUCUUUCUAUCCUUGCAACUUGCUCUCCAACCUUGGUACUUGGUAGGGUUGGCAACGCGGUGUGAGGCUAGCCAGAAAUCUAAACAUAAGCUAAACUCACCUCCGAUGCUCGAAAUCUGCAUGAGGUAGAACGAAAACAUAAAGCCAAGCAACAUGGCCAAUGGAGGGUAGGCCCUGGGUCAACAUAAUUAUACAAUAAAUACUAUUUAGUUUUCCCUUACACAACAAGCGGUCCCAUGGUCUAGCGGUUAGGACAUUGGACUCUGAAUCCAGUAACCCGAGUUCAAAUCUCGGUGGGACCUUAAUUUUUUUGUGUUUUUUUACUUCUUUUUUUUUUCUUUUCACCUGUCACCAUCGCUGCACAUCCUUAGUAAACACAGGAAGAUUUCUUCCAUAGUCUACACCUCCAAAUCCAUUCGGCCGUGAAGAUCAUCAGCAGUACGGAAGGAAAAAAAGAUUUUUACACAAGCGCCACCUUUUGAAAAUUCCUCGCCUGUACAGUCUUGUUAAUAUCUUGUCUAGAGUAUUAUCAAGCGCUAAAGCGAGUGAGUGUAAAUGGAUAACCUUCUCGCUUUGUGAGAAAAAAAAGGAUGACGAUGACACCUUAAUCACCAUCCCGAGCGCUAAGAUAAGCAUGCUACGGUCAGCAACGACAUGGAAUAUUUUUUUUUGGCGUGUAAACGACGUGGCACUUUGUCCGUCCCGUCCCGUUAGCUGCCCGUCCGGUCGCGUGCAAGGAACGGAUGCCCCGUGACAUGUGAGCUGGCCAGGGGUAGGGAUGUCAUUUCGCUGUUAGAGAUAUUUUCGGCGUCCUGCAGGCCGCAACGCGGGUCACUCUGGGCCCCACACCUCACGUGGGGCCGCCCCAGGUCGUCAGGGUCUCGGUCUUCCCACCCACCCAGGCUUGUGCUCCGGGGACAAUCAUUCCUCCCCAACAGAGCUGCCGACACCAUCAUCUUUGAAUCAUUGCCAAAUCUCUCAGGUCAAGUCAAUACAGCAAGGCUUGUACUCCAUUCUGAAGAUGCAAAGUGGUGACAUCUUUUCUUUUUUACAAGAGGCUAACAAUGAGAUUUUCUUUGAGGAUCCAUCAACGGAGUAAAAGAAAACUUGAUAAACUCGAAUCCAGCUCAGACUGAGGCUUUGACACAAAGACACCUGCAAGCUUCUCCUCGUGUUAGCGAGCUUAAGGGGGUGUUUGGAUCCUGGAGCUAAAGUUUAGUCCGUGUCACAUCGGAUAUUCAUAUGCUAAUUAGAAGAACUAAAUAUGAGCUAAUUACAAAACUAAUUGCAGAACCCCUAGGCUAAAUCGCGAGACGAAUCUAUUAAGCCUAAUUAAUCCAUGAUUAGCGAAUGUUUACUGUAGCACCAUAUUGUCAAAUCAUGGACUAAUUAGGUUUAAUAGAUUCGUCUCGCGAUUUAGCCUAGGGGUUGUGAAAUUGGUUUUAUAAUUAGUCUAUAUUUAAUACUUCUAAUUAGUGUUGAAACAUUCGAUGUGACAGGGGUUAAAAUUUAGCCCGGGAAUCCAAACACCCCCUAAGCUUGAGAGGAGCUCUUCGGAGCUUGCGAACAAGCUACCUUCGAGCCCCUAGCGAUCGAGGUUACCUCGUUGAUAACUUAGGAUAGUUUUAGAUAAAUUCUGCUAGCACGUGAUAUGAAAAAUUUAAGAUCCAUUUAAGAUCACGACAUAUCUUUAUUUGCACUCGUUCUUGUUAUUUCCUGGUAAUAAUAAUUCAUGCGCUACUGCUGUGCUAGAGGUGGUGUGCACGGUUUGGUGUGAGCGUAGCGGCAGAGAAAAAAACUAGUACCACUUGGCCCCGCAUAUUCCCAAAUCCCAAGGGCACCAACCCCCGCGUCCGAUGACAUGUGGGCCCAGCCCGCCCUUAUCCUGCGUCCGACGUGGUCGCCGUCGGAUCCGAUCACGACGGCCGCGGCGGCUUCGUCUCCGCUAUAAAGCGAGGGCAAGGGGCAACUCGGCUUCUUCGUGCUCUCUCAGAGGUGGGUUGGCUUCUCCUCCCCCUCCGGUUCGGUUCGGUUCGGUUCGGGUUCGUGAGGUGUUCCGGUUCGGGGGUGAGAGGCAGAGAUGGCGGCGUCGGAUGUUGAGUACCGCUGCUUCGUCGGCGGCCUCGCCUGGGCCACGGACGACAACUCGCUCCACAACGCCUUCAGCCCCUUCGGCGAGGUCCUGGAGUCCAAGGUUAGGAUGAUUUCCUUUGGGGGUGGAGAACAAAACGAGAUUUUUGAAGGGGAAAUGGGGGGAACUGUCCAGAUCUGUGGUGGCGGAGGGUUUGGUGUGCUAGAUCUGAAGUGUUUCUGACAUGAUGCCUUGGCUUUCCCUUGCAGAUCAUCCUCGAUCGCGAGACCCAAAGGUCCCGCGGCUUCGGCUUCGUCACGUUCGCGAGCGAGCAGGCGAUGCGCGACGCCAUCGAGGGGAUGAACGGCAAGGAUCUCGACGGCCGCAGCAUCACCGUCAACGAGGCCCAGUCCCGCAGCGGCGGCGGCGGCUACGGUGGCGGCCGCGGCGGCGGCGGGCGCUACGGCGGCGGUGGUGGCGGCUAUGGCGGCGGUGGCUACGGCGGCGGCGGCGGCGGCUACGGUGGCCGUGGAGGCGGCGGCUACGGUGGCCGUGGAGGCGGCGGCUACGGCGGCGGCGGCGGCGGCGGCUACGGCAACCGCGGCGGCGGCGGCUACGGCAACUCUGAUGGGAACUGGAGGAACUGAGCGGUGGGGCCCGCGUGGCCAAGUUAUCUUGUCGCUACUACUGUUACCAGAGUUAUCCCUAUGUGUCUAGUGUCUUCGUCGUCGUCUCCGACCUGUGUUCGUCUUCUGUUUCCUGUUGUUGCCCAUCUGUGUUUUUGAUCGCAAGCUUGUUCGUCGUGUCUGUCGUCAGAGCUAUCCUCAUCUCCAAACAUCCCAUGAACCGGGUGUUGGGAUUGGGAUGCUGUUAUCCUCGUGAAACUUUGUUACCAUCCGUUUUUAAGUUAAUCAGAUGAAAAAAAAAUGGUGCUGCUUGGUGCUGCAAAUGGAGUUCGUUGCUUCUGAGUGUUGUGGAUGAUAUUCUAAUUUGUAAAAAGUAAACAGCACUGAGAUAAAUGUUGCAGUGCUUUAGCGAGCAGAUCAGGGAAAAAGUUGCACAAAUCUGGGGGAAAAGUGAUUUGUGCUAAUCAUGACAAAGAUCCUCACGUAUGGUGCUAAUCCAUGAAUUCCACUAGCCUCCAGAUGCCAUCACAGAUACAGAAUCCAACUUGGACUAUUUUUUCAUGACGAAAACAAGUAACAGUAAGUUGCAGAGAUUUGGAUUUUUCAGUCACGUUUGCAUCGAGUCUCAGCCCAACAAUCCUCAACUCGAAACUCCCAUCCCAUCGAGAUUCCACCAGGAAGAUUGGAUCUAGCUGCAGUGUCUUCAGUCGAGGACGUAGAUGCGCGAGGCGACGUCUUGAACGAGCCAGUCGAAGCCCUGAAGCAGCCCGUCGCCGGUGAAGGCGCUGCAGCCGACGAUCUGCCAGUGACGGCUCUUCUCCAUGGCCGCCAGAUCCAGGACCUGAAAAACCAAAACCACACCAACCAAAUCACAACAGGAUUCCAACGAUCGCAAUUCGCACGUGCACGGCUGCAGCAGGAACACUGCUAACUGUGCUAUAAUAAGCUGUCUAUACUAGUAAUACACUGCUUGUCUGAUCUCGAUGUCGAAAUAUGGUGGCUCAACGCUCAACUAAAUUAUUGUCUGAUUUGAGAAUCUUAGCAAGGCGCUGUUCGAGUGAACGAUUAUAAAUUCUAGAUGCACACAAGUAGAUACUAAAAAAUAUGAACUUGACAAACACCGCCAGAAGACCCGAGUACCUUGGCGAUUUCUGCUGGUUUCAGGGCACCCUGAAUGUCCUGCUUGUUUGCAAACACCAACAACGAAGCUCCGGCUAGUCUCUGCAAUCAAGAUUACGGCACACAAGACAAGCGCGAUUGCAAGAGUCAUUGAUGGUGAACAGUAAGUCAAUGAACAUCGCAUCAUUUUCAGGCGACUUUAGACUUCUGAGCCAACAAAAGUGAUCAGCGUGAAGCUAACUGUUAGCAUCGCUGACUAGAUGAUGCACCUCUUCUUUCAGUAGAUUGUGGAGCUCUGCUCGACAGUCAUCAAGCCUCCGGAUGUCAGAGCUGUCAACCACCCAAACCAGGCCGUCAGUCUGCUCGAAGUAAUUCCUCCAGUAUGAGCGGAUCGUCUUCUGUCCCCCAACAUCCCAAAUGUUCAAGGAGUACCUGCGACAAUCACCAUUUCGUCAAUCUGCAGCAAUUUGUGACAAAUCAUUGCUGUACCCAUGACAUUUCUCAUCACCAAUUCACUAUGAGUUCCAAGAAGCAGUUGAAAUUUUGGCAAAUAUAUCUAGUUUUCACCUAUAUGACCUAACAGCAACAGACUGCAGUUGAUUGAACACUACAAGCAGAAACCACAACUCCAAGCUGUUUUCAGAAGGAAAUUUUUGACUACUUAUAGUACUGUCCUAAACAGGGACAUGCCUCAAGAACUUCCCAACUCAAGUACAUCAGGAGGAUGCAUUCAGUUUCUGCUGUCAAUAUUGCACUAUAGUGUAUCUGAAAUUCACAAAUAGCCAGGUGUGCUGAGAGGGGGCCGACCUGGUUCUGUACAUUUUCCUAUUCCUAGCUAGGUUGUGUUUGGUUCCUGGUAUGAACUAUUCAUGUAGCAAACGGUCCUGAUCCUGACACAACUGUCGUGUUAUUGAUUGGAUCGAACCAAUCAUUCCUGGAUGGGCUCGUUCAGAUUCCGGGCAUAUUCCUUUAAGAUGCACUCCUGCAAUUUCUUUUCAGGAAAAAGGGAUCUAAAAUUAAAAAUUGCGCGUUUGACUCCCAUAAGACCAGAACUAAAGACAGCGCUGCUUCCAUCGGAGCUUGCUGCAUUAGCUUGCUUAUGCUGACAUUGAUGCCAAAAUACAGUUCAAAAUAGCUUUCAGUCUUGGUAAACAAGCAUUAACAUAAGAACCACCAAACAAAUAUUAUAUCUAUGCCACUGCUGGAGAGGUAAUGUAGCUGGAUAACCUUCACCGUUAGCUAACAAUUACUGUUUGGCUAGGCACAGCCACAGGGGCAUAUAUUUUUCUACCUAUGGCUGUUAACAUUAUGACUGCCUCAUCAAUAAUUUAAAAGUCACAUGUUUGCAUUGUGAAAGGGUCAUGUAAAGUUUAUCUUUGGUGAAUACUAAGGCUAGUAAGUCCAGAAGGAUAGGAAAAGGUGCAGAGUAGGCACACUUCCAACAGUUCAGGAAAAUGAUCUAACAUAGAGUCAUCCUAAAAAAAAUGCUCUAGCAAUUUCAUUACAAUCGACUCAAAAUUGGAUGCUCUAUGCAGUGGUGGAACUUCAACAAAUUUCCAGAGGAUACUUAACUGCUUAAUUCUGUGCUUUUUAUUGUAAGCAAAUAGGGAUACUUAGCUUAUUAGCAAAUUGUAUAACCAGGAAGGGCCAUGGCCCCCUUUGGCCAUCAAGAAGCUCCACCCAUGGCUCUAUGGUUGAUACUAGCAUUGCAUGUGUGGGGCUUCUAAUGUUACUGAAUUCUUCAGAAUACUUUAAAUACAAACAGUGAUUUCCUUGUAUAGCAUAUCAUUACAAUCAUCUAAGCAACUAAAUAGUUAUCCAAAGCUAAUUAUACAACAAAAGGAAUACAUACUUUUGAUACUUGAUGGUCUUGAUGUUGAAGCCAAGGGUGGGGCUGAUUACACUGGUGUCCUCCCCAUUGAUCUUCAGCACAAUCGUUGUCUUACCUGAAUUGUCCAGGCCCCUGAAAUUAUCACAUCAUUGACCCAACGAAAAGCAGAAAGAAUCAUGAACGUGAGCCAAGAACUCGAUAAUGGGAAUCCUUCAACGCAUAAAGCAAACAGAGACUGCAUCUAAACCCAAGAAUAAACAGCAGCAUGUAUUUGCUGGGACCAUGGGAGAAAUAAAAGGGGUUGGAAUCAGAGGAAAAUGCUUACACCAUGAGAAUCCGCAUCUCCUUUUCCUUGCGUUUGAUCUUUCUGAUGAUGCUAAGGAGACCCAUCUUGGAGGGGCGGCCCAGGAGAUGAGUCAAGAGGCAAGGAACAUAAAGAGAGAGGCUGAAAGAGUACUGAAUUCUUCAAUGCAGUAGAGCCAGUCUUUGUUUGUGAUGUCGCUCAGGUCACUAUCAGCAGGUAUUCAAGCAUCAUCCCCCUAUGGUUCGAUUGAACACAGGUGCGCAAUGUCACAAACAGAAACAACAUUACAACAGUUCAGCUUGCCUCUAAAUUACACAGAAAGAGCAGUAUUCCUCUGCUGGGAACAAAUCUCAAAUCUUGUUAAACCAGUUUUACAAGACACGUAAGUUGGCACGGAAUUUUCACAUCGGUGAUUUUUUUAAUACACUUUGUCUCACACGAAAUGGCCACUCUUGUAAUAAAACUCGAAGGUAGCAGCUUCAUUCUCAAACUACAGGAACCGCAAGAGCACCCUUCAGAGUGCUGCAAUCGACCGAACAUAAUUCCUACCAGGCGUCCAGGCACAACUUUGUUUCGAAUCACCCCCAAAACCCAAAGGAGUGAACAAAGCAUAGGAAAACAUCCAUUCAACUAGCGCAAGAAGGUGAGUCAACGUUGAGCCAUCGAAGAAAGAAUUUCUUAGUUUUUUUUGGCGCACCUAUUCUAGAAGCGAGGAGGAGGAGGCGGUCGUCCCCGCUCGGCGACGUCGCCCUGGCCCCGGAGUAAAAGUCGCGGGGUCGAGAUCGGGGUGGCGCGGCCUCCGGGCUCUGGCAGGCGAACCGUCGUCCUGCUCGCGGGCGGCCGUCGCCGGCGAGAUGCAGCUUGUGCCCAAAUCUGAAGGACGGCGACCGACGAUGGUUGGCGGUGGGCUAGCUAGUUGCGAGUUGGUUUUGAUGGGCCGAAUGCAGUGUUUUCGUUCUUGUUUGGGCCCGGCCCCCGCUUCCUUUUCGAGGGGAAAAUCCCAUGCUCGUCUUGUAAGGCCCAGUUUGGAUAUGGGUCUCAAGCCUGCCAUUCGAAAUGUUGAAUCUAGUAUUUAAAAUGUUGUAACAUACUAUUUCAAUAUUAUUGUAUAAAAUGAACUAGAUUUUAAAAAAUGUCGAAUCUAAUAUUUAAAAUAUUGAACAUACCAUUUCAACAUUACCGUAUAGAAUGUCGAACUAGUUCAUUCGAAAUGUAAACUAGAUUUAGAAAAUGUUCAAUCUAGUAUUUAAAAUGUUGGACAUACUAUUUCAACAUUAAUGUAAAAAAAUUGAGCUUGUUCAUUCGAAAAUGUUAAACUAGAUUUAAAAAUGUUGAAUUUAGUAUUUAAAAUGUUGAACAUACUAUUUCAACCGUAUAAAAUAUUGAGCUAGUUAGUUCGAAAAUGUUGAUCUGGAUUUAAAAGUGUUGAAUCUAGUAUUUAAAAUAUAAAAUAAUUUCACAUUUUCCUCACGAGGUUGUGGGAAAAAUACAAAGAAAAAGUUACUAAGAUGGUCACAUCCUACUUAUGCGUUGGGUACUGCGCGGGUCCCAGCGAUCCAGCACUCCACCUAGUACCUACUUACUACUGUCACUGCAUGUGCUAAAAAAAAAUACCGUCACUGCACGAGGUAGAGGGGUAUUUGGAUACGAGGUGCUAAACUUUAAUAGAGUCACAUUGAAUGUUUGGAUGCUAAUUAGGAGGACUAAACAUGAGCUAAUUACAAAACUAAUUGCACAGAUUGAGUCUAAUUCACAAGACGAAUAUAUUAAGGCUAAUUAAUCUAUCAUUAGUAAAUGGUUACUGUAGCACCACAUUAUCAAAUCAUGGACUAAUUAGGUUUAAUAGAUUCGUCUCGCGAAUUAGACUCCAUCUGUGCAACUCCUAAUUAGUAUCCAAACAUCUGAUGUGACAGGUGUUGAAGUUUAGUAGGAGGUAUCACCAAACACCUCCAAGUAACCACGGAUAGAUUACGAGUGUGUGUAUAUAUAUAUAUCAUAUAUAUAUAUAUAUAUAUAUAUAUAUAUAUAUAUAUAUAUAUAUAUAUAUAUAUAUCAUAUAUUUAUAGAGCAAGCAGCUACCGUGCUCCCCACAAAAUUAUAUUACAUGAGACUGUACGCCUGGGUAUGGCAGGCAGGGCACACCAUAUAACUAUCUUAUCUCUGCAGACUGCAGGUCCGGUGGUAUAACUACUGGUAAUCUAUACAGAAGCAGUGCAGGUACGAACUGUACGUGCAUCAGUUUCCGUACUGGGGAAUCACGCGGCCAUGGCCAUGUCCUCAUGUACCCCACAACGCAAGCAGGACGAUCGAGAAGGCACGCAGCAGCCAGAUUAUUAACAAAUCCUUCCCAAUGCAAUGCAAGUUCCCAACUAAUCAAAAUUCAUUCUUGUUGUUGCUGCUGCCGCUGCUGAAAUUUAAAAUCUCAAGACAUGCACGUACGAUCGAUCCAAAUAUACUCUUGAUGAUCCAAAUAUUCGUGUCGUGUAGUUGAAAAAUUAAAUCAAACCAAAUCCCUUUUUCUUAAACUUUAAAGAAAACCAGCGCGAUCUCGUCCGGUGAUCUCGUGAUCCCUAUACUAGCUUAGCUUGGUUACUGAUCGGAUCCCUCAAAUAAACAACUCCAAAUCCACAGUCCAUUUAUGUAUAUCUCUCCAUCAUAAUAAAAGAAAUAAUCCACGACCAGUAUCAGUUGUUGCCAAUGCCACCUUUUCUUUAUUUUUAAAUCUCUCUCGGAUACUAUGUGUAAUCUUCUCUCGUACCGUACGUGUGAUGUGUAUAUGAUGCAGCGGAUCAUGGAGAUGUUUUUUCUUUGGUUGUUAGCACUGCUGCGUGCUGCUAGAUUUCUUUACAACUGUUAAAUAAGUAAAAUAUUUAUCCAAGAUCAGCCACACGAGAUAAUAUAUAUUAAUGUACUAACUCCUACCACCUACUUUAAUUGUUUAUUCAGAGGGUUAUUCCUUAUCAAGAUCGUUAAAUAUACCAACACCGCAGGAUUGUUUCGCACACACGUGCUAUAUUUCCUCCAUGUGUAACUAGUUAAUUGUGAAAUCUUAUCCUUACUGCAAGCUAACUCAUAUAUUAUUCCCUUCAAAAAAGGAAAAAAAAAGAAAAGAAAGGUAUUAUCCAGAUAAGUAUAUAUGUUUAUUUCUAUCAUUAUCCAGAUAAGAUAUAGAUGUGCCAAAAGACUAAUAAUGCAACAAUGCUCCUAGCUAUAUAUUAUUGUGAUCUUCAGAAGAUAAUGUUGUCUUGUCCAAUCAAUAUAAUAGGCUCCUUAAUUAGAACGUUGAAGAUCGAGAAGAUUUAGCAAAUCAUGCGUGGGCUUAAUUAAUUACUUGGUUGUGAUUUAGUUUAUUUAUUUGCUGUGGAUAUACAGGAACUACAUAUAAUUUUUGCAAAAUUCAACUAGUGAUCAUCAGAAAGUAUAUAUAGCAGUUCCAAUGCAUAAGGUGACAACUUGUACUUUACUCUUACAACUACGUGCCAACCAAUGCAUAAUCAACUCCAGAUGGUAUUUUUAAUCACAGCCAUGUCCCGAGAUUAUUGGCUCGAGGUCUACGCGCCCACCAUGGAUCCUGCAGCAUCCUGUUCCUGAUUGGAACCAACAGUUUUUUGGAUUUAAGUAUAACAACAAAAUUAAUCUUGCAUGAUGACAGUAGCUUCGUCUCUACUUUAAGGGAUUCUCCAUGAUUUGCUGACGAUCGAUUACAUACCAUGCUCCUAUAUAUAUGCAUAUGUCUUGUUAAUCCAUCGAUUGACACCUUUUCGAUCAGCAAUGGAGGAUCGCAUAAUUGUUGAAGAUUAUUCGACAAGAUAUAAUAAUCGACAUAAUCUUGAUCUCGUUUUCAACAGUAUAUGAGAGCUAAUUUAAUUAAUUAAUUUCUGCUGUGAAAUGGAUAGGUAUAAUUACCUGCUCCUGCAUGCAAUCUUUUGGCUAGCUAAUACAUUUUCUUACAUGACAGCGGGCAUUGUUGUUAUUUUAAAAAUAACCGCUAGCUCUGAUUGAAUCGCCAGCUGAACAUGUUGGCUGACAGUGUUGCAUUGACUGGAGAUAGUGUUGGCUGCAGCUGCUUUCGUUCGUGGGCCCGGCUUCAAUUGCCAUGCCACGUGGGCUUGUCUCGCACAGGCGCGCACGUGUACCCUCUCUCUCGAUCAGCUAACAGUACAUUGCAGAACGUCGAGAUCGACCUGUGUUGUUGAUGCUGAUAUGCUUUAUUUUAAUUUCAUUUCACUGUGCUCAAUUAGCCUUGCUGUCUUGUUAGCCUUGUUAAUUUCAUUUCAGUAUAUGCAGACACACACAAAAGCCGAAACAGCUAGCCAAUUGAACUGUCACCAACUGAACGUGCAUGCUUGAAAAGAUCUGUGUGCCUGUAUAUACAGACACGCUUCAUCUACGUGUCUGUGUGCCACAAAGCAUUUUUUUUUUGGAAAGAGAAGAAAUAACCCAAGCAUUUUUUUUAAAGACAAGAAAAACACUAAAGCAUGGUUAGGCUUCACAUCAGUACGUGUCACAGCGUGUGAUCUUUUCGGUCCCGGCCUAGCUCUACGUGCCAAACUAUAAGCUGCUUUAUUUUCAGCACGCGCGUAUAAAUUCUUUAUCUUUUUUAACAGCCGCAAUUUGUACAACGUUUCCAUAAGCACGCAUGCUAAUGUAUAUAGGCACGUGAUCGAUUACUUUGCAUGCCACCACCCACUUGCCUCGAUGAAACCGACCGAUCGAUUUUAUUGUCAACCUCUGUCCCACCGGCAACCGAUAGGCGUUUGAGUUUUUAUAUUUUUGCUGAGAUAGGUAUCCCAAGAUCGAGUACGUAUGUGUACAAGUAUUAUAUACCAUAUACAUCCGUACCAUACACGCCUGUGGUUUCGAUGCCCUAAUAUAUUGUGUAAAUAUUUAAAUAUUAGUGGUUGUUUGGAUACGAGGUGCUAAACUUUAACAGUGUCACAUCAGAUGUUCGGAUGCUAAUUAGAAGGACUAAAUAUGAGCUAAUUAUAAAACUAAUUGCAGAACCUUGUGCUAAUUCGCGAGACGAAUCUAUUAAGCCUAAUUAAUCCAUCAUUAGCAAAUGGUUACUGUAGCACCACAUUGUCAAAUCAUGGACUAAUUAGGCUUAAUAGAUUCGUCUCGCGAAUUAUAAUCCAUCUGUGCAAUUAGUUUUGUAAUUAGCUUAUGUUUAGUACUUCUAAUUAGCAUCUAAACAUCCGACGUGACAGGUGUUAAAUUUUAAUAGAGUGUUCCCAAACACCCCCUUAAUUAUUAUGGAUAUAUAGGGUCGUCGAUAUGUGUAAUGGAAAACGUUUGGGGGAAAAUUAAGGCAGGCAGAGUAGAAGCUGGUGAGCCAAAAUUCAGGCAACAAAUUAAAAUUAAGGUGCCCUGAUCGAUCUUAUUACCAGGCAGCAUUAAAAUAACACGCUGGUGGCCUGGUAAGGUUAAAUUAGUAAUGCUCAUGCAUGCAGACGCGUAUCUCUAUAUAUGUGUUGUGGAGAUUUUCACGUAGGAUGAAAAUUAAAAUAUAUAGCAGAUGUCCCUUUUGUAUCAUCGUCACUGAUUAGUAAAGGGUAAAGCGACCAAUCAGAGAUCAGGUUGCUUUAAGUUGUUUCCCGGCAAUUGAAUAACUUUUCCUUGGUGGGGGAAGAAGAGCACAAGAGUCAAGAUCCUCUGAUCUCCUCAUGUGUGUUUCACGUUUGUGUUCCUGUUGCUUCUUCGUCUGCUAACCAACUACACUCUGCAAAAAGGAAAACAAGUCUUUGGAGAUGAACAACAAACGGAUAGCUAUACGUACACAUCCAUAUGACGGCACUUUAUUCGUGUCUGUUUUCAAUUUUUUCAAGACGAUGGGGCCACCUUUAAUUUCUUCGCCACUUAAUUAAGCUCUCUAUCAAUCUUCAAUUAUUUGGAUAUUGUCUCUGGGCUAACCCUUUUGCACGAAGCAGGGUUACAUGGACUACUUCAAUAUAUACGAAUUGAGUUGAGCUUACGUAGCAUUUCAUAUAUAUUCCUAUGGUAGCACUGAAAUUGCAGAUUCAGUAGUAUUAAUAGUACUUCCUCCGUUCCAAAUCCAAAUUGUACGUUGUUUUGGCCUUUAUUUUAAGGUUCAUAGUUUUAGCUAUUCACGUAUAUAUACAUUUAUAUUUAGAUAUAUAACAAAAUCUAAUAUUUAAAAAAGUCAAAAUGACCUAUGAUAUAAUUUAAAAUAGAGGGAGUAAUUAAUAGAACUGAAAUUAAUUAUAUUGCUACUAGCUGGACGGUAGUACUUUGUUUCGCAGGGCUAGGUUCCAUCUGACUGAUGAGACGACAGGGCUAGCUGUUAUUGCGAGAACACAAUUAGCGAGGGCACUGGUGAGAUCAAGCAUGUACAUGGUGAGAUCACCACGACAUGCAUGGGAUGUUUGCACUGUGCUGCGCAUGCAGCAUGCUGGACCUGCGGACUGCAGAAGCUGGUCGAGCUGUCCAACAGCAUGUGGGCCCAACUCAAUAGUAACAACUUUGUUCAUUUUUAAGCUAAUUAGUUUGUCCCAAUAAACGUCAUAUAUGUCUUUUUUUUAAAAAAGGGUAGCAGUGCUGGUGUAUAUCCUGAUUGACAAACCACAUGACACAAAAUUUUUGCAAGCACUUCCAAUUGAUAGGGCAUGCAUGGGGACAAUGUUGAUAUUAUAAAUAAUGACAAUCGUAUAUUAAUUAAUCCCUCCAUCAGAUCAACUUGUUCCUCGCCGUCGCCGAUCUUGUCAUAUAAUUAACAGAGAAAUACAUAAUAAAAAAAACACAUGCAUGCUCAAGUAAUAAAUUUUAGUAGUUUAAAAAUUUCAGGGAGUCGUCCAACACAACUCAAAAAUGAAGAGUUCACUGCUCACAUUACGAAAAUAAAGCACAUGUCAGAUGCACAGCUGAUCAAGUGCCUAGCUAGCUCCUUCAUAUAUAUGAAUGCAUCAUGCACAUGCUGCUAUAGUAUGAACCCUAGAAACGGUCACUGAGCCUCCACAAUUAACAAAGUGCAAAGUACAAAUCACUAGCUCAAUAGAAAAACGUAACCGGCCUAGCUCCAGUUGACUUGGACCAUGCAUCCACACACACACACACACAAUGGUAACAUACGGCAGUAGAAUUGAAUAUGCGUGUUAUUACUUGUUUAUGCCGUGCAUCGAUCUCUAUAUAUGGCUAGCAAACGGCACGCGUCGCAGAGGUCGUGUACAAUCUUCAAUUUCACAUCUGUAUGCAUCAUAUAUGCACGGUGUCGUGUCAGCCACCAGUAACGUACUAUAGUGGCUCAUACCCUCCUCAGCUGUUCAUCAUCAGCACGUACACAUGCAUAUAGUGAGUGAAAUUAUUGCUUCAACUCCAACGCUUUAGUCGCAGCUAGCUAGCAGUGUCAGAGGUCGGAACUUCAUCCAUUUUCUAAAAAAAACCUCAAUGCUUUCAUUAUAUUAUUAGCUCCCGGCCCAGCCUCACACACACGCAUAGCAUAUCAGCAAUUCAUCGGCAGCUAACUUUUCUUUUCUGUGAAAGUAGUGUAAAUUAAUUAAAAGACAGGUAUAUAAACCCUAUACUAAUACUAGUAUAAUAUUGGGGAGGGUUAGGCCACGGUGCAACAGCGGCGAGGAAACUAAUAUUUUAUGUGAGGGCGAAAGUAAUCAUAGAGGAGGCGAGUGGGGACAUUGACAAGAAGGGAGGGCAUAUGUGUCCAGCAACCCACAGGGGGUCCUUAUAUCUACCAAACAGCACACUCCUGCUGCUUGUUGAGUCUUUUUCUCUGGAUGCUAGCUAGCUCCAAGAAGAUAGCUGCAGAUCGAGAGGCAUCACCAGCUUUUUCUCUCUUCCAUCUGCAGGUACUUGUUGGUUGGCCGGCAACCCAUGCAGCAUCCAUAUCUCUUCCUCAUCUCUUUGAUUCGAUCUCUUCUUCUUUGAGGAGUUAGCUUUCCGAUCUUAUUUGGCCAGCUUGUUCUUGAUUGCCUUUUGAUUUCUUUGGAUUAUUUGUUCUUCAAGUACUACUGCAUGUGGAUACUCAUGCAUGCUUGCUGACGGUCUGUUGUUGCAUGCCGAUCUGUCUGGGCACCUGAACCUGACCAGCAGUGACUGACUGACUGACUGACUGAUUGAUUGAUUGGCCUUUGUCUUCAGAUUGAGAGCUCAGCUUAUUACCACUUAUUGCAGUAGUAGCAGCUUAAUUGAUUCAGUUUCAUUUGCCUUUUGGUUCUAAUUAUCAUCGUCUUCAUCCUUCUCUCAUCAUCAGACUCAGAUGCCCUCGAUUUUAAUCUUCUCCAUACAAAUAUCAUUUCUUGAUUUGCUCGUUGUUGACUGCAUCUUCAUGAUUUUUUGAUGAUUUCAAGAUCCUUUCUGAUUUGUUCACUCAGUCAUCAGGGACAGGAAUUAUGGAUCGACAUAUGGAAGAUUCGAGCACGUUCCUCCAGUGGGCAAUGAACCAGCUGCACCAUCAGCAGCCCUCCGCCGCCGCCGCAGCUUCUGCAUACCAGGACGGAGCUGGUGCCGGCGGCAGCGGCGCCGCCGGAAACAGUGAAGCUGUCUUCCCGUCGCUCCAGGCGCUCCGCAGCGGAGCCCCCCAGACCCAACCCCAGCCCGUGGCCGCCAGCGUCCGAGUCCGCGACCUGACGGUGCAGGUGGACCACCGGACCAACAGCUCCAGCUCCGGCGACAGCCCGGGCGGAGGCGCUGCCAUGGACCACGACGCGACCACCGGGUGGUCCCCCCACACCGCCCGCUCCAGGACCACCGGCCUUGGCGGCGGCAGCAACAGCAGGCCCAUGAGCUGGAACUUCAGCGCCGCGGCGGCGCAGCCAGCAGCGUGCGAGAGCGGCGGCGGCGCCGCGCUGCCGGACGCCGCUGUGGCCGCGAGGGCGGUGCAGCUGCCAUCGGCGGGGAGGAGAGGGGGCGGCAGCGCGGCGCCCGCUGCUGCUGCUGCUGCGGCGCCAUCGUCGUCGCCGGGUCCAGUGCAGGACCACAUCAUCGCGGAGCGGCGGCGGAGGGAGAAGAUCAACCAGCGGUUCAUCGAGCUCUCCACCGUCAUCCCCGAGCUCAAGAAGGUUACUAGCUCACCAUUUCUUUCUUUUCUUUUUUGAUGACUGAUUCAGCUAUCAGCUGUCAUGAGAUAGCUAGUUGUUGAUAUAAUCUUCUCCUUCUUGUUAUUUUCUUCUUCUCCUUGUUCUCGUCCUCCUACCUCUUUUGUCAUUUUUGUUCUUUAAUUUCAUGCUUGUUUUCAGCCAUCUCAUCAAGGGGUUAAUUUUCAGCUUUGACAUGGCUCUUGGUGAAUCUCACAUGUUGGAUCGGACCAAGAUUGCAUGUACAUCAUCCCAAUAAAAGUGCAUGUAUUUACCGGCACUGUUGUUGCCCAAUCAUUUACUGAUAUAGUACAAAGAAAAGCGAGCUAGCACCUAGCAGAUUAGGUUCUUAGCAGCAAAAGUGCAAGCAUGGAGCGCAUAUAUUCUUGGUUUCAAGAACAAAUUUCAAAGUUAAAAAUUGUAUUAUGCUAGGAAAAUUUCAGCUACUACAGUGCACUUAUUAUAAUAACUUGAUCGGUAAUGGAGCAAGCAUGGAUCAUUUAUAAUUACUUGGAUCAUCACUAAUUAACUACAUCAUGAUCUUGAUGUUGCAGAUGGACAAGGCGACCAUUCUUGGGGACGCGGUGAAGUACGUGAGGAAGCUGCAGGAGAAGGUGAAGACCCUGGAGGAGGACGGCGCCCACAGCGCCGGCGGCAGCAGCAGCAUGGUGCAGUCGGCGGUGCUCGUCAAGAAGCCGUGCCACCUGCAGCCCGAGGACGAGGCCAUCAUGGCGAGCGGCGGCGGCGGCGACGGCGGUCAGCUGCCGGAGAUCGAGGCGCGGCUGUCGGAGAAGAGCGUUUUGGUGCGGAUCCACUGCCGCAACGCGAGGGGGCUUCUGGUGAGGGUGAUAUCGGAGGUGGAGAAGAUGCACCUCUCCAUCACCCACACCAACGUCAUGCCCUUCCCCGCCUCCACCGCCAUCAUCACCAUCACAGCCAAGGCGAGUAUGAAUAAUUCAUCAUAUUUCUUUUUAAAAAAAUCAUCAUAGGAUCCAUCGAUCUGCACUACGUACUGUAAAUACCAAUCAAUUAAUCAAUUGCACCAUGCAUGCAUUCAUGGGCAACAACCGACAAGCUAGUAUGCAUAUGCAUGCAACUAGAGAGCAAGCAAAUAAUGCUAAUAUUAUAAUAUAUGUACUGUCUUUAAUUUGAGUAGUGUGCACCAUUUCGAUAUUAUUACCUUAUGGGUAUUCCUCUAUUUAAUAACAUUUAUCAUUGUAUGGACAUGUGUUUUUUCUUCUUCUCAAGGUACUCCACUCAUGGUAGAUCUUGAGGGAUCAAUGGAUGAUUACACGAGGAAAAAACAAGAUUAGGCAUAUAUAAAAAGGAAACACAAUUACUACAUAUUUAGGGUAAAAACAUUUUAGAUGUGUUAGGGGAUUAAAGGCAAUUGCACAAGGUGCAAUAUAUAUGCAUGUAUUUGGCAUGAACUGCUAGUUAAAAUAUUAGGCGCUCAUUAGUUGUGGAUUGGUCAAGUCAGCUGGCAGAUGAAAUUUUCGUCUGUUAAAAAGUUUAUAAAAAGAAUUGACUUCGGGCCGGUGUGCUUGAGUAGUUGAAAUAAUAGCAGAUGAAACAAAAUGAUGUGGGAAGAUAGUUGAUAUGAAGAAACUGUCAAAAGGGUGGGGUGACAAUUUGUAAAAUGUCAAAAUGCAUAAAAGCUGCUUUCACAUCCCUUUUGUAAUAUAAAAUGUCAAUUUAAGGGGACAAUGUGAUCCGACUUCAACCAAUAAUAUCCAACAUAACACACUAAUACUAUGCACUGAGAGUGAUACCUUGACUUAUGAAAAGUUACCAUUCUAUGCCAUAUUGCUUGGGUAACAAUUUUCGUACAAAGAUGAUCAUAUUAUCUUUUGUUUGAGAUGAUAGUAUAUAUGAUGUUAAUGAUACUUAACACAUUAUUUUGAUCAGAUUAUUGUUCAACUGUCUUUCAGGUGGAGGAGGGGUUCAUUGCCACAGUGGAUGAGAUAGUGAGAAGUAUUAACUCCGUGCUACACCAACAUUACAGCAGCAGUUCUGAAGAAACAAGAGGAUAGAAAGUAGACAACAACCGCUAGCUAGCUUAUUUCCUAGGGGGAAAAAACUAAGAAGAGGAUCACUACUGCAGCCAUGCUUCUCUCCAUCCAUGAGGUGAAGGGCAUCAAAUAAUUGAGCACGCAAUUAAGCCUCUUUAUCUGAUGAUAUAAUAACAUGAGAUCAGACACAGAAACUCUCAUCAGGUAAACUAUGACGAAAAGAUGGCAUGCAUCAACAUGUUGAUCAAUGACGAGGAUCGAUUUCUCAACCACAAGUUGCAAGUUUCGGCCUAGCCGUACACUCAUGCAGUUGCUCAAUCAAAAUCAUUGAUGAGAGCAUCAAAAUGACCUUUUGCUUCAUGCAUGUCAAAAGAGAACAUGCAUGUUAUUUAAUACUGUUUUUUUGCAAGUUAAAAUGUCUGCAUCAAACCCUUUCAUAUAUAUAUGUACACACUUGCUAUCGAUAAUAUUUCUGGAAAAUACAACGAUUAGCUGGAUCAGAAUAGGGCUAACAAAUCCAAUAUGAUCUCGAUCUGAUCUUAUACCAAAUAAUUACGUCAUUUAUUUUAGAAAACCAUCAAUCUGGAUUUGUUUUAAAUUAGUAUAUAUAAUCAGGUAUGCAAUCUUCUCUGAGUCAUGUAUGAGUCAUCAGUCAUGCAUCCAAAAGAAAAAUAUAUAUUUCUAUCGUAUAAAGGUCGUCUGAUCCUCACAAAAAGAAAAAAAAUAUUAUAAAGGUGUAUGGUUUAGUACUGUACGUGUUAGUUAGACGCUCUUUAAUUAUGUAGCGUUUGUUUAAGAGAUAUCGCGUGAUCUGUACAGCACGUACUGAAGAUACGGAAGCUCCGGUCAGAAAUUUAAUUAAAUUAAAGAUCUCUCGAUCCAAUUGUUUUUUGUGGUGAGAUACAGGGAAAGCUGUUGAGAUUUGCAGUGCAAAGUUGGCACAGUACUGUUUGCAUAAAAUGCAACAUGUCUUUGGUUGGCAUAGCAAGCCAAGAUCGAAGAUAUGAUCAUCGAUCAGGUACUGCAUGCAAUUGUAUUAUAUAUUCUGCAGUUGUUGCAUACCAAUAUAUACCAUCAUGUCAUGGAUCAUGUGUGUGUACACAUUAAUAUACGUGAUCAAGGAAUAAAGCAUGAUGAUUUAGCAGCCUUAACGACGAUUUCGAGAGAUUUGUUGCAAUCAUAUAUUGGAUUAUUCUUUUUUUCCUUGAGGAAGCAUCGUGGUGAUGAACACACCAUCUUCGUUCCUUCUUCUGGGGACCCGGCCGUCUGGUCGUUGCCGGACAAGAAAUACUCUAAUGACACAAAGGGUACAGUACCAAACUGGAGGGACAUGAACUAAAAAAUAUUCUGAAUUGAGAUCAGUUGGCAGAUCAGCAGAUCUCAAGCAACUAUAUAUUCUUUUCAACUUUUGAUCGCCUAAAAUAAGAAACUAUCGUUUUGGUAUAAAAUAAGAAACCAUUAUAUUAAUUUGUUUAUUAUGUAUCAGUGCAAAAGUUACACUUUAGUUUAGCUAAAGCUAAGCUAGUUAAAAGUAUACUAUAACAUCUAUAUCAGUAGGCAAUUGGGCACAUGCAUGGCUGGAAGCAGGUUUCAAUAAUUGGUGGAUUAGCCAUGCUGCCCUGGAAUAUUUUAUUAUUAUUGCCAAUGAAAGUUUAUUAGUUUGGAGGCUGCAGGGUACACGCCAUUCAAGUGUUUAGUUGUGACUGGCUGCAUGCAUAGCUGACUGUAGUAAAAGGAAAGCUCCAUCAUCGUCUCAAAAGAAAAAAGAAACGAACACGCCGUUAGCUUUCUGCAUGGCUGUGCCCUGAAUGAUUUGGUCAUCCAUCGAUAUUGCAAAACUGAACAUGAGCUCUGAGCCGUAAGUGCAGAGAUCAGAUCUGAUGGAGGCAGCACAUCCUCUCCUACUUGAAUGCUUGUAUUGCAGAAGUUCUGAAGGAAAAAAAACAAUAUAAUGCAGUACACGCUUUAAAAAAAAAUUCCACAUUCUAAGUGAAGUGCAAUCUAAAAAAGAUCGAUGGUCCAGACUACUGAAAGAGAGGACCAGACACUAACAUUCAUAUAUAUAUAAUAUCUACUGGUCAAACUGACACAUAAGUUUUUGAUUUAAACAUUGGCACGCGCGGUCCCCAAACUGACUGCUAUUUUUUUCGUAAUAUAUUUAAUUUUUAGGGUGAAGAAAAAAAUAUACUACUAUAAAAACUACUUUGCAAGGCAGAUAUCAUUUCAAAUAUCAAAACUAAAAAUUAUAAAGAAAAUUGCAAUCAAAGUUUAUAAUGGUUGCCUUGCAAGUAACCUAAAGGAUGCUCAACUUUUUACUAGAUGGAGUAGCUGGCUGAGUGAAAACUAGCAACCUCUGGAGAUGGUUCUCAGUUGAAGAUGCAAUCUGAAUUAAUUGUACUGGACCAAAAAAACUUGAAUCUACUCCCAAAGAAAAAAAAAUACCUUCUUGCCCAUAUCAGAGAGUCAGUGUCGUCAGUGGUCACUAGUAAUAAUAUAUUUUUUGCGGUUUUUAUGAUGCUAGCUUUCAUGUGGCAUCUGCAGCUGCUUUGAUACCCGACCCAGCAGCUUAACUGUAGGAGAGGAGUAGCUCAUCACGAUCACGCACGAACCCCCCCGUGACGGGUUUGAUGUGACUAAUUAAGGCAGCGAAGCUACCAUCAGUUGCAGUGUUUAGAGGUUUUUUUAGCCAGCUAAAAGUCGGCUAGUUAAAGUUUAGCUGGGGUGUUAUCCUACCCUUGGGCCUCCUUCCUUCCUCCUCCCUCCCCUUCGGCCUCCGCUCGACCGCAUGCUGCCGCGCCGUCAUCCGGCCGCACCAGCCGCUGCCCCCGUCGUCCGGCAGCACCCGCCGCCGGUCCAUCUGGCCGCGUCGCCGUCCUGCCGCUCGUCUUGCUGCGCCGCCAAUCCACGUUGGGGCCGCGCGGGUGGCCGCGCCUCUCGUCGCAUGCUGGUGGCGGCCGCUGCACUGCGCUAGAGCCGCUUCACCCCUCCACGCCGGCCACCACCUCGCCUUCACGCGCCGCCGCUCCAACCCCGGCGGCGGCCCCCACGGCGGCGGUAGGUCCUGGACGGCUCCAUGUCGCAUUGAUUGGAGUGAUUUCUGUUGGGAAUGAGCGAGGGUGUUUUGGUCUUUUGUUGGUUUAGGCUAGUUUAGGGUAAACCAGCUUAAGGAAUGAAUGUUUAGCCGGCUAAAGUUUAGUUGGGUCCUAUUUCGAUCGCCAGCUAAAUAAAGCUUGUGUCACUGAACUCAACCACUUGCCCUGAUCUCCAGAUUGUUUAUUGCAUUCGGUCGCCAUUAAAGGUUCUUGCUGAGAUUCAUGCAUGCUUUGCUUUGGAUCGAGCAGCGUACGUACAGUGUUCUCCAGCCCCAUAGGAGUAACCUUUGCCAGGAUAACAUUGUUUUCUUGCAUUGCAUAAUGAAAGCAACGCUACUGCCAAACAUGCACUGCAUCUGGUUACAUCGAGCACUAACAAUCUGCGGAUACAAACGAUCCAACUGUACCAGGCAUGCUGUCAUGAAAUAAAAUCACCAUUCUUUUCUACAUGCUGUCGUUAGGUGAAUACUAGAAACCAUCCUUUUUCACCUCAUCCAAUCUUGUAUGUAAAGAUCUCUAUUGAGAUCAUACAGUCAAUCGGAUAAGGUGCAUAGGGCAACACACAUCAGAGAGACAGACCCAUCUGUUCAGAAGCAACUUUUAUUACCACACUUUCCUUUUUUUCCUUUUUUUUUUCGGCGACCACAUAUUUAUCCUUUUUAGUACAGCCGUGUAGGUUAUUCACGCCAUGUACACAGUAUUACAGAGAAAUUACAGCAAGGCUUUCCAGGAAGCCAAAACACAGCACAUGUCUUUCUAUGUUGGGGUUGGACAUCUGCUAGAUGGCCGGUCUCACUUGUUGAUGAAAGAGACGCCCUUCUGGAUACUCUCGGCCAGCUCUUUCUUUGCCUUCUCAAGACCAGCUCUGCAUGAUAGUGAUGUGUGAUGAAGAUGAAGCGUAUGUAGAUCAGUAGAGCUCUAUGAUAUCAAAUAGGAUUGGACUAGGUAGGCCCCGAGCUGAGCAAGUUAAAACAUGUUGCAACUCAUCUUUGGGUCUAAUAUUUCUGCAGUUUCCAUGUAAAUUUUUGCCUAGGACCAGUGCUGGAACCCAGGCAGCACAGGUCACAGAUCCGCCACUGUAAAUAUGGUAUGUUGAAACAGGUUUGAAUAUAAUCUGGCAAUGUUAUGAUUGUGAUCACUAUAUUCUAGUAUAUGACAGUGUUACUGACUGUGAGCCAUAGGUCCAUGUCCAGCAGAAAAGAACUCAUGAAACUGGCUUAUUGUCAGUAUCUACUACCAUAUGAAGGGUCCAAUCAUGAUUCACAAAGAGUAAUAUGAACACAAAUUUCAGACAAAGUAAAUUCGCUGAGGCAGUUGCCUGCCCCUGGUGUUGACUGAUAGAGAAUAUCUAUCCUAAAUGCAUGCCGGGAACAGGAAUACUUCCAAGUUUCAAAAGUAGAGGGUGCAGACCUUUCGAACUCAUUCAAUGGCCCAAGUGGCAAUAUUUCCUCAACACCAGAGCGCCCUAACCGCACUUUGGAUGCAAAGAAAGGUAGCUCCGUCACCUUCAAUCACAAGACAAGGAAGACAGAAUUCACAAAUCAGAAAUACUAUUUAGUGAAGGUGGUUAAAACACAAAUUGAAUCAUGAUUAUAUUCAGUAUACACGAAAGAAGAAACCUGAGAAGCAACAUAAGAGCACUCCACUAUUCCGGCAUCACCACGCAGUCCUCUCAGGCAUGCAUCUGCAAAUUUAGCAGCUGCAUACGCCUACAAAGCAAGUUUCAAUGUUAACUGAACCAGCACUACAAACUACAAACUGUGGACACUAAUCUUGAUACAAGUGGCAGAAACAGACCAUUGAAAGAGUCGCUGAUCCUGCUCCAGCUUUAGCCUGAAACAUAUACGGUAUGAGAUAAAAAAAUGAUUUUUUAGUAUUGACCGCAUUACAGUCAAGAACAGUUUCCAGAACUAUUAUUGAGAGAAGUAUGAGACCUUCACUAAACUAGUAACACCAAAACCUAGCACCUGGCAUAUGGGUAAAAAGCCAUGCACCUAAUCUUGCAGUUAACAUCAUGAAGAUGCCAUUGAUAUGCAUAUACGCACCCAAUUAGUCUUGUAUAUCCAAUAUAAUGACUGUCCAGAGUCCAGACGUUCAUAUAUCCAUUUUACUAGUGAUCUGACUCUUAUACUCUCAAAAUUAAGCAUGCCAAUUCUUUUUUUCAGCUUUGUUAAUCAUAGAACUAAACAGAUAAAACCAGUGCGCAUAGUAGAUCUAGGGCUGAGGAAAUGCAAAAGGGCCUGUGCAAUUGACUUUUCUUUCAUCCUUGUGUAUAAGAGAUACAGAAUUAGACGGCAAGGAAAAGCAUACCUCAACUACUUCUGUCCCACCAUUCUGUAUGCGAGAAGUGAGGUGAUUAACCUCUUCUGACGUGAGUGAGCAGGCAGGAUUCACCUAUGUAUAAAAUAAAAUGGUGAAAAUUGAAAUUGAUCCCCUACUAUUUCCAGACCUGUGAAAUAAUUUUCAAUAAUUUUGUAUCACUUCCAAUUAUUCCUAAGUCCUAACCUGUGAAAGGAGUGGUAAUAUUGUAACUCCAGCAUGCCCACCAAUGACAGGAACAUUGACUUCUCUGGGAUCAAGUCCAAGAACCUCUCCCUGCAAAACAGAGGUGAAUCAUAGAAAUUAACCAUAUAGAAACUAGUAUCACCAUAAUGAACCAUGGCAAACUCUGCUUAUGAUUUGAAGCGCAUACCACAAAAGUGUUGGCUCUCACUACGUCAAGUGUUGUAACCCCUAAAAGGCGCUUAGGAUCAUAUGUGCCAGCUUUCUUGAAAACUUCAGCAGCAAUGGGAACAGUGGAAUUGACAGGAUUACUGAUCACGUUCACAAUUGCCUUAGGGCAGCAUUUUGCAAUUCCCUCACAAAGAGUACGGACGAUUCCAGCAUUGAUGUUAAACAGAUCAUCCCUUGUCAUCCCAGGUUUCCGAGGGACACCAGCAGGAAUUACCACAAGAUCCAUCCCAGUUAGAGCAUUUUCUAACUGUGGUUGGCCCAAGAAUCCACGCACCUGUAGAAUCUCAAACCUAAGUAAGUACAUCCAGUAAUACUAGCAUUUACGAUUCAAGAAUCCAAUGGAUAACAGAACAAAUGCAGAGGGCACUCAAGAAAAUCUCAGAACUAACAAAACUGAAUCCAAGGAUAGUUACACACUUGUUAGAAAAAACUGCAAGCAGGAUGUUGUUUUUAACAAGGCAAAAUUAACUCUCCUAUGCAGAUUCUGUUCAGGGCCACACAACAUACUCGCUUCUAAGUGUUGUUACAGAAGGGUCAGGGGAGUGGGACGGGUACAUUAUGUGUACUGUAUGCCGCCUUUUGGAGACAGCUACAGUGAAAAUCUCUGUUAGGAAUGGAUGCAAGUUUAGCAAUAGAAAGGCUUUUUCUAUAAUGAACCUUUUCAUAUUGUUAAGCCUCUAAUGUUCAGAGAUGGUGUACUGGCUGUGUGGAAAGACAGUCCACAUAAUACCAAAAACUUAGUAACAAGAAACGGAUCUGCACAUCUCCGUAGGUAGUGGCUGGGAUUUGUUACUCCAUUAUCUAAAAAUGUGACUGUAUAAGUUGAGAUUUGAACAAUUAUCACUGAAUGGUCAGGUACUAAGUCUCUUUCAAGGCUUUCAGUAGAAAUUCUGACAUGACAUGAUUAACACAACUCCCAGGUAAAUUUCACAGGGAAAUUUUAUUUUUUUCAUGAGUUAAAGAAUUAUAACAGCAAGCUGGUUAAUCUCAACUUAUAUGCUCUUAAUAUUAACCUAAGAGUCACAAGUGCAGUAAAAAGACCUACGUGCAGCACUUAUAUCCUCUAAAUAUUAACCUAAGAGUCCAUAAAGGAACUAAUGGUAAUAAGGCCUACUAGCAUGCUGGUGUCAAUCUAUCUUCUGAAUUUGCCAGAAUCUCUUAAAAUGAUUUUUUUAUAAAAAAAAUGGGAUACACGCAAUGGCAAGAAGCAUACCACAGCACCAGUAUUCAUGUGGCUAAUGUCAGCCGUGACACCAGGUGCGUUGACGACAUCAUAUAGAUGGAGCACCGAAACAAGAGGGUUCAUCUUCAUCAGUAGCGCGAGUGGCUGCCCGAUCCCACCAGCUGCGCCCAAGAUUGCGACCUUGAAGCCUGGCGCCGCCCCUUUUGCACGGCAAAUGGAUCCCCUCAGGAGGGAGACCUCCUCCAUCUUGAAAACAAAGCAAUGGUAGAGAAUUUAGCAGAUAGUUAAAGCAGAUCUCAGAGAAGAAGGCAGUACAUCAAUCAAAAGAUUUAAGGUACAGCUGAGCCUAGACUCAAGUCUGAAGGUAUAAACUCGUAGAUAGCCCAUACCAGGUAUAAUUAUCAGGAGAACUAACUUGAACACAAUUCUAAAAUCACUAAGACAGGCCGGUGGCAAUCAAAUAUGCAGGUACCCAAAAGGGACAGCUUGGGUUCAUUGCCAGAUUCAAGUUAUGUUUGCUAGAACUUUGAAGUGUGUGUCAUGUGUGGUUUAUCAGGUACUGGCAUUCAACUAUCAACAGCUAAGCAGAAAAAUUAUGGAUUGAUGUAAUUCCUGAUGGUAUUUGAUACGAGAUUGAAACGGACUCUACUAUUUAUCAGCACUGUGCUCAUUUGCGCACACGAAUCGUUCAUCCGCAAAUCAGUACCCAUGUGACUGUGAGAGAAAUUUCGGGGCCCCCCGGACCAAAAGGAUCGUCCUUUGACGCCAAAGAUCCCAGCUUUCGUGGAGCGGCGGCCGCCUUCGCCGGGCAAAUGAGACGAGUCCCUUGACCAUUGACGGCGGGUCGGACGGAGCUUGGUUCUCCGCGGCAAGCCCGAAUUCACAGCGAAAGCUGGGCGACUAGGAGGUUCUAGAGACGGGAAGGGCAGGCGACGGUGAAAGCGAAACCAAGCAGUCCGCCAUCACUCCCUGAUCCGGAGGACCCCGGGCAAAUCAGGCGAAGCGGAGAGGGGCCCAAGGAAAAAGGGAGAACGCGGUGACGAACCUGAGGGUGAGAGGAGGCGGGGUCCGGGCGCAGGUGGGAGGCGAGCGUGGCCAUCCGCCUGGCCGCCGCCGCGUCGGCCCCUUGCUGCUCCAUGGUUGCCUUGGAGUUGCAGAGGCAGAGAGUCUCGCAGGAAGAGGAAGAGGGUGUCUGUUGCGAAACGUAGUAAGGUGUUCGCGGGACGAUGCGUGCACGUUUCCGACGGAGUUGGUUGUGCUAUGGUAUGGGCCGUAUGGGCAGGAAGGCGGGCGGUGCGCAGAGAAACUCUGUCGUCCCAAAAUAUAGGUUGAUUUAGUUUUUUUUAGAUUCGUAGAUAAUUUAGAUCAAGGCAGAGAAAUUGUAACACCCAAAUUUUUAAAGAAUUCAAAUUCAUUAAAAUUGGUUCAAUUAGGAUGUCAUUUAAAAUUCUUAGGCAUAUUAAUUUUCUUUUUUUCUCCAAAUUUAAUUAAUUCAUCAUAGGAGUUUAUUGUACAUUCAUGCUGGUGCAUUUAUUUUGAUUGCUUGAGUUUGAAUCAAAUUUGAAUUUCAAAUUCAAUUUUCAAAUUUUCGAAACCUUACUUUUCUCUUUUUCUUUUUCUUCUCUUAUCUUUCUGAUGGGCCACACCCUUCUUUCCCCUUCUUCCUUUUCUUUCGGCCCAGCCGCACAGCAGCGUCGUCGGCCCGCUCCAUUUUUUCGCCGGCCCGCGAAACUCCCCGCUCCGUUUUCUCCCUCGCCGGCCCAGCUCUCCUCGCCCGCUCGGCCCACCGCUUCGCCUUUCCUCCGCGGCCCACGAAGCAGCGCGGCCUGCUCCCCUUCCGCCGAUCUGAUGGGUGGGACCCACCCGUCAUCCCCGUCCUCCGGCCGUAUCCGGCCGGGACUCCUCCCCCGACCGCGCCGGACUCCGCCGCCUCCGCAACCACCUCGCCCCCGCUCCGAUUUCCUCGGGCGUUCAAAUCCGAGGCCGCCCCUAUCUCCAAGCGUGCCGCCCCUAUUUAAGCCCCCCCCCCGGCCUUGAACACCCCGCGCCAGCACCGAAACCCUAGCCGCCGCAAGCUCCAGCGCCGCCGCCACUUCUCCGCCGCCAAGCGCCGCCCUCCGGUGAGCCUCGGUCAUCAUGGACCGCCAAAACGAGAACGCCGUGCUUUCCUCUUGCUUCUGGUGUUCUCCGCGUGCGAAACCGAGCCCCGGAGCGCCGUUUCGGCCAACUCCGGCGACCCCGCCGCCGCUCGCCGUCGCCGCCGCGCUACCGCCGACGACCGCGACCGUCGGAUCCAGAUCCGACGGCUCGCAGCGGGUCAACCGAACCGCGUACCGGUCAACCGCGUCGCGCCGCUGUUCUUUUUCACUUAAGCCCUCGCCUUUUCCGCAAAUCAACCCGCGGUCCAGAUCACGUUGAAAAUAUUUACAGAUCUGCCCUCGCGUUUUUCGGUUUAAGCCCUGAGUUUUCUACAAAUCAACCCGCCGUCCGUUUUGGAGUUUUUGCGCGUUAAACCUUCGGUUUAUACGCGUAAUUACGUAUAAGUCCUCGGUUUUUUUCGCAGCUUGACCCUAGGAGUUUUGUUUUUCUCGCAGAAAAGCCCUUGGAUCUUGUUUUAAUCAUAUCUUUUGCAUCUUAACUCCGUUUUUCGCGUCCUUUAUAUCCACGUGUUCGUUUUAAAGCAUAGAUCAAUUUUACAAGCUUGUUUUCUCUGUUUAAUUGUGAUUGGUGUACUGUUUCUUACAUUUUGCUCAUGUUUGCUUGUAUGUGCUCGUGUGACGCGUGUAGACGUUCAACAGUUCGAGGGAUUUGAAGAUCAAGCCUUCGAGGAGUACGAACAGCAGGAGCAAGGCCAAGAAGGCAAGUCGUGUCCUUGAUCACUACUUUUCCGUCCUAUACAUCUUUACUUUCUCGUACUCAACAUUUAUGCUAUGCAUAUGUUAAGAUUAAAUUCAUGGGUCCCAAUUAAGGUUCGCCUAGAUUGAAACUACAUUUGCCUUGACCAACCAGGUUUACCUUUUAUCUUGGGUAGCUCAUGCUUAGUGCUUACUUGGUAUAUGGUGGUUUAACUAAACUCAAUGUUUAAUCUUGCUUUACUUCUGUUAUACCUUUUAUUAAUACAAGAUCACUAUUGUUUAAUCGGAACAUGGAGAACCACCCAGGAAAACAGUGCUACCACAAGACUAAUGGCUCUGGUCUUGGCUGAAUAAUUAGAAACUCUAGUUUGGGGUAAUCUUACCGAAAGGGCAAGAGGGGAUGCGUUGAUGGGAUAUAGCACUCGCUCUCGGGGGAAGUGGGCUUGGCUAAGACACUAUACCCACUAGGGGACUGCUAUGUUCUACUUCGACCUGAAACCUUAGCGGGUUACCACAUUGCUAGCGAAUCUUUGUAAAGGCCUCGUAGCGUCCCUAUGCAAUCACACCUCGGAAGUGUGGUAUGUUGCCUUGCAAACACCGCAUGGUUGGGUCCAAAGUUCUUUUGAACUUUUACGCGACUUGUGGGUAAAGAUGUGCCACCUCUGCAGAGUGUAAAACUGAUCGAUCAGCCGUGCUCACGGUUAAGAGCGGCCUGGACCCUCACAUGAUAAUAUUAUCGGAAGAUGGAUUUAAAUUGUUGUCAUUUCAUGCAUAUGUUGUUUACUUUAUUUAUGCUCAUGUUUAAUUUCGAAUGGUAUAAACUUAUACUUAGUUAAUUGCUAAAUAAAACUUGACCAACUGAAUUAAAAGCUGAUGCCAAUUAAGCCUUAGCCAUACCUUGAUUUUCCUUACACUACACUAUUCCCCACGACUUGUUGAGUACCAACCAUAAGUGUACUCACCCUUGCAAAACCGCUGUUCAGACCAAGCUAAUUUGGAGGAGUAUCUGCACGACUUUGAGGAGUUCUAGGCGUACGGUUCAUCAGUCAGCUGCCUAUGGUGUCGUCGUCGUCUUUGGAGUUCCGCUGCGUAAUAAUUUAGGUUUAUGUUUUAUUGAGACUUUCGGUCAUGUAAUAAUAUUUAAUACUCCCUUUAUUCGCUUUAGCACUGUCUUUAUUAUUCACUAUUGUCGUACAUGUGUGUAACUUAAUCCUGGCGCACAUGUAUUUAAUACACUCGAUUUUUUUCUUAAAAUCAGGUGUGACAGAAAUUGCCUUCGUUUCGGUCUUGGUCUCAUUUGCAUUUGUUUCCCCUUUACCUUUGCAACACGAUCUCAUGGAGGGCCAUGGAGUAUCUUCGGUUGGUGGUGACUAUAGUUCGUUCCAUUUCUUUACUGCUCCUCUCCUCUGGUUGAAAAUUCUGUUGACUACCAACUAAAGCUGCCUCGUAUACAGCAGCCAUAAAAAAAACGGGGGGCUGUUAGAUUUCCUUUUGGAAAUAUUCUGAUCUCGCUACAAUAAUUGACUCUUGAGGUUAAGACAUAGUAACAUUCUUGACAAAGAUGGUUAAAAGAAGAACAAUUUCUAAAACAGUGCCGUACAACAACACAACAGAUGUUGGUAUACAUAAGUUGAUUUUCUAUACAGUUUAUAACAAUAAUCAGUCAAUCACUCUCUCCACACUGUCUCUGAGAUGCAGGCAUUGCCACACUAACUAAUCCAAGCGUAUCAGAGGGCACAAUUGGGUAUUGACAACACCAGGAGUGGUUAAAGGCACCAAAGUCAACUUGCUGCUGGAUCUUCGUCUGCCGUACCUUCCACAUGAGCUGGGUGAGAUGAACAUGUAAAACUUAUCUGCAAUUGCAAAUUGAAUGCUCCUGGAUCUUCGUCUGCCGUACCUUCCACAUGAGCUGGGUGGGAUGAAAAUGUAAAACUUAUCUGCAAUCGCAAAUUGAAUAAUGGCCGUUAGCAUCCCAACAACAAACUUGCAAACUUUUUCGAAAUCGAGCUCCAUGAUACUGCUUACCAUGGUAUAUUGGUUUUCUCCAAUGCUUCAUCAUUCAGAGUCCAUCUUGUGCCCCCCAUAUGCAUAGACCUCGUGAAUGAAGGGGAAAAGGCAACGGAAUUGUUAGGUCACGAUGAAUCACUUUGAGCGGCAUCAAGACCCAGCAGCAUCGGGCUAUAUAUAUCAAUGCAUGCCUUUUUCUUUGUAAGCAUGCAAUUGUUAGCGGAAGGUCAUGAAAAAACUAUUACUGUAAAUCAUCAUCCAUUUAUCAUGACUUCCUUUUAUUUAGCACUUCAUGCAUUGAUGGUCUUGGUCUCCACACACGCUCCAUGGCAAACGCAAAAAGGGAUUAAGUCAUCCAGAUAAAGGCUGAGAGGAUAAACUUGUUGACCAUAUGUUUUACAACAGGUAGUACGUCUGAAAGCUAAGAUAGUCUACUGCCUAGCAAGUUCGAGGCAAACCUCAGCCUCAUAGGUUCUUCAUUUCUUCAAACUUUGGUGAGCGUUAUAUUAUUUUUUGUUGCAGAGCCUGAGAUGCCCGCAAAAAACUGACCAGCUCCUGGAUUUUGACACCCUUCUCAUAUAUGAUUUCAGUAUAUUUCAGCUUCCGGCAUUGGAACCGCACAAGGUUCCCAAACCGAGGAUAUGUCUUCUUCAGCUUGGCCUUUCCUUUCCGUCCCAUGGAAACUUUUGGGAGCUGUCUCCACCAAACAAAGGACUCGUAAGUUACAAGCCAAUGGAAUUAUGGAUUUUCUCCUAAUUUUGCUUUUAAAAAUUUUAAAACCCAAUGGACAUUUCUUCCAGAACUUCUCAAGUAUGCAAAUAGUCAACCCAAAAACAUAAUUCAACUUCUGCGACAGCAAUUCUUUCACUUCUGUGGUAAUGUAACUGGUCUGUUCUCACAGACUUCUCUAAUCCUGGAUCAGAGGUGUUGUGUGCAACUCGACAGUACAACAAGAAACAUAUGAACAUAUAGAGUAACCACAAAAUUCAGGACAAAAGAUCAUCAUUAACAAGACGGGUGUUCUAACUGGGUGCAGAUAUUUGAAAGAAGAAAGCCCGAGCAAUGCUGCUUCAUCAGAGGAGAAAACUAAAUCAGAGUUUAGAGCUGUAUACUGUUGAUAUCAGCAACAGGCCCUAGUAAGGCGGUUUAUAUUGCAAAAAUGCUGGGCUGGUGGUGAGAAUUAAACAACAAGCAACAUAGGGGUGAACAAACUAAGCACCAUACAUCCAUACUAGAGAUCAGUAUUAAUACAGCCUAAUAGCAAAAGAUCCGAUGAUGAACUUAACAAGUGUGGAGUUGAAAGGUCUGACUAUAUCUCCGUAAAGAAAGAAGGGUGUACUGUUUUAAGCUGCCCCAUCCUCGGAUCCCUUGCAGUACCUUCAGAGUACUUUCAAGUUUCAAUAGCAAAAAAUCAUCUGAGACAUGUAUGCAGGUCAACACGUGUCACGUAGUCAGAGUAGAUAAAGAAAAAUGUUAAGUACCCGUACCCAGAAAUCCUGCAAAAUAAGCUCCUCCAGAUUUGGAGACUUGUGCAGAAAUCUCCCAAGAGCCUUCAAUUUAUCAGCAUCCCGUUCGCUGAAGAAACAGUAGCUGAGAGACAAGGUUCUCAGGUUGUCGAACAUUGGGAACUUAUCUAACUCGUUAUCUAAGAAAGCCUGAAACAGAGAAGCAGAAACAGACUUGAGUCAAUAACGAAACUGAUCUAGUUCAGUAGGUCUUGCACAGAGUUCUGACGGUGGUGGUGAAAUCUUCAAAUGAGCUUUACUAGUUAUGCAUGGAACAGAGACGGCUGUAGCAUGGAAGAAAGGCAUACCAUUGCUUGAAAGAAUUGCAACUCCAAACUUGUCACACUGAAUAGACUGCCAAGAAGAAUGGCUUCAGUUCUUGGAGAUAACUGUUCAGGCAUUACAGAAAUUGAUGCCUUGACAAGGGAAUUUCCUGCCUCUAACGACAGACCAUUGUUGUAGCAACUAGAGUCCAGGAACAUGGAAGCUAGACAAGGAGCCCUGACGACCAAUGUAUCUGCAACCCGACUUGUACAAGCACGAACUACCAAGUUCCUGAGCGUGUCGGAUUGAACGACAGCAAAGUUGUUGGCACAGUUGUGGAGGAGCAAAUCUUCCAGGACUGGGCAUCCAGAACUGAGCCGCUCCGAGAAGCAAGGGUCCAAAGACACCCACAAGCUCCAAGCUUUUGAGGAGAUGAAAGCCGGAGCCAAGGCGGGGGAUCUGGAAGUGGUACCUGAAGAUGUCGCGGUAAACACGAAUCUGGAACACAGGAGGCUGGCACUUGAUGCCACGGCGGACCCAUCUCUCGGUGUCGCGACACAGAUCGGGAAACUCAGUAGCCCAAAACAAGUCGAGCCGGAAAGCGUCCAGGCAGCGGGCGUUGUUGAGCAUCAGCAAGUUGUUGGUGAAAUCCUGCAGCUUCCUCCACCAGUGGCCUCCUCUGAAAUCGCUGCUGCUGAACGCCACAGAUCCAUCCACCUCUUAGACAGCACGGUGGUCUGCACCGCCUGCCGGGACGGGAGGAAGGAGAGGACGUGGCAGAGGAGCUCGUCCGACAGGGCGCUCAGCCGGUCCGGUGCCGAGCCGCGGGCCGUGCGGGCCUGCUUGGCGGCGGCCGCCUCCAUCGCAAGAAAAGCCCCGUCCGGAACCCGACCACGGCCGCGGCCACCUCCGAUCCGGUCGCCGGAGGAAGAGGCAAAACCCUCACAUACGGAGGUCUCGUGCCUCCCGGCGGCGAGGAAGACGAGCGACAGCUGCUGAAUCUGAUGGCCCAGCAGCCAGCAGCAAUCGCCUCUCACUCUUCUCACUCUCUCUCUCUCUCCCAUACGGAUGGGCCAAUGGGAUCAGGCGGGAUACGGCCCGUUGAAGCACCGGAUGAAUCGUUGGGCCUCCAAUUGGCCCAGCAGACAACCCUAGUGGCCGAUCUCCAACCGGUUAGGGUGAUCAUUCGGACGGGACUUUUCUAUGCAUCGCGGGACUCAACUACUCCCGCUAAAUUCAAUGUCCUAACGUCGCUGACACCCUCAUAAUUUAUAAACUACGAUUUCCUCCGUUCCAAAUUACGAUUCGUUUUGGAUUGUAGAAGUACAUAUUUUUGAUAUAUAUAUAUAUUAUGUCUAUAUAUACGUAGAAAAUGCUAUGCAACUAGAAAAGCCAAAGUGAAUAGUAAUUUAGGAUAGAGGGAGUAUUUUAUAAGUUAUAACUUAGGCCCUCUUUGGCAUGGCUCCAACUCCGAGUAGAGCUGCUCCACUCCAGAACUCCAGAACUAAAAUGGUGUGUUUGGUUAGAUGGGUGCUCUCAGCUCCAAAAAAGAUCAAUUUCAAUGUGUAUUGCCAUUGUUGCCCCCAAUUUAGGCCCCACUUGUCAUCCUCCCCAAGCACCAUCCAUCUCUCUUGGUCAAGUGAGCGUCUGCCCCUCCACGCAAUCCCAAGGGCCUUGGCUAUGGCGCCCCCCUCCACUCCGGCAGCCCAGUCCGACCGUGCCGCGCUCCUCAAGGCCUUCGACGAGGCUUGCACGGGCGUCCGCGGCCUCGUCGAGUCCGGCGUCUCCUCCGUCCCCGCGCUCUUCGUGCACCCGGACCCCUACGCCUCCGCGCCGCUCGCGCCCCCGGGCAUCUCCAUCCCCGUCGUCGACCUCUCACUCCCCGCGCCCGCCGCUGCCAAAGCCGCCCGCAGCUGGGGCUUCUUCCACAUCAUCAACCACUACCAAGCCCUCGGCGUCCCAGAGGACUACCCCGCGCGGGCGCUCACCGCCGUGCCCGCCUUCAACAAGCUCCCGGCCGUCGAGCGAUCCGCGCACUACGGCCGCUCCAUGACCGGCGGGGCGGCGGCGGCCUUCGGCGGCGGGGCGAGACGGGCCGGCGGCGGGGCUCGGCGGAGGGGCGCGAGGGGCGGCGGCGGCCUUCGGCGGCGGGGCGAGACGGGCUGGCGGGGGGGCUCCGCGGAGGGGCGCGAGGGCCGGCGGCGGGGCUCGGCGGAGGGGCGCGAGAUCCGGCGGCGGGGCGUUGUGUCCGGCGGUGGGGUGAAGUCACGGGAGAGGAAAGAAGCAGAGGCGCACGGGAGAAUGGAAAGAAAGAGGCAAAGAUGAAACAUUAUUUUUGUGUAAUCAGUGGCAGUGGUGGGUAAUUACCCACCAACUCCACGAGGAGGUUCAAAAGAGGGGGUUUUGGAGCAGCAAAAGAGGUGCUCCAAAACUCCACCCUCAUUUGUACUACAGCUCCAUGGAGUUGGCAGCUCUGUGGAGUUUUGGAGUUAGGGUGUUUGGCUAUUUUUUUUGCUAGAGUCGCUGGAGUUGUGGAGUGGAGCUGUGCCAAACAGGGCCUUAUUUGCUUAGGGUGUGUUUGGUUUUGGAACAAUGUGGGUUGUGUUGGAGCCGACCUCCUUUUAUGGGUUGGAGUCAACCCAUCUCAUGUUUGGAUGAGAGGGACGGAGAGGGAUGGUUUGGGCCCAAUUUUUUGUUUGAUUGGAGGGACUGAGAAGGUUGGGAUGGAUGGUAUUUUCACACCGUUAGUUGUGGGUCCCACCUAUCAGCUACAGGCCCACAUGUCAUCCUCACCCACCUUAUCUUCUUCCUCUGGCCACUCUCCCUCUCCCCCGCGCCGCCGCCCCUCUGCACGUGCGGCCACCGCUCCUCCCUCUCCCCCCGCGCCGCUCCUCCCCUGCGCCGGCUGCCGCCCCUCUCCUGCGCUGCUCCCUCCCCACGUCAGCCGCCGCUCCCCUCCCUGCAUCCUCCUCCGUUCCUCCUCGGGCGAAGGGCGGUGGCGAGGAUAGCGGGAGGAGGCGGGGCCGGUGGGAGGGUGGAGGGGCCGGGUGGAGGGCAUCAGGCAGACGGCGGACAGGUGGCGGGGGCGUCAGGCAGGCGGCGACGUCGAUCGAGGCAGAUGCGGGGGCAGGGAGGUACGCGCACGGGAGAGCACGACGCUCGUGCGGGUCGAGUGCGUCCGCUCGUUUUGGGCGGACACAUUCAACCCGCAUCUACGGGGAAUAUUUCUUACAGGGGACGAAUCCAACCUAUUCCAUUUCCAACCAAACGUGGGACGAUUGGGGUCGAACCCGUUCCGACCCACAUCAACCCGGUAACCAAACACACCCUUAUGCUUGCACUCGUGCCUGCAUGUACUUAUUUGCAUAGCGCUAAAGGUUAUAGCUGUCGCUAUAGCUGUAUUUAGCGGCUAUAGGUUGAGGCUAUCCGCACUCGGAGCCUGCAAAGACGCCUCAACUGGAAAGAUAGAGGUGCAUGCACUGCACUGCAGCACGCUAUCCCCAUCUCCACUGAAGCGUUCGCUACAGGAAACCUAGAUACCCAGCAUUCGGCCCCGCUACGCUAUGCUCUCUCUUCGCAUACCACGGGCCCCGCCCACCCCACCGCGCCGCCCGAUCUCUCUCUCUCUCCCAGGCGUGAUACAGGCGAUGCGGCAGCAACAUCCAUAUCCUCCAGCGCCUGUAAAAGUUCUUCAGACAAGUGGGCCAACCCCUUUACCACGUCCUUUGCAGACCGCCGCGGUGCGGUCAGCCUCAGGAGCACUUCAUUGUAUUGCGACUUCUACACGAAUAAGCUUUAGCUAUUGUGGCGCUACACUUUAAAGAAAGAUUAUCUUGAAACCCGCCAUAAAUUUAGUAAACCGUACCUUAUUAAUAUUAUUAUUUCAGCUGUACACAUACCCACUACCUCCCACCAUACCCCUGGCGGCGUGAGAUGGGCAGGUGGGUGAGGGGGGAUUCACUCCAGGGGCGGACGGCGUGAGAUGGGCGGCGGGCGGAUCGAGAGAGGGCGGCGGGAGCGGGCGGAUCGAGAGAGGGCGGCGGCGGCGGGCGGAGGGAGAUAGGGCGGCGGCGGCGGGCGGAUCGAGAGAGGGCGGCGGGAGCGGGCAGAUCGAGAGAGGGCGGCGGCGCGGGCGGAGGGAGAGAGCGUGCGGCGGCGGGCGGAGGGACAGACGGUGGCGGCGGCCGAAGGAAAAAGCGGCGGCGGCGGGCGGAGGCAGAUGGGCGGCGGCGGCGGCGGGCGGCGGGAGCUGGGUGGCGGCGGCGGGCGGCGUGAGUCGGGCGGGAGAGAGACCUGUGGGCGGGUGGGUGCGGUGCGGGUGGAUCUGGCGUCGGUGCGGGGGUAGGGAGUGUCCAGAACCGAUUUUAGUCGGUUUUAGGAGGGGGGUGAGGGCCUAAAAGAUUUGGACCUCCUAAAAGAUUUUAGUCACUUUUUAGGAGGAGUGUUUGGCACUUUAGGCAGUUUUUAGUCACCUUUUAGGAGAUAAGGUUUUAGGAGGAGGGAAACAAACAGGCCCUUAGUCUUGUCCCAAGCAGCGUGGAGAUUUAGCAAGCAGAGUAGACCGAUCCGUUACCAUGUCAUCUUAUAUAGCCAACGAAGAGAAUAGGGAUAUACCUACGCUCGCUACAUGCCGAGAGCUACAUUCGUACUCGUAUCCACGUGGAGGCGUCCAGCACCUUGCAUCAACAUCAUCGACCAAUUCAAUUCUGUGUAGCGGUAUUAUAGACGGGGACGGCCCAAUGCAUUUUUCCCCACUAAAUAAACAAUGAAUUCGAUCACCAUUGCAUGAUGUUGUACCAUAGGAGUACUCUAAUACAUCAAAGUACUCCGGUUCCGAUCAUGGAUGGAUCAAGAAACUCGUGCUAACGAGUAAUUUAACAUAUGUAGGAACUCGUGCCGGCGUCAACCUGUCCGAUCAGGACGGGUGGGGCAUUAUACUGCAUGCGCGCGUCAUUGUGUAUUGGUAUAGUAAUUAAGCUAGCGGAUAUAAUCUGCAGGGCUUCUUGCAACGCGCAAUAAAUAAAAAGGAUGGCGAUUACUCCCUCCAUGAUUACUCCCUCCAUCAUGCAAAGAGCAAAGAGCGCUCUUUUAAGUUUAUCCUAAGUCAAACUAUUUUAAGCUAGAUUGACCAAGUUUACAAUGAAGAUAUCAAUAUUUACACUCUUUGCGGGACCAGAAAUCAAGGGUUAGAUUCCUCCAUAAUGCCAAUCCAGCAAAGCACCAAUAACUUCUGGUCCCUCGUAGAGAAACAUGCUCUACGACAAGCACAACACACGUUGCAAUUUUAUUACUUUACCAUAGUAGAUGGAGCGGUAACUAGCUAGCUAACCACAUUUAGUUGAUAUAAACCAUGCCAGAUACCAUAGGGAAAGUGGCAGAUCCAGGGGGGGCUACGCAGCUCACGGAGCCCACUCUUAAGCCUCUCCUACAAAUUUUGACCAUGGAUAAAGGAGAAGAAGAAGAUGUGACACAAAUAUAUCACUACCAGCAGCUAUGAUCGUCCUCCGUAGGGAAACGUGUUCUACGACAAGCACAACGCACGUUGCAAUUUUAUUAUUUUACUAUUAUUUUUACUCUAAGCCUCCCCUACAAAUUUUCAUCAUGGAUAAAGGAGAAGAAGAAAAGAGAGAAGGGGAAGAAGAGAAAGAGGAAGGAGAAAUGGAGAAGGAUUGGGUGAACGAGCCCCCUGGGCCCUGGCCCUAAGCUAGCAGACUGCGUCCGCUGGAGUUUUCACGGUGCGUUCGUCGUCUUCUCCCAGUUCGUUGAGCCUGACUGGAAUUUCGGGCCGUUUUCUAUCGGUACCGCCCAUUUUCAGCUGUGCUUUCCAUUCUAAAAUUAAGGAGCUACGUACCACCAGCUGAAGAGCUAGCUAUCUUGUAAAUGUGAUGAGAUCGAUCGACGAGAUCACUGAUGACUAUACAUACGUAUGGAUCUUUAGGUGAGCCGGCCCUUAGAAAUCAAAAUCUACCUAGCAACGGUCCACGUAACUGAACAGUCUUGACAUUGCAUCAAUUUUCAGAACCAAGACUAAAAUUGCUCAUUCAAGAUAUGUUACUUACGCUGACCUGCCCUAGAAAUCGGUGCAUUUUCAGGACCGAUCACCAACCCGUCACUACGUUUGGAUUGAUUUAUGCUGCCACAUGGAAUUUAACGUGCUAGCAGACGGGAUUGCCACCUGCCAGCACAAAGGUUCCCUGGAAAUACAUAAUUAGUAUAGUAGCUAGCUAAUAAUGUAGAAACAAUUUUUUUGGCACAUAAUUUUAGAAGCAGUUAAGAAAAAUAUAAAGAUUUAGAGCCCACACUGUGAUUGAUUUUUUUGAAAGAUGGUUUUAUUGAGCCAAUAAAGAAAGCUAUUGUAAUUAAGUACUUGUUUUGCUCCUUUUUUUUCUAUUUAUGUACACCUGAAAAAAAAAGAUAACCAGGAUAUCGCCAAGAUUAUCGUCGUCGAGCUAGCGCAAGAUGCAAAAUGACCAAAGACUGCUGUAAUGGUACGAGGGUAGCUCUCUUGAACAGAGUAUCUCUNNNNNNNNNNNNNNNNNNNNNNNNNNNNNNNNNNNNNNNNNNNNNNNNNNNNNNNNNNNNNNNNNNNNNNNNNNNNNNNNNNNNNNNNNNNNNNNNNNNNUAGCUGAUUGGCGCAGUCAGAUCACGACGACAGGAUGAGGAGGCACGUGUGCUAGUCCCUCCAUUUCAAAUUACAGGUCGUUUUAAUUUUUCUACGUUUAUAGCUAGGUACUUUGGAUAUAAGCUAGCAUUUUUUUUUACAUUGAGCUUUGGGUCAUUAUAUUUCCUCUUAGAAACCUGAAUCGCUGGCGUUAGAAACCUGCAUCCCUAGAUGUAUUCCGGAAGCCGUUCUUGCGUCUACGGUUUACUCGCUUGCGCAACUCUGGCUGCCUUGUCUACUACACGAAUUGGGUGAGGUGUGCAUGUGAAGCGUACCUACAGAAGUGUAAACUGCCGUUAGCUACCAUCCAUGUUAGAAACUUUGUAAACAUUGUUGAACUCCAUGCUACUUACUGUUGUAUCUUGGUCUCCUCCAGUGCUUCAGAGUUCAAAUUAAAUCGAUCGAGUUCAUCACAUCAUGCUGUGCACCGGUAGACCUCGUGAAGGUGUGUAAAAGGACAAGGUUAUUAGCGGUAGCUCAUGGAGCACUAUAUGAGUGACAUCCAAUCCAAGAGCACUAUAUGAGUGACAUCCAAUCCAAGAGAGAGAGAAAGAGAGAUGCAUGAAUGGAGCUCGAGCUUUGUCCCAGGCACAAGCACUCGAGGCGUCAAGGGAGUAGAGAAUGGAUUGUGACUUGGUGCCAGCUGAUGCCCACGCGUCGCCGCUGUCCAGAAGCGGUCGGCAUGCAGGUAAGCACCAUAAAACAGAGAGCAGUGAGAGAGUCCAAAGGGAGAGAAUAGAGCUCGGUCACCAGUAGUCUGGAAAUUUCAGAUCGACCAAUCCUUUCCCACAACUAAUUUAAUUAUUAGAUAGUCACUAUUUCUUCUCAAAUGUUGUCAGUAUAUAGACAAGCAUGUAUUCAUCUAGAGAAAUGCACUUCAGUUGUCUUGGUAGAAUAUUUUCAUUGAACUACAAACUAGGUUAUGAAGACUGUUAUGUACACUCAAAACAGUGCAGUCACUUAGGUAUUUUUGGAGAAAGAAUAAAAAUAUAAAAUGAAUUUUUUGGGUUAAAAAUUGGUACAUGUGUUCAACUCAACAUUGUAUACAUGUUUUGUCGGGGUUACCCAUUUGGUAGAUUUGUAGGUGGGGGAGAUCGUAAGACCAAGACCUCGAAUGGUAGCACAGGAACGCAAGGUUUAGACAGGUUCGGACCUCCGGAGAGUAAUACCCUACGUUCUGUGUUUUGGUGGAUUGUAUUGAUGAUUGCAGGUGCGAAUAGUUAACGUGCGGUGGGGUGAAUUGAGGUACCCUUGGGGGGGCAUCCCUGACUGCCUUAUAUAGGCUGACGACCUAAUGUUACAAUCGGAUAGGAUCUAAUCCUAGUCGGUUGUUACACGGAAAGCAAUCUGAGUCAGACUACAAUAAGUAUCCCUCGGUAUUCGGGCAGAAUUCGUUCGCCCGGUCUCCGGACUUGUGCUCCACGCGUCUUCAUGCCUUAGCCCGCAUGGCAUGGUAGGGCGGGCCCACUUAUCAGGGCUGAUCAGUAUCUUGGUCGGUGGGGACCCGCGGGUACCCUUAUCCCUCACGUUUAAAUAACGGUAUAUAUUUAUCAGGAUUCCGAGCCCAAAUUUAUUACCUGCAAUUUCAAAAACAAUAUAUUGCAAUGUGACCACUUAAGCAUAUUAGGAGGUAGUUCUAAAAUAACAAAUGAGGUCCAAAAUGGGUGUAACUUGGGUUGUGUAGUAUUCAAUACGGAUAUCUCUAAAUGGUCAACUUUAAACUACUCCUACUUGCUUGCAAUACGGUCGCAUAUUAUAAAGGAUAUAGGAAACUUUUAAACAUGCAUUCUUACAUGUUUACAUGUUGUACAACAAGGAAAUAUAUUGGUGAUUUAGCAGCUUCUUCCAGAACUUCUCACAAUAUGUGUUAAUCAUCUGAUUUUUUGUCAUGGUACCGUCUUUUUUUUCCCCAUUAGCCUGCAGGGGGAUUGAUACCUUGUUUCUAACGUAUCUUACCAUAGGCACGUGCUAAAUUUCUUGAUCGGAAACAUUACUAUUCCGAUCUUUUACGGAGAAAAUAUUAUUGGAUUAUUGUCAUGGUGCUAAGAGAUUUUUAAUUUGAUAGAAAUCGGUAUUUCCAAAACGUAAAUCUAUAUCAUUACCAAUAACUAACUACCCAUAAAAACUCCACUGGGCCAACGCAAGCUGGCGCGGCAACGGGCACUAGCUCCGGGCAGGCUCUUGAGCCUAACAUCCAUGUUACAAACUUGCCGGACUCUUUCCAAUUUGAGGUCCAUGUUAUCUUGGUCUCCUCCAAUGCAAUGCUUCAGAUGGAGUUCCUCUUUGCCGUAGACCUGCUCAAGGUGCGGGUAAAAAAAGAUUAGCUAGGUUAGCGCUAGCCGCAUCCAAUAUAAUGCAAGGAGCACUGCUAGCUGGACUAUACAUUUAUGCAUUACAGCCGAGUGUAAGCAUGCAUGCAGUUAUUGAUAGAAUGCAAGAAACCAUUUGUGAAUAAAUCGUUCAUUCGUCAUGCGAGUGCAUGGUGAAUCGGUGCUGUGCUCCGAUCCCUGCUGGUCUCAGAGUAGUCGUACGUGUCACCACCAGCUGAAGAAAAGAGAGAGAGAACGGGAUGAAUCGUACUUGUUUGAGUUGGGCAGGCCUGGGAAGAUUUGGGCACGAAACAAACAGAAACUAAAGCACACUAGGAUUGGCUAUGGAGCAGCAGCGAGCCGCUGGAGCUGAUUACACAUGCAUUGUACUGCUACUUUCAAUAUGUAUUUGCCUACUUGUGUGUACAUGCUCCUGCAGUGCCGUUAUUCCCGUCGCUACUUUCUUUGAACGACAUGAUCUGUGUGUUUCUGUAGUAUUAGUGUGAACGCUGGGACAUUCUCUUUCGACAUUCUCGCUACUACAUCUGUAUGUUUAGUAUACGUGUAUAAACCGAGAGAGAGAGAGAGAUCCACUAGAUAUGUUGCUCCAUCGCUCUCAGCAGGCUCCUUUACUUUUGUCCCUGCUGAGAGCUUAGUCAACAAACAAAAGAAGGGAAAAAAAGGUAUUUCCACUAUACAUCCUCCAUGGAUGAUCAGCUAGCUGUACAUGUGCCCGGAAAGGAAAAACAAAACAAAGAAAAAUGCACUAUACUACUGCCUUAGUGCCUUUUAGUUAGUUGGGGUUGGCCUCCGGAGUGCUGGCUGUGGACUGGAUACGUACUUGCAGUGCAGGCGUGCAGCAGCAGCAGCAACCGCACCACUCUCCCAUCUGUCUCUUCACGAUAAUAUUGAGCGUGUUUGGAUCGCGGAGCUAAAGUUUAGUCCGCGUCAUAUCAAAUAUUCGGAGGCUAAUUAAAAGGAUUAAAUAUGAGUUAAUUAUAAAACUAAUUACACAGAUAGAGGUUAACGACGAGACGAAUCUAUUAAGCCUAAUUAAUCUAUCAUUAGCAAAUGGUUACUGUAGUAGCACAUUGUCAAAUCAUGGAUUAAUUAGACUUAAUAGAUUCGUCUCGCAAAUUAACCUCCAUCUAUACAAUAGGUUUUGUAAAUAGUCUAUAUUUAAUACUUCUGAUUAGUAUCUAAACAUUCGAUGUGACAGGGCUAAAGUUUAGCCUGUUGUGCACGCAUGCUUCUGCUCUUUCAGGAUCGGAGGAUGCUAUGCUCUGUCUCGCAGUGCAGCGGGCAGAUGCAAACACUCGCUCCUUCCGGCAAGCAAUGCAAAUCAGCCAAAUUUAAUUAAUUUGUUUUUUUUUGCUGAUUACAUCAUGUCUCCAAAUCAAUUAACUAGAGCUGCUAGCUUGUGGGGUCUAUGUAGAUGAUCAACUAAUACAAUGUUUAAAUUCUAGAAAGUAAGGACUUGAGCUAUUCUUCAUUCUUUGAACAAAACCAAUUUAAUUAAGUUUCCUAGAAGCUAAAUGCCAACGAACGAUUUCUGAUGAAAGUGGCUAAUAAUGAUGCUUGUUAAACACAAAAUUAAAUGAAAAAGCUUUUGCAUAUACCACAAGCAUGCAAAAUAAAAUGUUUGUACUGUAAUUUUCUUGUGACUUGAUAAACAACCCACCCGGAUGGAAUAUGUUUGGUGGGUUGGAUGCUGUGAGUGGAAACAACCCGUAUGCAGAUUGCGAGAAAUCCCUGUGAUGGCGACGGCCAAGCUCGGCCUGGCAUCUCUGCCGACCCCUGCAAUGAACUCUAAGCUACUACUGGCCUGCCUUCUAGAAGCCAAGCGGGAUGCAAAUAAAAUUAUCGUUGUAGUAAUAACCUGGUCAAAGGGAUUCUUAUACGCAGGCAGGAGUGAGAGCGUGACACCUGUGUAGAAAGAAGCUGGGGCGGCGUCAGUAAGUCAGGGGCGUCUGCAUCGAUCCUGUGAUGAUUCGCUAGCUCGUUCGACUGGCUGACAGGAAGGAAGGAAGUGAUUGCCAAGGAAUCGGAACUCUCUGUGCGUGCGUGACAAAAAAGAAGCUGUCGACAAGGCAGAGAGCGCGAUCGAGGGAGGAAGAUGCACACCGAUCUGGUUUCUUGUGGUCUGAAUGUUGCCAAGAACACGCGGCCCGGGGAUGACAAUAUCUGAAGGGAGCAUGUUUGUUGUUCCUGCAGGAGGCACAUGCUUUGCUCCUCGAUCGAAUUCCCCCUCUGUUUGCUUGACGAAAAGAAAAGGGUCAGCGCGUACCAAAGGGAAUAAAGAAAGAAGUUUCAGUUUCGUUCAGUGGCACCUCGAUGGCACAAUGAUGCGCGCGGCUUUCAGAUCGUUCAGUACAGUUGCCACCUCGAUGGAAGGGAAGCGAUCGAUCAGAUAACGGCAAAUAGUCACGUCAGGAUUGUUUACGACCCCACCUCACCUCACCUCACCUGCUGUUGCUGUUGGUGUGUGGAAACGCGGUGGAGAGGAGACAAGCAGCGAGUCAAACGCGGCGGCGCCUGCUGCUGCGUCACUACCCCAUCCAACCCCCACCGAUGGGUGUGGCUUUUGGCCUCGCCGUGCCGGUGCUGUCGUCGUCGGCUGCCGUCUCCAUCCCGGGGGCGGCGGCCGGCGAGUUACGAUCGAGCCUGUUGGGCGUCUUCUCUUCCAUCUUCCGUCUUCCUUCCGCCGCCCACCUAAAAACAUUCAGCACUUUCAUGGAGUAAAUUUUAAUCCCACCCUAUUUAAACAGGUUACACGGAUUAAAAUAGACUAAAGUCCAUAAAUGUUGUUGAACAAAGCCCAUUUUACACUUUUUUCUAUCCUCGGUAACCCUGCGCCUACUCCUUCCUGGCGCCAACCGCUCCCACUGUAGCUUGGACUAGAUCUCAAAUUCCCGUCCGUUGCCGUGGUGCUGGUGGUGCGCUUGGUCGGGGGAGUCAUCGCUGCGCCGCCACAAUGCCGCAGUACCAGGAGCUGCCAUGCGGCGGGCAGGUUCUCGACAUCGACACGGCGCUCAAGGACGGCAUCCUCGGGUCACGCUGGAGCUUGAGGAUGCGGUGGCGGGGGACGCCGAGAAGCAGCUGGUCGAGGUGAGGAAGAUGAUGGACGAGCUCGACGCUGGGAGGGAGGGUGGUGAUGGCGGCGGGUGGGAGGGAGGCCGCGGGAGGAAGGGCAGUAAAUAAGGGGCAGGGGUGUCCCAAACAUCCUUUAGUCUAGUUUAGUCCAAUUUUAUGGAUUAGAGGACUAAAGAUUUUAGCCCAAACUUUAGUCCAAUUUAGGGACUAAAAGCGUAUCAAAAUAGUGAAGUCCAUGAAAACCAAAUACUCCUGAGUGGACAGUGGAGGCCUGGAGUGGAGUGACCACAGCUUGGACCCCAUCCUCGUGCACGCGCGGCACCACCGUUUUCGUCUCUAGUGCGUGCGUGGCAACUCGACGGUCACCAAAAAGCAGCAGCACCACCCGCUCGCCUUUUUCUCCAUCGCUUUUACUCUUUAUUUUAUUUCCAUCCCAAAACACAUGACACACACACAACUACACUGCAUCCACAAGCGACAUGUAAAUGGGAUGAUGCAUCACGAAUAAAUCCAGCUCGAUCGUCGUCUUAUAUGGAGAACCAGCUCGAUCGCACGUGAAUUACCGCAGAUAAAAAAACAAGUGCGUUCGCUACAAAUGCACGCGAUGCAAUCUCCGGUUUCAAUUUUGUAGCCUGGCAUGCUUUGUUACACUUCUUACACACAAGUACUCUCAGUCCACUGCAGUAGUCACCACUACGAGCUAAAGCUAGUCAUGCAUGAGUCCAAGUGAUGAGUCCACCGUGCUUGCCAUCGAGCGUCGUUGCUUCUCAUCCAUCUUUGACUGCACCACCACCCUCAUCAUCAGAUAACGACGACCACCACCUAGUGCUGCUACGACUUUUACACAAACUUCACGCUCCAAGAUGAUUAGUACUUGUAUAUCCGCGUUCCAUCUUCUAGCUACCUCAAUUGCAUAGCAAAAUACGGGAAAAAGAAACAGGAUGGUUGGAAGGGCCUUCUCUAAAAACGGUUUCAGCAGUAAAGCUAAAGCAGGUGGAGUUAGAAAUGGUAGCUUCGUAUAAAUUCUAAGUUCAUUUUAACCUCAACUUCAGAAUAUAGUACCUCGUUUUGCGCAAAAUAGAUGAAAUAAUUCCUACACCUAAAAUUCACGAAGUUACGCGAAUUUUUGAACCCUGGUUGUUGGCACCCAACUCAAAGGCAUAAAAAAAAUCCUAUAAUACUCCUACAUAUGGCGCCAAAUUAAGGCAAAGCAGCUCAUUACACUUUUGUAGAGCAGCACAUGCUUUAAUUUGCAAGUUCAUUAGUACCAUGCAUGCUCUUUUUUAGUGCGGUUUGUCUGUCCAGUGAUUAAGAACAACUAACUAACCCCCAUAUAAUCCCAACCCUUGCUGCCUACUCCUAAUUCGUUCCAGAGCAUCAUCACCACACUUUCGUCCGUAGGUGCAUCUGCAUCUGCCGUACCUUAAAACCAGUCAAACUCCGCACACUGACAGCCAAGCUCAAAGGAACCAACCAGCAGACGUCCUUCCCUUCCCUCCACGCCCGGCGCCAUGCCGCCCGCCCCCGCCCUCCCCCUCCUCCCCCUCCUCCUCCUCCUCCUCGCCGUCGCCGUCGCCGUCACCGGAGCCGCCGAGGUGGACGCGCUCAUCGCCUUCAAACGCUUCCUCACCGUCCCUCCGGCAGCCGCGCCCUUCUUCGCCACGUGGGACGCUACCGCGGCCGACCCCUGCACCUUCACCGGCGUCGCGUGCGGCACCGGCCGCGUCGUCACCGGCGUCUCCCUGAGAGCCCUGAACGUCUCCGCCGCGUCCGUGCCCUUCGCCGACCUCUGCGCCGCGCUGCCGUCCCUGACCACGCUGUCCCUGCCGGAGAACUCGCUCGGCGGCGCCAUCGACGGCGUCGUCGGGUGCGCGGCGCUCCAGGAGCUCAACCUCGCGUUCAACGGCUUCAGCAGCACGGUCCCGGACCUCUCGCCGCUCACCAGGCUCCGCAGGCUCAACGUCUCCUCCAACCUCUUCGCUGGCGCGUUCCCGUGGGCCUCGCUCGCCAAGAUGCCGGACCUCUCCGUGCUCGCGCUCGGGGACAACCCGUUCCUCGCGCCCACCCACGCGUUCCCCGCCGAGGUCACCAGGCUCACCAACCUCACCGUGCUCUACUUGUCCGCCGCCAAGAUCGGCGGCGCCAUCCCGCCGGAGAUCGGCAACCUGGUCAACCUCGUCGACCUCGAGCUCUCCGAUAACGACCUCGCCGGCGAGAUACCCAAGGAGAUCGCCAGGCUCACCAACCUCAACCAGCUCGAGCUCUACAACAAUUCCCUCCAUGGCGAGCUCCCCACCGGGUUCGGCGAGCUCACCAAGCUGCAGUACUUCGAUGCGUCCAUGAACAACCUCACCGGCAGCCUCGCCGAGCUCCGGUCCCUCAAGGAGCUCAUCUCGCUGCAGCUCUUCAGCAACAACUUCUCCGGUGGGGUGCCCCCGGAGUUCGGCGACUUCAAGGAGCUCGUGAACCUGUCCCUUUACAACAACAGCCUCACCGGCGAGCUGCCGGCGAGCCUCGGGAGCUGGGGGCGGUUCAACUUCAUCGACGUCUCCACGAACGCGCUCUCCGGGCCGAUCCCGCCGGACAUGUGCAAGCAGGGCACCAUGCUGAAGCUGCUCAUCCUCGAGAACAGCUUCUCCGGCGGGAUCCCGGCGACCUACGCGAGCUGCAAGACGCUGGUGAGGUUCCGGGUCAGCAAGAACAGGCUCACCGGCGAGGUGCCCGAUGGGCUGUGGGCCCUCCCCAACGUCAACGUGCUCGACCUGGCCGAGAACCAGUUCAACGGCAGCAUCGGCGGCGGCAUCGGGAACGCCACGGCGAUGACCUAUCUCAUGCUUGCCGGGAACAGGUUCGCCGGCGCGAUUCCGCCGUCGAUCGGCAACGCGGCGAGCCUCGAGAGCAUGGACGUGUCGAGGAACGAGCUCUCCGGCGAGUUGCCGGAGAGCAUCGGGAGGCUGUCGAGCCUCAACAGCCUCACCAUCGAGGGGAACGGGAUCGGCGGGGCCAUCCCGGCGAGCCUGGGUUCGUGCUCGGCGCUCAGCACGGUCAAUUUCGCCGGGAACAAGCUCGCCGGCGCGAUCCCCGCGGAGCUGGGCAACCUGCCGCGGCUGAAUUCUCUGGAUUUGUCCAGGAAUGAGCUGACCGGCGCCGUGCCGGCGAGCCUCGCCGCGCUGAAGCUGAGCAGUCUGAACCUGUCCGACAACCAGCUGACCGGGCCCGUGCCGGAGGCGCUCGCGAUCUCGGCCUACGGCGAGAGCUUCGUCGGGAACCCCGGGCUGUGCGCCACCAACGGCGCCGGCUUCCUCCGCCGCUGCGCGCCGGGCUCCGGAGGCCGGUCGGCGAGCGCCGCCGCGCGCCUGGUCGUUACCUGCAUCCUCGCCGCGACGGCGGUCCUGCUGGCGGCGCUGGGCGUGUUGAUAUACCUGAAGAAGCGGCGGCGCGCGGAGGCCGAGGCGGCCGCGUCCGGCGCGGGGAAGCUGUUCGCGCUGAAGAAGGGCUCGUGGGACCUCAAGUCGUUCCGGAUCCUGGCGUUCGACGAGCGCGAGAUCAUCGCCGGCGUCCGCGACGAGAACCUGAUCGGCAGCGGCGGGUCCGGGAACGUGUACCGGGUGAAGCUCGGGAGCGGCGCGGUGGUGGCGGUGAAGCACGUGACGCGGGCGGCGCGCUUGUCGUCGUCGGCGCGGUGGCGGGAGUUCGAGGCGGAGGUGGGGACGCUGAGCGCGAUCCGGCACGUGAACGUGGUGAAGCUGCUGUGCAGCAUCACGAGCGAGGACGGCGGCGCGAGCCUGCUGGUGUACGAGCACCUCCCCAACGGCAGCCUGCACGAGCGGCUGCACGGGCCGGAGGGGAGGAAGCUGGGCGGCGGGCUCGGGUGGGCGGAGCGGCACGACGUGGCGGUGGGCGCGGCGAGGGGGCUCGAGUACCUCCACCACGGUUGCGACCGCCCCAUCCUCCAUCGCGACGUCAAGUCCAGCAACAUCCUCCUCGACGAGGCCUUCAAGCCCCGCCUCGCAGACUUCGGCCUCGCCAAGAUCCUCACCGCCGCGUCCGCUAGAGUGGACUCGUCGGCCGGCGUCGUCGCCGGCACGCUCGGGUACAUGGCGCCGGAGUACGCGUACACGUGGAAGGUGACGGAGAAGAGCGACGUGUACAGCUUCGGCGUGGUGCUGCUGGAGCUGGUGACGGGGCGGCCGGCGAUGGUGCCGGUGGAGGAGGGCGGCGGCGACCUGGUGGAGUGGGUGUCGCGGCGGCUGGAGAGCCGGGAGAAGGCCAUGUCUCUGGUGGACGCGCGGGUGACGGAGGGUUGGGCCCGGGAGGAGGCGGUGCAGGUACUGCGCGUGGCGGUGCUGUGCACCAGCCGGACGCCGGCGAUGCGGCCGUCCAUGCGGUCCGUCGUGCAGAUGCUCGAGGACGUCGCCGCCGCGCGGGAGGACGACGCGCCGGCGGCCAAGCUCAUCCAGGUCAAGGUCGUCUGAUCUCGUCGCUGGCGUUGGCCGUGCCCGGCUGGCACCGGCGGGUGACCGUCCGAUCGGAGAAGGUAGUUGCUGUACGUAGGUAGGACUCGUUCAGAGCAGAGAUGCCAGCUGCGGUCAACACAGCACAGCAGCAUGUGUAGCAGUAAGAUUAUUACCAGAAUAAUCAAUCAGCCAAGCAACCUCUUUCAAUCUGCAGCUUAGCAGCUUAGCAAUACCUUGUGGCUGUAGCAGUAAGAUUACAGUACUAGAGUACCAGGCAAUUUUUGUAAGUGAUCGUUGAGAGGUCAAUGAAGUGAGCUUUGGGUCCUCUUUCCAUGGCACGCCAAACAUUCUGUCUCUUGGACUCCCAACUGCAGAAGAGAAAAGGAAGAGACCUCGGGAGAUUCUUGAGAAGUCGAUCGAGAUGAGACACAGACAGACAAGCCACCUGGAUGCAUGUAGUCACUGUAUGAAGCAUUGCAGAUAGUACAGUAGGAUUGUUGAGAGCAGCUAGGGAGAAGGCAGUUGAGGUCAAAGCAGUGGCAUGUGCAGUCAGAUUGUUGUUGCUAGAAUGAAUAAUCAAUCGCACAAGCAACCAGUACAGUUUAGCAUAUCUGCAGGCGUGCGUGCAGCUGUAGGAGUAAGAUAAUGCACUGGUAGAUAGCAUCAAGUUUUGUAAUCGCCCACAAGUCAAUACCAUUAUGCAUGGAUUAGUCGACCCUGCAGGCUCCUCUUUCCAAGGCACGCCAAACAUUCCCUGUCAGACUCCAACAGCAGAUGAUUUUGAUUCAUCCUCUUGUGCAGAGAAAGAAAAGAAAAGAAAAGAAAAGAAAAAGGAGAUGUUGGUUCUCUCCUCUCGGGGGAGAUUCUUGAGAAGUCGAGAUGAAACGGACAAGCCACCUGGAGGAUGCACAUGCCCAGAAUCUGUGAGCAGGAAGUUCAGUUCAGUUGGGAAUUGGUUUUCAGGCAGGCGUGGUUACGUGAGACUAACGGAAGGGAGGCGUCGUUGUCGUGGAGGAUUGGCUGGCGACGCAGAGCUUUCACCGGCCCGGGAAUCGCUGCCGAGACGAGGCCGUGGUUUCAUACAAGCUACAGCUACAGCCAGAGACUUCCUUUGAGGCAGCCGUGGUUUCGAAUAAUUAAUAAAAACAAACAGAUGGAAAUUGAACACUCCACCGCCCGCCGGUACAGUGGAGUGCAGGAGCAGGACUGAAAUGACAGCCGCAAGACCCGGGGAUUGUCUGUCUUCCUUGUUGGUGGUGGCUGGUGGAUUCAGAUUUCAGAGUUACGACGCUUGCCCCCUUCCUCUCAUCGGCCCAACCCCCCAAUCAUAAGGGCAUCAUCAUAGUUUCAUUCGCAGGUAGUAGUAGGAAGGGGGUGUUUGGUUGUUUAGGACCUCCUAAAAUUCAUGUCAGAUCGAAUAUUCGGAUGUUAAUUAGGAGGACUAAAUAUAAGCUAAUUAUAAAACUAAUUACACAGAUGGAGACUAAUUCACGAGACGAAUCUAUUAAAUCUAAUUAAUCCAUCAUUAGCACAUGUUUACUGUAGCAUCAUAUUGUCAAAUCAUGGACUAAUUAGGCUUAAUAGAUUCGUUUCGCAAAUUAGUCUCCAUCUGUGCAAUUGGUUUUAUAAUUAGUCUAUAUUUAAUACUCCUAAUUAAUAUCUAAACAUUCGAUGUGACAGGAAUUUUAGAAGGUGCUAAAGAAACAAACAACCCCGAAUUCGUUGGAUGUUCACAGGGCCUGGAUCCUGAGCUGCAUGCCAUGUCACAGGAAAUGUGUUUCUCUGAAUCCUGAGCUGCUGUUCUAAACUGACUGACAAUGUGUUCGUUCAUGGAUUGCUGGGUUGGUUGGUUCAGACUGACAGUACGCGCGUUAAGUGGGGACAUAGGUCGAUCGAUCCGAGAACACAACCCCCGAAAUGGAUGAUUCAGAGGCAGGCAUUGCCCCCCUCCAUUCCCCAAUCACAAGGCAAUUUCGUCGCGAUUUCAUUCAGCAGGUAUGGAUUUCUUGGACGCAGAGGCUGUUGGCAUGCAGUCUUGCAACAAUGAUUUGCUCUAGUCCAACAGCAAACCACGCAGGUUUCUGCUGCAUGUCUGUCUGACUGUUUCAAACUGACUGCCAAUGUCUUCAGGGAGGGACAUGCGUAGAUUGAUUUGCGGAAGCAAGCUGAGUAGCUGACGCUACCUGAGAUGAGAUGAAUGGCUCAGGGAUUGGAGUGACUGACUGACUGGAGGGAGAGAGCAGCUGCUGGAUCUGGGCAACGAUCUUCAAACUGAAUUUGGGCUGCACGCACCUUGGGCUCAACUGCCGCUGUCAGCUUCGGGCCUUCUCGUAGCUUCGGGCAUUGGGCAAUUGCACAAAAAAAAAAAAGCAUUCGGCGGCCCGGUCCCUUUUCUUUCCUCCGCUGCCUUCAUUUUUUUUUUUCUUUCUCCGCUCCACCCUCUCGGCAUUUCUCUACUAGCGGCGCCGACAGGGCGAGCGGCCGCCCUUGCCCCUUGGCCUGGUGUUCGUCUGGCGCUUCGCCGGCGACGAGGAUCCUACAGGUAUGCUCGCUUAUCCCCCUCCUUUCCCUUCCCUUCCCUUCCCUUCCCUUUCCCUUCCUGCUGUGCGAAACCGAACACCAAAAACCCUGAUGUAUGCUAUUUGUCUUCGGAUCUGACCAUGUAUUUAUCUGCAAAAUUCGAUCUUUUGCAAAAACUAUCGGGUGUACGCCCAUGUCCAAUUCUGGGUCCGCCCCCGAUCCAAGUGAAGCCUGCCCUUUUGCUUUAAAAAAAAUGAUGCAUUGAUGGGGAAUCCCCCGUUUUACCCUCUAGUUCCUUAAUUUAUAGUGCAUUUCGGUUUUAGGGUAUAGGGAGUUCUAUCUGUGUUAGCAGCAGUAGUAGUCUUUAACUGAGGCACUUGCCACAGGCACCAAUGGAACGUCUUGAAAAAAAAUGUGAUUUUUGCAGUCCCUUGUCAAUACACUGAAAAUAAUUUAGCUCCAACAUUUCCUGCAGCAGGUGUAAUUAGCGCGAAAUAUUCGUCCAGGGAAGUAAGAAUGCCGUAAGGAACCGCUGAGGAUUGUAGGUGGUUAUGGAUAAUGAUAAUGGAGAUGCGGAUGACCUUGGAUCAGGAUGGUUUGAAGUGAAAAAGGUUUAUUUCUCUGACGAUUUUCUCGUAUGGCGGUGCAUUAUGCUGGGCCAAUUCGUACUGUUAUUAUUCCUAACUUAACAUGGACCCAUUUUACAGAAGCAUCGGUCCAGCUCGAAAUACACAUUGCAGAGGUCUUCUGGAGGUUCCAGCCAGAAAAUUCCAAACUCGUCGUCACGGUCACGGCCCAACUGUAGCAGUGACAGUUCAAGGUGGCAUGACAGGCCGCAACAUCCUCCUCCGAACAUAAAUGCUAAUGUUGGCGUUGAUGAAUCUGGUACUGGAGAAACAACUAAUGUUCUAGCUGAAAGAUGCAAUGAUGUAGGUGCUAGUGACCUGAAGGGUGUCUUAAAUACUUCAGCCUCAGAGUAUGUAGCAGAAAGACCUGACGAGCUGCUGGUGGCUGAAGAAACAAGUGAACCUCCCAAAACCAGUCUGGCUGAUCAUGCAAAUCCUUCAGUGCCUCAUGAGUCCUCGACCUGUUCAGGCAGUGUUGCCAAAUGUGCAGACGAUUCUCAGCAUGUAAAAUGUUCUCCAAAAACAGAGUCGCUAGGUGUUUUGUCCAAUACUCCUGUCAAGUUUGGAGACUUUGAUGAAGUUCCAGGUUUAUCAUUACCCUCUGAUUCAUACAGAGAUAACAGUUCUUCUAGAGACCAUGGGCAUGGUGGAGAUGCUGCACAUUCCAGAAAUGAGCAAAAGGAUGAAAGUAAACCCAAAGUGGAGACGAACUCUUGUGCAACAAUUGAUGAGGCAUCUCCAAUCAUUAUACAAGGAACAGAGACACCCAGUGAUGACACGAUAGGGCCACUGGAUGCACAUGAAACACCAGAAAGUAUGUUGAAUGUUAGUGGUUCAGCAGCCUCAACUGACUCUGUUUCCCUACCCUGCUCCAGUAAUGAUCAUGAAGUUCCAGUUACAUCUUCAUCUGUUGCGUCCACAGAAAGUAGAACGUUACUUCCUAACCAUGCACCAGCUUCUGCAGAUUUCGGAUCUGAAACUGCUGAGAGCAAAGAAAGAUUCAGGCAGAGGCUAUGGUGCUUUCUUUUUGAGAAUCUGAAUAGGGCUGUUGAUGAACUUUACCUCCUCUGUGAACUAGAAUGUGACAUGGAACAAAUUAAUGAAUCCAUACUUGUUCUUGAAGAAGCUAUAUCUGAUUUUCAAGAACUUAAAUCCAGAGCAGAGCAUUUUGAUAACACCAAAAAGUCUCCUGGUGUACCCAAAGAGGGGAUGCCAAUGGCUGUGAAAGCUGACCAUAGGAGACCUCAUGCCUUGUCUUGGGAGGUCUGUUCUCUCACUAGCCAUCCUGAUGUCUUGUGGUCUAUUUUCACUUCUGCAUAUUUAUGAUUAAUUGACAACUAACUACGUGAGCAUAGCAUCUUCUUCCUUGCAUCAACAUGCGUGUGCAUGAAUAUUGAAUGGACCUUCAGAGUGAUGUAUUGCUGGAUUGAGAACUGCAAUAUUAAUAGCUGCAUGUUUUUCUUUCCAUCCUUGCAUGACAACUUUUUCUGCUGUGUUUCAGAGUUCUAAAUCUUGUUCACUGCAUCAUAUAUGCAGGUCAGAAGGAUGACAAGUUCACCACACAGGCAAGAAAUACUCUCUUCAUCUCUAGAGGCCUUCCAAAGGAUCCAAUUGGAACUGGCAUGCAAGCAGGCUGGUAUAACGGCAGAGAGAUUUACAUCCAGCUCUUCUGGAGAAGUUUUGAGUAGCUCAUCAGAGCUGACCACAGCAUCCGCUACUGUUAGGAAUAUAAGUUUGAAAGUGGAGAGUCAGGUAAAACUUCCUGAUAGUGGUAGUGAGAAAAAGAUUGCUGGAGAGAAGCAAAUCAGGGAUGCAUUCAAGUCAGAUAAAUCACAUCCACAAAGUAUGCCUUCAUAUUCUGCAAGGAGUAGAAGAGGGUCACUAGAACCGAUCUCGGAAAUAGAGAAGCACACUUUUAAGAAUGACAGGGAGUUGCCAGAAAACAAAUUUGACAGGCUCAAGUCAGCCGAUGUUGUUAAAAAGAGUACAGUUCAUCUUGAAAAGGAGAAGCAAAUUACAGCACCUUGGAAGUCAAUGGAUGCCUGGAAGGAGAAAAGGAACUGGGAAGAUAUAUUGAAAUCUCCUGCACGGAGUUCUCGGGUUUCUCAUUCUCCUGGUGUUGGCAGAAAAGUUACAGAUCGUGGUCGUGUUCUACAUGACAAGUUGAUGUCUCCUGAAAAGAAAAAAAGAAGCGCUUUGGAUAUGAAAAAAGAAGCAGAAGAAAAGCAUGCACGAGCACUGCGAAUUAGGAGUCAACUAGAAAGUGAGAGGGUUCAGAGGCUACAACGUACCUCUGAAAAGUUAAAUCGUGUCAAUGAGUGGCAGGCUGUGCGCAGCUCAAAACUGCGAGAAGUAAUGAAUGCACGCCAUCAACGUGGUGAAUCUCGUCAUGAAGCAUAUCUUGCUCAGGUUGCAAAAAGAGCUGGUGAUGAGAGUACUAAAGUAAAUGAGGUCCGUUUUAUUACAUCGCUGAAUGAGGAAAACAAAAAGUUCUUGCUGAGGCAGAAACUUUAUGAUUCUGAAAUGCGGAGAGCUGAAAAGCUACAGGUGAUCAAAACAAAGCAAAAGGAGGACACUGCUAGGGAAGAAGCUGUUUUGGAACGAAGAAAGUUCCUUGAAGCUGAGAAGAUGCAGCGCCUUGCUGAAAUACAGCGCAAGAAAGAAGAGGCUAUUUUCAGAAGAGAAGAAGAGCGCAAAGCAUCUAGUGCUGCACGGGAAGCAAGGGCUGCAGAACAGCAGCGUAGAAAAGAAAUAAGAGCAAAAGCGCAACAAGAGGAAGCUGAACUUUUAGCCCAAAAGUUAGCUGAAAAGCUCCGUGAGAGUGAGCAGCGCCGCAAGUAUCACCUAGAGCAGAUACGGGAGCGAGCCUCUAUGGAUCUUAGGGAUCAGACUUCACCUUUUCAGCGCCGCUUUCCAAGUAAAGAUGGCCAAAACCGUUCAACUAAUAGCGGCGAAGACUCUCAGAUUACUGGCAAUUCCAGCACCGCAGACUCUGUGGUUAAAUCAUCGAAUAAUGUACAGAUGAAACGAAGGAUCAAAAAGAUUCGCCAGAGAUUAAUGGCUCUGAAGCAUGAAUUUAUCGAACCACCCAUAGGUGAAAGUACUGGAAUCACACACAGGGCUGCUCUAGGAGCUGCCAAAGCUAAGUUAAGUAGAUGGCUUCAAGACCUACAGAAACUUCGUCAAGCUAGAAAAGAAGGCACUGCCAGUAUUGGUUUGAUUGUUGGUGACAUGACAAAGGUAUUCUCAUUGUCCCAUUCAUUCUGUAUUGUAUUGUAAGUACUGAAGAUGUUUGCUAAUAGCACUUUCUGUUUAUUUGGGUACAGUAUUUAGAAGGAAAGGAUCUUGAACUGCAUGCAUCAAGACAAGUUGGUCUGCUUGGCUUCAUUGCAUCUGCUUUACCUGCAUCACACACUUCAAAGCCUGGAGCUUGUCAAGUCACUGUCUACCUCUUGCGCCUGUUGAGAGUAUUGCUCUCACUUCCAGCUAAUCGAACAUAUUUUCUAGUACAGAAUCUUUUACCUCCGAUUAUUCCCAUGCUAUCAGCAUCACUGGAGAAUUACAUUAAGGUGGCAGCAUCCAACUCUGGAAGUUCAAAUCUUCUGCCUAACAAAACUUCAACCGAGAAUACAGAGUCAUCAGGUGAAGUGUUAGAUGGCUUCUUAUGGACUGUGACCAUGAUCGUUGGCCAUGUACACCUCGAUGAUGAACAACUUCAAAUGCAGGGAGGUUUGAUCGAACUGAUUGUAGCUUAUCAAAUAAUUCACCGUCUGCGAGAUUUGUUUGCCCUUUAUGAUAGGCCCCAGGUGGAAGGAUCCCCACUCCCAUCAUCUAUACGCUUUGGUCUCAACCUUUUGGCUGUCUUAACAUCUAAACCUGGAAAUUUCUCUACCAUUGAUUGGGAGUCCUGCAAAUGCAGGACAUUAGGUGGCACUAUAGUUCAAGAAUAUGAAUAUCUUAGCUCACAAGACAGUAUGGGGAACCAGUUGAUGACACUAGAGCAGUCUGGAGAUAACAAAUUGGCAUCCUUGUGUAGUGAACUGCCUGAAGAAAACAAAUCAUGUAAACUGCAUGACUUGAGCAUUCCUGGGGACAGAAAAUUGGUUGAUGAAGCUAGAAAAGACUUGAUACCUGUCUCAGGUGGCCUGAAUAAUCCAGCAAUGCAACCACCUGAUUUGGGGAUUGCUACAGAGAAGCGUUCUGAAAUUCCUAGCCAGGGAGAUGAAAAUAGCACAAUCGACAGUUUUCUUGAAGGAAGAAAGGUGAACAAUGUAGGUUCAGGGUAUAACAGUAGUCCUGGAAAAGGCAACGAGACAAGCCUAAAGCAUCCUGUAAUGCUUUUACUUUCUGCUAUGACUGAGACUGGCCUUGUUAGUCUACCAUCACUUUUGACUGCUGUGUUGCUCCAGGCGAACAACAGAUCAUCUUCAGAACAGGUUUGUCCGCCUGCUGCAUUGAGGUGCAUUGAUUUUUUUUGAGAAAUUUGUCAUGCUAUUUCAAAAUUCAAUAUAUCUAUAUUCCUUAUUGUCAUUUUUACAGAACUAGAUGACUCACAAAUUUACAUGUGCAUUUAGAUUAUUGGAUACAUAAUAAUUGAUACGUAAAUUCUUCAAAUAGGUGCUUUGUGUUCUUGUAAGUUGUAACAAAACAAACACGCUAAAAUGACACUGUACACAUUUACUAGCAUGCUUUUAUUUCUUAGGAUUUCAUUACAAUGUAAGCAGAAACUUGAGUUUUGGUGUCUCAGAAAUUAGUAGGGCAAACUUUGCAUGUUAUCGUGUUUUAUGGAUCUCUUUCUACAAAAAUUUACUAACUCAUUUUUCAGACUUCAGCUAUUCUUCCAUCAAAUUUUGAAGAAGUAGCCACUGGUGUAUUAAAAGUUUUGAACAAUGUGGCACGCUUGGAUAUAAAUCUUCUGCAGUGCAUGCUGGUAAGUCCUCUUCAUAAAAGAGGGAUGAAUAUUAUCAAUCCUAUUGUUGGUUGCUUGCCUGUUCUCUUGGAUGUAUCACUCUGAGUAGGUACAUUUGGGCACUGAAACUGAUGUGGUUCAUUCACACACGCUAAAACUUUAACUACUUUCCUAUGCAAGUCAUCUAUCCAUGGUAUCAGGAUAGAAUGAGCUAUCAACAAAGGUUUCAGAUGAAUUUUCUGUCUGGCAAAGCCAAUUUAUGAAUAUGGGAACCAUUGAUAUCUUUACACUCUGUUUUUUUUCCUGCAUAAGUUAGUAUUCUUAAUGGUUAUGAAUUGUUUUCAGGCUAGAUCAGAUCUAAAGAUGGAGUUCUUCCAUUUAAUCAGCUUCCUUCUGAGCCAUUGCAUGAACAAAUGGAGAGUACCAAACGAUCAGGUAAAUAUAAGUCUAUUCCUUGUAUAAAUGUGCGCUCAUGUAUUCCCAACAUGAUAUAUAUCAUAUAUUUUUCUUUGGUGCUUUUAAGUACUUGUUUUUUUAAUUAUCGCUGUAAAUAUUUCAUACAGUUACUCUCUAAUUGCUUUUAUGCAAUACUUUGUACUGGUUUUGCACAUUCAAUUCUUCCUCGGCUAUAAUGGUAGCAAGUUGCCCUUUAGUUUACUGUUAAAUGUAUGAAUAGGUGGUCUUCUUUACAUCAUUGGCGGCUUUAGAAUCUAGUUAUUGGUUCUUGUUAGCUAUUAACUUAGUUCUUAUUAUUGUCUGCAAUCUUCCUGAACAAACAUUUUCCAUUGAAUACAUGAUUCAAACAGUGUGGUUAUAAACAUGUUCCAUAUUAAAAUGUCUGAAAUGCAUGCUGUAGGAAGGUGAUAUGUGGGGUUGGGUAUAAAAUGACUGGAAAAAUCGGUGCAUUGGGGAACUGGAUCUUGUUAUUAUUUCAGGUUUGACAAGUUGUGACUCUUUGGGAUAUUAUUAUGAAGAACUUUUGACAUACUGCCAUUUCUUGCCCUAACAGUUUGCUUGAGUGUCACUCUGGGACAUUUCAGUACACAGUUGUGAUCAUGAAGGGAUUUUUUAUUGACAUACACAUCUGUAGUAUUUCUCAUGCUUGACAGUCAUUUGGACUUUACUCCUAAAGCGUUGCUUUUUCACAAAUGCAACUUUUUUCCUGCUUCCUCUGUACUCAAUUGUGAGGGUCUAUGCUAUGUUUUUAGGUUGGUUUGCUGCUUCUAGAGUCUCUGCUACUUCUUGGCUACUUUUCUUUGUUCCAUGCUGAGAACCAAGCUGUUCUUCGGUGGGGAAAGAGUCCCACCAUACUUCACAAGGUAAAUAAGUAGCCACAUCUCUUAAUUUCUUUGGAUUGUUGGGCAAAAAUCUGAUGAGUUAGGAUACAGCUGUGCGACUUGCCAUUUGUUUUCUUCAGUGACCCCGAGUUGAUGCCCAUCUUGGCUGCUGCUCUGAUCGCUGUUUGCUACGGUUGCGAUCAGAAUCGAAGUGUUGUACAACAGGAAAUAAGCACGGAUAUGCUUCGUUCUUUGCUCAAGUCCUGUCAAACAUCAUUGACUUCUCCAGAUUCCAUUGCUGUAGAUGGUUCUGGAAACAAUUCCAGUGAUAACACGCAGAGUUUACUUGAUACCAGGAGCCCACAAGGUGACAUCCCAAUAAGGUCAAGCCGCAAAAUUGGACGGCCAGUUGUUGGGAAGGGUGUUUCAGGAGGCAUCAGAUUCAACAGAAAUAGGGUUCAGAAGGAUGGUAGAGGAAGAGGUGUUGAUGAUGGGCCUCUGAAGCAAAGAGCUGGUGAAGCUUCAUCUAACUUCAUGUUGCAUAGAAAGAUCCCAGCUUCUUUCUUGGACAGAGCCGAGGAGUUCUUCUGCAGUGAGACAUGAAUUCGGCUCUGUAGCUGACCUGACCUAUAGUGCACAAGCUACUGAAUUUUACAAUUUUGCGAGGAUGGUGUUUCAGACUAAUUAUCUCAAAACUCUAGGCAAAUGUACGUUCGGCUGGAUCUGACUAUAGUUUUGGAAAGGUUUUGCGACCUCGUAUCCUGAUUAAACCAUGCAGUCUAAAGAUAAAAUAGCUAUGUAGGGAGAGAUGCACUGUUAUGUACAGGAAAAAACUGUGAUAAGAAAAAUCUGACUCCAUAUGGAAUAAAGGAACUGUCCAUAAUUUACUUCUGUCGGGUCACUUCUAAGUUAACGAUCAUUCUUUACUUAUUUCGAGACCGUCUAUUCUCUAGUUUGGAGCUCGUCAAUCAAAUGUUGGAAUUCUGGAGAUGGAUUGUUGAUUUGGCAACAGAUUAAUGAUUCUAGACAUAAUUUUGCAAAUUUGUCAUGGACUAAAUCAUGCAGCUUUAGCUAGCAACAAAUGGGUGAGCAAAAUUUUCAGCUACAUGUACCAGCUCAAACAAUAAGUCAGAUUGCACGCAGCCAAAACAAGAAAAGUAAAUGUUGAAUCUACUCCCCUGUUAAAAGUGCUCCAUAACUGGAGCAAUAUUCUUCAUUUCACAACAAAGCCAUCACUAAGGAUGGGUAACAGAUAGUAGUGAAGUGAAAUACAUACAAUUGUACAACACAUGCCCGGUUGCAUUCAGCAUACAUUCACAGAAAAGACCAACGCCCUAUUCUGCAACUAUUUCGUGAGCAUUUCCAGGAACCUCAAAUCCUAUGGAGCAGGCACUACCAGGGACGGUAACUAGCAAAGCGCAUGUCAUCUGAUUCGUCUAAUCGUCUGUUGCCUCACUUGCCUACAGUGAAAAGGAACAAAGACAAACAAUCCUGUCAGCAUUUUAGAGUAUCAGUGAAACAGCUAUGUUCAUCUUUAAACUAGUAAACAAUUUUCCCAAUCGUGCUACUCUGUGAAUUAAAAGUGUUAUGUACAAACAGUUAUCCUUCUCCGUAACACUAUAGCAAAUAGAAUCAUGGCGAUUUUCGCAAAAAAAAAAAAUAAUGCCCUGCUAUGUCAACACGUGCACACAGUACACCAUCAAGCGUCAAUCAGCUUCCCAGGUUGCUAUGAGCUAUCGUAAUUAAGAUUGAUACAAGAUUGUAAACUGCAAGGUAGGCGCUACUCCAGCAUCUCUAAAUCUUUUAUUUUAAAGAAAGAAGAGCUUCAAGUUAAUUUGUUAUAUCCGCAACGUGCCAACAUUGACUGACUGUCUAGUGAAUGAAAUAUUUGAUGCAACUUUUGCCUAGCUUGCCCUUCAAAAGGAGUAUUCAUUCUCCACCCACUACUACAAGCUAAUGCUAUAUGCCAGUGUUUUCACCUUGCCAUGCUAAUGGCCGUAAUCAUUUCUCCUUUUUACUACUAAAGAUUGUUACAUAUCUUUUAAACGAUCCGUCCUGUUUUUCACGGUGAAGGAGAGGGAUCUACCGUACCAUACCUAACUCUUCCAUUGCAUGAUGCCCUAUUGCCCUGUUAUCUUCACACUAAAGGGGUGUUUGGGAACACCCUAUUAAAGUUUAACACCUGUCACAUCGGAUGUUUGGAUGCUAAUUAGGAGUAGUAAACAUAAGCUAAUUACAAAACUAAUUGCACAGAUGGAGUAUAAUUCGCGAGACGAAUCUAUUAAGCCUAAUUAGUCCAUGAUUUGAUAAUGUGGUGCUACAGUAACCAUUUGCUAAUGAUGGAUUAAUUAGGCUUAAUAGAUUCGUCUCGCGAAUUAGCACAAGGUUCUGCAAUUAGUUUUAUAAUUAGCUCAUGUUUAGUCCUUCUAAUUAGCAUCCGAACAUCCGAUGUGACACUGUUAAAGUUUAGCACCUCGUAUCCAAACAGCCCCUAACAGUACCACACAAGUGCACGCACCAUCUGAUGGGUACCGGUACCGGGUACCCUCAGGAAAGGAGCUAAGGCAACCAAGCACCAAAAGAUCAAAGGCCUGACAGCUAGAAGUAUGUGGGAGGCGGCUCAGGAGACACCGGGGCCCACCUCCCGACCUUCCCUAAUCGGGGGCUGAGGGCCGCAACCCACUAGUCCGACCAGAUCGGGGACGGGGCCCACAAAGGGCCCACAACGCCCCACCCACUCCCUGACUCAGGAAGAUCUGCACCGUACCGGAGGCAUUAAAUGCGGGGCAUGGCCUCUCUGACCGCUCCACGUGGGGACAUGACCAGGCGGAGGAAGCUGACCUUUAACAGGGGGACCAAGGGUGAGGCUACACCCCUUAGACCGUCCAGGAUGACUUGCAGGACAAGGCCACGUGCACCGUACGCGCCCACGCGCCCCGACGUGAUCAUCACCGACAGGAUGACCCAUCAGGCUCAAGGUCAUGCCACUACUCCAGACCUGGUACAGGCCCGCAGGCGAGGCAGGACCCAGUGUCGGUCGUAACGGCGCGGAUUAGCCAUAGGCAGGUCGGGGAAAGCCGAGGGGAGCGGCACGGCCCGCCCAGGCAGCUGACCGGGGCUCACCCACUCAUCUCCGGUGCGGACGUCAGCAACCGAUUCCGUCCCAUUUACUGCCACGGGGUUGGUGGACGGGACGGAGCAUACCGCGGAAGCAGACUAGGCCGUGCGUAAGCAGCCCACGCUGCACAAGAGCCGACAAACAAGGCGUGCGAAGCCCACGGCCAGCCAAGAGGAUGGGACAAGGAGGUCCCCUGGCGCAAGGCUACCCGACGACACCACGACCCCUAACCUUCAAGGUCGGGACCCCCUCUAUUUCUCAACACUGUUGCCUGGUCCCUAGCCUAUACAAGGAGAACCGGACCUCCUUUCUCUCUGAGACGCAUUCAACGCAUACACCCACACAACGCACGAACAUUUGCUUGCAAGCACCCCGUUGUAAGCUCAAUGCACUUCAUCCAAGGAACACGACUCCUGUGGAAACUGGACAUAGAGAUUUUCCUGAACUAGUAUAACUCCUUAUCUCUUGCGUGCUAGCCAUCGGAAGUUAGGAGAGCGCAGCGGACAAUCACUAGUCGAUCAAGCAUCAAUCGGCCUCCCAAAUUGCUGUAAGCUAUCAUAAUUCAGACUGAUACAAGAGAGACAUUGUAAAUAAACUCUUUACACCAUAAUUCGGAUCCAAGUUUCCUUGGAUCAGUAAAGAAAAACAAACCAUCAACCAUAGCAUGCAGCUAUUAAUUGGGUUAUUAAUCCAUGAUAUUGUUGAUUUAUCUGGUCAAGCCCAAAUUAAUCCUGCUCUUUUCCAUAUGUGGCGAAUCGUAUGAGCUACUUUUGUUUACAACGAUUGGCCUGAUGUGCUUCUGAACCUAAUAAUGCCUUUUGGCCAGUCAGGAGAUGCAGGAAACACAUGAUGAUGAGUGGAUGCACAAACAAGGGAUUUUAAUUAAUGCUUUGGGCAUGUCAAGGUCUCCUUUUUUUCACUUCCACCACACCACCACGGUGAGUUUUAUCUAAUCUCUCUAGUGCUUGCUCCGUUUUGAGUGAGCAUCUAUGCAUAUAUCACCAAGCACCUUACUGCCACACCUUAUCCACACCAUGGAUUCCUCCACGUGGACCCACUACCAUCUCCGCAAAAAUGGUUCUUAGGUAUUCAUUUUUUUUUCUUGGCGAAAUGCAGAAAAGAAAAAAAUAAAGAUAUUUGACUUUUUCUGUAUGCAUGCCGCGUUUUCUUUCUAGGACAAUAUUUUUCAGUAGAAUUAAGGAUGGAAAUUUUAUUCGGUGCUAUCCGAACGGCUGGAAAGAGGAAAACAUUGGAUCACACGUGUGCAUUCUUACGUUUGAGAUGUUCUAUUCCCCGUGACAUUUCAUCUCUGGACGAAUUGUUCUUAUGACAAUUUAAUAGCAGUCCAGAAUCUGUGCCAAAUGCCUACAAAUGCUCUAGCACUAAUGGUGAAGUGCCUAAAUUCCAUAUGAAAUUCUUAAUUAUUCCAGGUUGAGAAUGUUGACUAAUGGACUCUUCAGGCAAAUCCAAAACCAUCCAGCAGUGGUGUUUUCCACCCAAAAGCUUGCAUAUCAAUUAUCAGCAAGCGUGCCUUUAGGCUUUUACUCCAUUAAGCUAAUAUAAUACAGCAAACUAAAGUACUGAUUCAGUUAAUAAACUACUAAGUACUGGCUGAACAGGAAAAGAUGCAGAUUGGCGUAUGCACACAUUGCAAAUAAACUACUGGGCAAAGCCCAGCAUCAUUCAGGCCACUACUGAAGUAUCAGCAGUCGAGCACAGAGUGUGUGUGUGUGUGCAGUAGCACUCACCUUCUGUUUUCAAUUGCUGCUACUUUCUGGUGCAGGCUACACUCCUCUAACUCACAGGUUGUGAGGGCUAUAGAAAAUUGCUUUUUGGGAGAUGAAGGGGCUUUACAUUUGUCAGCAUGCUGCUUAUCCUCCUAAAGUGUGAGCAAUGAUUGGGAUUGGCACCACUGGAGGCUUUCUUCUUGUUCCCCAUGGAGAUUGCAGGAUUAGAAGGAGCACUGCUGCAAGUUUUAUCUGCAGUGUCUUUGUGCCUUCAGUGUUUUCACAGCAGUGCAGCGGUGCAGGGCUGUGACUGUGGGUGAUGCCUCUCCACCCUAACACAGUGCCCUCCAUUUUCAGCAGAAAAUAUGCUGGUAGAUGCGUAGAUACUAGCAUGGUAGUGUUGGUUCAUGUCAACUCCUAACAGAAACUGAUUUAUGUCAACUCUUAGCAGAAACCGAUUUAUGUCAACUCUGAACAGAAGCUGAUGAACUGACAUCUCUGCUUUACUGAUCACUUGACAGGGGCACCUCAAAGGCUUAAAAGUGUGAAACACAUUUGGGUUCAGUUAGUGCUCGGCCGGGCCGGGUCGGGUUGGGUCGGGCUGGCGGGGGGGCCAGUAUCAGUCCUGGGCUGAGGAGUGACCAGGCCCAUAUGCGGCUGGCUAGUGGACAAGCUGGGCUUGACUGGGCUAGAGAAUGUAAUGUUACUUUGACCAGCACUACUGACUGCACAAGAAAGAGCUGAAGAAGAGAGGCUGGAGAAUGGUGUUGAUGGGCAAUGAGCAGCUGGGCAUAUAUCCCCAACAGCAAAAGCCAUGCAUCUCUCCUUCGUCUCCUUUAUAUCAUCACCAUUCACCAAUUCCAAUUCCCUCCACAGAUUCCCACUCCACUUAUAUACUCCCUCCCUUGCUGAUAGCGAGCGCCUCCUCACCAUUCCAUUCCAUUGCCUGCUUGCAACAACACUAGUGCAAAUCUGCAAUAAGCUAGAUUUCUUUCUUCAAAGUUCCAAGUUCCAACAACAACAACACGUACGUGCAAGAAGCAGCAGCAGCAGCAGAAGAAGAAGAAGAAGAAGCAGGCUGGUGCUAUGGUGUCCCCUCUCUGUUGUUCACUCCCACCCUUGCUCUGGUUUAUUCUCUUCUUCAUCUUCUCCGCGGCCGGCGAUGGCGGCGCGGCGGCAUUGGACACGCAGGCUGCAUACCUGGCCAGGAUGAAGGAGCAGUUCCCCGGGCCGGGCAUGUCGAGGUGGGACUUCUCCUCGCCGGCGCCGGACUACUGCCGGUUCCAGGGCGUCGCCUGCGACGAGGGCGGCAACGUCACGGGCAUCGACGUCACGUCGUGGCGCCUCGUCGGCAGGCUCCCGCCGGGCGUCUGCGCGUCCCUCCCCGCGCUCCGGGAGCUCCGGAUGGCGUGCAACGACGUCCGCGGCGGCUUCCCCGCCGGCCUGCUCAACUGCACGUACCUCGAGGUGCUCAACGUCAGCUACUCCGGCAUGUCCGGCACCGUGCCGGACCUGUCCCCGCUGCGGGCGCUCCGGGUGCUCGACAUGUCCAACAACCUCUUCACCGGCGCGUUCCCGACGUCCAUCGCCAACGUCACGACCCUCGAGUUCGUCAACUUCAACGAGAACCCCGGUUUCGACAUCUGGCGGCCGCCGGAGACGUUCAUGGCGCUGCGCCGGAUCCGCGUGCUCAUCCUCUCCACCACGUCGAUGCGCGGCGGCAUCCCGGCGUGGCUCGGCAACAUGACGUCGCUCACCGACCUGGAGCUCAGCGGCAACUUCCUGACCGGCCGCAUCCCGGUGUCGCUGGCGCUUCUUCACAGGCUGCAGUUCCUGGAGCUCUACUACAACGAGCUGGAGGGCGUGGUCCCGCCGGAGCUCGGCAACCUGACGGAGCUAACCGACAUCGACCUGUCGGAGAACCGGCUCACCGGCGGCAUCCCGGAGUCGCUGUGCGCGCUGCCCAACCUGCGCGUGCUCCAGAUAUACACGAACCGGCUGACGGGCCCCAUCCCGGCCGUCCUGGGAAACUCGUCGCAGCUGCGCAUCCUGUCCUUGUACCGGAACCAGCUCACCGGCGAGAUACCCGGCGACCUCGGGCGGUACUCGGAGCUGAACGUGAUCGAGGUGUCGGAGAACCAGCUGACGGGGCCGCUGCCGCCGUACGCCUGCGCCAACGGCCAGCUCCAGUACAUCCUGGUGCUGAGCAACCUGCUGACGGGGCCCAUCCCGGCGGCGUACGCGGCGUGCUCGCUGCUGCUCCGGUUCCGGGUGAGCAACAACCACCUGGAGGGAGACGUCCCGCCGGGCGUCUUCGGCCUCCCGCACGCCUCCAUCAUCGACCUCUCCUACAACCACCUGACGGGGCCGGUCCCCGCGGCGGUGGCCUACGCCGCCAACCUCACGUCGCUGUUCGCGUCCAACAACCGGAUGUCCGGCGAGCUCCCGGCGGAGAUCGCCGGCGCGUCGGGGCUCGUGAAGAUCGACCUGAGCAACAACUUUAUCGGCGGCGCGAUCCCGGAGGCCGUGGGGCGUCUGUCGCGGCUGAACCAGCUGUCGCUGCAGGGGAACCGGAUGAACGGCUCCAUCCCGGAGUCGCUCGCCGGUCUCCGGAGCCUGAACGUGCUGAACCUGUCGGACAACGCGCUGUCUGGGCCCAUCCCAGAGUCGCUGUGCACGCUGCUGCCCAACUCGCUGGACUUCUCCAACAACAACCUGUCGGGCCCGGUGCCGGCGCCGCUCAUCAAGGAGGGCCUGCUGGAGAGCGUGGCGGGGAACCCGGGGCUGUGCGUGGCGUUCCGGCUGAACCUGACGGAGCCGGCGCUGCCGCUGUGCCCGCGGCCGUCGAGGCUGCGGCGGGGGCUCGCCGGGGACGUGUGGGUGGUCGGGGUGUGCGCGCUGGUGUGCGUGGCGGCGGCGCUGGCGCUGGCGCGACGGUGGGUUCUGCGGGCGCGGCGGGACGCGGAGCACGACGGCGCGCCGACUUCGCCGGCGUCGAGGAGCUCGUCCUACGACGUGACGAGCUUCCACAAGCUGAGCUUCGACCAGCACGAGAUCCUGGAGGCGCUGAUCGACAAGAACAUCGUCGGCCACGGCGGCUCCGGGACGGUGUACAAGAUCGAGCUCAGCAGCGGCGAGCUGGUGGCGGUGAAGAAGCUGUGGGUGUCGGCGGCGCGGCGGACCAAGCAGCAGCACGACGUGCAGGUGCUGACGAGCACCACCAGCAGUGGUUGGCUGGGCGACCGGGAGCUGCGGACGGAGGUGGAGACGCUGGGCAGCAUCCGGCACAAGAACAUCGUGAAGCUCUACUGCUGCUACUCCGGCGCCGACAGCAACCUGCUGGUGUACGAGUACAUGCCCAACGGCAACCUCUGGGAGGCGCUGCACGGCUGCUUCCUGCUGCUCGACUGGCCCACGCGCCACCGGGUGGCGCUCGGCGUCGCGCAGGGCCUCGCCUACCUCCACCACGACCUCAUGUUCCCCAUCGUCCACCGCGACAUAAAGUCAUCCAACAUCCUCCUCGACGCCGACUUCGAACCCAAGGUCGCAGACUUCGGCAUCGCCAAGGUGCUCCAGGCGCGCGGCGCCGGCGCCGACAGGGACGCGUCCACCACCACCAUCGCCGGAACAUACGGCUACCUCGCGCCAGGUACCGACAACUGUCUAAUGUAUAUACAUAUGUAUAUGUUGUGCUGAUGUGGCAUUCACGACCGUGCACCCUGAAUGAACGCAACACAGAGUACGCCUACUCGUCCAAGGCGACGACCAAGUGCGACGUGUACAGCUUCGGCGUGGUGCUGAUGGAGCUGGCGACGGGGAGGAAGCCCAUCGAGCCGGAGUUCGGCGACACGAGGGACAUCGUGCACUGGGUCUCCGGCAAGGUGGCCGCCGGCGCCGAGGCGGACGCGCUGGACAAGCGCCUGGCGUGGAGCCCCUACAAGGAGGAGAUGGUGCAGGCGCUGCGCGUCGCCGUGCGAUGCACCUGCAGCAUCCCGGGGCUCCGCCCCGCCAUGGCCGACGUCGUCCAGAUGCUCGCCGAGGCGGGGCCACGGACUCCCAAGGACAAGCUGGACAGCAACAAGGACUCCAAGGGCUCCGCCGGCCAGCAGCAGCCCAAGCUACCACCAGCUAGUCCGUAGGAACGAGUUGAAGCCAUGCAGGUGAUAUACCGAUCGAUUAAACGAGUAAGAUAAGAGGUGAGCUGACUGAUCGAGGUCGUCCAAUUCAUCAGGCAACAGCAUUAAUUAAUUAUCGCUGCACUAAUUGAUCAGAGGAUGGUUUCAUUUACACAAGAAGCAUGCAAGCUGCAAGGAUUGUUCGCUCUUGCACUACGACAUAUAUAUAUAUAUAUAUAUAUAUAUAUAUAUAUAUAUAUAUAUAUAUAUAUAUAUAUAUAUAUAUAUAUAUAUAUAUAUAUAUAUAUAUAUAUAUAUAUAUAUAUAUAUAUAUUAUAUGCAAGUAGGGUAGGGUAGCUAGCUAUAUAUGUAGGCAGCAUAUGCAGUGGGUCCUCCUCGAGUAGUGAGUGAAGUGCAUCGUCACUCACAUAUACACUGCUUGGUGUUUAAGCAGAAUCUGAUGCUCCCAGUGGACCAGAGAGAGAGAGAGAGAAAUGUAUCAUAUAUGGAUGGAAGCAAUGCAGAUGUAUUGGCGCAUUCAGCUUUGAAAUGUUCCUUUCUCUUUGGAUUGGAUCCGCGGAUGGAGCCUUUAAUUUCUUUUUCUCGACAACUUUUUCUCUCUUGUGCAAGCUUUUGUUUUUGUGAGAGUGAUGCCAAGGGACAGUGCUGCUCCUGGCUAGAUGAUGCGAAGGUUUUUUGCUGCCGUGCAGGUGUUUUUACUUCUUUUUAUUCGAUCCCUUUUUUGCUUUCCUUUUUUUUAAAGCCUUUUUACGGUACAUAACACUAGCCUAUACUAGUGUUCAAAAAGACUAGUAUACAAAUAUCUAACGGUCAAGAUUAAUUGUAUACUACUGAAACCUUCACUUGUGGUAUGGGUAGUAUACAUGAGUAGUAUAGGUAGUAUAAGGAUAUCAUGCUAAAAGAACACAAAUGACAUCACUAAAAUUUUAUUUGUGACACUAGCAUAAAGUUUAAAAGGCUAUUCCAUUUGAAAUAUCAGUUUUCACGUGUAAUAAUUACUAAAUCAUCUAUAAUCAUGAACAUUUAGAUCUUAUAUAUCUUUAUACUAAGUAGUAUCUAUUUUUUUUUCCGUUAUAGAAUUAUUUUACUCGUGAAAGAAGGUUUUGGCUGCAAGCGCAGUGUGCAUUUUUCCACUCGAACAUAAAUUAAGUGAGUUGGAUUCUGUUUGUGGGCCUGGAUGCUGACGUGGCUGCGAGUACACUGCAUGAUAGGAGGAAAUGAUUAGCGUACGAGUGCCAUGGAGGUUGACUCAGCCUAUCAAAAGUAAGUAGGCCACUUGAUUAGUGACUUAGUGCCACGGUGGCCCUUUGUUACUGGAAUAAUAUAGUCCACGUGUCAAAGUCAGUGCUGAAUCUGCUGUGAUAUAUUUACUUCGGAAAUUUACGAGGAAAGAAGAAAAAAAACAGGGAAACUUUUCUGCCUGGUGACAUUUGAGAGCAUCAAAAGUUCUCCAUCAGUUCUUUACACCGCGACGAGAGCCAAGCUUAUCACGUACUCCCUCCGUCUCGUAAAGAAUGCUUUUUUAGUUUGUCCUACAUCAAACUAUUUUAAAUUUGACCAAAUUUACAAUGAAGAGUAUACUAUGAAAAUAUAUUUCAUAAUGAAUCUAAUAAAAUUUGCUAGACAUCAAAAGUGGGCGUGCUCAGUAGUACUGGUUGUGGCUGUGGCUGCAGCUAUAGCAGCCAUCCAGCAGCAGCUACAGGCGCUGCAGCAGCCUAGCAGGAGCGUUCAGCUUUGUUCACUACAUGUGCUUGGGUUGCUUCUUUUUUAGGGACGUUUGGAUACUAGGGGCUAAAAAUCCGAUGUGACAAGGGCUAAAGUUUAGCCCCUGUCUCCCAAACACCACUUAGCUGUGCAGCCGAUCGGAUCAGUAUUGAUCAAAUAUAGGAUGGUUUGACUUAGAACAGAAUUAAAGGGACACUCUUUGUGGACGAAGUGAGUGUGACGUGUGAGAUUUAUUUCUCAUUUUUUGGACUCAAGCAAACAAAAACUCAAUUAUGCUUUUGAUCACGAAGAAGCACUUUAUGGUCGAGUGCAUUUCAUGGGAAAUCAGGUAAAGCAUUAAAGUGCAAAGCAAAAAAGAUGUGCAUGCAUUUUUAGUAUUUUAUUCUAUCUGCUAAUUACAGAUGUGUCAUAAUACUUGCAGUCACUUUCGCAAUUUCGUUUUCAAGUAUUUUCGUAGGACUCGGUCUCCAUUUCAAAAUGUUACUUCAACUCCUUUCUUUGUUACAUUCAGUCACACUGAAAAAAUGCACCAAAUCCACAGGAUCAUUUUUCUUUUUCUUUUUUUUGUUAAAAAAUGAGCAAGUAGACAUAUUUCAAAUUAUUUGAGUCCUACUAUUCUAAAGAGGAGCUUCUUUCCUAGUCCUUGGAGAAAUAUAAAGCAUGACGACAGUUUGAGUUUCAGACCUUAGACCCUAAAGCUUAAGUUCAUACCAUCAUGGAUUGAUUUUUAUAACAUGAUCUUUGUCAUUUUGCAAGCAAACUGUGCCGUAGGUAUCUACUAUCUAGCCACCUACGAGAGCCUGAGCCUUUCUUUCAUCAGCCGUAGAAAGUGGCCAUGCUGCAUAGGGGAGUCAGGCCAGGUGUAGUGGCAAUAGGAAUCCACUAAUUUACAAGUGGGAGCGGUGCAUGCUUGAGGUGGUAAUAGCAGUAUAGUAGCUGAAAACUAGAUCUUGCAAAUUUGGUGGCUAUCCUUGUUGUAGCCUCACCAUGUUGAGUAGGAUGCCAUUCACCAGCAUAACAUGCUCGGCAUUUGCAUUUCUCGAUCAAUGAACGAAGCCUGUUACGAUCAUGUCAAGGUGUCAUCCCAGCAUUCCGACUAUUGAGUGAUGAAUAUGUAACUGGUGUUAAUUAAUGAAAAUGGAUUGAAGAUAUUUGUUGGACUCGACACAUCCUAUGACUUACGAGGCGAUAUGCGCCAUUAAGAACUGUGCCAAGGAUAGUGCUCAAUUGCAACAGUGUAAACCUGUAAAAAAGAAUGAAGAAAGGGCUGGAUCAGAUUCAAAAUUAGAAGAAGAAAAAAGCCCAGGAAAAUGAAGAAAUAUAUAAAGCCAAUUAUGAAUACAGUCCUGAUAGUUAAUGGAUAAUUUUUUUAUGGUUACAUGGUAAUGGUCGAUGUCUAAUUUCUGCAGGUAUUGUACUUCUGAUUCAAUUUUCAGCUCAAGAUAGUAUAAUAUUAGCCCAUUCUUAUCACCAAGACUGCUACCAAAAGUAUUUUAGCAGACAUAUUUUACCUUGAAACCACUUCACUCUCAUCGACCGAACCUUUCGAUGAGCUUCUGCUCAAUCUCCAACCUCUUCCUAACCAACAAUGUGUAAUUGUUCAGAAGUUCAGUGUCUCUCUUGCAGUCCCCAAAAGGAACAGCCAACUUCAUGCUCAGUGAUGUUCUAUCAAUUCUCCCAGAGUACACACAUGAGAAUGGCACAAACUCAUCUUGUUGAUUACAGAGCCACCCAUGGGCUGCUCGCAGAGCAGCACCCAAAGAUGCAGAGUCUGUAUUGAUUGAAUGAUAUCAGAAAUAUCAGAAUUAACUAGCAUAUUAAUUAAAUUUUCUCGUAAAUGAAUUCACAUUCCUUAGAAAAAAAUUGCAAGCGUGGACAGCAACUAGAUUAAUUAUUAUAACAGUAUAUCAUGCAUUUUAGGAGUAAGCAUAUUAAUAUGUAAGCGGUGCACAUUAGUAUAUGUCCUGUGCGGUUGUGCAUACCUGAUCUUUGGGAAGUGUACACUGGGCAGCCAAAAAUAGAUGCCAUUAUCUUGAGAAUUAUUGGGUUUGAGGACGCGCCACCAGUUGCUAUAAUACGCUUUGGAGGUACUGGCAGGCCACAUUGCUCAGCAUGGCCCCUCAUGGACAGGAACUGCCCUUCAAUUAUCGCACGCACCUAAAAUCAGGGCUGUUAAUUAAUCUACCUGAAGAAAAUUUGGCAAGCCAAACAGUUUGAUUUGCAGGUUUGAGGUCUUCAAACCUCCGAAGGAGGAUCAAACUCGUCAACUUCUUCUUCCACCAUCUGAUCUAAAGAUCUGCUACUCACGUUCUUGACAAUGUACCGGUGAAAUCCAACUAUAUGUAUAGGUGAGAAUCUAAAUGAGCAAUGGGAUGAAUACUGAAUUGCCAAAGGGUAAAAAAGAUAUAAGGCCAAAACUAAACCUGGAAGUGGUGGGAGAAUCUCAUGUUCCUUGUAGUAAAAUCCCAACUUCCCUCCUACAAAAGAAAAACAUAAGGUCAGGAAUCUUCAGGAAAGUUACUUUUGUGUGGUCAAUGCAAGCAUCUAUCAUGAAGCUUAAGGAAAGGGAAGCUUUAUGUAGUAACCGCCUUAGCCAUGUCGGGAUCCAAGCAUGACUAAAAUAGUGCACUGAGUUGCCAAUUAUUGCAAGGCUUUAAAAUGAAUGGUUGAAAUAUGUUCUAGCCAAGAAGUUGUCUCAGCUCUCCAACAUACUCUCCAAUGUUCAUUUUAUAAACACAAACUCACAUUUUAGCAAAUGAACGAUGAAGCAGUAAUAGAUUGGUGUACCAUUCAACAGGGCUGUUUCUUCAAGCAACCUGUUGAACAUAUCCCAAGAUCCCUCAGCAUAACGAUUGCGAAGGUCUGCACAAAAUGUAUGCAUUUAGUAAAGGGGAACAGCGCAACAGAAGUCAUUUGCCAAGUGCUAACCAUACCUUCUCGUGUCAGAGAUCCAUUUUUAUAGCAAAGCAAUACCAUGUAGGUCUUGGGAUCAACUGGGUUAGGAAAGAUGUUUCCCUCAAGGGUUGGUUCUGGCGACUCAGUGACCCCAAAAACCUGAAAGGGCCAUAGAGGCGCCACAAUCAGCACCAGUCAUUAGUAAAUAAUUAGAUAGAAUGAAACAACAUUGCAUAAGGAGUACAUUUUCCAGGAUUCUUUUACUAACUGAACAACUGUAGUAGAAGCAAGGUUUAGUUUGCGCGUUGCUAAUUCUGGAACCAGGUCAUAGCAUGUACUUUGCCAUGGUUUUCCUUUAUUAGUAGAAUCUCUCUCGUGGGAAAUAAGUCAGUGUCAAUAGCAGAUUUGUAAAACAUGAUGGAAGAUGAUUACUGUAUCACUUGUCCCAAGACUGAUUGCGAGAUCACCAGGAUUGCUCAAAGUUAAGCCUGCAUAAUCACAUAUAUAUGGAAAUGGAAAGCAUUAUUUGAGUUCGCAAGCAGCCUUCAUAUAUGCCCAACUUAGGUCAUGCUUUUAUCUGAACAAACCAACAUCAGAAUGUACUAAGAGACUUGAAUGUCAAAAAUUGGGACGAACAGAAGUACCUGCAAGGCUAUUGGGGUUGUCCCCUGACCACUGAAUAACUAGACAGCUGCUUGCAAACUGAAAUCUGCUACAACAUAAAAACGCAAAGUCUCAAUCUGACAAGCUGUCGUCACAUGAAAACAAUGAUCGAAACGUUAUUACAGUUUUACUAUGGUUUAUUUGCAUUAUCCAGCCUUUCAUGCUGUGAACACAGAGAACUGCAUUUCAGAAAAAUAAAUAUUUACUUGCUGAAGGAGCACAACACCUUAUCAGACAACUGCAUUUCAGAAAGCACACUUCACCUCUGAACAAAAUAAGGAGCAAUUUUUCCAGCCACAGCAUGAGCUGGUGCUAGUUUCCCGAUCCUCCCUUUUAAAUUUGGAGCCGUAGCCUGCAAAAUUGAAAUGCAAAAAAAUUUUAAUCGAGCUUAAUUCUAGUAUGUGCCACAGCACUUUUUUUUAAUUCAUAAUCCCCAAUUGCAAUCUACAAUGGCAAACAUAAGUCUGCAACUCUGAAUCAUGAAUAUAACAAGAGGCAGACAAAAGAAACCUGAAGAGCGUCCUCGCGCAGCUGGCGCGUGGCGAUGUCCAUGAUGUUCAUCCCAGCGCCGUCGGUCUCGUCGAUGCAGGCGUACCCGCCGACGAGCAGGGACGCCAUGAAUGAGCUGACCAGCGACACCCUCUCGGUGGCGUCGUACACCUGCGGCCUGGUCUGGUGCAUCUUCCGUAUCUGCGGCCCCGUGCAGCGCUCGUGCGCGCGGCACCCCGUGAGGGAGGCCAGCCGCAGGGCGCCGCCCAUCGCUGCCUCCACCUCCCGGCACUGCGCCGCCGUGCUGCUGUCCAUCCACACGGGCGACUCCAGCGCCGCGAACGCGGCCGCGAGCUGCGGCGCGAGGCUCCGGGCCGGGUCGAGCGCGGCCAGCGCGGCGGCGGCGCCCCUGGCCCAGUACACGCUGCCGUGCUGCUGCGCGGAGCCGGAGACGGCGGCGACGCGGCGGAGGUCCGCGCGGGGCCGCAGCCUGGCGAGGAGCAGGUCCAGGGCCUCGGCCCACAUGAGCGGCGGCGACACGAUGCGGCCGCGCUCGGCGGGGUCCCGGCGGACGCCGCCGUGGGUGCCGUAGUGCGGCAGGUCGGAGUCGAAGUGGACGGAGUCGGCGGCGACGAUGCCGAGGCUGGCGUCCAGCACGGUGGCCUUGAGCGACCUUGGUUGGGAGGUCAGCGGCCGAGUAGUGAAGUGCCGAGAAGGCAGCAAUGGGAGUGAAGAGCAAGCAAGUCAACGAGCGAGCGAAGAGGAGGCUUGAUUGAGCUCGAGGGCAAGAGGGCACUUACUGGGUGGAGCAGUCGAGGCCGAGGAAGAGGGAGUCGUCGGGGAGGCGGAGGGAGCAGCAGCCACCGCCUGCGUCGGCCAUGAUGCAGCAGUCUCCUCGCCUGUUGGUGUGCUUGUUGACUCUGUAAGGGAUGCAAAACGAAAAAAAUAAAGUACAAAUUGCUUUCGUUGAGAGUUGAACUCAAGACCUCCCGCUUACUAAACGGGUGCUCUAACCAACUGAGCUACGAAAGCUAAGUGAUCCUUAAUUUUGUUCAAAUUAUAAAUUCUUUUCAUGGAGUAUGCUGACGCUUCCUGUUCAACCAUUAGAAGAAAUUAAACCUAGCAUCUACCUCCAGAAGCCUAUACAUAUACCAUUUACAUUCCCCCUCCCUAGGCACUCACCUCGACCGCCAACAUAUUUUUUCCUCUUCAUCCGUGGCGGCCUGUGCCAUCUUGACAAGUACAUGGGUAUCAUUAUUAAAUAAUCUUAUAUUUAAUCUUAAAAUAACUCAGUAGACAAAUUGUAUAAUGUGUUAUCUUUAAAUUAUAUUGGUAAAAGCUUUUCCUGGCAUUCUCUAGUACUGACAAUAGUUGCAUCCUUUAGCUCAUCUUGCUAGGGGUGUUGUUGCGGCCACCAAAUUCAUUUGAUUUUGCUAGGUAAAAACUUGGUCUGCUCCUCCGUGGAUAGACGAAUGAUGGUGACGUUGGUGUCGCUUCCUCCUCGAAGGCAUCGUCUUGCAUGACCUUCUCACUCUACCUCCGCUAGCUCUGAGUUGUUAAGCAAUCGGUGAUGUGCGUGUGUUUAUAUUGUCUUUCUCUCCUGCAGGUUUAAGUCAUCUUUAAGUUGUGUUUAGUGUGUGGGGGUGUUGUGGUUUUCUUUUCGUAGUUGUGUUUGUGUUGCUUGUCGCAUGUGGUGAUUCUUUUAACUUUACAUUUUUGGUCUUCUCAAAUUGCAUAGUAGUAACUCCUUAAUGAAAACGUGCUCAACACAACUUAAAAAAAGCAAAAGCACCACUCGGGAGUGGAAUCAUGUGGCGGCAGUGGAAUCAUGGCCGCAGCCGCGCUCCACCCGUGGCCUGCGCGGGUUUCUCAAAUUGGUCGUGUAUUACAGGUGCUUCAUCCAGAACUUCAGCACCAUUGCAGGACCCCUGACGACACUGCUCAAGAAACGAUUGACUGAGGCAGCCACCGAGGCUUUCACGGCCCUCAAAAAGGCCUUGUCCGUAGCCCCCGUCUUGCACCUGCCCGAUUUUGGAAGAGAAUUUAUUCAGGGCCCGUUCCCCUCCUGAGCACCAAGCCCCGCCGGCCUCUUAGCCCUCCCAGCUCCCGCCGCCACCCACACACCUACCGUCCGCCGGGAAAAUGAAGCUCCGCCGCCGGGAAUCGAAUCCCCGCUGUUGGCCGCCCGUUCCCCUCAUGAGCCUCCUCCUUGGUACGGUGGCACGGCAAGGUUGCUGAAGCCAGCUCCAGGGACGCACCAACGUCGAAGCCAGUGGAUCCGAGACCGUGCAAGGCUUGCGGCGCCAGAUCAUGGGGGCGCAGUCCAUGACUUAGGCCACCGAUGUGGGACUGCUGCCGCGAUGUGGGGCCGGGGCUACCUAGGUGCGGGGCAGCAAGUGCGGGUUUCGCGGACGCCUGUCCCUCCCACAGCUGCGCCGCGCGAGGCCAAUGCCGCGAGGUCAUCGGUCGUCGGCCACCGGUAUAGCGGUGCAGCGUGGCACCCGUGUGACGGCCGAUGGCCUGGGCGCAGAACCCAUCGCGGUACGCCAUCCAUGCGGUUCUCCUUGGUGUCCUCGCCUCGAGCAGCGGGCCAGACAGUGCUGCUCCUCGCCGCGGGGAGGUCAGCCAAGGCUCGCCACUGGUCGUAUGUGGCGCGGGGUAGCCGAGCGGUUCUUGAAAGAUUCUUUGGCCUUCUUGUUUCUGCAUUCUUGGAACUAGUCGUGGAUGGUGAAUGUUGUCUGAUCGAUGAGAUCAGCUCUAAGGGUUGAGUUCUAUCAGGUUUGAGUUACCGAACAGCUCUCUAUGCUUGCCUAUUUGUUUGUUCACAUAUUUUCCAUUAGUUGAUGAUUUUUGUUUCUACUGUUGACCUCAGACACAAUCAGUUCAUUUUGGUGUGAAUUCGAUUAAUCUGUGAUAAUGCUAACUGAUGUUGGUUGCUUGUGAACUAUGAAUUGGGCGUUGCAAUCAAUGUGAUAGUGUUAACUUUUCAUAGUUGCACUGCGUUCAGAGUUGCUCAUGCACAUUGCAUUGCCGUUACUAAUUCUUCAGAAUGUUUUGAAGAUUUUGCAAGCCGGACCGUUUCAUUUCUCCGGUUCGGUUUUGGAGCAAGUCCAUAUAAUGCAGCGAUGCAACACUUGAUGACUUGCGCUUCUCAUUUAGUAUUUCAGUACCAGUGAUGGGAGUUGUUAAUUCACACUGCACUGCUGUCUUGCCGACCACCUAAAGAUUUUGCAAACCAAACUGUUCACCUGAGGAAGAAGAAGAAAAGGGGAAUAAGAGGAUGAUAGGUGGGAUCAUGAGUUAGGGGCAAGAAUGACAAUUCACUUUCAAACUCCUCUUUUCUGGAGCUGGGGACACCCUCCCAGCCAAACACCUCCAUCAGACAGCUCCAACUCCAUCUAGAGUUGGCUCCACCUGGAAUUUUUGAGUGGAGAAGCUUCACACAGAGUUGGAGUCAUGCCAAACAGGGUCUAAGUUUAAGUUUUGAAGGGGGCAUUGGGCUGACCAGGUUUUGAUGGGCCAACCACCGCCCCACACCACGGAGGUGUGGUUCAUGUGAAGGCCCAGUUCAAUUGUUUUCACCUUGCUUUCCACUUAAAAUAUUCUUUUUCCAACGAUUUUAGACUUUCCGACACCAUUUUAGGGGUGAUGGAGUUGUUGGCACGGUGCACGGCACCCACAUGGUUCCGUUUAACUUUAAAUCCUGGUACCCAUAUUUAGUUGGGAUGAUUCGACCUGAGCAUUUUGCGAGCCACGUCGGGCUCAGAUCGAGUGCCGAAAAAAGCUCCGCUCAUGGUGAGCUGAAACAUUGUGCUCAUGAAAUUGCUGGCGGUUGGUUAGGUAGUCCACCAGCUAUCACACCUAGCUUUUAAAACAAAAUCAAGUAUUAACUAUAUGUAUGCCAUGAUCAAGUUUCAUACAUAUAGUGACGUCAUUAGUGAAUAACAGCAACAGUAUCACGUAAAAAUAUAAACAAAGACUUACAAGACUAACAGAGAGACGCAGUUUAAACUCUGGAAACGAAGGCUCCACACUUCACAGGCACUCGACUAGGGGUUGCGUACGCCUAGAACUCAGGAUCAUCUUCACAACUUCUUCAUUGCAUCUUCUUCUUCUGAGCAGCAGUGAGCAAGGGUGAGUACACUUAUGAUUGGUACUCAGCAAGGUCAUAGGAACUAACUGGAAUUAAUGAUUUAAGUCCAUCUUCAAGUUUAAUUAACCAUGUGAGGGUCCAAGCCGCUCUUAACCGUGAGCACGGCUGAUAUAUCAGUUUACACUCUGCAGAGGUUGUACACUUUACCCACAACUCGUGGUCCCUCGUGUCGCCCAGGUUUGCAAAGCCCUUAAACACUUCCUUUGGUGAGCGGCUGGGGGGUCCACUAAGCCUUUACAAAGACACAUAGCUAACUAGUAGCCCGCUAGAGUUUCAGUAGCGAUGUGGGUCACAACCCGUUGUAAUGAGUCAGCACCUUAGAAGGCUACUGCUCCGGGUCAUACCCCCGACACCUUCCCCCUCCUUGCCCUUUCGGUAAGACCACUAGUCAACCACAUGCCUAAUUAGUCGGCUAAGAUCAGAGCCAUGUGAUGUUGUGGUUGUACUGUUUUCUUGGGUGGUUCUCCAUAUUCCAAUUAAGAUUAUCAUAACACUGUGAACAAAGCAUAGGUAGAAGGAUGGUUAGGGACACUUGCCUUUCUCCAACGACAAGUUACUCUUAUUACUCUUCGGUUCUUACUUUCUUGAAACUCUUAACCUUCAAAGCUUUCGAUCAGUGAUCCUUCUAAUCAUGACAAACAUCAGCAACAAACAAACAACAAGAGUGACUAAGAACAAUACACCAAAACAAAAGAAAGGCUUAAAAUAGCGUACUAAAGGACAAGGAACGAUCUAAGGAUCACCCAAACGCUUAAAACGAACUAUCGAGAGAUUUGAUUCACGAAAAAAAUAAAAACACUAUAAGCUAGGUUUAUUUUAUUUAGCAAAACAUAUGUAAAGGAUAUUUCAGAAAGAAAAUAUCCUAAGUUAGAAUUAAGACAAUUUAUACUUUAUUUGCAAAGACCGAGGUAGAAACCUAGUCAAGUUUUAUUUAUAAAUAUUUAAGUAAAAUUUAUGCAAAUUAAACAUUUAAUUUGGAAAUAAAGCAUAGAUGAAUAUCUAAGUGCAUAGCUUUAUAUUUCGAGUUCAACUAAGAAUAUUAUAUUAAAACACAUUUAUUUUGAUAUUAGCCAAAUUAACAUUUGAUUAUGAAAAUUCGAGUUAUAACCUAUGUAGCUUUUAUUUAGAAGACAAAUUGAAUAAAUAUUAGUCAAAUUAAAUUUAAUUUAAGAAAAGUUGAGGUUUAACUCUAAAUAGCUUUUAAUUGUAAGAAUUAUUCAAAUAAGUGUUAAUCAAAUUAUUUUCAGUUUAUGAAAAACCGGUGUAUAUCCUAAUUGACUUUUAUUUAGAAAUAUUAUGAAGUGAGCAUUAAUCAAGUUAACAUUUAUUGUGAAAAACGAUAGAUAUCACUUGGUGACUUUUAUUUAGAGAAACACAUGUUAAUCAGGCAUUAAUCAAAUUAAUAUUAAAUUUAUUUUUAAAGGCAUGAAAUGCAGGAUGACAACAACACUAACGUGUAAUUUACGCUGUUAUGAACGUAACGCAACUUGAACGGAUUUAAAAAGGAGCUAAAACGUGGAAUCUACGAAGAAAACAAGAUCUAGGGACCUAAACGCAAUUAACGAGGGUUAGCAAAGAAAUUUACCGAGACACAGAGAAGAGAGUCCGCGAAAAGAUGAAAACCUGGGGUUAGAUCUGCAAAAGGUUCAUGGAUAGGAUUAGAUUGCAAGAAAACGGAAAGUUUAGGGGGUUUUCUGAAGAUUGAUCAUGGCACAAAGAUAUUGAAGGAAUUACACAGUUUAUCAGGAGCUAAGAUGCAAAACGACUUUAUCUUCUUCUCCUUCAAUCCUCUAUCUUCCUUCUUCUGCUCGCUCCGCUUGUGUGGCCGGUUAGAGCUUACCGGCGGCGGCUGCCGGCCGGGCCAAGGGGUGGGCGGCGGCGGCGGUGGUGCGGCCCAGGGGCGCAGGCUACGGCGGCGCAGCGCGGGCCAGGGAAGCGGCGCGAGGCGGCGGCGGCCGGAGUGGCGGCGCUGGGCGGGGCGCACAGGGCGGCGGCUGCGCAGCGCUUGGGAGGCGCGAAGGCGAGCGGGGCGGCCGGGCGAGACGAGCAGCAGGGGCAACCGGAGCUCGGGCGCUCGUUUUAUAGGCGGAGGGAGGGAGCGGAGGCGGCUCAGGAGGUGAAUCGCGGAGUAACGGCCGGCGGCUAGAGUGGUGGCGCCAUUCAUGGCGGCGGGUUGGUGGAGCGGCAGUUUCCGGCCGAAGGAAGGAGAAACGAGGGGGCGGAGGCCUGUGCGUGGGAGGCGGAGGGUCAUGGGGAGCCGGAGGGGCGCCGAGAAGCCGGGGCGACGGGAAACCGAGCGGCGCCUGUGCGGGGAGCUCAAGCGGCGGCGCCGGCCGAAGCUUGAAGAAGCUUCCGACAUGCGGGGCCCACCUGGCAGCGAAAGGGAGAGAGAGAAAAGAUGGCGGGCCAAGCUGGGCCGGAGGAAAAGAAAGGGAGGUAGGCCGGUGUGGAGAAAAGCCUGGCUGGGCCGGUGUGGGGGAAAAAAGAAUGGCCGGUUGGGCCAGGGGAAAGGGCAGGGAGGCGCUGGCGAGCCUGCCUGGCUAGCAGGCCGGCGGAAGGGGAACCGGGCCGGCUGAAGGAAAAAGGAAUAGGGAGGGGGGAGAGGGAGCAGUUUCGGCCGGCGGGGAAAGAAGGGAGCCGGCGGCCUGCUUGGCCAAAGUGGGUCGGGCCCGUGGGCUCGGCUCGAAGGAAAAGGAUAGAAAGAUAGAUUAAUAUUUUCAUAAAUAUUUCAGUGUAAAAACAAAUCCAGAAAACUCUAGAUAAAGUUUUUAGAGCACGAAAUUUUUUUUAGAAAAUACCAAAAAUUCUGGGAAAAAUCUCAGAGAUAGAUUGGGACACAAGAAAUCCAAAUAAAAAAAUUUGGAGCUCGUGAAAAAGGAUUUUAGAACCAUCCAAAAAUUGGAUUAAGCUCAAGGAUUUUAGACCAGGGCCGGCUCCAUAAUUUUGAGGACCCUUGGUACCGAUUAUUUUAACCGGUAUUUAAAAGGAAUCUUUUAAUACCUUUAAUGCCGGAUUGUUAGUACCGGUUGUAUAACUGGUACUAGAGGCAGGUUAUGAAUCAGUUCCUGACCAAUUUUUUCGGUAGUGCAAGUGUUCAGUUUUUGGGCGGUCGAGCCUCGAGGUCGGCUCAAGUGGCUUGAUUUGUUAUUGUGAUGAUAUCGUAUAUUGGGAUUUAGAACUUCAAGACAAGAUGCCUCGCUGGCGUGCUUUUAACGUGAUUCUCCCCUCGUCUGGAAUAACAAGGUGUAUUUUAUUUUAUUAGGACAAGCAUUUGACCUAUGAAUACUCUAUUAAUACAAUUUUAAUAUGACACAAAAUAUAAUUAUAAGUAUUUUGUAAUAUGGGUAAUCUAAUAAAAUCAAGUUUGUGUUCAAAAAAUAUAUAUAGUCGACUUGUCGAUCAGUAUCUCCAUGUUAUCUUGUCAGUUGGCUCUGAACGUCCAAAAAGAAUGCCAAUUGGUGAGCUACGAGGUCAAUUAUAACCUGUGAGACCCAUUGGUACGUCAGUGAAAUCACUAAACUGCUUUGACUAGGUAAAAAGGGUUAAUUUGUUUAGUUUUAAGAGAUGUGAGAUGUGUGUUGUCUAGUAUUCAAGCUCAAGGUUUUUCUUACUCAUCCCUUCCUCCUCCGAACCUCUCAUCCGAGCCCAAUCUCUCGCAUGGCGCCCGACCCCUCUUAGGCCCCCUUUGGAAUAUAGGAUUCAUGUAGAAAUUUUGUAGGAUUUGAAUCCUAUAGGAAUUUUUCCUAUGUGUCCCUUUGGAACAAAGGAUUGACCAACCUUUUAAUCCUUCCAAAUUCCUCUGGAAUGGCUCAGUCCAUAAGAAUUUUGCAGGAAAUCUAAAAUGAGGUCUAACCUCUUUGGAAACUUUUCUUUAUGUCUAUCUCUUCCUUCUCAUUUGUUUGUUUUUCCUACGUUGCAUCUAAAUACACAAUUGCAAACUUUCCUACAUUCUCAAUCCCUGUAGAAUUGGAAAUGUAAUGUAACUUCGUUCCUACGUUUUCCUAUUCCUAUGUUUUGAGAUUUCUUUCAAAGAGGUCCUUAGGGGGUGUUUGGGAGGAGGGGGCUAAAUUUUAGCCCCUGUCACAUCGAAUAUUUGGACACUAAUUAUGAGUAUUAAACCUAGAUUAAUUACAAUACUAAUUACACAACCCCUAGGCUAAAUCGCGAGACGAAUCUAUUAAGCCUAAUUAGUCCAGGAUCCUCCAAAGUGGUGCUACAGUAACCAUUCACUAAUGAUGGAUUAAUUAGGCUUAAUAGAUUCGUCUCGCGAUUUAGUCUAGGGGUUCUGCAAUUAGUUUUGUAAUUAGCUUAUGUUUAGUCCUUCUAAUUAGUAUUCGAACAUCGACAGGGCUAAAGUUUAGUCCUCUCCUCCCAAACACCCUUUUAUUUGUUAUCACGACUGAUAGUACGUGACAGUAACCGUGCAACAUCUAGGUACGUGACAAGGCGACACAUGCAUAUGCCAGCUCAUUGGCUCGCCCUAAUCAGGCACUACCGUCCACAGAAGUGGCGCCAGAAGUCUGACAACGCAACACCGUUGCCAUGGGACCUAGCGGCACGGGCGUGAACCAGGCUGUACCCUCGUGAUGGCACAUGGAAAGCCGUGAUGAUAUUAUUGAUAUUACUAAACUUUAGCCCUGUCACAUCACACGUUCAGAUGCUAAUUAGGAGGACUAAAUAUGAGCUAAUUAAAAAACCAAUAGCAGAACCCAUAGGCUAAAUCGCGAGACGAAUCUAUUAAGCCUAAUUAAUCCAUCAUUAGGGAAUGGUUACUGUAGCACCACAUUGUCAAAUCAUGGACUAAUUAGGCUUAAUAGAUUCGUCUCGCGAUUUAGCCUAGGGGUUGUGCAAUUAGUUUUGUAAUUAGACUAUGUUUAAUACUCCUAAUUAGUGUCCAAACAUCCGAUGUGACAGGGGCUAAAAUUUAGCCCCUCCCUGCCAAACACCCCUUAAAUCUAAAGCCGUAAUGAUGCUUUCGAUGAUGCUUUAAGGCGACUGGAAAGCCGUAAUACAAAAUAAUAUCAUCACGGCUUUCGAUGCAACCAAUAAAUUAAGCGCCCCAAGAAGGUCAGUGCUUGGCGUUGGUCUCCAUUUACCUCCAAAGCGCUUCCGCAGACCAUCCUCUUCUCCACUCCAAAGUGUCUUCUCAUUUCUCAGCGUGUGCUCCUCUGACUGCUCUAAUGGCCGAGCUUGUGGGCAGCAUGGUGGUCGGGCCACUGCUGUCCCUGGUGAAGGAGAAGGCGUCCAGCUACCUCCUGGACCAGUACAAGGUCAUGGAGGGCAUGGAGGAGCAGCAUGAGAACCUCAAGGUCAUGCUGCCGGCCAUCCUGUAGAAUGCACAUGGAAAGCCAUGAUGAUAUUAUUUUGUAUUACGGCUUUCGAUGCAACCAUUAAAUUAAAGGUUUGUUUGGCUCACCCGUCACAUCGAAUAUUUGAUACUAAUUAGGAGUAUUAAACAUAGGCUAAUUACAAAACUAAUUGCACAGAUGGAGUCUAAUUCGCGAGACGAAUCUAUUAAACCUAAUUAGUUCAUGAUUUGAUAAUGUGGUGCUACAGUAACUAUUUGCUAAUGAUGGAUUAAUUAGGCUUAAUAGAUUCGUCUCGCGAAUUACACUCCAUCUGUGCAAUUAGUUUUUUAAUUAGCUCAUGCUUAGUCCUCCUAACUAGCAUCCGAACAUUCGAUGUGACACCGCUAAAGUUUAGCACAUAGUAUCUGUCGUUGUCAAGAUUGGCGGAUCAAGACUUAGACUAGUAAAUUUCUUUUAUGCGCGUAAGGCUUCAGAUGGUGGCGUAGGAGACACGGGUUUAGACUGGUUCGGGCAAGGGAAGCCCUACGUCCAGUAUCGAGGAUACUCGUAUUGCCCACGCGAGGUUCUGUAGUAGGGGUUACAGAUCGACGAGAGAGGGACUGGUCCCAAGUCUCUUUGUGCUUGUGCUCUCAGGGAGCGUCGUAGUGUGCUGCGGCUUGUGGGAGAAGAAGCCGAUCCCUUUCUCCGGCCCCUGGUGCUCCCUUUUAUACCGUAAGGGGGCGGCCGGAGUUACAGCUGAGACCGAGCGAUUGAGAGUAGUAAGAGUGUGAACGUAGUACGGUAAAAAAUACAGCAAGAAGGGAGGAACCAAGUCCCUAGGCGCCCGGCGCCUUCGCCGGCCCCUGACGAGCGCCGGCAUGCAUGCUGGAGGAGGGGGGCGGCCGUGUGCCAACUGUCGUCGCGCCCUACGGAUAGCCCCUUCGGCGUCCGUAGGCGUCGGGUUAUGAUGAAGGUGUUUCGUCGUUACUUCGGUGUCCGUUGGGGUGGACGGCGGAUGCCACCAUCCUGAUGAUGGCUUCCGGAGAGAGGGCGUUACAUCCUCGCUGCCGGGCGCGCGGGACCCGAGGGCGCGUGGGGCCCAAGGACAGGCGAGUCUUUCCUCCGCUCCGGUCGGCGCAGGCCAUGAGUACCCUGCGGCGAAUGGAAGGGAGCCGCCAGCACUGUAGCUUGUACAGUGUGGUCGUGCAUGGGCACUUGCAGCGGGUUGCGUGAGGAGCACGGUCAUCCUUCCCCCUGCCAGGCCUGCGGCGCAUUUAUGACGAGGCCGACGAGGGGGACCCACGGGAUCGUUGUCUUGUCCACCGGAUCCGCAUCCGAGGGGGAUGUCCGUCCUGGGGGCCCAGUGAGUCCGACUCCCGUGCUCGGGGUCGGACGAGGCGCAACCUUGUGGCGAGGGGUCGGGCGCCCCCGAUCCCGGGGUCGCGGUCGGACGAGGCGGAGCCUUGCGGAGGGAGGUCGGAUGCCCCCGACCCCGGGACCGCGGUCGGGCGAGGCGGAGCCUCGUGGCGGGAGGUUGGACGUUCUCAACCUUGGGACCUAAGGUCGGGCGAGGCGGAGCUUUGAUUAUGCUGGGUGGUCCUGGGCCUUCGUCUUUGUUCUUUUAAGCGGUAUCUAGGAGAUCGUUAAUAUUUCCCUCCAACAGUAUCCAAACACCCCCUAAGUGCCCCAAGAAGGUCAGUGCUUGGUGUUGGUCUCCAUUCACCUCCAAAGCGCUUCCGCAUACCACCAUCCUCUUAGUACUAAUGAGGCCGACCUCGUGCGCGACGUGGCAGACCGUUAUUUCAACCGGUACUAAAGGAUCUUCCUUAGUACCGAAUUGUUAGUAAUGGUUGCACAACUGGUACUAGAGGGAGGUUAUGAAUCGGUAUUUUUCCAAGUAGUGCAAGUGUUUCAGUUUUUGGGCGGUCGAGCCUCGAGGUCAGCUCAAGUGGCUUGAUUUGUUAUUGUAGAAUGCACAUGGAUAGCCGUGAUGAUAUCGUAUAUUGGGAUUUAGAACUUGAAGACAAGAUGCCUCGCUGGCAUGCUGUUAACGUGAUUCGCCCUGGUUUGGAAUUUAUUAUGACAAGCAUUUGGACCAAUGAAUACUCUAUUAAUACGAUUUUAAUGUGAUACAAAAUAUAAUUAUAAGUAUUUUGUAAUACGGGUAAUCUAAUAAAAUCAAGUUUGUGUUCAAAAAAUAUAUAUAGUCGACUUAUCGAUCGGUGUCUCCAUGUUAUCUCGUCAGCUGGCUCUGAACGUCCAAAAAGAAUGCCAAUUGGUGAGCUGCUACAUGAGCGGAAAGCAAGUCGAUUUGUCAACUUCAGAUCUAGCAGCUAAAACAAUUAUUUUAGGCGAGCGCCAUUUUGUAUUACGGCUUUCGAUGCAACCAAUAAAUUAAGCGCCCCAAGAAGGUCAGUGUUUGGCGUUGGUCUCCAUUUACCUCCAAAGCGCUUCCGCAGACCAUCCUCUUCUCCACUCCAAAGUGUCUUCUCAUUUCUCAGCGUGUGUUCCUCUGACUGCUCUGAUGGCCGAGCUUGUGGGCAGCAUGGUGGUCGGGCCACUGCUGUCCCUGGUGAAGGAGAAGGCGUCCAGCUACCUCCUGGACCAGUACAAGGUGAUGGAGGGCAUGGAGGAGCAGCAUGAGAACCUCAAGGUCAUGCUGCCGGCCAUCCUGGAAAGGAUCACUGACGCAGAGAAGCAGGCAACCUACAGACAAGCAAUCAGACCCUGGCUUCAGAAGCUCAAGGUGGCGGCAUACGAGGCCAUCCAAGUCUUCGAUGAAUUCAACUAUGAGGCCCUCCGUCGUCAAGCCAAGAAAGAGGGGCGCUACAUCAAGCUCGGGAUGGGCAACCGCAUCAUGUUCCGUUACAGGAUGGGCAACAAGCUUUGCAAGAUUGUGCGCGAUAUUGAGGCCCUUGUCAAGCAGAUGCGCGACUUUCGGUUCGACAAACAGCCAUAAGCGCAGGUCCAGAUAAAUUAUCUGCGUGAGAAUGACUCCACCAUGGUUGACCCAGAGAUUGUCAGCAGAUCCAGAGAUGAAGAGAAGCAAAAGAUUGUUAGAAUGUUGGUCAAAGAACAAGCUAACAAUAAGGAUCCGAUGGUCGUUCCCAUUGUUGGAAUGGGUGGGUUGGGUAAGACCACCCUAGCUCAGCUCAUCUAUAAUGACCCUGAAGUGAAGAAGCAUUUCCACCAACUGCUGAAGUGGGUCUGCGUGUCAGAUGAUUUCGAUGUUUGUAACCUUGCCAACAAGAUCUGUAACGCUUCUGAGAGCAACCUGGAGAAUGCCUUGCAGAACCUUCAGAGAGAACUCGCUGGAAAGAGGUACUUUUAGAAUUUAAUUUGAUGUUGAUUCACUCAUCUCAAACACGCACACUGGUUUUUUCCCUCACACAUGCUCAAAAUAUGUGCAUUGCCCUUGAGAAUAACGCGUAAUUGAAAAGAACAAGUAAAGCACAUGCAAACUACAUACACAAAAUUCAACUUCAAACUUAGAUCAAGAAGACAACAACGCCUCACCGCUAGCAAGUUUCCCUCUUGGAUAUGCACGGAACUUGCACAUCUCACAUACCAUUUACGCUUCCUCUUGUGGCAUUCACAUAACUUAAGAAAAAAACGUACUCAAAUAGAAACGCACUAAUGGCAUGAUUAUUUGUAACAGGUACCUUCUUGUAUUGGACGACGUCUGGAAUAAGGAUGCUAACAAGUGGAACAAGCUGAAUGCCUGUCUUAAACAUGGUGAUGUUGGUAGCGCCAUACUAACGACAACCCGUGAUAAAGAAAUAGCUCAACUCAUGGGUACAGUUGAAGAACAUGGCAUUGCACGUUUGGACAAUAAAUUCAUCAAGGAAAUUAUUGAGGCUAAAGCAUUCAUUUCGCAAGAGAGAAAACGAGCUGAUUUAGCUGGCUUGGUUGAUGACGUUGUUGACAGAUGUGCAGGGUCUCCAUUGGCAGCGAAGGCACUAGGAUCUGUACUACGUGGCAAGACAACGAAAGAAUGGGAGGCUGUGCUUAGCAAAAGCAUCGCCCAUAACAAGGACGAUCAAAUCCUGCCUAUUCUCAAGCUCAGUUACGAUGACCUGCCAUCACACAUGAAGCAGUGCUUCGCUUUCUGUGCUGUGUUUCCCAAGGACCAUGAGAUUGACGUGGAAAGGCUGAUCCAACUAUGGAUGGCAAAUGACUUUAUUCCCGAACAAAAAGAUGGUCAUCAUGAAACAAUUGGUAAACAGAUUUUCAGUGAGCUGGUCUCAAGGUCAUUCUUUCAAGAUGUGAAGCAAGUCAAAGGUUCAAGAUAUGGUUCCGUGUAUUGGUAUUUCUCUACAAGUACAUGUAAAAUCCAUGAUCUUAUGCACGAUGUGGCACUAUCUGUCAUGGGCAAAGAAGUUGCUACCAUAACUGAGAAGCCAAAGCAGAGUGAUGAGUUUCUUCAGAACACUUGUCGUCAUAUAUUGUUAUCAUGUAAGAAGCCAGAGGCCGUUUUGAAUGAUUCUCUGAAUAUAAGGUCUCCAGCUAUGCAAACACUACUAUGUGAUGAGGACAUAGAAAGUUCCCUGCAGCAUCUCGCAAAAUACAGCUCUCUGCGUGCAUUGAGACUUUGUCAAAUUAAGAGCACAAUCCUUUUGAAACCAAAGCAGCUACAUCUCUUGAGGUAUCUUGAUAUCUCCGGUAGUGAUAUAGUGGCACUUCCGGAAGAUAUCAGCAUUUUGUACAAUCUGCAAACAUUGAAUGUUGCGUACUGUCAGAAACUUGGCCGGCUUCCAAAGGGAAUAAAGUACAUGACUGCCCUCCGUCACCUCUACACUCACGGAUGUAGGGAGUUGAAGCGCAUGCCACCAGAGGUUGGACAUCUCACUUCCCUACAAACACUUACAAAUUUUGUAGUGGGUGCAUGCCCUGAUUGCAGUAGUAUUGCAGAGCUGCAGCAUUUAAACAACCUUGGUGGUCCACUACUGCUUAGUCAACUCGAAAAUGUGACAAAAGCAGCAGAUGCAAAACAGGCCAAUCUUGGAAAUAAAGAGGAGCUCAGGGAAUUGUCAUUAAACUGGACGUGGACAGGUAGUCAGGAGGAGAAACUACAUUGUCAUAAGGUGCUGGAGGGUCUCGAAGCUCCUCCUGGACUAGAGGCUCUGAGGAUAGAGGAUUACCAAGGAACCAGUUUCCCAACGUGGAUGGGUACGCUGACAAAAAUGGUGGAGCUUCAUGUUUCUAACUGUAACAAGUCCAAUAAGCUUCCUCCACUUAGGAGUGUACCAGCUCUACAAGUUCUUCGUCUGAAAAGAUUGAAAAAACUGGAAAGCUUGUGCAGUGGUGGUACAUUCUUUCACUUUCCUAAUCUGAAGGAGCUUACGCUGGACGAACUGCCGGAAUUUGAUAGAUGGUGUGAAGUAAACUGGGUCCAAGGAGAACAGAUAAUGUUUCCUCAACUUGAGAAGUUGUUUAUUACAAAUUGUGGAAAGGUUACAGCAUUACCAGGGCCAGCACUUCUCGGAGGAUCGUGCAGUGGAGAUUACAAGGAGCAAGACGAGAGGAAGCUUUGGUCGGCAUUUCCAGUCCUGAAGGUACUCGAAUUAAAAUGCUUAGCAAAGUUUCAGAGGUGGGGGGGCGCUGCUGAAGCAACUCAAGGGCAGCAGAUAAUAUUUCCUCAGCUUGAAGGGUUAUCAAUCGAAAAGUGCCCCGAACUGGCAGCAUUACCAUCAGCUACAUCUCAGGGAGUAUCAUUUGACCAUAGUGAUGUUACAGCAUGGUCAGCAUUUCCAAAGUUAAAGAAGCUCUUGUUAGAAGACUUAGAUAGUUUUAAGAGCUUGGGGAUGACGGAAGCAACUCAUGGUGACCAGCAGAUAUUCCCUGACCUUGAGACUCUGCGUGUUGAGAAAUGUCCGAAGUUGACAACUCUACCGGGGGUGAUAGAAGCACCAAAGCUCGGUGUAUUAAAAAUACAUGGCAGCCAACUGGCAGCAAUAAUAGUGCCUACAGUUAUUAACUCAUUGUCCAAACUGGAGUUAUCAGUCGAAGACACAGAAACUACUUUACCAACUGUGCAUAGUGCCUUUGAGCUGCUGGACGCCAGUAAUAAAUACCCUCUGACAGAUCUGAAGCUAAGCGGCUGCAACUUUCUGUUCCCCUCAAGUCCACUGGCACUAUGGACAUGUUUUGUCCAGCUCCAAGAUUUGAAAAUUGAGAGGAUCAACCAUGCGCUUGUCUACUGGCCGGAAAAAGAGUUCCAGAGCUUGGUAUCCUUGAGGCGCCUUACCAUUGACGAUUGCAGUGGUCUGAUUGGGUACGCGAAAGCUGCUCCUGGCCAACCAAUAUCAGAAAGGAACCAAGUUCUGCCCCGUCUCGAGGAUCUAGACUUGUGGGAUUGUGAAAGUCUGGUAGAGGUCUUCAACGUCCCCGCAUCUCUCAAGACGAUGGAUUUGCGCGGCUGCCCUAAGCUUAAGUCCAUAUUCGGAGAGCAACAGGACGAGCCAACAUUCAAUCAAGGGCCCAGCGCUGCACCGAAGCUGUCAUCAUCGGCCCGGGAUCACUUACUACUUCCAUGUCUUGAAUCUCUAUAUAUAUAUAGGUGUGAAAGCUUGUCAGAGGUUCUCAACCUUCCCCCAUCCCUCAGGGAAAUAGAUAUUACUCGGUGUGGCAAACUCCAACUCCUAUCAGGCCAGCUGGAUGGACUCCAAAGACUAGUUAUUAGGAUAUGCCCAGAGUUGAGAUCACUGGAAUCUUGCUUGGGAGAGUUUUCAACCCUGGAACAUCUCAGUCUCCGUGAAUGCGAAAGCCUGGCAUCCUUGCCCGAUGGGCCACAAGCAUACUCAUCUCUCCGUCAUCUUCAAAUUACAUCAUGUCCAGGUAUACAGUCGCUUCCUUCAUCCCUGAAGAAGAGACUGGACAACAUCCCUGAAGAAUAUAAAUAUUUGGAUGCUCGUUACGAAGGUACCCACCAAACUCAUUUGACGUUUCACCAUCAAAUGCAUAAAUCUGCUCAUGUGUAUUAUAUCCUCUUCAACCUGAGACCCCGCAUUCUAGAAAUAUAUAUACCAUUCGUCUUAAAGCAUCCUUGCAGUAGUUUGAAUGAUAUGGUGUGAUUAUUUUUACAUUAGAGAAAGGUGCAGCACACGACCACAGAAUUUUGGUGCCUUGGUAUAAUCACGUCGAGUUGUAUUACUUAAUUAUCCAUUUUGAAUUUCUGAAUAGAUAUGACUACUAAAGAAGCUGCUUAACGAGAAUGAUAUGUAAGGCAAAAUAGAGUAUCUUUGGUCCUCCACUUCUGUCUUCAGUUCAUCUUUAUUAUGUGAACUGCUACUAGUAUUUGCGUCUAUAGACUAUAGCUAGGUGUGAACUGUGCCCAGAAAUUAUUGACAAGGAAUAGUGGAAAGAACUCAGCAAUCACUAAAAAAGCAUGAAGAGUGUCCCACAAAGUUACUUUUUCAUGCAGUUGUCGGCUUGCUGGUUUCAGCACUUGCACAAUACGAAAUUUUAAAAAUCCAAGGGAUCCCUCCACACUUGGACAACUAAGAACACGACUAUAGAUUGUUUUCAAUUUGCAUUGAACUGAUAUUUUUCUAUUUCCCUAAUGUUACACCCCAAAUAGAGAUGCCAAGUUGCCAAUGCAACGAAGGUUUUUACUUGUCAAUUUAAUUGAAUUUUGCUGUCUAAAGGACAAAAUGUGGACUAAAUAAAAGGUCCCAGGAGCCUACUGUGUGGUACCUUUCUUUUAAUUGUUUUUGCUAACUUCACGCCUUUGGGUGUACAAAAAUGUACUAUUUCUGUUUUUGUUUCAGAAAGAACUGGAAUUUUUCUCUUUGGAAUUCGGUAGUUGUAUAUUUUAAUAUGCAUACUUGAAUCUGCUUGACGUACACGUUUUUCAUGUUAUACUAUUGAUAAAUCCUAACAUCAGCGAUUACCAGGUGCCAAGUUAUUGAAACCAAAGACAUGGAAAUAUGCCAUUCAUUUGUAGCAAUUAGUGAGCUGUCAAAACAUGAAGUACCAGGUUAGUAGCAUAAAAAGUUUGGGUUUUUAUUAGAAUCAUUUCAAUUAAUCUAGUGUUGAUUGCAUAUCCUCUCUAUUGUAGGGACAUGUUUGCCUCAUUUACUGUCAGCAUCCAAACCAUAAUGUGGAAAUGCUAUUUUCCUUCUAUGUUGAUCGUUGAUCAAGGUCUGAGUUACCAUACAGGCUCUGAUGCAAGUUGUUAAAGGCAGUAUAAAUUCUGUACCAGACAUUUAUUUAUAUUUGAUAAUCAUGAGAGAUAUAUUACUAUUUUAUUUUUGCAUCAAAUGGACGUGGAGGCUGGGAUAUUAAUACUUUCUCCCAUUAAUACAGCUACAUCAUGGCAGUUAUCUCCCUGUGAUUGGAAGAGAGUUCUGCAUUUUGCAUACCAACUGCAACUAUGAUGUUUAUAACUGGGCCUGGAGAGAUAUUAUGCCAUUUCUGUGACCAUUCUCUUCUAUUAUGUCCAUUUCACAUAUUCAAAACAAAAUUUUCCCUUAAGUGACUAUUCUAUUGAAUUGAUAUUUACUUUUUCAGAUAAUACUGAUAUUUUUAACUUGCUUUACUUUCCCUUAACAUGAUUGGAAGUUGAAGACCAUGCCUAAAUUUUUCAAAUGUGCCUUCCUUUUAGCGCAUUACUUCUUCGGUGACCAAUCAGCAUUUUGACUAGUUGCUACUGAUCAAUUAUUCAUACAUGCCCAAGGACCAAUAACUUCAUGGUGCAGCCAAUUAAAUUGUUACUGAUUUCAUGCUAUCAACAUGCAAAAAGAUAGUCAGUUGACACCUAGCCACAAUCAAACAAUAACCUAGUAGUUUGAAAUGAUUAUCGCAAUUGCCAUGCUUUGUGCAGAGAAGAUGACUCUUCGAGGUUAAGGAAGAUUCUACGAAUACAUGGCAAGUUUCACGAUGCAGGCAAUGAAUUAUUAAAAGCUGGUGGCAUAAUAGUGCACACGAAUGCAUACUUGUAUGCGCAUUGCAAUAUUGGAAAAUGUACCAAAGUGCAGUCACUGCCUUCUUCCCACAAACAAACAGCACUCGAUAAACACAUGAAGUCAUUUGCUCAUGACUUGCUGGUGAGCCACUAAGGCUCCAAGGUGCCGGCACACCUUGUAUAAAGGUGGUUCACUCUAGAACCUGAUCAUAAGGUAGGCACACCUUGCACUCUCUCUUCUCUAGGUCUAUUCUAGCACUAAUCAUUUUGCUAAGCUUGUGCUAAACCUUUGAUGGAUUACAUAAACACUUUUGGGUGGCUUGGAUGUGUUCUUGAUGUGUCUUACUCUUCAAUGGACUCCUACACACUUCAACUUCAUCCAGCAACUCCAAAUGGUCAAGUGGAGGGGGGUAUAAAUAGCCCAAGAGCUUAAAGAACCGUUGCUUGAAUGGGUAGUUAAAGUAUACCAUCGGAUGUUCCGAUGGUCUAUUUUUUGGUAGCAUCGGAACAUUCGGUGCAACUAGCCAUUGGCUCCACUGCGCCCAACUUCUUCAAGAAUUCAUUCGACGCUCCAUCCGAUGCCCCCAUCGUAUCAUCCAGUGCUAAUAGUUUUCUGACCAAAAUCUCUCUGAAACUAGCCAUUGGCUCCCCUGCGCCCAACUAAAUAUGUUUCGUUCGAGGGUCACCUCCAUAGGGCAUCAGAACAUCCGGUGCUAUAGGUCAAUUUCUGCCUUUCCUGAGAAUUGAUCCGACGCUACUAAAUUUUCCAUCGUCGGAUCAUCCGGUGCUUCCUGGAACUCAAGUUGAUUUCCCUGUUGGACCAAUUGCUCCGAUACUUACUCCGAUGGGCCAUGGCUUGGUCACUUGAAUACCAUAGCUUGGAUACUUGAAUAUCAUGAUUUGGACCUUGCCAUGGUUUGGUUUGCAUACUUGAAUACCAUGAUUUGGACCUUGCCUAUGGUUUGGUUUGCAUACUUGGGACCUAGAAAACCUACAAAGCAUAUACUUGACAAACUAUUAGUCCCAAUAAUUAUAUUGUCACUCAAUCACCAAAAUCACAAACUACGAACUAAUGGGGCCAUGUUCGCUACAAGGUGCAUGGUAGAGUGCUUGGAACUUGGGCGGUGAGGCCAGGUGGCGGUGGUGCCGCCGGCCGGGAGGUGGAGGAGGCCGGUUGGGCGGUGCUUGGGCGAGGACUUGACGACGACAUGGUGGGGGAGGGAGGUGGCGGCGGCUGCGGCAGGGGGGUGGUUGCCGAGGGCAGGUAGGGUCUUGCCGAAGCCCGACACCGGCAGCUACCGCGCCCUCGGCUGGGGUGGUGGUCCAUCUGGGCGGCGGUGGGGUGGCCUGACUAUUGGGAAGAAAGGUGCUGAACUGAGGAAGAAGAUGAAGGAUGUCCGUUCAAUGCUCAUCCAACGUCGCAGAAAUUCGUGUGUCAGAAAACGAUAGAAUACUCGGGUGGGCAGUAGGCACUCACUUCUAAAAAAGCUAAAACAAUAUAUAAUUUGUAACGGAGGAAGUAUUAAAUAUGAAAAUUAUGAUUUACUCCCAAAAACUGAUGAAUUAACUGAAGGUGUAUAAACUCUUCAAUUCACAAAGUGCAUUUAAUCUGUAUUGAACACUUCUCUUAGUAAGUUUUCUCAGCAAUAACCUGAAGAUCUUUUUUACUUAUGGGUUUACCUAUGCACUCUUUUCCCUUAAUUGAAAAUCUGGUGAUAGUAAAACAUGUUAAAAAGUUAUCCAUUAAUUUAAUUUUUGUGAAAGGGCUGUCUUAGGAAAUAGCCAGUGGAAACAUCAGAUUAGAAAGAAACAGGUUAUGCUUCAUAAGGUGUCUUCCAUGUUCCAUAUCUCAUCUUUUUCAUGCAUUACUUAUAAUGUUUGGUGAAUUUUUAUUUGCUGACUUUUGUUUACUGAUCAUGUGGAGAUACACAUUCGGUUGGCAAAAACAGAGAACCACUGUUUAGUUUCAUGUUGUCAUUGAUGCAUAUCUCCAUAAGUAUUCAUGUGGAAGAGCAGACUGCCCCUGAAGGCUGAAGCUAAAAGUAUUCAUGUGGCUGGCCUGGCAAGAUAGACUGCAAACAGGGGUGGCUUUGAAGAGAGGACGAAAUUGAAUGGAAGGGAAUGUCAAUUGUGCAGCAUACAAAAAUUUGUCUGGAAAUGCUUCAGUGACGCCCUGUGGUGGGGAGGAGUCCCAGCAAGUAUGCUUCAUUUCUUUCCGCAGAAGUGGCGGGUGCUGCUGCUGGGGGAUGGUGAUGGCGCCAAGUGAAAGGCUGGAUGGAGGCCUUCAUGGAGAAGCUCAAGAUCUCUUGUAGAAAACACCCAGGGGAAGCUGGAAAAAAAACAUUUUUUCACAAUUUCUAGUCUUUUGAGGUCCUUGCAAAGCUGUACUUUCAGUUCCUGCACCCUAGUUUCUUAAUUAACACAGUCGAGCUGGUAACCUGUUAUGGUCGGCAAAGUGUACCAACAUCGCAGGGGCGAGCCGUGGCUAGACGAGGCCGUGGUAGGCGAGCGGCUUGCGGUGUGUCAGUUAGGAGAGUCCGAAGGUUUAGGAGUAUUGUUUCCUUUUAUUGUUAUCCCUUAAUGGUAGUUAAGAUUUGUUAGGAUCAGAUAGGUGUACAAGUAUUGAACUCUUUUAGUUAAUAGAAAUCAGCCAGGGAUUGAGUUAUCUCUCCCGCUCCUUGGUAACUCCCCUUGCGCACGCCUGUUCCCCGACGCUGGCCAUCCAGGACGGCGUCGCAACCUCGCCGCUGUCUUUCCCCACCUACGACGGCAAAGAAGAUCCGCUGAGCUGGCUCAACAAGUGCACGCACUUUUUUCAGGCUCAGCGCAUCCGCGAGGCCGACAAGGUGUGGCUUGCCUCAUUCCACAUGACCGGCAUCACCCAACACUGGUACUACAUGCUGGAGCGCAACGUCAGCGACAUCAACGCCAUCUCUUGGCCGCGGUUCUCGUCGCUAUGCCAGCAACAUUUUGGGCCAGCUCUCGGCACAAACCACCUCACAGAACUAGCUCGCCUGCCAUUUCGCAAGUCGGUUGACGAGUACUAGGUGGCGUUCCAAGCCAAGACGGUGCACGCAGGCUGCCUAUCACCGCAGCAGCAGGUCCAGCUCUUCACUGGGGCCUGACUACAUCCGUGUUGACGUCGAACUGCAGGCUCCACAAGAUCUUCAGCACGCCAUGAUGUUGGCCUUCACCUAUAAACGUCGCGCGGCGGCAGUGCCGCGCCCUGCGUGCCCCCAGAGUCGACAGCAGCCAUAUCCGGGGGCGGCCGUCGCACCGUCCAUGAUGCCCACGGUGACACUGUCUCCGUCGACGCCACCUACGCCGUCUGCGAAGGUCCAGCCUGCACUGGCCGCUCCACCACGGCCAUUCCGUCGCCUCACGCCGCAGGAGAUGGCAGAAUGGCGCCGGCCUCUGCUACAACUGCGAUGAGCAAUAGGUACGCGGUCACAAAUGCCCGCGCCUCUUCUACUUGGAGGUCUCAGACUUCGUGGAGGAUGACGCCGUGCCAGCUACGGAGGAAACCCCACAGAUAUCCCUCCAUGCGAUCACCGGCCUCCGCACUAAGGACACGAUGCAGCUACACGUUCAGCUGAGCGAUCAAGAGUUCACGGCCCUUCUUGACUCGGAAUCGACACAUAACUUCAUCAGCGCUUCCGCGGCGCAGCACGUGAAUCUUCGGUUCCACGACAGCUGCGGUGCCCAUGUUGUGGUGACCAACGGUGAUAGAGUGGUGUGUCGUGGUCUUGCCCGCGAUGUCACCCUCCGCAUCAGCACCGAGGAGUUCUUGCUGGAUUGCUACUCGAUCCCAUUGGAUUGCUACGACAUGGUUCUCGCCGUGGCCUGGCUCUACAUGCUAGGGCCCAUUCUUUGGGAUUUCAAUGAUCUCCACAUGGCCUUCUGGCACUAGGGCCGCUAGAUUUUGUGGAAGGGCAUCGACUCGGCGCGUACCGAUAUUCCUCCGACUGGGCACCUCCACACCGUCCACGGACCGGAGGAGGCUCUCUUGGAUCAGCUCCUGGAGACGUACGCCGACGUCUUCGCUAAAUCGGUCGGGCUACCACCAACACGACCAUGUGAUCAACACAUCCACCUCAAGCCCAACACGGAACCAGUUGCGGUACGGCAUUACAUAUACCCGCAGCUACAAAAGGAUGAAUUGGAGGCACAGUGCGAAUCUAUGCUCCGCCAGGGCGUCAUUCGACCCAUCACAUCUCCUUUCUUAGCUCCAGUGUUGCUCGUCAAGAAGCCAGACGGCUCCUGGCAUUUUUGUGUCGAUUACAGGACGUUAAAUUCGUGGUAGACCACGGUAAAAGAUAAAUUUCCCAUACCUGUCGUGGAGGAGCUCCUAGAUGAAUUAAAAGGGGCACAAUUCUUUACAAAGCUGGAUCUGCGGUCGGGCUACCAUCAGGUCCGCGUCCAUCCUGACGAUGUGUCCAAAACAGCAUUCCGCACUCACCAUGGCCAUUUCGAGUUUCUGGUGAUGCCAUUCGGCCUGUCCAUCGCGCCGUCAACUUUCCAAGUGCUGAUGAAUCUCGUGCUCAAGCCGUUCCUACACCGGUGUGUCCUCAUCUUCUUCGACGAUAUCCUCAUCUACAGCAUGUUGUGGAGUCAGCAUCUGCAACACCUUCGCGCCGUACUUGACGUGCUGCGCGCCAACCAGCUGCACCUCAAGAGAUCCAAAUGCCUGUUCGCCGCAUCAUCAGUUCAGUACCUGGGCCACGUCAUCUCAGCAGCUGGCAUUGCCAUGGAUGCAGCCAAGGUGGCGGCAGUGGAAUCAUGGCCGCAGACGCGCUCCGCCCGUGGCCUGCGUGGGUUUCUCAAAUUGGCCGGGUACUACAGGCAUUUGGUUUCUUUGCUUAUUUUUAAGCAAGUGUCACAUCAAUGUUUAGAUACUAAUCCAGCUUGCCCAUACGGCCGGCCAUGAAGGCGUACAGAAGACUUUUGACCGGCUGCAUGCCACUUUCUACGUCAAGCACGACCGGCAACUCGUUCGCGACUUUUUCCACUGCUGCACAACCUAUCAGUGGAACAAGUCUGAAGCGCUGCACCCUGCCGGUCUUCUAGAGCCCCUGUUGGUGCCAUCCCAUGUGUGGGCCGACAUCUCUAUGGACUUUGUCGAGGCACUCCCCAAGGUACACAGCAAGAGCGUCAUUCUAACAGUGGACAGUGGUUGACAGGUUCUCUAAAUACGCCCAUUUCAUACCACUGGGCCACCUGUACACGGCAUCCUCCAUCGCGCGCGCCUUCUUCAACGACAUCGUUCGCCUGCACGGCUUCCCCGACUCCAUCGUCAGCGAUCGUGACCCUGUGUUCACGGGACAUGUCUGGCGCGAUCUGUUUCAGCUGGCUGGUGUCCGGCUGCGCCUGAGCACGGCGUUUCAUCCUCAACCGAAGGCUAGUCCGAAUCAACGAACAAGACCAUCGCAAUGUACCUCUGCUGCAUCACUGGUGAUCGGCCGCAAGAUUGGCUGACCUAGCUUCCGUGGGUUGAGUAUUGUUAUAAUACUUCAUUCCACUCAGUGCUAUGGACAUCGCCAUUCCACGUCGCUAUGGUCGCCAGCCGUCGACCUUGCUGUCCUACGACAAGGAAGUGCCCGCACCAACACAGUCGAUAACAUGCUGUCCAGCUGCGAUGAGUUGUAUAAUCUUUUAUUCGGCCAACCAAAUAGAACAACAUAACAACGGAUAUUAUUUUCAGUUUUAAAGCAUCAAAUUUGAAGGGAAUUUUGCUAGGCUCUUGAAAAACUAGUGCAAGAUUAUGCUAGGGAAUCGCUGAGUCCUUCUAAGGCCCUGUUUGGCACAGCCCCACUUCAGAACUCUAGCAACUCCAGCAAAAAAUCUAGCCAACCAUCUCAGCUCAAAAACUUUAUGGAGCUGCCAACUCCAUGGAGCGGUAGUGCAAAUAGGGAUGGAGUUUUGGAGCACCUCUUUUGCUGCUCCAAAACCUCCUAUUUUGAACCUCCUCGUGGAGUUGGUAGAUAAUUACCCACCAAGGCCACUCGUUAAAAAAAAUGCUUCAUUCUUUUUUCCUUUCGAGAUUCCCGAUGCCCCCAUCUCUCCUUUCCACGCACUCCUCUGCUCCCUAGAACCGUUGCUGGCUAGGCUUAGCGCCGCCGCCGCUAGAGCUAGCGGCCACCGUCGAGCUCUGCCGCCGCUAGGGCUAGCGGCUGCCAUCGAGCUCCGCCGCCGGGAAUCAAAUCCCCACCGCGGGCCGCCCAUUCCCCUCCUGAGCGCCAAGCCCCGCCGGCCUCUUAGCCCCUCCCAGCUCCCGCCGCCACCCACACACCUACCGUCCGCCGGGAAAACAAAGCUCCACCGCCAGGAAUCGAAUCCCCGCCAUUGGCUGCCCGUUCCCCUCAUGAGCCUCCUCCUUGGUGCAGUGGCACGGCAAGGUUGCCAAAGCCGGCUCCAGGGACGCACCAACGCCGAAGCCGGUGGAUCCGAGACCGUGCAAGGCUUGCGGCACCAAAUCAUGGGGGCGUAGUCCAUGACUUAGGCCACCAGCGCGGGACUACUGCCCCGGUGUGGGGCCGGGGCCACCUAGGUGUGGGGCAGCAAGCGCGGGUUCCGCGGCCGCCUGUCCCUCCCACAGCUGCGCCGCGCGAGGCCAAUGCCGCAGGGUCAUCGGUCGCCGGUCACCGGUACAGUGGUGCAGCAUGGCACCCGCGUGAUGGCCGAUGGCUUGGGCGCAGAACCCGUCGCGGUACGCCAUCCAUGCGGCGCUCCUUGGUGUCCUCGCCCCGAGUAGCGGGCCGCGUGCGCACCGGACGGUGCUGCUCCUCACCACGAGGAGGUCAGCCAAGGCUCGCCACUGGUCAUAUGUGGCACGGGGUAGCCAAGCGGUUCUUCAAAGAUUCUUUGGCCUUCUUGUUUCUGCAUUCUUGGAACUAGUCGUGGAUGGUGAAUGUUGUCUUAUCGAUGAGAUCAGCUCUGAGGGCUAAGUUGUGUCAGGUUUGAGUUACCAAACAGCUCUCUAUGCUUGCCUAUUUGUUUAUUCACAUAUUUUCCAUUAGUUGAUGAUUUUUAUUUCUACUGUUGACCUCAGACACAAUCAGUUCAUUUUGGUGUGAAUUCGAUUAAUCUGUGCUAAUGCUAACUGAUGUUGGUUGCUUGUGAACUGUGAACGGUGACUUGGGCGUUGCAAUCAAUGUGAUAGUGUUAAGUUUUCAGAGUUGCACUGCGUUCAGAGUUGCUCAUGCACAUUGCAUUGCCGUUACUAAUUCUUCAGAAUGUUUUGAAGAUUUUGCAAGCCGAACCAUUUCAUUUCUCCGGUUCGGUUUUGGAGCAAGUCCAUAUAAUGCAGUGAUGCAACACUUGACGACUUGCGCUUCUCAUUUAGUAUUUCAGUACCAGUGUUGGGAGUUGUUAAUUCACACUACACUGUUGUCUUGCCGACCACCUAAAGAUUUUGCAAACCAAGCUGUUCACCCGAGGAAGAAGAAGAAAAGGGGAAUAAGAGGAUGAUAGGUGGGAUCAUGAGUUGGGGGCAAGAAUGACAAUUCACUUUCAAACUCCUCUUUUCUGGAGCUGGGGACACCCUCCCAGCCAAACACCUCCAUCAUACCGCUCCAACUCCAUCUAGAGUUGGCUCCACCUGGAGUUUUGGAGUGGAGCAGCUUCACAAAGAGUUGGAGUCAUGCCAAACAGGGUCUAAGUUUCAGUUUUGAUGGGGGCAUUGGGCUGACCAGGUUUUGAUGGGCCAACAGCCGCCCCACACCACAGAGGUGUGGUUCGUGUGGAGGCCCAGUUCAAUUGUUUUACCUUGCUUUCCACUUAAAAUAUUCUUUUUCCAACAAUUUUAGACUUUCCGACACCAUUUUAGGGGUGAUGGAGUUGUUGGCACGGUGCACGGCACCCACAUGGUUCAUUUAACUUUAAAUCCUGGUACCAUAUUUAGUUGGGAUGAUUCGACCUGAGCAUUUUGCGAGCCACGUCGUGCUCAGACCGAGUGCCGAAAAAAGCUCCGCUCAUGGCGAGCUGAAACAUUGUGCUUAUGAAAUUGCUGGCGGUUGGUUAGGUAGUCCGCUAGCACAGUGCCUCACUGUGCUGGCGGUUGGUUAGGUCGACCACCAUCACAGUGAGCAGCACAGUGCUCACUGUGAUGGCAGUUGGUUACCUCGUCCGCUAGCAUAGUGAACCACUAUGCUGGCGGUUGGUUAGGUAGCCCGCCAGCACAGUGGUGUCUAUGUUGGCGGGUGCAUCCAUUUGUGCUGGCUCCAAGUUAGUGAUGGCCGCUCCACCCGCUAGUGUAGUGGUGUUUUACCCGCCACUACAAAUCGAUUCUAACAUAGUGUUAUCAGACUGAGUUUUUAGGUUGGGCUUGGGCUGACCUGAUUUUUUUCGAACUUUAGUUUUUCUGACCACGCUUGGCCCGACAUCUAAACUGGGCGGGCCGAAACCUACCGAGCUCGGGCUGUGCUCGAAAUGCUUAGGGGAAGAUACAAUAAUUUACCGGAUUGUCUCCACUAACAAGAUCUGCAACGCUUCUGAGAGCAACUUGGAGAAUGCCUUGCAGAAGCUUAAGAGAGAACUCGCUGGAAAGAGGUACUUUUAGAAUUUAAUUUGAUGUUGAUUCACUCAUCUCAAGCACGCACACUGUUUUUUUUCUCACACACGCUCAAAAUAGGUGCAUUGCCUUUGAGAAUAACACGUAAUUGAAAAGGACAAGUAAAGCACAUGCAAACUACAUACACAAAAUUCAACUUCAAACUUGGAUCCGCAUACACUUUUAAUUGCUAGUACUAGUGAACUUCGUACACUUGAAGAAACUAUGAAAAAUGUACACACACAUCAUGUCAAGUCCAAGAAACUAUGAAAAAUGUACACACACAUCAUGUCAAGUCGUAAACACAGAGAGCAAUAUCCAACAUUUUUUUUAAUUAAGAAAAAACAUCCGAUCUUGAACAUUCACAUGUGAAUGUCUAUGACCACAAAGUAACACAUCCACCCACAUAGCCAGAAGCUAACACGAGUACUUAGACUACAAAACUCCAACCAAGGAACACAAAAGACAAGAAAUAAAGAAAAUAAGAAAGAAAGCUUCAAACUUCUUCUACGUCCUUCCUUCAACCUUGCUUUGGUUCUUAUGCAGCAACAAACAUCUCACAUCAGCUGUCUUCUUAGAAACUUUUGAUGUAAGGAUCGUCGAUGGUCAUGUGCUACUUGGUAAUCCUUGUCAUCUAGAAACUGCAAUGAGUCGAUCUCUACCACGCAAACAGAUUGGGCAUUGCCAUUGCUCCAAGCUGUCAUCAAGGACUCCAAGACGACACCUCAAGAGGAGAGCAACAUCUCAAUGCUACUGCCGCCCGAACUAACAAGUCGGUUCGCUAGUUUUCACCUAGAUCUGUUCCUGUAUGUUGAGGUUCUCAUAGCAUAUAUAUAUAUCAUGUUCAAGUUUUCUAACAUGAGAAAAAUUUAAGAAUGUUUAACUUCCCCACUUAGUGCCUACUUGGAAUAAGAAACAUUAAGAUGGCCCAAGGCAAUUUUAGGAUCAUUUGAUCAAAAAUUUUAGGUGCAGAGAUCUUCAAAAGGUCAGCAGGAAGAAAAACAUUUCAUCUUUUUCUGCUCCCUCGACUCACACUAAGGAGCUGCAAAAGCUAACGACGCCUCUUGUUUCGAGGCCCCGCAUUGAAAUCAAGAAGACAACAAUGCCUCACCGCUAGCAAGUUGCCCUCUUGGAUAUGCACGGAAGAACUUGCACAUCUCACAUACCAUUUACGCUUCCUCUUGUGGCAUUCACAUAACUUAAGAAAAAAACGUACUCAAAUAGAAACACACUAAUGGCAUGAUUAUUUGUAACAGGUACCUUCUUGUAUUGGACGACGUCUGGAAUAAGGAUGCUAACAAGUGGAACAAGCUGAAUGCCUGUCUUAAACAUGGUGAUGUUGGUAGCGCCAUACUAACGACAACCCGUGAUAAAGAAAUAGCUCAACUCAUGGGUACAGUUGAAGAACAUGGCAUUGCACGUUUGGACAAUAAAUUCAUCAAGGAAAUUAUUGAGGCUAAAGCAUUCAUUUCGCAAGAGAGAAAACGAGCUGAUUUAGCUGGCUUGGUUGAUGACGUUGUUGAGAGAUGUGCAGGGUCUCCAUUGGCAGCCAAGGCACUAGGAUCUGUACUACGUGGCAAGACAAGAACGGAAGAAUGGAAAGCUGUGCUUAGCAAAAGCAUUGCCCAUAACAAGGACGAUAAAAUCCUGCCUAUUCUCAAGCUCAGUUACGAUGACCUGCCAUCACACAUGAAGCAGUGCUUUGCUUUCUGUGCUGUGUUUCCCAAGGACCAUGAGAUUAACGUGGAAAUGCUGAUCCAACUAUGGAUGGCAAAUGACUUUAUUCCUGAACAAAAAGAUGUUCGUCAUGAAACAAUUGGUAAACAGAUUUUCAGUGAGCUGGUCUCAAGG
rnacentral:lncRNA from 1 species